ACUGAUAAGAAGUGUGAGAUUGAUUUCCGGGAACAUCUGAGGUCUGGGUCUGAUUAUCUCAAGGGAAAUGCACUAGAAACAGGACAUGGAAUUAAAAGUACUCCUGCAAUUAAUUUUAGCCGGGGAAAUGGUGGAACUAGAUACCUUGACCCUAUUAGGGGUACAUUUUUGUCAUCCUCUAAAGCUUUUACGGGAAGUAGUUUCUUUGGAAAGAAUACUAAUAUUCCUGCUAUUGCAAAAGAAAACAAAACUAAUAAUCCUGUAGACCAUGCCCAUGCUUCAGCCAAUAGGAGAGAUUUCUGUCCAUCUGAACGAGUAGCUGGGAAGUUGAGUAUGGAUGGAGAUGAUAAGAAUGUUAAAAUCAACCACUCUGUAAGUUAUUUGACCCUGUUAUUUGAGUUCAUUGUUUUAGUAAAUUAGUACAAUUCUUACCUUUUUGUAUGAUAAUGAAAAUACAGGCAUUUUCUUUUGAAAUUAUCCCAAAUGCAAAGUUACUACAAGGUAGAGUAAACUACUAUGGCUAUAUUAAGAGCAACCAUUAGCCAGCUGGUUCCAGUGCUAAAUGAAAAAUUUCAUGCUUUCCUUGUUAGUCAAUAUAAUUGAAUUAGCAUUGUCACUUUCUUCCAUGUCUGAGGUCCAGCACGUAUUUUCAUGUCUUGGUUUUCAAUGUGAGCCCCGGAGAUAUUGGGACCAAGGCUUGUUGGUUUGGUUGGGCAUACUGCAUAUUUUCCCUGGAAUCAGCGUGUUCUAUUUCUGUAGAAUUUGAUGUUUUCUUGAAGAUUAUGUGGUCUUUGGUACACAUUGUAGAAAUUUAUAUAGAAAGAUACAAUGCUAAAAUAUGGAGUUGUUUAAUGCAGGUGCUUUCAGAACCCCAACUGUGGGCAGCACCUAAAAAAUCUUGGCAACAGUUAUUUACUCGUUCACCUUCCCUUCCUCCAGUCUCAAAUGCAAAUGUUAUUAGUAGACCGACUUUGAAGAAUAAACCAGAAGCUCAGAGCCCACCAUUUCCUAGUCAUUCAACAAUACAGACAUUUGAUAAUCCUAUCAAUUUUGGACUACCAUCACCAUUUAUAUCUAUGUACACAAAUGGAGUCCCCAGCAGUAGUUUAGGUUUCUCACCAGCAAUUGAACCCAUUUUCCCUCGUGCUGCUGAAGGGCUAAGUGAAAUUAUACCAGAAGAGCCAGAGCUCUUUGAAGACCCCUGUUAUGUUCCUGAUCCGGUAUCCUUGCUUGGGCCUGUUUCUGAGUCGCUUGAUAAUUUUCAGUUGGACUUGGGUGCUGGGUUUGGGAUGGACGUGGGAACGGAAAGGCCUUGUGGUUUGAAGAAUAUAUCUGCUUCUUCUGAAAUUAACAAGCCCUCACCUAUUGAAUCCCCAUUGUCAAGAUCACGUUCUGCUACCCCAAAGGCCCAAGAUCUUCAAACUUCUUCUGUGGAUGAUACUAAUGCAAAUGAGAAAAGGACAUGGCAGAUGUGGAGCAGUUCUCCCCUUGGUCAGGAUGGUCUGGGCUUGAUGGGUGAUCCAGCAAGCUGGCUUCUACCACUGGAACAUAAUAGAUCAAACAAGGAUGACCUUUUGCACCUUUCUUCUCAGAAAACUAUGGUGUCAUUGUUUGCAAAAGAGGACCCUAUACUUGCUGGUAAACGAUCUCCUCAGAAGGUUUUUCUUGGUAAUGGCCAGAAUGGUGGUACAUUCAGUCCUGUACCUGGCCUGAGUGAUCAUGAUCCAUGGUUACAGGAUACUUCCUUUCCACCAUUAUGUGGCAGUGAUAACCGUUUUCCUAACAAGUCUCUGGAGGAAAUGAAUUAUGGGAGUCUCAAUGGAUCUGCAGGCACCUAUCCAUUUGAGCCGUCUGCUGCAAGCUGUUGGCCCAAGUGAGUCAAUCAAACAUAUAUCCUACCCUUAAAUGCUAGUAUUUCACAUUUGUCUAUUUUAUUUGUUGAAUCGUUUAAUCAUUGAUUUCGGUGAGAUAUCUUCACUGUUGGCAUUUUAAGUUGGCUCUAAUUGACUGUAGGAUUGUGCCAAUGCAAGUCAUUAGUGUUUUAGAGUUUAGGGUUAGGAAUUGUAGCAAUGAACAUCAUUGAUUUGAUGUUGAGUUUGUAUAUUAGAACUGUUCCAUAAAAGUCAGAUUAUUCUUGAAUCUCAGCAGUAGAAAUGGGGUCGAUCAAAGAUUUCCAAAUUUCUUUUCUUCUACCUUUUGGUUUAUAUUGCAUGCUUCUUUGGUCACUGGGAAGUAAAUGCUGUGGCUUAAAUCUUAGUAUGUGACCAAUUGAGGUUAAAUGGUGCAACUGUUGACUAUCAUUCCAGUUACAGUGUUCUGGUUAUUACUAUAUACUCUGUGUUAAAGAACUUGCUUGUAGUGAAGCUGAUGAUGAUGGUAUCUUUGGAGUUAUUCCUCGUAUUAAUUUGUCUUUUAACAUUAUUGAACUGUUGAGGGUAUAAAUGUAGUGUUUGUAUCCAUUCACUGAAUAAUCCAUCUGAAAAAAUGGGCUUCUGUAAUGCAUUUGUAACUCAUAAUGGUUAUCUAACGUUUGGGGGGUACUGUUUUCUUUUGGCAGAAAGGAAUGGGGGGCUAUGCAAGAUUCAGAACAACCAGUUGGAAAGUCUUCUAUUUCAAGGCCCCAUGUUGGCGGUUUAUUUGACAACCAGAUGUACAGUCACUUUGGUAAUUUGAUUGAAAUAGAAAAAGAAAAGUGACACAUAGCCAAUUGGAGGAUUGACUCGAUGCAUGCUUUGAAACAAUAACAGCUCUUGAUCCUACUUUGUCGGUCAUAGUUAGAUUUGCGGUAUCUAAAGUGUUGGUAGUUCGGUAGACUUGAAUAUAUGGUACGUGGACUCAGAUAUGAUUGAUACGGGUAUAAUUUUUUUUCUUAUUCGGGUGAUAUCUACAUGGUUAUAUUUCUGUAUACAUGUUCAUGUUCGAAUAUGCUUAGAACACAAUUAGUAGGAGAAAUUUCAAGAAAAUUGAUAAGUGGAUACAAUCCUUGUACAAUCCUGAUAAAGAGAGAUCCAGAGAUGACUGUCUCGAUUGACUUAAGAGUUAUCAAUUGGUUUAAAUAUGUUGAUUUUUUGUACUCUUUUAAAAUUUAAAUUUAAAUUUUAGUUUUAUAUUUUAAUUUUUGAGACAUUGAAUAUUUUAUAUAUAUUUUUAUUUGAGAAAUUUCUAGUCUUUGCGCUUAAUUUUGCAGUUUAAGUCAUUGAUGUAGCAGGGUUUUUAUUAUUAUUAUAGAAAAUUGAUGUAGCAAUUGAAAAUCGUCAAAUAACUUUUAACUUUUAACGAUCACAGUUUAUUAAUUUGGUGUUUAUUUUUUAGUUGCAUAAAAAAAUUUAAAAUUAUAUUUUUAUAUUAUAAAUUAAAAACAAUAUUUUCUAAACGAUUCAAAAAAAUAUGAAAAAAAUUAAAAAACUUUUUAAAAUUUAAAAACAAAAAUGAUUUAUAAUAUUUUUAAAAUUUUAAAUAUAUAUAAUAAUUUUAAAAUUUAGUGUUGUUUGAAUUGGAUCGAAUUGGUCGGUUAGAUCGAUUAGAUUGAGAAUCGGUUGGGGUAUCAGUCUAGUGAGAGGUGAAAAAUGCGUUGACCUGUGAACCAGUAGAGACUAAUUGAACCAAACUAAAAACGGUUAAAUUGAUUAUUGGAUCGAUAAUUAUAAUUUUUGAAUUUUUACACUUUUUUGAGUUCUUUUAAUAAUGUAUUUGUUUUGUAUGGUCAAACUGAGACAUAGUGGUUGGACGGGUUCGACCAUCGGUCUAGUUCUAAAAACAUUGUCAAAAUUUUAAAAAAUUAUGAUAUUUUCUCCUUGAAUUAAUAUGUGUUCAUGGUUUUGUAACCCAACCAAUUCGAUGAUCUUGACUUGUUCCGAGACGGGUUUAGGUUUAUAUUUUUAACUUUUGGUUGACUUGACUUGGCCCAUUUCACUAUUUAAAACAAUAAAAUAUAAAAAUUUAUAUUAAUAUUAAUUUUUAUAAUGAAAUUUAAUAUAAAACAAUUUAUUAUUAUUUUAAAUAGUCAAAUGGAGGGGCGAAAUAAACUUGAAACUAAAAAUUGUUUUAAAAUUGAGCCUCAACCUACCAUCAUCCAUGAAUGCCUCUAAUGGUAAUAAAGCCUCUCUAAAGUGUGAGCUAUUCAUUCAUUCCAUAUUAAAUCAUAUUUGAAAAUAUUUUUUUAAUUAAACUUAGAUCAUUUAUAUAUCAUAAAUAAUUUUAAUUAAAGUUAAUUAUAAAGUAUGUUAAAUAUUAGUGUAAUAUAAUUUUUAAAUAAGGAUACAAAUUCUAAAUUAAUUCCAUUUAAAUUUACAUAUAUUGUGUAAAGUAUGUUAAAUAUUAGUGUAAAAUAUACUAUAUAAAAAUUAUUAUGUUAAAUAUUAGUGUAAAAUAUACUAUAUAAAAAUUUCAAGAAUUAAUUCAUUACCUUUGUGUUUUGCCAAAACAGGGUCCAUUUUUAUAUAAAGUUCUUUUAAUAUAGUGUAUUUUGAACAAAAAUUAUAUUACAAUUAAUUUGAACAGAUUUGGAGUAUGUAUCAUUAUUUAAAAAUGAUUUUAUAGUAAUAUUUUAUAUAUUUUAUAAUUAAAUUUACAUAAAUAUAUAUAAUUAAAUUGAUUUAAAAUAAAAAAAUAUGUUUAAAUUUUAUUCCAUUUGGACCGAAUGAAUAACUCAAAGUUUGAAGAUACCUUAUUAUCAUUUUUGGAGUAAAUAACACAUUUUUGAAUUUUUGGAAAUUUUUAUAUUUUUAAUUUUUUAAAUUAUUUGAAAUGAAUUUAAAAAAAAUAUUUUUUAAUUUAUAAGAUUUUUUUAUUUUUUUCACAAUUUUUUUUAUUUUUUUUGAAAGUGUGAAAGAACUUUUAAUUUUUAAAACAUUUUUUGAAACUAUAUAUAUACUUUAAAAGAAUAAAGACUAAACUGACAAAGAAAAGGUAAAUGUUAAGGGCUAAAAAAAAGUUAUUUUACCCUUUUUUUUUAAUAAUAACUACAUCAACAAUUUUAACGGAAAAAUUGAAGGGACCAAAUUUUUUAAAUAAAAAGUAUAAUUGUUCAAUAUCUAAAACAUAAAAUAGAAAAAUAUAAAUUUUAAAAGAAUAAAUGAAUCUUUAACAUAUUUAAACCUUUUCAAUUUGGGUUCAGUUGAAGUAGAUACACGCGAACUCAGAGAAAUAAAAUAUAAAUAUAAUGAGUAAUUGUAUAAAUAUUUUUAGAUUUAGAUUUUAUUUUAUUUAUAAUUUUUUUUACCAAUUGGUUUGAAAAUUAACUAUUUUUUUUUGUUUUUCUCUUCGUUUUUAGGUCAUAAAAUUUUUGUUCUUAUUAUGUUUUCAAUUUAUUCUACCCAUUUUUGCAUUGUUUUUACUUUGGCACUGAUUUUAAAGUUCACUAUAUAUAUAUAAAAAAAAAUUCUCUUCUACUAAAUUAAAAAUUUCAUAUUUAUUACUUUUAUUUUAAUGAUGUCAUCUAAGUUGAUAAUUUAAAAUACAAAAUUUAAUGAUAAAAUUAAAAAUUUAUCUAUUCAUUAUAGCAACAAAAAGUUUAUUCGUUGCUAGAAAAUUCUUCUUUUAUUUUGGUUGAUAAAAAGAUCUACAAACUCAAAGCCAAAAAAAAAAGAAAAAAAGAAAAAAAAAAGAAAGAGUAGCUAAUGACAAAAUUUUGCAUGUUGCUAGAAAAAGGCCAUUAUGGUAACAGGACUUCUAUCUCUUGCUAAAUGUAUUAAUAAAGAUAUUAACUAUAGUGAUGAAAUUUGUUUCAUUACAAGUACGAAUUACAACAGCGAAAAGUACUCGUCCCUUUUAUAGCGGCAAAUACUUUAUCAUCACAAAAGUUACAUUUUAUGUUGAAAGGAAUUUUGCUCGAUGCUAAAAAGUUUGUACAGUUAUGAUAGCUAAUUGCAAGAGAUGGAAGAACUUGUCACUAUAACCAUUUUAAUGAUGAAAUGCCUGUAAUUAUUGAAAAGGCCGUUAAUAAUAUUCUUAUUUUUUUUUGCUAAGAGUACAUUUAUAGAGACAUAAGUUGUUCGUGCUAAAUGUAAAAAUUUGAAUUUUAGUGAUGUUGAAAAAUGUAGUUUUGGAACCCCAUUUGCGUAAAUCGAAUCCGUAAAUAUAAAAUGGAAAUAUUUACGGGGUAAAUAUGAAAUUAUAGUAAGGUUUGGUUUAGUAAUUUAACCGAAAAAUUAGUUAAUUAAAGCUUAGGGACUAAAUUGUAAAAAUCUAAUUGCUAUUGAAUUUUAAUUAAGAAAAGGAUUGGGGACUUAAAUAGUAAUUAUCCAAGGGCCAAAAUGAUUAUUUAACAAUUUUAUAUCAUGAAUUAGUGGAUUGUUUCCACUAGCUUAAUUAAUAUGUCUAUAUUAGUAUAAUAAAGCUUAAGUAAACUAAUUAAUUAAAGUUGUUUAGCAUAUAACCUUAAUAUAAAAGCUAAGUUAGUCGAAGAAAAUGAGUAUUCAUCUUUUUCCACCGUCCCUAACAAGAAAAAAAAGGGAGAAUACUCCAUUUUUGGAGCUUAAGCUUCAUCAAGGAAAUUUUCAAGUUCUUGUAUUUUUUUUAUAGAUUUAUGAUCAUGGGAGCUUACCCUAGCUAGCCCAUGUAUCAAUUUGUCAAGUUGUUGAAUUAGCAAGUUUCCAUUACUAAAAAAUUGAUGAAUUAGUCUUGAAUUUGAUAGAUAUUAAGCAUAGAUCAUGACAAGGACUAAAUUGUAAAUUUAAAUAAGUUUGUUAGUUAACUUUGUAACAUUAGGGAUGUAACAUACCAAACUCGGCCCAGUCGUUAUGGCCAAAUUCAGAAAGCUACAUUGGUCACUGGAAUGGCCUAAAAAAACUUUCUUGAUUUCAAACGUAUUUUUUAAAACCAUUUGCAUAGUUCGUUCAAAACUAGUAAAAUCGAAUGUUCAACUUUAUUUUCAAUCUCAUUCCAAAAACCAUUUGUCCACGAAAAUGACCGAAAUAAACUUUUGAAAUUUUGAAUUUUUUUAAAACUAUUGGCUUAUCAAUUCAAAACAAUGAAAUAAAGCAUUUAUUUUUAAUUUCAUAAAAAUAUUACAAAUUUCAGGAAUCGAAAUAAAUAAGAUCUCAAUUGUAAAUAUUGAAUCAUUUAUUCAAAAUUAUUUCGGAUUUUCAAUCAUGCUUCUAAAUCAAUUGUCUUUUUAUUUAAAAUUGGAGAACUUGGUUAUUCAUCAAUAUUUUAGAAAUAAAAGCAUAUUAACUUCAUAAAUCAUAUGUCUUAGAGAACUCAUUUGUAAACAUCAAUAAUUUUGAAAACUAAGUUUAAUUAUAUUAAAUACUCAUUUUUCAGAAAUGCAGCUCAUUUUUCAGAAAUGCAGCGGAAAAAUGUGUUAUUGAUAGAUUCUAUUUUAAAAACCGAGUUUCAAGCAAAAUCUUAUCAAAUACUAAUUUAUGCAGUUUUUAAAACUUAAUGUCAUGCAAGCAAUUUAUGCAAAUCAAAAUGAAAAAUCCCCAAAAUAAAGUCCCAUAAAGUUAUUAAAACAAACCCAAAUCAAAUUUCAUAAAAUGAUAUAAAGUCCAUAAUUUAAAAAGUUCACUUCCGAGAGCAUUACCGAAAAUCCGCAUCUGAGUCCUAAUUACGAGGAUUACCUAAAACAUACACAUAAGAUGGGUGAGCUUACAAGCCCAGUGUGAGACCAUCACAAAAAUAAUCACAUACAUAUCAAAAUAUAAAUCUCAACAUAUCAAUCUUCAUAAUAAUCACAAGCUCUAACACUGAUACUUAUGCAUGAACAUGUCGAUCCAUAUUUUAAAACGAUGCACAUUUUAUAAAAUUUCCUACCCAUCUCUGCUACACACCAAUAUCGAGUUUCCCAGAACCUGUCCAUCUAAAAACACACCAUUUGUGGACAAGCCACCACAUAAUUGCCAAUAACGACCAUAUAAUCGCAGAUAAACUGCCACAUAACUUCCACCUUUCACAAAACCCACCCCAUGCAUGUGAUAUGACCAUUUUCAAAUUUAGCACAUAUAAUCACAUUUCGCAUUUCUCAUGUAGUCAUGCUCAUAGUCGCAUAUUUCUCAAUUUUACACAUUUGCAGUAAACAUGCUCACAUUUUCAUAUAUCACAUAAUAUUCACUUUUGAUUCACUUUAGCAUGCUUUAAUAUAUUUUCAUAUUAAAUCAUGGAUCUGAUCACACACACAUAUAUAUAUAACACAUAUUUAGAUCAUCACAUAUCAAUGAAGCUAUGUAUUACAUAAGAUAAAGAUGAGAUUUGCACACAUAUCAUCGUCACAUCACAAAUCAUAGUUUUCAUGGAUAAUAAUUUUAGGAACACUUGGAAUUUGUAACACCCUAACCCGUAUCUGUCACCGAAAUAGAGUUACGGAGCAUUGCCUUCAAACUGUAACAUAAAAACAUACAUUUCCAAACAUUAAUAUAAUCAUAGCACAAAUCAUUCAUUCACAUGCUUAAUGUCCCUUAAUUGAGCCCUUGAGGCCCUAGAAACACUUUAGAAAUGAUUUGGGACUAAAUCGGAAACAUUUAGAACAUUUAAGAAAAAGUUGGAAAAAUUGAACUACAGGCCGUGUGACUCACACGGCUGAGACACAUGCCCGUGUCUCAGGCCAUGUAACAAUCGCAAUAGGGACACACGGUCAUGUCCUAUCCCGUGUUCGUGCUCGUGUAACUUUUGAAUUUGGGUCACACGACCAAGCCACAUGCCCAUGUGCCAGGUCAUGCAACUCUCGAAAUGGCCUCACAUGCUCGUGUGCCAGGCCGUGUGCUAGGCUGUAUAAUUACCUGACUUGAAUGCCUUUAAAACCUACAAGGGACAUGGUCGUGUGUCACACACAACUGAGACAUACGCCCAUGUCUUAGGCCAUGUGGACAUGAAAUUGGCCGAAAUCAAGCCAUUUUCUUCACCUAUUUCAAGCUUGUACCUAAACAUAAUUUGUGCACAACUUCAAGGCUUCAAAACCUUACCAAAACAUGCACAAAAUGACUAUUUCAAUAGACUAUAAAUCCAUUCAACCAAUAUGCCAACAAGGCACCUCAAAUCCAUUCAAUCAAAUCUUACCUAAACAUAGAAACAUUACCACAAUUCAUGAAUACACAUCAAGUCCAAUACCAUUCAAAACUUACCCUAUUUUGAUCACUUUAAAACUAUUCCAUCACAUACCAUAUUGACCAUUGAAACAUGCAUUAAAUCUUAGCCAUAUAAACUCAUAUCAUCAAUGCAUCAAACAUACCAAAAGUAUAUUAACCAAAAUGACAUAUACAAGCCAAACGAUCAACCAACAUCAAACAUAAGUCCACCUAUACAUGCCAUUAUAACCUUGACCAACACAUCAAAACUACUGAUAUAAUCGCUGGAUAGUAUGAUAGAUCUCCGACGAGCUUCCAAACCGAUCAAGCUUCCGAUUAUCUAUAAAACAUAGGAUAGAAAACUACAUAAGCACAUAAUACUUAGUAAGUUUGUAUAAACUUUAAACAUCAUAUUCCAUUUCAGUGAUGAACUUUAUAGUAUAAAUAUAAACCUAUACCAAUGCCACAAGAUUUAUCAAACUAUAUAACCAUCAACUCACAAAUGAGUAAGUCCAUCAGCAUCACAUAUAUUUUUCAUUCCUAAAAUAAUAGGAUUUAUAAGACAUAUUGCACAUUCAUUAACCUUUUCAUAAGACUAUGAACCACUCCAUUUACUUACUUUCCAUUUCAUUUACUUACUUUCCAUUCCAUUUACUUAGCAUAAGCUUAAAUAACAUCAUCAAUUCACGAAUUAGUGUGUUUAUUCAUGACAUAGAUAAAUUCAACCAUAGCAUAAGUAAAUUUCUCACAUAUAAGUAAGUCCUUUAACUCAUCAAUUCUUUUAUAUCAUCAUAUUACAUCUCAAUUAUGAACUUACCAUUUCAUUACCUUUUCUUACCCGUAUCAUUUACAUAAUACAAGACAUAAACAUAAACAUCAACCAAUUACACAAGCUUGUCACAAACCUAAAUAUCAUCAUCAAUACACAGGCUAGUGCAUUUGUACAUAACUCUUUUGGGAUCAACCACAUGAUAAGCCAUUUCAUAAGAAAAAUAUAUCUUUUGAUUCAUACAACCUUUUUAUGAACAUAAGCAUAUUUACAUUUGGUCACUUACCAUUUCAGCGUAUAUAAUUAAGAAUAAGCAUGAUAUAAUCCAAACCUAAGCUUGACACAAGCCUAAGCACCAUUAACAACACAUGUUAGUGCAUCAACUCAUAAUUCACUUGAAUUAACAUAAGGUAAGUCAUUUUACAUGAAAAACUUCAUUUAAAAUCAUCAUUUUCAUGAACAUAGGUAUACUUUUAUUGAGCAUUUCCUUUUCAAUCCUUUUCAUAGUUUCAUGACAUAGUUCAUUUGAACACUUACCGUUCCUUUCCUUUUCAUGCCCGUUAAACCACUUAGCAUAACAACGAAUAUGCGGGAAAGCUCACAUAAAGUGUGCUAAACAUAUAAUUUUUCCUUUCCUUUUCCUUUACAUCGUUGCUCACACGAGCUAUGAAAUGGGUCUACUCACACAAGCUGACGGUUGGAUAUAAGAUACGCAAUGCUGCUCACACAAGCUGUUGAGUAUCCACAAUAAAUGUAAGACCUCAGCCAUCGGUAGGACAUUCAAGACCGGUGCCCAAAACAUGGUAACCUUAAUGACAUGUUAUUUGUAUCCUAUGAAUUCCUAAGGUUCAACCGGGACUUGAUAACCGUCAAUUCGUCAUAAUAUGGACACAUUCAUAUAUAUAUUGAUUCGUUUACAUUAAAAACAACAAAAUAAACAUUCAAUUUAAACAAAAUUAUACCGAGUACAGUUCGUAUGAACUUACCUAGCUAAAUUGCAGUAAUGACUAAGUAUAGGGGCUAUUUGGUAAUUUCCUCUUCUCCUCGAUUUUCCACUCGUUCUUGAUCUAAAUUAAAAUUUUCAUUCAAUUUAUUAAUUUAGAAAGCAAAACCAAUUCAUUUUAUGUAAUUUAGUCCUUUUUGACAUUUUUACAAAAUUGCCCCCAAUAUUUUACUUUUAUUCAAUUUAGUCCCUAAGCCUAAAACAUGAAAAUUAGCCAUUUUUUCUCAAAUUUAAGCUUAGCCAAAUUUAUUGGGACCUUACUACAACUCAUAUUUUUUGUUAUUACACAUUAAAUCAUUGUACUUUUUCUAUUUCAACAAUUUAAUCCUUAAUCGUUAAAUUCAUCAAAAAUCACUUAACAAAAUACUCAUAAAUAACAACUAAUACUUAAAUUUCAUCAUUUAACAUUUAAAAUCACAAAUAUUCAUUAAUGGUAAAAUUCAAAAUCUUUAACAGUUUCAAAAAUGAAGGUACGGGCUAGUUGGACCUAGUUGCAACGAUCUUAAAGGCAUAAAAAUUAUUAGAAACAAGUGAAAAAUAGCUUACCAUGAAAAGAUAUAACCAUGGCCAAACCUUGAGUAUAUUUCCAUGGAGGUUCGAUAAUGAACAAAACAAAUGCAGAAGAAAACAUCAUGUUUUUUCUUCUUUUUAACCUUUUUUCUUUAUUUUAAUAAUACAAUAGCAUAUAAACAUAUAAAAUUAAAAGAAAUUAAAACUUAACUCGUCCACCAUCUUAAACCGUCCUUAAAUUGAGACUUAGAUUCGAUGCCUUGAUUAUCACACUAAGGAUCUCCUGGAUUGGCGUUGUUUGGUCCUUCAAAGAAUAUAGGAACAAAAUGUUAACACAUGAAAACAAACGUGUCUUAACACCAUUCAACUAUGAGGAAAAACAAUAGAGAGGAAAGAAUGUUCCCAACGCCCCUCAUGCAUUUACACUACUUAACAAUACUACGAUAUCGUUGAUAAGUCUUGACGAAGGAGUGGAGAGGUUUAACAAUCUACAAAAAUAUAUGAUCGAUGAGUCUUGGUCACAAAAUAAAUAAAAUAGGAUGAUUGAAUCCUUAGAAGAGAUGGAGAGAUCGAAAGAGAAAAAAAAGGGGAAAAUCGAAACUUGAUGGAAAAAAAUGAAGUCUGUGGCGGCGACGAUGGUCUGGCGGUGGUCCAAUGAGGUGAGAAAAAGUAUAAAAAAGUGGGAGGGUUCAGUCACAAUAUUGAGAGAAAAUAAAAAAGAAAAAUAGUGGCAGAGAAAGGUUUUCCAGCGGUGGUUCACGGUGGCAACGGUGUCGGUGAAGGGCAGUGAUCAAAAGAAGAUAAGAGGUGAGAACCUUGGAUGAUGGUGUGGAGGUGGUGAACCUAUAGCUCAUGCUGGAAGAGUUUUAGAUGAUGGUUGUGUUGGAUCGUCGGCACCCCUAUGGGGCAGCGGAAAAAUUAAAAAUUCGACGAUCCUAACCACGGAUCCAUGUGUGAGGAACGAAUCGGGGUGAUAAGGAUUACGAAAUUACCGAAUGUUUAUUCUGAGUAGACAGCAACGCCUUAACAACGAGUAGUCUGAUCUGCUAUCUACCAAGCCGCAAUCUAUCGUGACCCCGGCCUCUACGUAAUCCACCCAGUUGAUUAUGAACGGAAGGAAUCCCCAGAACAGUUUUGAAAAGAAUUUUCUUUGACGGCUACUAGACCCAAGCAAAGAAAAAUGGGAUUCGUAUAUAUCUUUUUUUAGGGUUUCUAGAAAUUAAAAUAAAUAUAAUAAUAUUUUAAACCGAAAAUUAUAAUUACAUUAAUUAUAAUAUAAUUUCGGUAAACCAUAUAUUUAUUUGAAUUUAUAUACUGACCAAAUUUAUGUUCUUAUAAUGUGUACAACAACCUUGUACAUAAUGUGUUCGAUAUUUGAUUACCCAAUUAAAUUAAUUCUAUAAUUAAUUUAAUUCAAGCGACAACCAAACACAAUACCAACUAUGUUUUAUUCUGUUCAUUUCAACUAUAGGGUGUGACCCUGUAGGUUCCUGUAACAUUAGUAGUCAUACUAGAACAAUUCCAAUGUUACAAACAAUGAGUGGCAUCUAGCAAUGCAUCAUUGCUACCUAAGUCACAAGAAAUCAUGAUUCGAUAUAACCUUUUUAUGAUUAACCUUUUAUGCAGUAAUCCUUAAGUUCUUUAUCUCUGGAUUGGACACAAGUCAUGGAAUACUCACACUUGCAUAGUCCAUUCCAUGUUCCUUGAUAUCUUAAGCAGACUACGAUAUACAAAUAAGUAUGACAUCUCAUAUCAACUUAUUUGAGCAUGGCCAUGCAUUUCUAGUCUCACUCAAUCAAGUGGCCUAAGAUAUUACUCCCAUUAUGUAGGAGGGGCUUAUCCUAUCUCAAUCAACCAUAUCCCUCUACAUAGAUCGUGGUAUAUCCAACAUCAGCCUUUAUAGAACAACCAAUUACAGUGUACAUUUGAUUGUAUCAAAAUAUACAACUCACGAUGUUGGGAUUAUGAUGAUCUCAAGUCUGAGGAUCAUAUACAUAUUAAUCACUAUGAGUAAUGUUGUGACAAUUACAUAAUAAUCCAAGAAACAUACUCAUAACGGGUCAGUCCAAUAUGUUGUUCUCUAACACACAUAUUCAUGCAUCGAUUUUGACAUUCCAUAUCAAUGACAACUUUGUAUCAUCAACCAACUACAUGUUAGUCUUAAUGCAUUAUCGUUGUCCUAUCCAACAAUAAUACUUGACUAAGGAACUUUUAAGAAUAAUCAUAUUAUUCUUAAGACAUUAUUAUAAAACAGUUUAUUUAUACAUACAGAAAAGAAACUAAAAUAAUAAUGGUAACACCUUAUAUUAAUAAACAUGAUAAAUCAAGUAUGUUAUUACAACCAUCUCAUGAUUGAUCUUUGGGCAUACUCUAACAGGUUGAAGGUGGUGGUUAUUUGUCAAAAAGGAGAGAAUGAAAAAGGAAUAAAUGAAAAAAAAUAAGAAUAUAGAAGCAAAUGAGUGGUAUGGAUGGCAAGGAGGUGGAGUAAGCUUGGUCAACUGUGACCAGGUUCAUUGAACCACAACAAAAGGCAAGAUAUGAAGUUUUGGAAAGAGAGGGAAACAUAGAGUGAAAAAAGGAUCAUGUUACCCCAACAUAUGGUAAGUUGGACUCAUAAAGAGGGAAAGGAAUCCUAUUAAACAUGGUAACAAUGGGGUGGACGACAAGCACAUUAUGCACAUGUGGUAGGUCUAGGCUCAUCAGUUUCAGCUUCAUCCUCGUCCCCUUCAUUUUCAUUCGAUAGCAGCUCCUUUUCAUUAGGUGCAAGUCCUUCCUUUCUUUAUCAGGCUCUGUGAUCUCAUUAAUAAGGCGAUAAAUUAGAAAUGAAUAUAACAUAAGUAAUUAAAGAUAAAAAUAAUAAGAACAAAAUUAAAGUAAAGCAAUUAAAGAAAAGAAAAAUAGAAAAUAGUUUUUUACACUUUUUCCAAUUCCGCAACGAUUUGAAGUUGCUAAGUCUCAAAGAGAUUGAGUUGCUUUUGCAACUGACCGAGUGAGUUGAGCAUUUGUUGCUUAAACAGACUUUUGGACAUAGAAUAUUUUUGCUGAGGCAAACGUCUUGCAAACUUUUCUUCCAUUGCCAUUUCUAGCAAACCAAUGGCCUGACAAUCUUCACUCUCAUCAACACAUUUUAGGGCGUCGAAUAUGUUGAAUGUAACCUAUUGAUCAUUCACCCUCAUAGUCAAUUUUCCUUUGUACACAUCAAUUAGCUGAGAAAAUAGUGGAGGUGGUCAUCCUUUAGGUUGCUGAUAUUGUUUUGCUGUGGCAUUUUUGUUGGCAACCUGAUCUGAUUCUACCACAACAUUUUUCUGCUGACCAUUUUUAGUUGAUGUAUGCUUUUCAGUUGGUUCUGAGAUCUUUUGAUGAUCGAGUCUUGAGUCGUGCUUUUCUAUCAUGGCAUCUUUAACAACUUCAUUCAGCUGAGUUCCACUUUUGAGAGCGAUCGCUCUGCAAUGCUCUUUUCCUUGUGAUCUCGAAUUAUCAAUAUCACUUGGUAAAGCUCUUUGUGGUCUCGAAUUUAAAGCAUUUGCUAUCUACCCCAGUUGACUUUCAAGAACUCGUAGGGACACAGCUUGACUCUGGAUUGCAACAUCAUUCUUAACCAUGUACUCCUUUAAUAGAACUUCCAUAUUUGAUGUUGAAGAUGACGAAAUUUGUUGCACAUUUUGCCAUGGCAUUGGUUGAUUAUAAUUAGGUGGUGCACUAAUAGAAUUAUGUCAAACAACAUUACUUGAAUUUCCCAAUCCUUGAUUACUCUAGCUAAAAUUUGGAUGUUGUUCCACCCUGGAUUGUAGGUGUUGGAAUAUGGGUUGUUCCAAUUGAAAUUUUCCAUGUAAUAUACUGAUGCCGGGUUCGAUGGGCAUUCAUCAAAAAAUGAUCUUCCCCACAAUAGACACAUGUUAGGUCGGUUGCUUUCAUUUCCUGCACUAAAGCUGGUCUCUUCAAUGUUUUAAUCAUAUUAUUUAGAGAAGAUACCUGAGUAGUUAAUGAAGUGAUCGCAUCAAGUUCCAUAGCUCUAGCAACUCUUUUACCAAUACCCACUCUUAUAGUUGGAUAUUGAUAAUCGUUGUUAGCUAUCCUUUCUAGAAUUUCACAUGCCUCAUUAUAUAAUUUAUCUAGCAAAGUCCCAUUGGUAGAUGCAUCAACUACCAUUCUUGUAUGGGCAUUCAAUCCAUUAUAAAUAAUUCCAUUUGUGUCCAGUGUUGGAAACCAUGCAUUGGGCAUUUUCUAAUUAGUUCCUUGAAACGCUCCCAUACUUCAAAUAAUGUUUUAUCUUCCGAUUGCCUAAACGAUGUAAUAUCGUUCCUAAGCUUGGCAUUCAUGUUGGGAGGAUUGUACCUAAGUAGAAAUCUCUGACACAUUUCAUUCCAAGAUGCAACCGUACCUGAUGGUAACACAUUCAACCAUGAUCUGACACGAUCUCGCAAUGAAUAAGGGAACGAUUUUAAUCUAAGGGGUUCUUCAGGGACACCUUGCUACCUGAAUGAGUCACAGGCUUCAAGAAAAAGUUCCAAGUGCAAUCUUGGAUCUUCAGUAGGUAAACCACUAAACUGCCCUAUGGUUUGUAGCAUCUGAAGCAUUACUGGUUUUAAUUCAAAAUAUUCAGCUUGAAUAUGUGACCUAAAAAUUCCUGGAUUUAGAUAAUCCAAAAUAGGCACUACAUGUUCUCUAAUGGGUCCGCCUUUGUCAUCUAUGAUUCGAGGAAUAUCAGCAUUCCUUUCAUUCUGAAGUACUUGAUCUUCUCUAUUGGAUCAUUUCUAAUUCUCUCCAUUUCUCUUAACUCUUUUCUUCUUCGCCUUAAUGUCUUUUCAAUUUUAGGAUCAAAACAAUGUUUUGUAUCCUCUUGAAUACUUCUUCUCAUGCACUAAUACAAACCUGAAAAAUAAAAUAAACUAUUAAUUAACUGCUCUAACAAAAAUAACAAGAAAUCAACUUUUCACCAAUAUUACUGAUCCAUGACAAUGACGCCAAAAACUUGUUGCGUAUAAAUAACUAAUGCAAUUGUGCAAGUGUACACAUCAUUGAAGUAAUAAAGUGAUAAGUAAGUAUCGUCUCCACAGGGAUCGAAAAUUGGUAAGAAAUUGAGUAAAUUAUUAUAAUCCUAUUGAUUAUACUGAAUAGUAGGAAAUAUUCUCAAGUUGAACAAAAUGUUUGUAUAAUGAAUUAAUGAAAUCAAAUGCUAAAAACAAUGAAUUGAUAUGGAAAAUAAAAUGCUGUGGAAAAUUACAGAGAAAAUAAAGAGUAUUUCUAUUGUUGAAUGAAUAGGGCUGUAAUUAUUAAGGCGAAAUGUUCAUAUCAAAAUAAUGCCAUGGAAAAAUAUUGUCUAAUAAACUGCUAAGAGAGUCAGUACUGUAACUUGCCUCUUUCGAUAGCUAGAUCUUAAGCUAGAAAUCUAAGUUACUGUAUGUCUAUAGAACUUUGGAUUAAUAACUACAAUGAAUGUUCUUCUCUAUACAACUCACAACGUCUAUGUCUAGAGUGUUACGAAUAUUUUGUCGAGUAUUCGCUUGCAUCAAACGAUUCAAGAUCCAAUAUAUUUGAUCUUUUUAGAAUUAAAAAUAAAUCUAAGAACACAUCACACAAUCAAGUAUGUCUAGAGCUUGCAUACAUGUAUUUAAGAUAAACAUAAAUCGAAUAAAAUAAUGACAAAGGCAAUCUCAAUUCAUGGGCUUUAAAGAUGAUAACAUAUUCACCCAAAUAACUCCAACCUAGAAAAGAUUUAGCUCAUAAGUGGAAAGGUUAACAUCAAAAUAAAAUCAUUCAUCAACAUCCUCAAAUAAGUUUGAAUAAUAGAAAUAAGAAAAUAAAAGCAGAAAUGUAGGAAUUCUUGCCACACUCUAGCUUAUCUUUGAUCUUCAGAUUGUACGUGAAUCCAAGAUAGCUGUCUCUCUCCUUUUUCUUCACGUCUGUAUUUUGCUCUCUAAAGAUGCUACCUUUUCUUUCUUUGGAAUUAUCCACCAGCUUUUUUUGGAGAGAAAAUUGAUCCCUAAAUUGUCUCUAAUUCCUCUCUCCAAAAAAUCCUCCUCCCUUUUCUUUUCUUUUCUCAUCUUUUAUAGGGCAGGUCCCCCUCUUUCAGCACACAAUUUUCUUCCUCUUUUUCAGGUGGAUUUAUCUGGUACACGGAUAGCUAGCUAAGAGUUACGAAGACUGAGUGCUGUGUCAACAUUAUCCUGGAAUUGCCAUGACAUUUUUGUUGGCAAUCCAUCCAACGUUUUGCCAUUGUAAUAUUUCACUUCCUUUACUCUGUUCCUCCUUUUUAUCCUUUUCUUCAUCUUUUCUACACCUGCUGCAUACAAUAACCAAUUCUCUUUCUCCCAAUAGGAAAAGUAACAUAAAAUGACAUUCAAGGCAUAAUUCAACGUUAUUAUGCAAUGUUAUAAAAAUAACCUAAAAAUGAAAAUAUAUCUACUUAAGUACAUGCAGUUAAUCAAGUUUAGAGGCUUGAAAUAUAACUCUUUUCAAGAGUUAUGAACAAGCCACCACUGAUAUGCAUAUAUACUGCCAUUGCUUCCACCUUUCACAAAAUCCCACCCCAUGCUUGUGAUGUGGCAAUUUCACUUUUAACACAUAUGGAUCGCUUUUAGAAUUUUGCAUGUAAACAAGCUUUCAUAAACACAUAUCGCAUAAUAACCACUUUUAACAUGUUAAACAUGUUUUUUCACAUUAGAUGAUAGAUCUCGAUUUGUCAUAGACAUAUAUAUACAUAAGUCGCACAUGUUUAAAUCAUCACAUAUAUCACAAAAGCUAUACAUCGCAUAUCAUGAGGAUAAGAUCUAUGCAUACUUUAUAAUCAAAUCACAAUCACAUUAAUCAUCAAACAUUUUAUAGAAACACUCGGUUAGAGUCACUUACAUGGUGUUCAUCUUGAUAAGUUUUUCAACUCUUCAUGAUUAUUUAGUGUACUCAUGAUUUAUUAUUAUUGAAUUAUUAAUGUAAUAAAAUAACUAUAUCAUACAAAACAAACGGUAACGAUCCCACACCUUAUAUUGUAGAUCCGAUUGCCACAAGCUUAUUAACAAUUUCACUUGAUCAAUCUUACAAGAUAAUCUAACACAUAAGUAACGUUUAUUAAUUAGAAUCCUUUGAAAAUAUUUUACCACUUAAAAGAUUCGAUUACUGAUAGUCUCAACAACACUUACCCCAUGAUCUAAGACUCUCGAAAGGAGGGUUUCCAAUGCGAAGUUAGGGGUCUCCCCUAUGAAUAUCGUUUAUCCCUUCAAAGUUGAUAUGAAAUUGUAUUAGUAAGAUAAUAAAUUAAUAAUAAAAUAUUAUGUUGUUCUUGUGGCAUUAUACCAUUCGACCAUGACAAGAAAUUACUAAAAGAAAGAUUUUACGAUCAAAAUAACCCACACUUACACUUAAAUAAAUCAGAUUGGACGAUGAGUCAAAAAAGGAAUGAAGUCGAUGAAUUGAGUGAUCUAAAAGGAUUGAUAGAGUAAAGAGAAUAUGAGUUUUUAAUCAUUUAUAAGAAGCAACGAGUGAAAGAGGAAGAGAAAUUAAGAAUUUUGUUCACUGAUGGCAGCGAUGAUGACGGCAAUGGUGACGACUCAGCGGUGGUAGAGUGGCAGUCCAACGGUGAAAGGAAAUAGGGGUUUCAGUGCAAAAGAGGAUGAAUAAGAAAAAUAAAUAAGAAUGAAUGAGAAGAAAUAUAGGAAGAGAGGAAUAUGCAGUAGCUCAUAACGGCGGUCACGACAUUGAUCGGCGAUGGUGGAAAAAGAAAGAGAGGGAAAGGGCGGUGUUAUGGUGGCUAAAAGGUGUGACGAUAGUGGUGCUAUAGUUGGUUGUGGUGGAGGAAAAGGAAAGACUAAAAUAAAGUAGUGGUGAUUAUUUUGCAAGAGAAGAGAAAAUGGAUGAAAAAAAAGUGAAAAAGUGAAAGAAUGGAAGCAAUAGGUAGGUAGGGACGACAAAGGGUGGUGAAAGCUUGGUCAACUGUGACUAGGUUCAAUGAACCACAACAAAUAGACAAUAUUAAUGGGAUCAUGGAGGGAGAAAAGGGAUCAUGCUCCCUCAACUUAAGGUAAGUUUGACUCUAAUAGAGGAAAGAAAUCCUCCUAAUUAUAGUGGCUAUAGGGGUGGAUGGCAAGCAAUAAAACACAUGGAAAAAAUGUCUAAAAAAAUUAAAUGAAAGAGUGUGAACACUAGGACUUGAACCUUGGACCACUAUGAUAGUUAAGUAGUCAAUUUAACCACUAGACUACACAUUCCCUUAUUAUCAUUCUUGCGUACAUAUUAAUAAAAAUAUAUGAGAUGUGACAAAAGUUAUCCAAGAGGAUGACAAGUAUCAAUAGUUAGUGGAUAGACUCAACCAUGUCGAAUCUACUUCUACACAGUCUAUGCAUGGAAGAGACUUAUCUGCCAUAAUUCAGUGUAGCAAAUUAAACUAGUUUUCACACUUAAGGAGCUUGAAUACAAGUAUUUCUAUUAAAUUUUAAGUAAGUUUCUUUAGUUUUACUUAUAUCUAAUAAAAUGUGUGAAUUAAGUCUUUUAUUGACCUUAAAGGCCAAAAGAGGCCUAAGGGAGAGCUAACAUACUUCGUGAGUGUACAAGAGACCAUUAGAAGGCAUUUUAAGCUCAUACUAGAUGCUAUGUCACAACACGGGAGGCUCAAUGUCGUAAUAUGGAGAGCAGAAUAGAGAAAGUAUGAAACUGCCUUUGAUGUCACGACAAAGGUCCUGGUGUGUUGCGACAUCGACUCUAGGAUAGAAAUUAUACACAAAGCAGGGAUGUUUUGAUCCACACAAGUGAACUUGAAGCUCGAGAACAUAAGCUGACCUACGGUUAAGGAUGAGGACCAUCUGAAGGUUCUAAAUAGACUCCUUGAGCACAUGGCAUGUGCACCUUUCCAUUAACCUAGUUUCUUUCUUUAGACUUGGUUUUGUUUUCUUUCUUUCUUAGGUUUCCUAGAGUUUAGUUUAUUUUGUAGUUGUUUUCUUUCAAGAGAUCUGAUUUGUGAAGAUGACCAAAUUCUGUGGAUUUGUGUUAUUAUUUAUAUCAAUAGGCUUUUCUUAAACUCUCCACUUUGACUUAUUCACCAUGUUUUAUUCUUCCAUCUAUUCCAUAUUGUUUAUGAAAUCCAUGAGGAACUAAUCCUUAUUAUCUAGUAAUUGUUUUGUAGGGUUACACCAUAGAUCAGUUGUUUAGGAAAGGAGGAGCAUGAAACAAACCCUAAGCUUGACAACCCUGAGAAGUCAUCAAUAUGGGAAUUAACCCAAAAUUGGAAUUGCCCAUCUGUGAACACCGUCACCUUAAGCCAGUUUGGACGGUGAGGUUGAAAGAUAAGUAGUCCUUGCUAACUCGUAAUGUUAGUGGAAGAUUGAAAGAUCCUUUUAGGGUAGGGACUAGUUGGUUGACGAGGAACCCGAAAUGUUAGUUGAUAUUGUCGAAGCAAGCUAAUCACCCAUCAAACCUCUUAUUUACAUUUACGUACUAUAACUUAAUUAAAGUAUUAAUUAGAUAUUUUAGUGUGUAGGUUAAAAUUGAUCCAGUCUUCACCUCCCUUGGGUACGAUUCUCAGAGUACUCACCCACUUCAUUGUAAAAUUAGUCUAGUUUUCCCCAAAAUGGUAAUGACUACCUUGUAAUUUUAUAUUUUAUUACAAUAUUCACACAUUAGACGUUAGUACGUUUAGAGGCAGUUAGAGAAAAACCACUCUUCCACUAUCUCAACAACCCUACUGAGGAUGUAAAUUACAUUGGAAAUAGGGGUGGAAACCCUUAUUUGAAUACGUAUAAUCUCGAUUGGAGAGAUCACCCGUAUCUGAGAUGGGGAGGAAACAAAGGAGGAGGUAAUAGUUCAAAUCAAGUUAGAAAUACUAAUUACCAACCUCCUUACUUGCAAAAAACCCAGGAUAGGGCCAACUUGAGUGACAAUACUGUAUGUGGUCAACUUUUGGAUAGAAUAGAAUGAAGGAUGUCCAUGAGAGUGGACGUCAAACAGGUGCAGUUUGAGUGCAUCAACUCAACUAGAACUUUGACAAAGCUCAAGGAUUAGAUUAGCCAAUUUAUGAGUAUGAUGGGGGACAUCAAAAGAGAAAUUGGCAAGGGUAUUCCUAGCAACAUGGGGGAUAACCCACGGAGAGAAGGUAGAGAGCAUGUAAAAGUAAUAUCGCUCCAAUCGGGUGAAGUACUACAUAGCCCAGAAAUACCUACUCUAGAGGUAUGUGUGAAAAAUAUUGACGAUCCUAAAGAUAAAUCUCUCGAGGUAAAAAAUGAAUCUAAAUUUGAGGAAAAAAUUACACUAGUGGCAGAGAUAGAAAAUUGAACACCUAAAGAUGCCACAAUCACAAAGAUCCCAUUCCCUUCGAGACUUGAAAAACUAAAGCGGGAUGAGGAUGAGAAUGGAUUUGUAAGCUUUUUAUUUAAGACAUUACAUGUUAACCUACCUUUAAUUGAAUUGAUUGAGAAAGUCCCUAAGUAUGACAAGUUUUUGAAGGAGAUGAUGUCUAGGCGUAAGAAAAUUAAGGUACAACAAACUAGUCUAAGUGCUUCCUGUAGUGUGAUUAUUUCAAGAUAGGUCCCUCGAAAACUAAAACACCUGAGGAGUUUUACUAUUCUGAUAAAGAUAGGGAGCAUUCAUUUUAAUAAAGCUUUAUCUGAUUUUGGAGCUAGUAUUAAUUUAGUGCCUUUAUCAAUUUUUGACAAACUCGGGUUAGGGGAUCUUAAAACAACUCAAAUAGCAUUACAAUUGGCUGAUAGAUCUUCAGUACAUCCAAAGGGAGUACUAGAAGAUGUGGUAGGGUGUAAAGUUUUAUUAUUCUUGCAGAUUUCGUAGUACUUGAUUUUGAGGAAGAUUGUGAGAUACCGAUCUUACUAGGAAGACCUUUCUUGGCUACUUCUAGAUCCACCACUGAUUUAAAGAAAAAUGAAUUAACUAUGAGAAUCAAUGAGGAGACUGAAACUUUUAAAUGUGGCCACCAGCUGAGCGAGGAAGAUAGGAGGAAAUUAGGGGAGCAUUGCAAAAAUUUAUGUAUCUUUAACAUUCCCAAGUCAAAGGAAACACUUCCUUUUAUGAAUGUAGAAAGAAUAAACAGAUUCAAAGAACGAGACAAGCAAGCAAAGGUGGAAUUGCACGACGUACAGUGGAUUAAUACUGAUAGAAUAAAGAAAUCGUCCAUGGGUGAAUUGACAAUACUUCUAGAUGGAUCUAACAAUAUCACUUAAAAUAUGAGAAUUGCUGCGUGAUAUUUGUAAAUUACUGUAUAUUUAACUAAUCACCUAGUUUAGAUUUUAACUUUUAUUUGAUGUAGGUUGAUCUUUAAAGAGAAACAUCCUUAAAGUUGGAGUUUUAAGCUGAAACAGAGUCAGUGUCACGAUAUCGCCCCAACAAGUCGUGACAUAGCAGAUAGUUUCCUUCAGACUUCUAAAUUGUUAGGCAUGUCACGACACAGAACCCGUGUGUCACGACAUCGUUGUAAUUUUCUGCAAGGUCAACUCGACCUAAUCGUGCAACCUAGUGGUUUGUCCCUUAAUUUACCCGAUUUUAACACAUUAAAUCAUUUAUUUUCUAACCUAAAACACCUUAAAUCUAUUACUAAACCUGGACUAACCUUUCUUAGAUUCAUAUUUUGAAAACACCCUCUUAAAAUUGUAAACCCUAAACCCCCAAUCUCUCAAAUAUUUUUCUUCUUCAACAAAACCUACAAUCAUCAUUAGAGCAACAAGGAACGGGAAUACCAUGUGAAAACAAGAAAUCCAAAUGACCUCCAAGCAUAUAACUAUUAAAAAUAGGUGUACCUCUGUCAUUCACUGAGCAAUCAAUAAAACCUUCUUGAACUAUUAUCGGUGACAACUUGUUCCAACAUUAAGUAGAGCUGCGAGCCAAACAAAUAAAGGAUUGGAGUAAGCGACAAUAAGAAGCGAGGGAUACAUCAGCGUUGUCACAAAGGUUGACAUGAGCUCAACAAGACAUCGAAGAAAGUAGUCAUGUAACACCCCUUACUCGUGUUCCUUGCCGAAACAGAGUAUGAGGUAUUACUAGAACUCAAACACUUAUAGAUUUUAUUUUAUUUUUUUUUGAAUCUUUACCAAAAUUUCGGCAGUAUUUCUGCUUAUUUUUACAUAAAACCCUCUGCAACUUUCCAAAAACAAUUUCAACCACUUCAUAUAAUCCAACCAAAAACAGAUGUAUGAUCAAACACAAUUUAUUUAAUAAUGAACACCAAUAUUUUAAACCGAAACACAUAUAUUUGUUUACGCCACAAUACAUAGAGUCGUCUAUACAUGCCAUGUUUCCCAAAAUAUGAGUUGCAAAAUACCCCAAGCGUUGAUGAUAGUGUGGAUGAUUAUCUGACUCCGCCCAAUUUUUGAGUUAAUUGAUGUCACUAUAACCAAGGGGGAAAAAAAACGAGUAAGCAUAUAGCUUAGUAAGUAAACAUAUGAUAGAUAAAUAAAUUCUCACAUGAUUACACCAUAGUAUAAUUUUAAUCACAAAUAAAUUUCAUAAUUUGUUCAAUUUCCAGCAAGCUAUUUUUCUGUGUCAUAGUCACUAAUUUAUUUUUAUCUAGAGCUACAGGGCUCAAAAUUGAAUUCCGUAAAUUUUACCCAAAAUUAGGUUCAUAUAAAUUUCCACCAUAAAAUUUUCAGAAUUUUUUGUUCGGCCAAUAAGUACAGUUUAUUCUUUAAACCUUCCGCUGUUUCACUGCCCAACAGUCCUGACCUCUCAUUACUAAAAUUCACUUAACUCCCUGUAAAAAAUUCAAAAAAUCUUCUAGUUUGUUUCUAUUAAAAAUAGACUCAUUUAGUAACCAAUUCAUAUAAAUUUCAAGCCAUAAUUAUUUUUUUACAAUUUUUGGUGAUUUUCCAAAGUUCGAACAGGGGAUUUCGAAAUCAAUCCAUCCCUGUCUCAAAUAAAUUCAAAUAUCCCCAAAUAUACAACUCUUUUGUUUUCUAUGUUUAUUUCAUAUGAAAAUAGACUCACUAAGAUUUAAUUUCAUAUAUUAUUCAACCUCCAAUUCAUUUUCCACCAUUUAUGGUGAUUUUUCAAAGUUGUCCAACUGCUGUUGUUCAAAACAGUUUUACAUUUAAAUUGUUUCUUUUGUACUUUUGAUAUUUCCUCUCAUCUUAUACAUGGGUUGAUUAAGUAUCAAACCCAAUAUUCCUCCCAUAAACUUUUCCACCAUAUAUAAAUAUUCACCUUCCCAAUUUACUCGUUGAACACUCGAAAUGUUAACCGUUAUCAGUGGAUUCAGCACUUAGCAACCACCAAUGAGUCGGGGAAUUAGCACUUAGCAACCCCUUUCACAUUUAAGAUACAGUGGGUUCAGCACUUAGCAACCACCAAUGAUUCGGGGAAUCAGCACUUAGCAACCCCUCGGGGGAAUCAGCACAUAGCAACCCCUUCACAUUUAAGAUACGGUGGAAUCAGCACUUAGCAACCACCAAUCAGUCGGGGAAUCAGCACUUAGCAACCCCUUGGGGGAAUCAGCACUUAGCAACCCCCUUCACAUUUAAAAUACGGUGAAAUCAGCACUUAGCAACCACCAAUGAAUAGGGGAAUCAGCACUUAGCAACCCCUUGGGGGAAUCAGCACUUAGCAACCCCCUUUUUAUUCAAUGUAAUCCAGCCUAUUCCGAGUGUUCAACCGGAAACCGUGUUUUUCACCACUUUACCACCCUUCCCCACUUAGCCACAUUUUUAGUAUCCUUGCCAAAUAUUUAUUCUAUGUUCAAAUAAAUCUCAACAAAUAUCAAUAAUAUCAAAAUAAUGCAUUAUUUCACAUGUUUACUUACCUCGGUGCAAAAUAUCGUAAUUUUGUAAUUUACUCCACUACUUUCUCUUUUCCCCGUUUGAGGUAGUCUUCUCAUCUUUCUUGAUCUAUAAUGGAAAAUUUAGCUCAUUUAAUGAUCACAUUUAUUAAAAUAAUCCUCCACCCAACUUUUUGAAAAAUUAUAAUUUUUCCCCCAAACUUUUGCAUAUUUACAUUUUCAUCCCUAAGCUCGGAAAUUAAACUUCAUCUCUUAUUCUUAUGUUUUAUGACAUGCUGAACAUUUUUCCCUUCUAUGACAACAUCAAAUUCUCACUCUAACACACACUUUUGAACAUUAGGUAUUUUUAUCGAUUUUGUCUAUUUACCCGUUUUCGUUUAAAAUCGCUUAGCAAAAGUUGUUUAACAUAAUUUCUAGCUUCAUAUUCCACCAUAAAACAGCAAAAUAAACACAUUUCACCUAUGGGUAUUUUUCCAAAUAUGAACCCUAGCACGAAUUAUUGCUAGAAUAAGCUAAAUUAAGCUACCGAGACUCUAAAAAUGUAAAGAACAUUAAAAACGGGGCUUGGGAUCACUUACUAUGGAGCUUGGAAGCUUGAAAACCCUAACUAUGGCUUCCCCCUUGCUGAUUUCGUUCAACAUGAAGAAGAUGAGCAUAUUUUGCCAUCUUUUUCCCAUUUAAUUCUAUUUAAUUACCAAAUGACUAAAAUGCCCUUACUUAAAAAAAUUCUAUUUCACUAAUCCUAUGCCCAUUUUUGUCCAUCAACUAACUAAUGGUCUAAUUACCACAUAAAGACCUCCAAUUUAAAAUUUCAUAACAAUUAGAUACCUCUAAGAUGUAGAACUCAACUUUUGCACUCUUUAGAAUUUAGUCCUUUUGACUAAGUUGAGUGCCCAAACGUCGAAAUUUUCGAACGAAAUUUUUACGAAAAUUUUCCGUGAAAUUGUAGACCAUGAAAAUAUAAUAAUAACCAUAUUUUCCCUCGUCGGAUUUGUGGUCCCGAAACCAUUGUUCCGACUAGGCCCAGAGUCGGGCUGUUACAAUUCUCCCCCCUUAGGGAUUUUCAUCCCCUAAAAUCUUACCAGAAAAGAGGUUUGGGUACUGUUUCCUCAUAACUUCCUCCGGUUGCCACGUAGCCUCUUCCAUUCCAUGUUUUUGCCACAACACUUUCACUAAGGCUACACUUUUAUUCCUUAACUGUUUGACUUCUCGAGCCAGAAUCUUUAUCGGUUCCUCCUCAUAAGUCAUAUCCGGUCGAACUUCAAUCUCUGUAGGAGAAACUAUAUGUGAAGGAUCCGAACGAUAACGUCGCAACAUCGAUACAUGAAAUACAUUAUGUAUCCUUUCCAACUCUGCCGGUAAAGCUAACCGAUAAGCUCCAGGUCCAAUUCUUUCAAUAACUUCAUACGGUGCCAUUCGUAUACUUGACUGAUAGCUGUUGUUAUAAGCAAAUUCAACCAAUAGUAGAUAUUGUUCCCAACUGCCUUCAAUUCUAAAAUACAACACCGGAGCAUGUCUUCAAGAACUUGAAUUACUCUUUCUGAUUGCCCGUCAGUUUGCGGAUGGAACGCAGUACUAAAGUUCAAUUUUGUACCCAAGGCUUCCUACAAUUUUAUCCAAAACCUCGAUGUAAACCUCGGAUCUCUAUCCGAUAUAAUAGAUUUAGGCACCCCAUGUAAUAUCACUAUUUCAGCAACAUAUAACUCCGCCAACCUGUCAAGUGAGUAAUCAAUGCGUACUGGAAUGAAAUGGGCUGACUUUGUCUGUAUAUCAACAAUUACCCAAAUAGCAUCUUUCUUCUUUGAAGUUAAAGGCAAUCCUGUCACAAAAUCCAUCGUGAUACUGUCCCACUUCCACUCUGGGAUCAUUACCGGCUGAAGUAAACCCGAUGGUACUUGAUGCUUAGCUUUCACUUGUUGACAAAUUAAACACUUUGAUACAAAUUCCGAGAUAUCCUUUUUCAUGCCCGGCCACCAAUACAAUUUCCUCAAAUCAUUAUACAUUUUCACACUACCUGGGUGAACUGACAAAUUACCACUAUGUGCCUCACAUAAAAUGGUCUGAAUUAACUCAUCAUUUCUCGGUAUACAUACUCUAUCCCGGAACAUCAGGCAAUCAUCUGAACCAAUUUGAAAAUCUGAGUCAACACCUGCUUCACACUGAGCUCUCCUGGCUUGCAAUUUACUGUCAUUCUUUUGAGCUUCCUGAAUUUGUUGAAGAAAUAACGGUCUAGCUCUCAUUUCAGCCAAAAUUGAACCAUCAUCCGAUAAAGUUAAUCUCGUACUCAUAGCUCUCAAAGCAAAUAAAGAUUUUCUGCUCAAGGCAUCAGCAACCACAUUAGCUUUCCCGGGGUGAUAAUCAAUCACUAAUUCAUAGUCUUUAAUUAGUUCGAGCCAUCUUCGUUGCCGCAAAUUCAAGUCUUUUUGACUCAUUAAAUACUUCAAGCUCUUAUGAUCAGUGAAGAUUCGACACUUUUCACCAUACAAAUAAUGACGCCAAAAUUUUAAAGCAAAAACAAUGGCAGCCAAUUCUAAAUCAUGCGUCAGAUAAUUCUUCUCGUGCGGUUUCAGCUGUCUUGAAGCAUAAGCUAUUACUUUGCCCUUUUGCAUUAACACACACCUAAGACCAUUCAACGAUGCAUCACUGUAAAUUACAAACUCCUUCCCUGACUCAGGUUGCACCAACACUGGCGCCUCAGUCAACAAUGCCUUCAAUUUCUCAAAACUUUGCUGACAUUUAUCAGUCCAUUCAAAGUUGACAUUCUUCUGUAGUAACUUAGUCAUAAGAGAAGCAAUUAUCGAGAAUCCCUUGACAAACCGUCUGUAAUAGCCGGCUAAGCCCAGAAAACUUCUAACCUCGGUCACAUUCUUUGGUGGCUCCCAAUCAACAAUUGCUGAAAUUUUGCUUGGAUCAACCAGAAUACCUUCACUUGAAACUAUAUGUCCCAAGAAUCCAACUUCGCGAAGCCAAAACUCACUUUUACUGAAUUUAGCAUAUAAUUUCUUCUCCCUCAAAAUCUGCAACACAGUUCUCAAAUGUUCUACAUGCUCGGAUUCAUCCCGUGAAUAAAUUAAAAUAUCAUCUAUGAACACUACCACAAAUUUAUCCAGAUACGGCCGAAAAAUUCGGUUCAUUAAAUCCAUAAAAAUAGCCGGAGCAUUAGUCAACCCAAAAGGCAUUACCAGAAAUUCAUAGUGUCCAUACCUCGUUCUAAAAGCGGUUUUUUGCACAUCGGACUCUUUAACUCUCAACUGAUAGUAACCAGACCUCAGAUCGAUCUUUGAAAACACUGUUGCCCCUUUUAGUUGGUCAAACAAAUCAACUUCUCUAAUCGGAGGUAACCCAGACAGCUCCUCUAGAAAUACGUCUGGAAAUUCACAAACUACCGACACUGAUUCAAGCUUCGACCUAGUUAUACCAGUAUUCAACACAUAAGAAAUAUAGGCUUCACAUCCUUUUCUCAAGUAUUUCUGAGCAGACAUGUGCAAAAUCACCAUAGGCAAUUUAUUCGACUCCUCUACUUCAACCCGGAGAAUUUCACCAUUUUCACAUUUUAAUUCUAGAAUUUUCUGUCUACAAUUUACCUUGGCAUCAUGCAAUCUCAACCAAUCCAUCCCCAAAAUAACAUCAAACUCAUCAAAUGGUAACAACAUCAAAUUAGCCGGGAAACAGUGACUUCGAAUCAUCAAAGGACAAUUCUUGCAAAUCUUAUCGACUAAGACAUACUUGCCUAAAGGAUUUGAUACUUUAACUACAAAUUCAGUAUUUUCAAUGGGCAAUUUCUUACUAGAUACCAAAUUUACACAUACAUAUGAAUGAGUAGAACCAGGGUCAAUCAAAGCAACAACAUCAAUAUCAUGAAGAGAAAAUGUACCAGUAAUCACGUCGGGAGAUGAUGCAUCCUCACGAGCACGUAUGGCAUAAGUUCUGGCAGGCGCUCUAGUUUCUGAUCUCCUAGCUGUAUCUUUUACUACACUUUUACCACUGGCUUUGCUCCCAACAUUCCUCGGUGGUCUACCUCUACUAACAAUAUCACCCGAUCCAGCUCUUUGUAAUAUUUCUUCCUCUAUUCUCUCAGGGCAAUCUUUUAUAUAGUGCUCUUGAGAACCACAUCUGAAGCAAGCUCGUUUAAAUCCCCAACACUCACCAGGAUGUCGCCUGCCAGACUGUUGACACUCAGGUCUGGUAUUCCCCACACUGCCCGCACUGGCCACUGAGGUAGCUUGAGUUUUAGCUCCAGAAUAUGGUUUCCAUCGAUCUCUACGUGAAUACCCAGAUAAACCAGUUGGUCGUGGAUCCAUCCCUUUAAACUUCUUCGGUUUAGAUUCAAAGGUCCUGCUCAUUGACCUUUUUCUUACAUCUCGAGCUUCCAUCUCCGCUCUUCUCUUUUCUUUACUCAGUUCUUCAGCCUUAUAGGCUCGAUCAACCAAUACUACAAAUUCUUUUAACUCUAAAACCCCAACAUGCAAUCUGAUAUAUUCGUUUAACCCCUCUUCGAAUCUUUUACACAUAAUAGCCUCUGUGGGCACACAUUCCUGGGCAUAUUUGCUGAGCCUAACAAACUCCCGUUCAUAUUCUGCCACUGACCUUCGGCCCUAUUUCAAUUCGAGAAACUCCUUGCGUUUCUGAUCAAUAAACCGUUGGCUUAUAUAUUUCUUCCUGAAUUCCUCCUGGAAGAAGUCCCAAGUAACUCUUUCUUUCGGAACCACCGAUAUUAAUGUUUUCCACCAACGGUAUGCUGAAUGCUUCAGUAAAGACACAGCAGAUUUCAAACAUUCCUCAGGAGUACAGGAUAAUUCAUCAAAUACCCGGAUAGUAUUUUCAAGCCAAAACUCUACUUUUUCCGGAUCAUCGUCAACAUUAGCCCUGAAAUCUUCAGCCCCAUGCUUUUGAAUUCUGUCAACUGGUGGUUUACUUGAUCUUACCAACCCAACACUUUGUGGAGCUACGGGGACGGUUGAGGAAUAGGAGGGGGUGGAGGAGGUGGAACAUUCGGAUUUGCACGAACAUAUUGUGUAUACCAAUCAGUAAUCAUCCGAAGGAAGGCUUCCCGAGCCUCAUCCUGGCUAUGUAUCUCAUGUCUACUCUCUUCACGCGCGGUCCCUUGUGCGGGAGCCGGCGCGUUACUUUCAACAUCAUCUGUCAUACUUCGGUCAGGAUCCAUUUACUAUAUAAAACAAAAUUUUAAAUUGUCAGAAAUCAUCACACUAUCACAAUAUAAUUAUGGCAUGUAUAGACUGACUUUCACACAUAUUUUAUUUGUCCGAGAACCGACUAAACCUGGCUCUGAUACCACUAAAAUGUAACACCCCUUACCCGUGUUCCUUGCCGAAACAGAGUAUGAGGUAUUACUAGAACUCAAACACUUAUAGAUUUUAUUUUAUUUUUUGAAUCUUUACCAAAAUUUCGGCAGUAUUUCUGCUUAUUUUUACAUAAAACCCCCUGCAACUUUCCAAAAACAAUUUCAACAACUUCAUAUAAUCCAACCAAAAACAGAUGUAUGAUCAAACACAAUUUAUUUAAUAAUGAACACCAAUAUUUUAAACCGAAACACAUAUAUAUUUGUUUACGCCACAAUACAUAGAGUCGUCUAUACAUGCCAUGUUUCCCAAAAUAUGAGUUGCAAAAUACCCCAAGCGUUGAUGAUAGUGUGGAUGAUUAUCUGACUCAACCCAAUUUCCGAGUUAAUUGAUGUCACUAUAACCAAGGGGAAAAUAAAAAAAAACGAGUAAGCAUAUAGCUUAGUAAGUAAACAUAUGAUAGAUAAAUAAAUUCUCACAUGAUUACACCAUAGUAUAAUUUUAAUCACAAAUAAAUUUCAUAAUUUGUUCAAUUUCCAGCAAGCUGUUUUUCUGUGUCAUAGUCACUAAUUUAUUUUUAAUUGGAGCUACAGGGCUCCAAAUUGAAUUCCGUAAAUUUUCCCCGAAACUAGGUUCAGAUAAAUUUCCACCAUAAAAUUUUCAGAAUUUUUUGUUUUUCCAAUCAGUAUAGUUUAUUCUUUAAACCUUCCGCUGUUUCACUGUAAAAAAUCAAACAAUCUUUUAGUUUGUUUCUAUUAAAAAUAGACUCAUUAAGGAACCAAUGCAUAUAAAUUUCAAGGCAUAAUUAUUUUUGUACAAUUUUUGGUGAUUUUCCAAAUUUGGAACAGGGGAUUUCGAAAUCAAUCCAGCCCUGUCUCAAAUAAAUUCAAAUAUCCCCAAAUAUACAACUCUUUUGUUUGCUCUGUUUAUUUCAUAUGAAAAUAGACUCACUCAGCUUUAAUUUAAUAUAUUAUUCAACCUCCAAUUCAAUUUCCACCAUUUAUGGUGAUUUUUCAAAGUUGCCCAACUGCUGUUGUUCAAAACAGUUUUAUAUUUAAAUUGUUUCUUUUGUACUUUUGAUAUUUCCUCCCAUCUUAUACAUGGGUUGAUUAAGUAUCAAACCCAAUAUUCCUCCCAUAAACUUGUCCACCACAUAUAAAUAUUCACCUUCCCAAUUUACUCGUUGAACACACGGAAUGUUAACCGUUAUCGGUGGAUUCAGCACUUAGCAACCACCAAUGAGUCAGGGAAUCAGCACUUAGCAACCCCUUUCACAUUUAAGAUACGGUGGGUUCAGCACUUAGCAACCACCAAUGAUUCGGGGAAUCAACACUUAGCAACCCCUCGGGGGAAUCAGCACAAGCAACCCCCUUCACAUUUAAGAUACGGUGGAAUCAGCACUUAGCAACCAUAAAUGAGUCGGGGAAUCAGCACUUAGUAACCCCUUGGGGGAAUCAGCACUUAGCAACCACCAAUGAAUAGGGGAAUCAGCACUUAGCAACCCCUUGGGGGAAUCAGCACUUAGCAACCCCCUUUUUAUUCAAUGUAAUCCGACCUAUUCCGAGUGUUCAACCGGAAACUGUGUUUUUCACCACUUUACCACCCUUCCCCACUUAGCCACAUUUUUAGUAUCCUUGCCAAAUAUUUAUUCUAUGUUCAAAUAAAUCUCAACACAUAUCAAAUAAUAUCAAAAUAAUGCAUUAUUUCACAUGUUUACUUACCUCGGUGCAAAAUAUUGUAAUUUUGCAAUUUACUAUACUACUUUCUCUUUUCCCCGUUUGAGGUAGUCUUCUCAUCUUUCUUGAUCUAUAAUGGCAAAUUUAGCUCAUUUAAUGAUCACACUUAUUAAAAUAAUCCUCCACCCAACUUUUUGAAAAAUUACAAUUUUUCCCCCAAACUUUUGCAUAUUUACAUUUUCAUCCCUAAGCUCGGAAAUUAAACUUCAUCUCUUAUUAUUAUGUUUUAUGACAUGCUGAACAUUUUUCCCUUCUAUGACAACAUCAAAUUCUCAGUCUAACACACACUUUUGAACAUUAGGUAUUUUUACCGAUUAUGUCUAUUUACCCGUUUUCGUUUAAAAUCACUUAGCAAAAGUUGUUUAACAUAAUUUCUAGCUUCAUAUUCCACCAUAAAACAGCAAAAUAAACACAUUUCACCUAUGAUUAUUUUUCCAAAUAUGAACCCUAGCACGAAUUAUUGCUAGAAUAAGCUAAAUUAAGCUACCGGGACUCCAAAAACGUAAAGAACAUUAAAUACGAGGCUUGGGAUCACUUACUAUGGAGCUUGGAAGCUUGAAAACCCUAACUAUGGCUUCCCCCUUGCUGAUUUCAUUCAACAUGAAGAAGAUGAGCAUAUUUUGCCAUCUUUUUCCCAUUUAAUUCUAUUUAAUUACCAAAUGACUAAAAUGCCCUUACUUAAAAAAAAUCUAUUUCACUAAUCCUAUGCCCAUUUUUGUCCAUCAACUAACUAAUGGUCUAAUUACCACAUAAAGACCUCCAAUUUAAAAUUUCAUAACAAUUAGAUACCUCUAAGAUGUAGAACUCAACUUUUGCAUUCUUUAGAAUUUAGUCCUUUUGACUAAAUUGAGUGCCCAGACGUCGAAAUUUUCAAACGAAAUUUUUACGAAAAUCUUUCGUGAAAUUGUAGACCAUAAAAAUAUAAUAAUAACCAUAUUUUCCCUCAUCAGAUUUGUGGUCCCGAAACCACUGUUCCGACUAGGCCCAGAGUCGGGCUGUUACAAGUCAUCCAAAGCUUGAUUGGAUGAUACAGUGUAUGUAAGAGUUAGGACCAUGAUUCUAAGAAUUUGUGAGGCAAAAUAACACUGGGUCCCAAAUUAUACACCUAACAUGUUUGGGCCAACAAGUAUUUGUUAGGGUAUGCCCAAAGAUCAAUCAUGAGAUGGUUGUAAUAACAUACUUGAUUUAUCAUGUUUAUUAAUAUAAGGUGUUACCAUUACUAUUUUAGUUUCUUUUUUGUGUGUAUAAAUAAACUGUUUUAUAAUAAUUUCCUGAGAAUAAUAUGAUUAUUUUUAAAAGGUCCUUAGUCAAGUAUUAUUGUUGGCUAGGACAAUAAUAAAGCAUUAGGACUAACAUGUAGUUGAUUGAUGAUAAAGAGUUGUCAUUGAUAUGGAAUGUCAAAAUCGAUGCAUGAAUAUGUGUGUUAGAGAACAACAUAUUGGACUGACCCGUUAUGAGUAAGUUUUUUGGAUUAUUAUUUAAUUGUCACAACAUUACUCAUAGUGAUUAAUAUAUAUAUAUAAUCCUCAGACUUGAGAUCAUCAUAAUCCCAACAUCAUGAGUUUUAUAUUUUGAUACAAUCAAACGUACACCGUAAUUGGUUGUUCUAUAAAGGCUGAUGUUGGAUAUACCACGAUCUGUGUAGAGGGAUAUGGUUGAUCGAUAUAGGAUAAGUCCCUCAUACAUAAUGGGAGCAAUAUCUUAGACCGCUUGAUUGAGUGAGACUAGAAAUGCAUGGCCAUGCUCAAAUAAGCUGAUAUGAGAUGUCAUACUUAUUUGUAUAUCAUAGUCUACUUAAGAUAUCAAGGAUCAUGGAAUGGACUAUGCAAGUGUGACUAUUCCAUGACUUGUGUCCAAUCCAGAGAUAAAGGACUUAAGGAUUAUUGCAUGAAAGGUUAAUCAUAAAAGGUUAUGUCGAGUCAUGAUUUCUUGUGACUUAGGUAGCAAUGAUGCAUUGCUAGGUGCCACUCAUUGUUUGUAACAUUGGAAUCAUUCUAGUGUUACUGCUAACGUUACAAGAACCUACAGGGUCACACCCUAUAGUUGAAAUGAACGGAAUAAAACAUAGUUGAUAUUGUGUUUGGUUGUCACUUGAAUUAAAUUAAUUCUAGAAUUAAUUUAAUUGGGUAAUCAAAUAUCGAAUACAUUAUAUGUACGAGGUUGUUGUACGCAUAAUGAGAACAUGAUUUUGGUUCGUAUAUAAAUUCAAAUAAAUAUAUAGUUUACUGAAAUCAUUAUUAUAAUUAAUGUAAUUAUAAUUUUCGAUUUAAAAACAUUUUUAUAUUUAUUUAAUUUCUAGAAACCCUAAAAAUAGAUAUAAAAUCUCAUUUUUCUUUGUUUGGGGGUCUAGCAACCGUCAAAGCAAAGUCUUCUCCAAAACAGUUUUGAGGAUUCCUUCCGUUCAUUGUCAACAGGGUGGAGUACGUAGAGGCCGGAGUCACGAUAGAUUAUGGCUUGGUUCGAUAGUAGAUCAGAUUACUCGUUCCCGAGGCGUCGUUGUCUACUCAAAAUAAAGAUUCGGUAAUUUUGAAACGUUUAUUUCACCCCAAUUCGUUCCUCACACAUGGAUCCAUGGUUAGGAUCGCCAGAUGUUUUAUUUUUCCACUGUGCCAUAAGGGUGCCGGCGUUCUAAUAGUAUCGAGCGAGGAGAUUGAACAUGAAAGUGAAGAGAGUGAAGAGGAUGAUAGGAGGGAGGUGAUGAAUUUUGAGGAAGGAGAUUGAACAUUUUCUGAAGACUUGUAUUAAUUUGUGGAGGUUUUUAAUUUGGACUUUGUAGGAGUAGGAUUAAUAAAUAGAUUUUUCAUUUUGUUGCACUUUGUUAAGUUUUCUAUGUAGGAACCCAACUCGAAGGAGACACAAACAAUUCAAGCUUCACAUAAUUAAAAGAGAAAGCACCCACCAUUAACCAUUAGAGCAAUCAUGAUCAAUCGGGUAACUUCUUUCCUUAACUUUUUAUGGGCUACACAUUGAGGACAAUGUGCCAACUAAAGUGUGGGGGGGUAACAUAGGGAGUUUGUUAUAAUUUUUUCUUUGAUUUUUCUUGUCUUUUGUGUGCUUGAGCUUGUAGAAAUACAAGUAAUUGGUUAUAAGCAUGUACAUACGUUGUUUGUGUUUAUGAAUAAAUUUUGCAUGAUGAUAGGUGAUUUUAAAUUUUUGAGUAUUAGACUACUAACUUCUAUAUGUCACACCGUAAUAGGCAUUAAGCAAUUGACUGUACCAAGUGAUAUAGAAAAUACAAGGAAAUGAGCAUGUUAGUACAAAUGAUAAAAGGUUGAAUUUGUAUUUGUUUGGUUGAUUAGAUUUGUGCAUAUUGAGAUAUUUAGGGAUGACGUAAGGCAUUUUUGGAACGCAUCUAGAGCCAAAAAGCUGACCUAUUUAUGUUCACCUUUAGUACCAAUGUUUGAACCUAUUGACACAUCUUGAUGACCUAAAAUAUCCUUAUAGAUGAAUGGACAUCAUAUUGAACAUAUGCAUAAAUGAUUAUUUGUAUUCUGCUCGGGUAAUCAAAGUACUUGUAUGAUCUGUUGAUAGAUUCCUAUAGAUGAGACGCUUAAUAAUUGUAUACUUUGUAACAUUUUGAACUUAGAUGUUAGUGGUCAAAAGUGGUAAGUCAACUACUCAUCAUGUUAAGAUUGUUUGUAAAUAUGAAAUGCAUAAGUCAUAUGCUCUUAAGUCAAUACUUGUAUCAUAUUUGCUCAAGGGUCAUCAUUUUAUUGUUUUCGUUUAUGUUGGUUGAGGACAAGCAAUGACUUAAGUGUGGGGGAGUUUGAUUUGUCAUAAUUCGGUGUAGCAGAUUAAACUAGUUUUCGCACUUAAGGAGCUUGAAUACAACCAUUUCGGUUAUAUUUUAGUUAAGUUCCUUUAGUUUUACUUAUAUAUAAUAAAAUGUGCGAAUUGAGUCCUUUAUUGACCUUAAGGGCCGAAUGAGGCCUAAGGGAGAGCUAACAUAUUUCGUGAGUGUGCAGGAGACCAUUAGAAGGCAUUUUAGGCCUAUAUUGAAUGCUAUGUCGCAACACAAGAGGGCCGAAGUCGCAACAUAAAGAGCAGAGUUAAGAAAGUAUGAAAUUACUUCUGAUGUUGCGACACUAACUAAGGGUGUCAUGACAUACCCUUGAAGACAUCCUAAGGAGGAGCAUAUUGACUUCUAUGUCACGACAUAGGUUCUGUUGUGUCGCGAAAUCGAAUCUAGGAUGGAAAAUAAAUGCGAAGCAGGGGCAUUUUGGUCUACACAGUCAAAAUUAAAGCUUGGCAACGUUAGCUGACCAAGGGUUAAGGACGACGUCCACCUAAAGGCUAUAAAUAGGCUCAUUUGGCACAUGUUAUAGACACCAUUCCAUUAGCUUAGAUUAUUUCUUUAGACUUAGUUUCAUUUUCUUUCUUUCUUAGGUUUUUCAGAGUUUAGUUUUUUUGUUUGUUUCUUUUCUUCGGAAGAUCUGAUUUGUAAAGACGAUCAACUUCUAGGUAUUUGAGUUAUUAUUUAUAUAAAUCAAGAUUUUCUUAAACUCUACAGUUUAAUUCAUUCACCAUGUUUUAUUCUCCCAUCUAUUCCAUGUUGUUUAUGAAAGCCAUUAGGAACUAAUCCUUCUAAUGGGGAUUAGCGAGUGGAGGCAUGAUCUAUUUUAGAAAGGAAGAGCUUGAAACAAACCCUAGGCCUGAUAACCUUUGGAAGUCAUCAAGGUGAAAAUUAAUCCAAAAUUGGUAUUUCCCAUCCAUGAACACCUUCACCCCAAGCUAGUUUGGACUGUGAGGUCAGAAGAUAAGUAGUCAUUGUUGACUCCUUAUGUAAUGGAAGAUUGAAAGAUCCUGCUAGGGUAGCGUGGCUAGUUGGUUAACGAGGAGCCCAAAACGACAGUUGAUUGGGACUAUCGAGGCAAGCUUAUUACCCACCAUUAGAUUUGAUUCCUUUACUUUUUCUAUCUAUUGAAAUUUAGUUUUAUUUUAUGUUAUUUUACUUUUAUUAUUAGCAUUAUAAAAUCCCAAAAUUCUCUUAUUUAUAUUUCUGUACUAUAACUUGAUUAAAGUAUUAGUUAGAUCUUUUAUUGUGUAGGUUAAAAUUGAUCUAGCCUUAACCUCCGUUGGGUACGGUCCUCGGAGUACUCACCUACUUUGUAGGAACACUAUAUUACAACUUGACCCAUCUACUUGCGGAUACUACCCUAUCAUUUUAUAUUUUAUUGCAGUAUUCACACUCUGAAUGUUGCUACGUUCGGAGGCGGUCAAUCAUCUUCUGAUGAAAUAAAGGUGACAAUAGUGGAAGCUACAGUGCCCACUUUCACUGCCACUACCACAACCGGGCAUAGAAUAACAUGCUUUGUAGUAAAAAAAAAGAAGGCACCUAUUCAGUUAAAGGCUUCUAAAAAAAAGAAGAUCAUUUAAGAGAGUUUAUCUAAAGCAUCCUCUGAUUUUUCUGAGGAAAUAGAAACUGAUUCAAAUCCAAGCUUUGCUCAAUUUCGAUUAGACUAUGGACUACUUAGAUUAUAUACUAAUAUAAGUUGUCUUCUCCAAUUAUGAUCGGACCACAUAAUGCACUAAUAUGAGUUAAACAUUAUAUAAUUAUUAAACUAAGUUUUUUUGAUAAUAUGUUUAGAUAUAACAAAUUAAAGUAUUUUUGAAUAAAAGUUAAAGUUGAACAAAAUUGGACAAAAUUAUUAAACUAAGCUUCAUUUGAUAAUAUGUUUUGAUAUAACAAAUUAUAAUGUUUUUGCAUAAAAGUUAAAGUUGAAAAAAAUUGGGCAAAAUUGUUAAACUAAGCUUUAUUUGAUAAUAUGUUUUGAUAUAACAAAUUAAAAUAUUUUUGAGAAAAGUUAAAGUUGAACAAAAUUAGAUAAAAUUGAUAAAAUCAAGUAAAAUUGUUUUUAAACUAGUUAGUAUUGCUCUAGGUCAAAAAGUAUAUUUUUUGGCCAAGUAUCAAUAGUUUCCAAAAUAUCGAUACCCAUUGUAAUAUCGAUACCCAAUUGACAUUCUAUUUUCAAUGAUUUACAAAAUGUGUCGAUACCUUUCCAAAAUGUGUCGAUACCUUUUAUCAGGUAUUGAUAAUUUUUCUUUUGUAUCGUUGUAAACUAAUUUCAAUGGUUAUUGAAUCAGACAUUAAAUGCUAAUAGUAUCAAUACUCAGAGAGGAAGACGUUUUGUUGCAAGUGAUUUUAAUGAUAUGGUAUUUUCAUCCCUAACGGCUCUAUUAACUUUCACAACAACCCCAACAGUUGGAAAUGUAUUAGAGGGUAUAAAUAUCAUGUUCAACAGGUCCUACAAUAAGGAGAGAGAUCAUAAAGCUUAAAGAAUAAUGAAAACAAUCUUAAUGCUUAAUUCUUUCAUAUUCUUCUUAUAAACACUUGUGAGCUUUCAUUGUAUUCAUUCAGCUCAAGUGUUAUUCUUUGUAUUUGUGCUUCAUUGGCAAACACAUCAUUUUUGUAAGGAUUACUUCUUAGUUUUCUAUCUAUUAUUCUUUUUGAGAGGGGUGAGUCUUAAGGUUUGGGUGCAUAUUUGCUUAAAUUUUUUUUUGCAUGCAAAAACCAUUGAGGAUACAUACAAAUGAUAUUAAUGUAUAAUGAAAUUUUGUUUAAACCAAUUUGUUCAAAGAAUUACAAAAAAUUGAUGAAUAUACUACACUUAUGGCACAAGAUUCUAACAUUUAGUGCCAAUAGUAAUUCAUGCAAUCUAUUUCUCAUACGUCAUCUACAUCCAUUCAUGUAACACCCCUUAUCCGAUCCUGUCACUAGACCCGAGUUACAGGAUGCUACCAUAGUUACCGGAACAAUUAUUAACAAUCAAGUCAAAUUCGUAUUAAUUAUAAGUAUAACAAUAGUUUCAAACAACUCUAAGAUAAAAUCGAUCUAUCAAUCAUAAUUUAUUUUAUUCUAGAAUGAAUAAGGACCAAUCUACAAAAAUUUCAAAACUUUAGGUUUGGUAUCGAUACUAAGGAAAUAAGUAUCGAUAUUUUUGUAGUAGGUAUCGAUACAAAAUCAUUAUCAAUACCAUUUUGGCAUUCUACAAAUUUUAGGUACCGAUACAUUUUGGUAGGUAUCGAUACAAAAUUUUCGUUCUGUUAGUUUUGAAAAUUGUUCAUUUGCUAAGGCACCGAUACCUUGGUCCAUGGUUUUGAUACUUUUACCUAGAUGAUUAACAAUCAUAAGUUUGAAAUCUUAUUUCAAGCUCAAGUCUAAUACUUCAUCAAGAGAUUAUUUAGAUACAUUUAGUGCCUUCAUCAAACUUGUUUCAAAUAAUUCCAGAUAUGACCAGUCAAUCAUGAUUUGCUAACUAGCACACCUAUUUUCAACUGGUACCUAAAUAAAAAACUAACAAUGCACAUCAAUCAUUCAUGAAGGUACAAAAUGUUUACUUUCAUCCUUCAUGAACAAUCCUUGUCACAUAAGCCAUAUUACCAACUUUCAAAUAAUACAUGCCUUAUUCAAGUUUAGCUACUUACCAUGCCAUAUACAUAUACAUAUACAUAUAAUCCAUACCAUCUUCAAACCAUCAUUCAUUCUUUGCUCAAACUCAUGAACACACUUUGCACACACACAUAUAAUUUUAGUACUUUACUGAUAUCAUGUAAACAUUCAAAACAACAUCAUAAACAUGGAUCCUUUCAUCACUAUCCAAAUUAAACAUUUAAACACCUUUAAACCUAGGCACAUGCCACAUAACCAGUUCAAGAAAGAUUCAAAAUUUCACCGAAUCUGAAGUUUGAUAGUGUGAGCAUUGGAGUGAUCCUAAUGACUUCGUUCCGCAUAAAUGCCAACUACAAAUAGAAAAAAAUGAACAGAGUAAGCAUUACAAAUGCUUAGUAAGUUCAUAGGAACUUAAAUAGUAAACUCACCUUAUUCGCUAUUAAAAUAAUGACCCAAUUAGGAUCACUCUAAUGCUCACACUAUCCAUAUACUCGAAAUUUGCAUAGAUUAUAAGUAAAAAGGUGCUAAAAAAACCUAUAUAUUUUAGACGUGCAAAAUAAACACCACCCUUUCUUUUAAUCUUUUCUCCUUUCCUCCACUGUGACCAAACCCUCCACUAUCGUUCACCACACCUCGUGGCUGUCGCACCUCAUUUCCAUCUCUUUUUCUCCUCCCAUCGUCGCCAUAAUUACCGUUGCCUGCCACCGCAAGUCUCAUUUCUUCUCUCCCGUUACGUUGAAACCCCAUAGCCCUCGUUCGUCAGACCACCACUCCACCAUCGCUGGACCACUAUCGAGUCGCCACCAUCAGACCAUCAUCACUGCCGUCACGUUCGUCACCAUCGGACCACUUCACCGCCACCGUCGAUCACUUGAUUCAUUGACUUCAUUCCUUUCUCGAUUCAUCGAUCAUUCCAUAUUGAAUCAACUUGACCAAACGAUAAUCAUAGGGGAGACCCCUAGUUUUGCAUUUGAAAUCAUCUUUUUGAGAGUCCAUAACCGUGGGAUUCAUCUUUUGAGUUAGAUCAAAGUGAGAUCGUUAUUAAGGAUUGUGGGAAAUAGGGUCUACGAUAUAACGUGUGGGGUCAUUACCAUUUUUUUGUGUGAUAUAGUUAUUUGUUACAUUAAUAAUUUAAUCAUAUUAAAACAUGAGUACACUAAAUAUUCAUGAAGAGUUGAAAAACUUAACAAGAUGAACACCAAGUAAGUGACUCUAACUGAGUGAUCCUGUAAAACGUAUGGUGAUUGAUAUGAUUAUGAUUGUGAUUAUGAUGUAUGUGUAAAUCUCAUCCUCAUGAUAUGUGAUGUAUGGCUUAUGUGAUAUAUGUGAUGCUUUAAGCAUGUGAGACUUAUAUAUGUGUAUGUGAAAAUUGAGAUACAUGAUCAAAUGUGAAAAACAUGUUUAACAUGUUAAAGUGAUUAUAAGUGAUCAAUAAGUGAUAUGCGAUUAUAAGAGCAUGUUAUAUGCCUAAGUGUAAAAGUGAAUAAAAUGUGUUAAAAAGUGAAAUUGCCAUAUGACAUGCAUGGGGUGGAGUUUUGUGAAAGGUGGAAGUUAUGUGGCAGUUUAUCUAUGAUUAUGUGGCCAUUAUCAAAAAAUAUGUGGUGGUUUGUCCAUAAUAUGUUAUUUGGCUAUUUAUCAGCAUUUAUGUGGUGGCUUGUCCAAAAAUGGUGUGUUAUUGGAUGGACGAGUUCUGAGGAAAUCGAUAUAUGGUGUGUAGCAGAGAUGGGUAGGAAAAUUUAUAAAAUGUGGAUCGUUUUUAAAGUAUGAAUCGACAUGUUCGUGCAUAAGUAUCAGUAUUAGAUUUUGUGAUUAUUAUGAUGAUUGAUAUGAUGAGAUCGAUAUUUUUAUAUGUACGUGAUUAUAUUUGUGUUGAUCUCAUAGUAGGCUUUUAAAGCUCAUCCCUUUUAAAUUUUGACUUUUCAGAUAAUAAUUGAUGUUAGGUUGGGCUCGACUAACGGAGGUGCUUUCGGUAAUUUUCAGAAAAAUAUAUUACUGUGGACUUUUGCUUGAGAUUUUCUUUUGGACUUUGAAUUUUUGUGAUUUUGGAUAUUUCUGCAUGAUUUAGGUUUUAAAAUUAUCAUUUAAAACAUUGUCAAAUUGACAAUUUAUGAUGAAAUUUUCAUAACUAAGUCAAACAAGGCCCAACAAGGGUGUUUUCAAAAUUUAAUACUUCGUUUUCGAAACUCAGCACUAUCUGCUCACAAAAUUUACAUUUUAUGAGAUAUAUAUUAAAUCUAUGUUUUGAAAAUGACAAACGAGUUUCAGAUAUACAAAUUAUCUGUUGCGAUGUUUUAAUUGAAGUACGACACUUUCUAAAAAGAAUUAUCAAAACUUGAGUUUUCUGAAGAUAAAAAGUUUCAAACAAAAUUUGGUUUUCUCAACAAGGAUGUAUUUAGCAAUGACGAUUUUUAAGAUAAAAUAGCUAAAUGAUUUUCUGGGCCAUCAAUAUGGCCAUUGUGAUCUUUGAGAUUCGGUCAUAACGUCUAGGUCAAGUUUAGGGGGUUACAAUAAAUCUAAAUUUAAAAGAAUAACUAAGUUGAUUUCCAAAUAAUAAUGAAGGAUUUUUAACAAGUUUUCAAAGUUAUCCUGAUCGUUUUUAAGUGAAAUAGUAGUAUGUGUUUUAAAAAAUGAACGAAUGUGCUUCAACUAAAUGUUUUUGCCAUAUUUAUGACCCAUGUGGUCGCUUAGAUCGGGUUGUAAUGUCUAGGCCUGGUUUGAGGGGUUACAUUUAGUGGUAUUAGAGUCGGGUUCAAUACUUGAACUAUGGGUAAAGUAUUUUAAAAAAACUACAUGCAUUAUAAAAGGGUAUUUUGGGAAAAACAUGCCACAUGUUAAAAUUGUUGUAAAAAAAUUCGAGACUCCCGAAGCUGAUCUAAGGUAAGUGUUCUUUAGAUUUGAAAACUAUAGACUGUGAAAACUCUAUUUAGUGAAAACGAUAGAUAGUGAGACAGGUGUAAAUUGUAAUGAAUCUUUGAUUAAAAUUAUUCAAGUGAUAACAUCAAAACUUACCUCUAUUGACAGAAAAUUCAUAAAACUUAAAAUGAGUACUCGUGAAGUUAGAACUUGAGGAAUGAGAACUCAUGGAGAACAGGGUCAGGGAACCCAAAUCGACUCAUCUGCAUCCCAAUUGCAAACCCCUGAGUGAGCAACACAAUAAAUCUGAAUUUAAAAGAAUAAAUAAGUUGAUUUCCAAAAAAUAAUGAAGGAUAUUUAACAAGUUUUUGAAAUUAUCCUGAUCGUUUUUAAAUGAAAUAAUAGUAUGUGUUUUAAAAAAUGAACGAAUGUGCUUCAACUAAAUGUUUCUACCAUAUUUAUGACCCAUGUAAUCGCUUAGAUCGGGUCGUAAUGUUUAGGCCUGGUUUGAAGGGUUACAUUUAGUUGUAUUAGAACCUGGUUCAAUACUUGAACUAUGGGUAAAGUAUUUUCGAAAAAUACAUGCAUUAUAAAGGGGUAUUUUGGGAAAAACACGCCACAUGUUAAAAUUGUUGUAAAAAAAUUUGAGACUCCCGAAGCCGAUCUGAGGUAAGUGUUCUUUAGAUUUGAAAACUAUAGACUGUGAAAACUCUAUAUAGUGAAAAUGGUAGAUAGUGAGACAAGUGUAAAUUGAAAUGAAUCUUCGAUUAAAAUUAUUCAAGUGAUAACAUAAAAACUUACCUAUAUUAAUAGAAAAUUCAUAAAACUGAAAAUGAGUACUCCCAGAGUUAGAACUCUUGGAAUGAGAACUUGUAGAGAAUAGGGUUAGGGAACCCAGAUCGAGUUAUUUGCAUCCCAAGUGCGAACCCCUAAGAGACCAACGAAAAAUGUUGAGCAUGCACCAACUAUUGAGGAGAGUCAACAUGAGCUUGCGAACGAGGCUAUAGCAUAGGCCAUGCUUCGAGUGUUAGAGCGAGUGCCGGGUGCUCAGAUUGGGGCCAAUAGUCAUGGUACUAUAGCUGAAAGGCUUCGUUCCAGUAGAGUCGAGUUGUUUAGGGGUGUUAUUGAGAUGUCUGCCACUAUAGCUAAAUAUUGGCUAGAGGCUACAUAGAGGAUCUUAGAUGAUAUGGAUUGCACACCAGAGUUGAAGCUUAAGGGGACUAUGUCACUUUUACGAGAUGAGGCCUAUCGUUGGUGGCAGGCCAUUAUGAGAGGUACUCAAGCCUAUCGACUGACGUGAGAAUAUUUUCUAGAUUCCCUCAAGAAGAAAUAUCUGGGCAUGAGGUACGUAGAGGCUGUGACUGAGUACAAGGCUGAGUUUCUGAGGCUUAGUCGUUAUGCUCUGGGUAUGGUUGUGAUUGAACAGGAUAAGUGUGCCCGAUUUGAGUUUGGGCUGAGAUCCGAACUGAUGAUGCAAGUGGAUUCACGUUAAGAAAGGGUUUUCGAAGCUUUGGUGGAGAAAACCAAAAUCUGUGAGGAAGUCAGACGCAUAGAGUGAGAAAGGAAGGAGCAUGCUAGUGUCCCUGUGAAGAGAGAAUCAGACCCUAAUGUGGAGGCUUCGCUUCUAGUUAAGCAAGCCAUAGAUGAUCAACCUCGCCAGAACUUUGUUGUAGCGAUAGGAAGAAUUUAGAACUGUGCCAUUUGUGGAAAGAGGCACUCAGGUGACUAUUGGAAGAGCAUGGGUGCAUGUUUGAAGAACGGUCACUGAAUCAUAUGAUUGGAGAUUUCCACAAUGUAAUGAACAGAUGCAAGUACCGAGACAGAAUCUAGCCCCGAACCAAAGAGUUGGACAAUAACCCUAGAGAGAUCAGGGUCAGAAUAGAUGUAGAAACGUAGGGCAGAGGCAGCGAGCACUAGGUCAAAGUGCUAGUCGGGCAGAUGCGAGGCAACCAGCAUUUGUGUAUACGGUUAGACCCAGAGAGGAUCGUGAUUCAAUAAACGUGAUAGCAAGUACUUUUACCACUAAUGGUAUUCCAUACUUUGCAUUAAUUAAUAAUGGUUCUACCCAUUCGUAUGUGUCUUGUGUGAUGGCUGAUAAACUGGGAAUUCAGGUAGAAGUAAGUGAUGUACUGUCCUUAGUCCCUUAGGACAAUCUGUGUAUGUGAACAAGAUAUAUGGGAGAUGUCCGUUGAAAGUCCAAGGUGAGGUAUUUCCUAUUAAUCUAAUGGAAUUGCAUUUUGGAGAAUUGGAUCUCAUAUUGGGCAUGGAUUGGUUAAGUGAGCAUCAAGUUAGUCUUGAUUGUGAUACGAAAUGGGUUACCCUAAGGACUCUAGUUGGGAAUGAGAUAAUUAUGAUUGAGGAGCGUCGAAAUUAUUUAUCAAAUGUGAUAUCUGCCUCGGUAGCAGAUAAUCUGAUUCGUGAAAGAUGUGAGGUCUAUCUAGCGUAUAUCUUCGAUAUGAAUGUGAAUGGUGCAAUAUUAGAGACUAUGCAUAUAGUGAAAGAGUUUCCAAACGCCUUUCCGAAAGAGUUGCUUGAUUUACAUCCAGAGCGUGAGGUCAAGUUUGGAAUUAAAUUGCUACCUAGGAUAACACCGGUGUCCAUUACACCUUAUCACAUGGCACCUAAAGUUCUUAAAGAGCUCAAAGUGUAGUUGAAAGAGUUGCUUGAUCAUGGUUUCAUAAGGCCAAGUGUAUCACCGUGAGGAUCUCCAAUGUUAUUUAUGAUGAAUAAGGAUGGAUUGAUGAGGCUUUGUAUCAAUUAUCGUCAGGUGAAUAAAUUGUCUGUGAAUAAUAAGUACUCUUUGUAGAGGAUCGAUAACCUUUUUGAACAAUUUAGAGGUGCCACAGUUUUCUCUAGUAUCAAUCUGAGGUCAUGUUACUGUCAGUUGUAGGUGAGAGAGACUGAUAUCUCCAAAACUGCUUUGAAGACUCAGUAUGGGCACUAUGAAUUUCUAAUGAUGCCCUUCGGGCUUACAAAUGCUCCCUCCACUUUCAUGGACCUCAUGAACAAAAUCUUUCAACCUUAUCUCGACCAGUUUGUAGUGGUCUUCAUUAAUGAUAUUUUGGUCUGCACCAAAUUUGAGUUGGAGCAUGAGGAACACUUAAGGUUAGUCCUUCAAACCUUACCUGAGAAAAAGUUGUACGCGAAGUUAAGUAAGUGUGAGUUUUGGCUAUGAGAAGUAAUAUUUUUGGGACACAUGGUAUCUGCUGAGGGUAUCUGUGUAAGUUAACUUAUGUUUUCAAAACAAAAAAUGAGUUUUAUAUAUAGAAAUUUGUCCGCUGUGAUGUUUUAAUUGAAUUACGAUGUUUUCCCUAAAACUCUCACAUUACUUGAGUUUUCCAAAGUUAAAAAUAGCAACUAAAUUUGAUUUUACUUAAAACAAUAUUCAAAGAUGUUUUGCAAAGAAUAUUUUUAAAGCGAAAUUUUCUAAACGUUUUACUAUGCCAUCGUCAUGGCCAAUGUGAUCUUCGAGAUUUGUCCAUAACAUUUAGGCCUGGUUUUGGGGGUUACAAAUAUAGUAAAUACGGCUAGCUUACGAGUUUCUAUGCACUAAGGAAUGAGUUUUUCUUUCUUUUUUUGACUUUGUCACUUUAUUUUUCAACUCAUCUCACUCACGAAUGCUUUUUUUCGUUGUUUCAAGACUUUCUCUACUCGUAUUGAUUUUCCGUCUGAAUUUUCUUUUGCUUUGCACUUUCAAGCUAACCUAUAGUUCCCAUAUCACACCAAUAUUUCCUAUUUCACUCUUUUUUUUCAAAAUCUGCCUUGAUGCAUCUACUUAACCCUCAAUACGCAUGGUUAGAUGUCUAUAAUCGUGUAGUGCAGGAAAAAAGAAAAAGGGUAAAAACAAAUUAACAUUUUUAAGCUUGGGGUUUGUAAUGAGGUUCAUCAAGAAGUGUCAAUAGGCUCAAAAAUUGGUAUUAAAGGUGAAAUAAAAAUAACCAGUUUUUUGGCUCUAGAUGUGUUCCAAACAAUGCCUUAAGGUCAUCCCUGAAUAUCUCAAUAUGCAUAAAUUUAAUCAAUCAAACAAACUCAAAUUCAACCAUUUAUCAUUCAAGCUAGCAUGCUCGUUUCCUUGUAUUUUCUAAAUCAUUUGGUAUAGUCAAUUGCUUAAUGCCUAUCUACGGUGUAAUGUAUAGAACUUAGUAGUCUUAAUAAUAAAAAAUUUAAAAUCACCUAUCAUCAUGCCGAAUUUAUUUGUAAACACAAGCAACCUAUGUACAUGCUUCUAACCAAUCACUUGUAUUUCUACAAGCUCAAACACACAAAAGACAGGAAAAAUCAAAGAAAAAAGUAAAAAUUUAAAACAAAUUUUCUAUUUUUCCGCACCACACUUUAGUCAACACAUUGUCCUCAAUGUAUAACCCAUAAAAAGAUAAGGAAAGAAAUUACCCGAUUGAGCAUGGUUGCUCCAACUACUAAUGGUAGGUGUUUCCUUCUUUGAUCGUGUAAGCUUGAAUUGUUUGUGUCUCCUUCAUGUUGGGUUCCUACAUAGAAAACUUAACUAAAUGCAAUAUAGUUAAAAAUCUAUUAUUAACCCUAUUCUUACCAAGUUCAAAUUAGAAUCAUCCAAAAAUUAAUAUAAGUCUUUAAAAAUAAAAAAAUACAAAUUUUUCAGUCUCCCUCCUCAAAAUCCAUCUCCUCAAUUUUACUGUUUUCCUCAUCCUCUCAUUCCUCCUUGCUAUCAUGUGCCUCUUCUUCUUGUUCUAGAUUUGUUGGCCCAAACAUGUCAGGUGUAUAAUUGGGGACCGGGAUGCUACUUUGCUUAGCAAAUUCUUGAAAAAUAGGCCCUGACUCUUGCAUCCAUUGUAUCAUCCAAUCUAGCUUUGGAUGAAUACUCUCACCAACAUCUUCUGUCGACCUCUGUGAUGAAGCUGGUGUAGUUGUCGCUUCUUGUUGUUGCUUGUUCCAAUCUUUUAUUUGUUUGGCCUGCAACUCUAUGUACUAUUCGAACAAGGUGUCCUUGAAAAUACUUCAGGAGGGUUUUAGAGACUGCUCAGUGGAUGUCAUAGGUACACUUGUAUUUUUGCAUAAGGCUGUCACUAAAUGGGGAAAGAAAAUUCCCACUUUCCUGGUAGUAAUGCAUCUCUUCAUGUUUUGCUGGAUCUAUUUUCCAAUACGCACAUGCUAUUUUUUUUUUGCAAAAUUGAAUAUAGCAAUACUGCUCGAAAGGUAUUGACACUAGAAACUUUUAAAGCAGGGACUAUUCACGUGCAUACAAAUUGAAUUCACAUUUUAGCCUAUGGAAACAUAAUAGCUUGAUUAAAGGAUGUAGGAAUAUUGGUGCUCGAGUAAUAAUUCCAUUUGCCUCUUCCUUCAUUUAAAGAGUUUAUAAUCUUGUCCUUAUCUAUAUCCCAGAAAUAUUCUAAAUUAGUUUCACCGAUAAAAUCUUUUUCAUAGUAUGGAGCAUAAUAAUAGUCGCAAAUAAUUCGAGGGGUUAGUCGCACUUCUUUCCAUAGGACAGGUACUAUAUCCCUAUAUGGCCUUCGGUGUUUCUAGACUCUAAGUCUCGUAAGGAUGCAUAAAUCUCUUGAACAACAGGGAACACAUAACUAUCUUUUAGGAUUGUCCAAAAUCGCUCCCACCUAUGAUACCUAACCAAAGGCCAUAUUUCCUUACAAAGAACCAUGGAUGGAUCAAAUACCCUCUCUUGAAUGAAUGUCUUUCCUUGUAUUUCAUUAAAAUAUUUUUCAAUGUUCAAAUUAGAAAACUAGAGGGAUUUUGACUCAUCGAUGGUUCCACUUCAAUAGUUCGCAUAACUUUUUUAAGAGGCAUUAUUACAAGACGGGGGAAAAUAGAAAAAUAUCAAAAAUUUCAAUGGAACAGUAAAAAGUAUAAAAUUAGGAACCCUUAACCUCGUAGAAGUCAUUUGAAUUCCUCGUUUUGUGCAACAUCUAUUGUUCUGUGAGUAUUUUCAUUCUUUGUGGCGCUUAGUAUAAUUGAGGUAUGGAGAUUUUAAAGAAGUGGAGAUUGAGGGUUUAGGGUUUAUAGAGAUGUAAGAUAAUUGGACAAGGUUUAGAAAAUAAAUGGUUAAGAUGUGUUUAAGAAAGGGAAUAAUAGGUUUUUAGGUUAAAAGUUAGAGGUUUAUGUUCUAAAAAGUUAGAAAAAAUGUGUUUUAAAGCCGCCAGGUUACAUUGUCGGGUCGGGUUUCCUGCAAAAAAUUGUAGCGAUGUCAUGGCAUAAAGGUUUAGUACCGUGACAUGCCUGGCAGUUUAUCGUUGUCGCGAUACUCGGGUUCGUUGUCACGAAACACUCUAGGAUUUUGGAUUUGUGAGUAAAGUAACUUCGAUGUUGCGACUCUCAAAGCCCAUGUCGAGAUGUCAAGAGGAUUUUCACAAUUUUAUUAAAAACUACUCUUGGUGUUGCGACACUGGCUCUGUUUUUACUCAUAAUUUCCUUUUCUAGAGUGCCACGAUUUCUGUAAAAAUGCAAAGUUAAUGAAAAUUAAAAUCUAUUCUAAAUAGUUAGCUAAAGAUACAAUAAUUUACAAGAGUUUAACAUCAAUUCAAAUAAUCUUAGUUUUACUGUCAGACUCAUCUGCCAGUAUCAUUAAUUCACAACUGGACAAUCCUUCCACCCUAUCAACAUGAGUCCAUCGUCUGUCCUGCUAUUCUACUUCUGCCCAUUUUUCCCUUUCCUUAAACCUACUUAUUCUUUCUUCAUACAUAAAAGGAAGUAUAUCCCUUCACUUGGGAAUGUUAGAGACAAGUAAAUUUUUACACUACUCACCUAACUUUCUCUUUCUGCGCUCUUUGCUAAGUUGAUACCCAUAUUUAAAUAUUUUAGUCUCACUAUUGAUUUUCAUAGUUAAUUCUUUCUUUUCUAGAUCAAUGGUGAACCUAUAAGUGGCUAGAAAAGGUCUACCUAGUAAGAUCGGUAUCUCACGAUCUUUUUCAAAAUCAAGAACCACCAAAUCUACUUGGAGAAUGAAGCUGCGCACCUUGACUAACACAUCUUCUAGUACUCCUUUCGAAUGUACCGAAGACUUUUUAGCCAACUGUAGUGUUAUUUGAGUGGUUUUAAGAUCCCCUAACCUGAGUUUUUCAAAAAAUAAAUAGAGGUCACAUAGAGCUCUACUAAAAUGAAUGCUCCCUAUCUCCAUGGGAAUAGUAAAACUUCACGGGUCUUUCAAUUUUUAGGAAACCUGUCUUGAAAGAAUAACACUGCAAGAGGCACUUAAACCAACUUGUUCUCCUACCUUAAUUUUCCUACACCUAGACAUGAUUUCCUUUAAUAACUUGGAGUAUUUAGGAACUUUCUCAAUUAACUCGAUUAAAGGCAGGUUUACAUUUAAUGUUUUGAACAAGUUUAAGAAACUUGCAAAUUCAUCUUCGUCCCACUUUUGUUUUUCUUCCAGUCUUAAAGGGAAUGGGAUCUUUGUAAUGGCAGCAUCUUUAAUGAUUUCUCUUUCUUCUUCAAUUACCAGUGCAAUUUUCUCCUCUGGCUCUGGUUCAUUUUUAGUUUCUACAGAUUUCUCUUGAGGAUCGUCGACAUUCUCCAUAUUUACCUCUGGAGUAGGAUUUUCUAGGCUACUUAGUACUUUGCCUGAUCGGAGUUCUAAUUCUUUCACAUUCUCCUUGCCUUCCCUUCGGGGAUUAUUUCCUGUAUUGCUAGGGAGUCCGGUGCCAAAUUGUCUUUUGAUGUCACCCAUCAUGCUCAUUAAUUAGUUCGUUUGAUCCUCAAGUUUAGUCAAUGUUCUAGUUGAGUGGGUGAAUUCAGACUCCACUUACUUUAUGUCUAUUCUCAUUAACUGCAUCUCUCUCUCAAUACUAUCAAGUCGUUGACCAUAUGCAGUAUGGUCACUUGGGGUGACCCUUUCCUGAGGUUUUUGAAAAUAAGGAGGUUUAUAAUGGGUAUUUUUUUACUUCAUUCGAACUACUACCUCUCCCUUGGUUUCCUACCCAUCUUAGAUUUGAGUGAUAUCUCCAGCCAGGAUUGUAGGUAUUCGAAUAAAGAUUUCCACCCCUAUUUCCAAUAUAGUUCACAUCCUCAGUAGCGUUGUUGACGAAGUUAAAGAGUGAUUUAUCUUCUCCAUACAUAGAUGAUUUAUUAGCAGCUUUGAUACGGUUAAGUCUAUCCACUAAUUGUUGAUACUUUUCAUCCUCUUGGACAGCCUUUACCGUAGUGGUUUUCUAGCUAUAUGUAAAUCAUUCAAUUAGUCACUGGUAGGAGUUUAACCCUAUGCUCUCAAUGAUUUCAUACUCGCCCUCAUACGUCAUAUUCAUAAGGGCUCCUCUUACUGCUCUAUCUAGUCAUGAUCUUGCAUUUGCAUUCAACCCAUUAUAGAACACCUGCAAUCGCAUCCACUCCGGGAAUUCAUGGUGUGGGCACUUUUAAAUCAACAUUUUGAAGUGCUCCUACAUCUCAUAGAAACUUUCCCCUUCCAUUUGUCUAAAUAAGAAAAUCUCUCUUCUUAGUUGAACCGCUUUGCUAAUAGGAAAAAAACCUUUUGCAAAAAAUUUCCAACAAGCUCAUCCCACGUUGUGAUAGACCUUGGUGCCUGUGAAUCUAACCAAGAAAAGUCAUUAUCAAUAAAAGAAAAGGGAAACAACUGAAGACAAAUAGCAUCAUCGAUGACCCCGUUGUACUCAAAGGUAUCACAAAAUUAAAGAAAUCAUUUUAAGUGUUGAUUCGCAUCCUCUAUCAUUAUGCCUCUGAACUGCAGAUUAUUCUAGAUCAAUUGAAUUAUUGUCAGUUUAAUCUCAAAAUUAUUUGUUGUAAUAGCUAGCCUUGUUAUACUCUCCUGAACCAUUUCAAGACUUGGUAAUACAUAGUCUCUUAAGGAUCUAUAGUUACGAGCCAUGCGCACGUUUGUAGGUAGUUGUGGUGGUGCUGGUGGAUUUCCUAGAGAGUUUUCGUCAAUGUCGCCAAACAAUGGAUUCUCAUGUGGUACAUUCCCUGCAACAGGUAGCGGUGGGUCUUACAUCUGUUGCUAGUGCUACUAUUGCUGUCAGCAAAUUCUUUGAAUUAUUCUUUCUAGGUUUGUGGCUCUUGCAUGGAUGUUCCCUAAAACCCAGAGAAAGAAGAUUAGUAGCAAUAAACAAAGUAAAAUUGAAUCUAUAACCUAAAAUUUUCUAAUUAUUCAUUUUGAAGUGCAAAAAUUAAAAUGAACUAGUGACGUUUCCUCCCCCACCACAGCACCAACAACUUGACCGCCUUCGAACGUAUUAACGCCCAAGGUGUGAAUACUGCAGUAAAAAAUAUAUAAAUGAGGUAGUAUCCGCAAGUAUACAGGUCCAGUUGUAAUAUAAUUACAACGAAGUAGGUGAGUACUUCGUGGAUUGUACCCAAUGGAGGCGAGUGGUAGAUCAAUUUUAACCUAAACAUAGAAAGAUCUAAUUAGUAAUUUUAGUCAGUUAUAGUAUGAUCGUAAAGGUAAAAAGGAGUUUUUAAGGUUUUUAUGAAUAAUAAAAUAAAUUAACAUAAAAGAAAUAAAAUUCAAGAGAUUGAAGAAUAGAAAUAAUCGAAUCUGAUUAUGAUGAUUAGCAUGCCUCGGUAAUCCCCAUCGAUUGUCACUUCGGGUUCCUCGUCAAUUAACUAGUCGCUAUCCUAGCAGGAUCUUCCGAUCUUCCACUCAAAUAACGAGUCGACAAGGACUACUUGUCUUCCGAUGUCACAGUCUAGAUCGGUUUGGGGUGAAGGUGUUUGCGAGUGGGCCAUACCAAUUUUGGGUUAAAUCCUACCUUGAUGUGUUCCCAAGGUUGUUAGGCCUACGGUUUGUUUUACAUUAUUCCUUUCCCAAGGAGCAGAUCCGUUGAGUAUCCCUACAAAAUAGUUAACAUAUCAUCCAUCCACUCGCUAAUGCCCUAUAGAGGGAUUAGUUCCUCAUGGUCUCCAUAGACAAUAAUAACAUCGAUAUAAAGAGAAAUCAUGUUAAAUAAAUUGACAAUAUAUAGUUUACAAAGGAGCUUGACUGCAUUAAGAUUGAUCGCGAAUCCACAAGGUUUUAUUGUCUCCACAAUUUAGAUCUCUCCAAAUAGAACAAAGAAUAAAUAGAAAUAAAUCUAACCUAAGAAAAUAGAGAACUAAACUAAAUUUAAAAGACUAAUUCUAAGCUAAGUGAAUGUUGUCUUUUACAUGUGACAAAGGAUCCUAUUUAUAGAUCUCAAGUGGUGGUCGUCCUUAACCCUAGGUUAGCUAAUGUUCUUGAACUUUAAGUUUGAUAGUGCAGACCAAAAUGCUCAUUGACUCGUGUAUAAUUCCCGUCCAGAGUUGAUGUCGCGACACACUAGGACUUGUGUCGCGACAUAGGAGUCAUUAUACUCCUUUUGGGAUAUCUUCAAGGGUAUGUCGCGAAACCCUUAGUCUGUGUCGCGAAAACGAAGGUAGUUUUGUGAUUUCUCCAUUAUGCUCCCUAUGUUGUGACAUAGUGGCCAAUAUCUGUUUAAUAUGCCUUCUAACAGUUUCCUGCACAAUUAUAAAGUUCGUUAGCUCACCCUUAGGCCUCAUUCGGCCCAAGGUCAAUAAAAGACUCAAUUUGCACAUUUUAUUGAACUUAAAAAAACUUACUAAAACAUAAUUAAAUCCUAAUGGUAAUGCUUAAUUUGAAGCUCCUAAAGUAUGAAAACUAGUUUAAUCUACUACACCAAAUUACAACAUAUCAAUAUUCUUCUAUUUCCUUGAGUGAAUAACAAUUUAGGAGUUCCUUCCUCCCAUAAGAAUCUUUUGUGACAUCCUCUCGUUUGCUCAAUUCUGGACUUGUCACCUUUUGAUGCCUUUCUGAUGGUAUACCAAUGUGGUCAUUAUCAUCUUGGGAAGGAGUUAAAGCUUUCUUCGGAGUUGGCUUAAUUAAAGCAUUAAUAAUCUUUGGUUCUCCUAUAUCUCUCAUUCCACAUAUACUCAUUCUUUGUAAAUACCGACAUCAUAACCUAGGUCUUCGUCUAACCACAUAUAAUUGAAAUUGUCCAUUCUCCUGUAGACUGGUUUCCUUAGUCUAUGACGGCUGUAGUUCUAAUUUGGAAUGAGCACUAGGGGUUUCUUGAGAAAAAUAGAUAAGUAAUAGUGAAUUUAGUUAGUUAAAUAAGUUAAAGAUAAUAUCUAUAGCGUAAAAAUUUCCUAAUUAUUAAUUUUGGGUGCAAAAAUUAAAAUCAAACUAGUGACGUUGCCUCCCCGGCAACGACGCCAACAACUUGACCACGUCCGGAUGUACUAACGUCUAGAGUGUGAAUACUAAAGUGAAAGAUAUAUCAAUGAGGCAGUAUCUGCAAGUAUGCGAUCCAGUUGUAAUAUAGUUACAACAAAGCGAGUGAGUACUCCGAGGAUCGUACCCAAGGAAGGUUAGUACUAGGUCAAUUUUAACCUAAACACCAAAAGAUCUAAUUAGUUCUUUGAUUUAGUUAUAGAACAUUGAUAAAAUAAAAUGAGGUUUUUUAAGGUUUUUAUGAUAAUAAAAUAACAUAAGGAAAUAAAAUUUCAAGAGAUCAAAAUAUAGAAUCAAUUAGAUUUGAUUAUGGAUAAUUAGCUCACUUCGGUAAUCCCCAUUAACUGUCGCUUCGAUUUCCUCAUCAAUCAACUAGACUCUAUUUCAGUAGGAUCUUCUGAUCUUCCACUCAAAUAACGAGUCGACAAGGACUACUUAUCUUCUGAGCUCACAGUUCAGACCAACUUGGGGUAAAGGUAUUCACAGAUAGGUCAUACGAAUUUUGGGUUAAUUCUUACCUUGAUGACUUCCUAGGGGUAUCAGGCCUAGGGUUUAAGUUCUUCCUUUCCCAAAUAGCUGAUCCAUUAAGUAACCCUAUAAAAUAGUUAAUAGAUCAUACCUCCACUCGGUAAUUUCCCAUAGAAGGAUUAGUCCAUCAUGGUUUUCAUUAAAAAAUAUGGAAUUUAUGUAAAAAAAAUGAUAAAUAAAUUGAAGUUUACAGUUUAAGAAAACACUUGAUUUGUAUUAAAGAUGAAAAUGAAUCCAUAGAGUUUUACUAUCUCCACAAACUAGAUCUCUCGAGAUAAAAUAAGAACAAACUGAAAAUAAACCUAAAACCUAAGAAGAAAUAAAACUAAACUGAAAUUUAAAAGUGAAAUUCUAAACUAUGCAAUUGGUGUCGUUUACAUGUGACAAAGGAGCUUAUUUAUAAAUCUCAGGUGGUCGUCAUCCUUAACCCAAGGUUAGUUGACAUUCCCAAGUGUUAAGUUUGAUUGUGUAGACCAAAACACCCUUGGCUCAUGUUAAUUGUUGUCCAAAGUCGACGUCACGACACACUAGGAACUGUGUCAAAAUGUAGGAGUCAAUAUCCUCCUCUUGGUAUAUAUUUAAGGGUAUGUCGCGACAUCCUUAGGCUGUGUCACAAUAUCGAAGGCAGUUUCAUAAUUUAUCCAUUUUGUUCCCUAUGUUGUGACAUUGAGCACUCUGUGUUGCAAUAUAGUGACUAGUAUUUGUUUAAUAUGCCUUUUAACAGUCUUCUGCACACUUAUAAAGUUCAUUAUCUCACCCUUAGGCCUCAUUCGGCCCCUAAGGUCAAUAAAAGACUCAAUUUACACAUUUUUAUUGAAUUUAACGGAACUUACUGAAACAUAAUUAAAUCAUAUUGAUAAUGCUUAAUUUCAAGCUUCUAAAGUGCGGAAACUAGUUAAAUCUACUACAUUGAAUUACGACAGAUCAUGUUCACGGAUAGGUCAUACCAAUUUAUGGUUAAUUCCCACCAAAAUUACUUCUUAGGGUGUCAAUCAUAGGAUUUAAUUCUUCAUUUCCCAAAUAGUUGAUCUAUUGAGAAAACCCUAUAUAAUAAUUAAUUAAUCACAAUUCCACUAACUAAUCCCCUAUAAGAGGAUUAAUUACUCUUAGAAUACAUAAAGACAAUAAACUUAUAAAUAAGAUAAGCAUAAUUAACAAAUAAAGAAUAAGGUUUAAGAGAAUCCUGAUUAUAUUUUAUUGAUGAAAGUGUAGAAAUCCAGUAAAUUUUGAUAAGUCUACAAAUCAAGUUCUUUGCAGAACACGAAUGGAAAUAACUAAAAAUAAAUCUUAAGCUUAAAGAAAAUAAAGCUGAAACUAAAAUUACAAUGAAAAAUUUAACCUAUGAAAAUUGUCCCUCAAAAGUGUUAAAUGAGCUUAUUUACAGAGUGAGGGUUGGUUGUCGUCCUUAGCCCUAGGUUUGCUAAUGUUUUUGUGUUAAUUUUCAUUAUGCAGACCAAAAUGCCCCCCGCUCGUAAUUCUUCUCAUACAGGGCAAGUGUCCCAACACCGAAUGCUUGUGUCGCGACAUAGAAGCAAGUAUACUCUAGUUAAAGUUUGGCUUUAGUGGUGUGUCACGAAAUCCUUUGGUUGUGUUGCGACACCAAAGGCAGUAUUGGUAUUCUUAUAUUUUUCUUCCUAUGUUGUGACAUUGAACCUUUUGUGUUGCAACACGGUGACCCAUUUUGAGCUUUUAUGCCUUUGAAUGGUGUCCUCCACACUCACUAAGUACGUUAGCUCACCCUUAGGCCUCAUUCAACCCCUAAGGUCAUAAAAUGACUCAAUUUACAUUUUAUUGAAUUAAAACUAAAAUACAAAAACUAAUUAAAACAUAACAAAAUUGUUUGUAUUUAAGCUCUUUAAGUAUGGAAACUAGUUAAAUCUGCUACUGUUAGCUCGAUUGAUCAAACUGAAAUCGCCUAGAGGGGCAUGAAUUGACUUUUAAAAAAUUUAGGAAAGCUAAAAACAAAAGAUAGAACAAUGAACACAACAAUUUAGAGUGGUUUGGACCCAAUUUCCUACUCAACUACCUUAGCUUUCUACAAUUAAGGAUUUUCCCAAAUUCACUAAUUUGUAUGACCUUUGAGGACAAGGUUUAACCUUACAACUCCCUUAAAAUUUCUACCAAAAUCUUAAGACACAAACCCUUUGAAAGAAUUACUAAGAAGCAAACAAAGAAAUAGUCCUAACAAGAUCAAAAUGUUUGACAAUUAAGCACAAAUAUAUAAAGACACACUUGAGCAAAAAAAAAAAAAAAGAGUAAGAUCUCACAAGUGUGUACAAGAAAAUUAUGGAAGUAUUAGGCACAAAGGUUGCUUGAUUGAUUAUUUUUUCUUGGAUAUGCUUUCUUGUUGUUGUAGGAUCUUUAGAAGCUGGUAUCUAUGCCCCCUAAGUGAUUUCCAAUCGUUGAGGUUGUUGUUGUAGAGCCGUUGGGGAUGUCAAAAACCAAAGCAUUUAAUACACUUGCAACAACAUGUAUCGAUACCAAGUAAAAAUGUAUCGAUAAUUUUUUUCAUAAAUGUUAAAUCCAGUGUUAGUUGGAGCUUAAAUAUUGAUACCAAGAAAAAUUUAUCAAUACCAAACAAAAGGUAUCGAUAUUGAAUCGAUAUGUAAUUGAAUUUGUGAGAACCAGAAUGCCAAUUUAGUAUUGUUUAUUUUAAGAGGUAUGGAUGAUUUUAAAAUAUUGAUACUUAGCCAAAAAGGUAUCGAUUUUUUUUUGCCUGGAGCAAUUCUUACUCGUUUUAAAAAUAUUUUGUCAAGUUGAAAGAAUCUAUACUUAGUUAAAAUCAUUUUAACUUGAUUUUGAGAAUGAUUCACAAAUUUUCUAAGUAAGAAUUGAAAAUUUAUCUUUUAGACUUCUUUUGAAAAAUCAUUUAGUCAAUUUUGUUUAAUUUUAACUUUCAUUUAAAAAAACAUUUAAUUUUUUAUAUCAAAAUAUAUUUUCAAAUAAAGCUUAGUUUACAAAUGUCCCCCUUUUUCAUAUAACAAAACCUUUGAUAAAUUUGUUUUUUAAUAUAUUAUUCCCCCUUAAUAAAAGUCAUUUUGAAUUUAAGGCCAAAAUAAAAAUUGCCAUAUAUUUUCAAAAUUUGACAUUCAUUUUUACUUGAAGGAAAAAUGGUCAUAUAACUUGCAUUGCAUAAGAUUAGGAUAAUAUCAAUAAAUCUACCUCAAUCUACCAUUUCUUCUUCGCCUUUUUGUUAUAUAAAAAUAGACAAUUAAAGCUUGAGGAGAAAAAGAUGGUUACUUCAAAAAUAUAUGAACAUUAGGAAGUGGAGAACUAACAUAAAAAAUAACCAAAGUAUCUUAUAAUACUUAAUAUACAAUAAGGUGCAAAAAGAAGUAGUGGACAUAGGAAAUGAACCAAAAGUAAUAGUGCAAAUGUGAUGAAUAAUAAUAUGAAAAUAUAUACUUAAAAAUCUACUCUAAUCGUCAUCACGAGGAGAGAAGGGAGGAUUUGAUGGGAAAUGAGCAAGGAGAGAUGCCAUUUGCAUCUCUAAAGUUGAUAGCUUUGAGUCAACCUUAUCUCUGUGAGAUCGAACCUCAUGUCGAAGUCCUCAAACAUCAUUUCUCAAAGAAUGGAUAGCGUCGAGGAUGACACCAUUAAUCUCUUAUGAAGGUUGAGCACCUUAAGAGGAUGAAGCCGGAGGAGGAGCAUGUUUGGGUGAAGAAACAUGUUCAGAUGCCUGAAUGUCUUCAUCUAGAGAAGGCAUCAAAGUAACAUCUCGCAUGAUGAAGGGCCCCAUAACUAAUAGGUUGGGUAGAAGUAACAAGGGUGUCUCCAUGAGUGCUAAUGCCUAACCUUCUAAAGAGAUAUAUAGAUAAGUGUCAUGAGGAAGGGUGAUAUUUGUAUUCAUCCCCCUCUCGAUAGCCUUAGUUAUGUCAUUAAACAUGACGAGGGCCAGGUCGAGAUUCCUAUUAGUAUGGAAAGAAUCAAGCCACCAAUAAUCAAUGUUCCGAAGCUUAGCAUGUUUCUUAAUGGGGUGUAGGUUCCAAGCUAAGAUCAAAUGAAGGACACGAUCAUAAAGGUUAAGUUCAGAUGAUGAUCUCCAAAAUCUUCUAAGGUAAGACGUAUAGAGGUGUUCAUUAAAAAAGAAGCGAUGGCUAUGACAGUGUCGCCAAACUUAUCAUGUUCGAGUUUGGUAUUUGAUAAAAAUGCUUGAAUAAGAUUAUAAUAAGUCGACAUUGAAAUGUUAAGAAAAUCCAUCCAACCCCAAUUUUGCAAAAUAGAAAUAUAGACAAAAUUAAUACCCUCUGACAUGGCUAUGUCAACAUUACUAGACUUGCAAACUCUUUUAGAUGCAAAGUUUCUAUCAAAACAUUCACGUAAAGCAUUGGUAUGAAAGCAUUCAUUAAAGCAUGAUUUAAGACCACUAGGAUGAUGAGACGAUGAUGCAUCAGUUCUUGGUCUUUUCUUAGGAGCCAUAACUAGAUAAUUAAACACUAAAGUUUGACUAAAAUACUAAAAAAAUUCUUUUGGUAAAUUUGUCAACCAGUUGGUGUGCAAGGGUUUUAGUUAAAAAAAUAUAAGAUAAAGUCUAGGAAAAGGAAACCUUCUGCAACAAAAUAUAGAGAAUAUAGUACAAAUCAACCCAAUUAACCAUCAAAAAUCAACAUUUUAACAUACAUUUCAUAAAAUCAAAAGUUUGAAGAUUUCAAGUUCUACUUCAAAAGUGUUGAAAUUGGAUAAGUCUCCAAUCAAUGUUGAAAAAAUCUAGAGGAAAUAGUGUUUGAAAGUUUUGUAAAGGAAGAUUUGAUGAAAAAAAAGAAAUCUGAAGAAACUUUGGGGAAGAAAUUUGGGGUAUUCAGGUAAGUGAAGAGAAAAAUAGGGUUUUUGGCAAAACUAGUUUUGAAAUCACGAUUCAAAUGCCCUUAAAGUCCCAGAGGUAUCGAUAUUUUUUCAUGAGUAUCAAUAUUUUUCUAAAAGUAUUGAUGUUUUUUAAAUGGUAUCUAUACCAAAUUGUAGUUUUGUUUUCCAAGUGCAGAAAAAAUGUAAAAACAAAAGUUUUAGGUCCAAACAGGUUCUAAGGGUCCUAAAAUGACUCUAAUAUCAUUCUUAAUGGUUUCUUAUGCAUUAAAAUGCAUAAUGUAAGCAUGAUACAUAUGAUUCAUGAAAAACCAAAAAAAAAAAUUACCAAGUUGACAAAAUUUUAGUCCAUUCUAGCAAGUUUAACAACAUAAAAAAAAGUCAUGCUAGACUAAUGAAGUCAAAAUAGAACAAUUAUCUAUAUGAAAACUCACCCUAACUUUUUGCAUACAAGGGCCAUAUAAAUCAUGCAUAUAUACUUUUGUAAUCAAUUGUAAGUCAUAAAAAAUUUUAAAAUAACAAAGUGCUAAAAUUCAUUUGAACACAAAAUUAAGGCAAGGUUGUAAUACCUAAUUCACCCCUAAGUGUUCAAAAUCUUUCUUUGUCUAAAAGUUUUGUAAAAAUAUCUACUAAUUGAUUUAAGGUGUCUACUUAUUCUCGAACUAUUUUUUCUUUUUGGACAUGAUCUCUAAUGAAAUGAUGUUUAAUCUCAAUAUGCUUAGUUCUAGAAUGUUGGAUGAGAUUUUUAGUGAGACAAAUAUCACCAGUAUUGUAAUGCUUGAUAGGAAUGGUAUGGAAUUCUACCUCUUUGAGAAUUUUAUUUUCCUUUUUGAGUGAUUAACGGUAAGGUUUGUUAAUUUUUGAGUGUUGAGUGUUUGUUUUGCAGGUAUUCCAAAUAAAAAAGAUGUCUAGAAUUGGUCAAGUCGUUGAUUUUUCAGAUUUGAGGACAAAUCUUUUUGAGGAAGGGGGAAUGAUACGAGUCACAAAGGCCCAACUCAAGCUUAAGAACGUGAUGGGCUCAAAUUACCACAAGGCCCAAUAACGAGGUCAAAGGCUAGGCAAAUGCGUAUGAAACUAAAUGGAACCGUUCAAGACUUCAUUAGCAAGGCCUUAGAUGUGUAUACAAAGGAAAAAGAAAAUCAAGAUUCACUUUCUUGUUUUCAAGAAAAUCAAGAAACAGAAUCUUGGUCCAAUUUUGCUGUUUUGAACGAUUUCAAGAAUUAAGAAAAUCAAGAUUUCAAAUCUUGGAAAUCUUGGUCUAAGAAACUGAAUCUUGCAGCUAAGGCACAUUGGAUCUCAGUUACGAGCAUCAACGAACCAAUUUCAGGAGAGAACGAAUUACAAGCCCAAGUUCUUGAAGAUACGACCCAAUAAGAUGUUCCAAGCCCAACCAAGAAGUUGAAAUUAGACUUAGUUGAAAAUCAAGCCAAAUUGUCAAAGUGGCCCAAUUUGUAAAAUUUUAAUUCUUUAAAUACUUAGUUUUAAUUUUUAGACUUUAUGAAUAAAUUUCUAUGUAAGAAUUCAGUCCAAGAGGCCCAUUUAAAGGCCUUGGAUGAAAUUCCCUUGAAAGGCAACAAUUAGAGUUUUUUUUAGUUUUCCCAGUAGGGAUAAGAAAGUAGUUAGGAGGCCUAUAUAUAUGGCUUGGCUGGCCACCCUUAUGGAUGAUAUAUUGAAUUCAGAUUUUUUUUUGUGAAGAGAAAACUCUCUUUGAGUUUCUCCAAGAAUUCUCUCUUGAGUUUUCUUUAGAAGUAUUUUUAACAAUCUUUUUGAUUGUGGGAGCCAUCUUCAACCUUCUUCUUGCCGUGUUUUUACAUUGGAGGGAAGAUUAGAGCCGUUUGAAGGGAGUUGUGAAAUCUUUCUUGAUUUCAAGGCUUCUUAGGACUUUAUCCAUCUUUUUGCUGUUUGUUCUUUGUUAAUUAUUUUUGUUUGUGUCGAAUUGUUGAUUAACUUGGUUUAAUUGUUCUUGUUGCGUUUCUAGCCAUUCCAAGCUUCAAGGAUCUGUUUUGCAACAUUCUUUGGCAUCAAGAAACGUCCUUUAUUCAUAUUUUGCAGAUUUCUUGCCGCCCAAGUAUUCUAUUUUCUAUCUCAAUUUGGUUUUCUUGAUCUUUGAGGUUAAUUUUCUGUUUUCUGUUUCCGUUUCAGCCCAAGUGUUUAUAGCUCUCGUUGGAAUUUCCCGUGACUUGACAACUCGAUCUUGGUUCACGCGCGACCCUCUAUCAGUUGCCUAAAUAAUUUUCAACAUUCCAUGCUUCCUAGGAUUUUGCCUAAAGAAACUACUAAGUCAAUUCUAGAGAUUUAAACUUUCAUGCAUGCCUACUUUUCUUAAGGAACUAAAAAUUUUAUGGUUUUCAAAUUUUUGAACAAAAUAUAUCCUAAUCAUAAUUAAAAGAACUAUUUAUUUUGAGUGGAAAUAAUUUGAAUUUUUUGGUCCCCCUACUUAAAAUGAACAAUGUCCUCAUUAUUUAAAGUGAAUAGAUACUAUAUACCAGGUAGGAUUCUAGAAAAGAGGAGGUGAGUCAAUUUGACUGCUUAAGUACCAAGCUCUUUCUAAAUCCAACCCUAGACAUGUGUAUAUCUAUUGCCACACUUUAUACUUCGCAACUUGUUCAAUUUUAUUAAUGAUUUCCAUCUCUUCUUUUAUUAUGCAAAAAUUCCUAAUUAACUUUAUCCUAAAAUAACCUAAGAACAUAAAUAAAAUAAAGUCGAGAUCGCCCUUUUAUUUAUUUGCAGAUCCUUCCGAAUUUGACUAAUCAUUUGCUCCAUCAUUAUUGUCUUUGAAUGAAUUAAUGGGCUCCAUGGUUCAAAUACGUAAUCUGGAAACUCAGACACAAAAAUAAAUGGGGUCAUUGUAAAUUUUCGUAAGAGCACUUCUCAUCGAGUCAUCCCUUAUUUUUGAGUAUUUCCAGUAAGCUUGUUGCUGCCACUGCUUAAGUUGCAUUAUGUCCAUUAAAUUUGACAGCUCAUCUCAAAGAUCUGGGCGAGGCGGUUGAGCUCUGAACAUUGAAGUCUCGAUAUCAGGUUCAGCUUCUGGUUCCAUUGGUUCCACCUUAUCAGGGACUUCAGUUGAUUGGACUGGCUCAAUCUCUGUGGGAUCUUCUUCUUCUUCUUUUUCGGGAUCCUCACUUUCUUCAACUUGUUGCUGUAGAACAGAGUCUCUAGCUAUUCGAUAGAGGUCCCAAUCUGUGAUUGUGCCCUGGCUAUAGCCUGUCUUCUUUACGUUUGCAAGAAUUUUAGCUUUCAAGCACAAAAUUGUUAUCAUAAAGGGAAAGAAAGCUGGGCCAGAACGUGAACGUGUAACGGUAAAAUUUUGCAUUUCCCUCAGGAUGAUUUUUCCCACAUCAAUGAUCUUCACAGUUAAAAUCGAGCAUAAUAAGACCAUUCGCUCUAAUGAUAUUGUAGUCCCAUGUUAGCUAGGCAUAAGGCUGAAUCGAAUGAAGUAGAACCAUACCUUUGCGAGUGGUGUCAAAUAUGCUCUUCGACAAGUGUGGAUUCCUUGCUUUGACACAGUCCACAUAGAACCUGGAACUGUAAGUUCCUCGAGAAUUUCUUACAAGUUUUUAGAUUCUAUAUUGCUCAUCAAUGAGGAAUAUUAGUCGUUUUCGAAAUCAGGCAAUUCAAAAAACUCAUUAAUAUUGUUUGAAGUUAUUGGUACCUUGAUUCCGCGAACUGGAACUUUCGUCAACUCGCUUGAGGUUAAAUUCACAUAGAAUUCGCGUACUAACUCCUCAUCCACACUAGGUCUCUUCUCACAAAAAAAACUCCCAAUUGAGAGUUUUAGUAACCUGACAAAUACGCGCCAUAAAACCAAUAUAGUUGCUUUCUUUCAAUGUGAAACCUUUCUCUGGAUGCAUCUGUUGAUUCUUGAAGAUACUGUCGUAUCUUGCUUUGGCUUCUUUAUAGUGGAACUUGUUUUAUGAUUCGUCAAUUUGGGCAGAUGCAUGAGUUCUCUUGCGAGGCAUGAUUAACCUGAUCAUAAGAUGUUAACAAUUAUUUUCUCAAAAAUUUAAUUAAUAUAAAAUAUUAAUAAUUCAAUAAAUUGGAAAAUUAGAUAAUAAAAUUAAAAUUUAGGAGAAAAACUGGUCUUACCACAUUUUUUGUAAAAAUUAAUAGCUCUUAAGAAAAAUGAUUUUGAAUCAAAAGAUGGCAAAUUAAAAAAAAAAGUUGAGGGGUUUUUGGAUAAGGAUGGGUGAAAGGGUGAUGUGCCGCUCGGGUAUGCAAGGUAGCAGUGUUCAGCAGGGGACGAAUGUGAGCAGCGUGCUGAUCGUUGAGCAGGCCUAGUGUGGGCGUGCGUGGGGUGCUGCUGACCGAUCAGCUGGGCAAUGUUGUGGCUAGGGAAUUGUUAGGAGGUUUCAGCACUGAAGGGUUUUGGUGUUUUUGGAGGGAAUGGUGUAUGAAUGAACAAAUAUAAGAAUAGAUGGGUGGAAUUUAUAGUGAAAGAAGUAGGAGCUAGAGUAGAAUUCUUAAAAAUUCUAAGUUCUAAUUCUACUCAAAGUAAAUAACAAUUAAUAAUUAAUAUAAUGCAUAUUAAAUUAUUAUUUUCUAUUAAUUUAUUAAGAUAAAAACUUAUCGAAUAAAAUAUGAUUAAAGUAAAACUAAUCCUAACUCUAAAUAGAGCUCAUAAUAAUUCAUAUAUAUUAUAAUGGAUAUAAUUAUAUAUAUUAAUAAUUAUCAUCUUUUCUUUUUUUUUAUUGAACUAAAAACAUUUAUUCUAGAUGCUUUUUGAAAAUAUUUACAAAAAGAGGCAUCUAAUUUUUAAUAUUUACAAAAAGAGCAACCAAAUUUUUAAAAAUAAUUCAAUUAAGUUCCUAGAUUUAAUGAAAAUUCAAAAUUGAGUUGCAACAUAAAACUUGGAUCAAAAUUGACCCUUUUAUUUGAAAAACUAAAAAUUUAUUUUGUCAUUUAGGGAAUAAUUUCUUGGGAAAUUAUGUUAAAAUAAAUUCCAGGAAAGAUUGGAGAGGUCAUAAGUGGUCCCGCUUAAGUUCCAAUCUCCUAGAAAUAAUUUAUUUAAACAUACUAAUCCCGAAAAUAUGCCCUAAAUCAUUUAUUCGAACAGAAGAACAAGAAAAAUUAAAUAUCUAAUAAAAUGAACGAGAUUUGAUUCUAUUCAAUUUUAUCUCCCCAGUAAUGUUUCAAGCGUUGAGCAUUAACGCAAAAAUUACCUCCCUUACCUUGAAGUUCAACAACUCCGUAUGGAUAGACUCGAUGAAUCAUUAAUGGACCGGACCAACAUGAUUUUAACUUACCUGGAAAGAACCUUAAUUUGGAAUUGAAUAACAAGACUUGCUGACCUGCUUCAAAUUCUCGAACUCGAAUGUGCUUGUCAUACCAUUUCUUGAGUCUCUCCUUAAGUAAUUUGACAUUCUCGUAUGAAGAUAUUUAGAAUUCUUCUAACUAGCUAAAUUGAAGCAUCUGUUUCUCUUUGGCACUUUUAAGAUCCAACUUGAGUCGUUGGAGAGCCCUAUAAGCUUUGUGUUCUAACUCCAAGGGUAGAUGGCAGACUUUCCCAAAGACUAACCUAUAGGGUGACAUCCCUAAAGGUGUCUUGUAUGCCCAUAAAGCAUCAACUAGUCUUUUGGACCAAUCUCGUUAGUUCGGGGAAACUACCUUCUCAAGUAUUCCUUAGAUCUCCUUGUUUGCCAGUUCAGCUUGCCCAUUCGUCUGCGGAUGGUAAGCUGUAGCGACCUUGUGUUUCACUCCAUGUUUAUCUAAUAACCAUUUCAACCACUUGUUCACAAAAUGGGACCCUUCAUCACUGAUGAUGGCUCUUGGGGUUCCAAACCUUGUGAACACAUGUUUCUGCAAAAACUUCAUUACAACCUUAACAUCGUUUGUCGGAUAUGCCUCUACUCAAACCACUUAGGCACAUAGUCUACUGCUACUAAUAUGUACUUGUGACUAAAAGACAGAGGGAAAGGAUCGAGAAAUUCAAUACCCUAAACAUCGAAUAAUUCUACCUCAAUAAUGUUUGUUUGAGGCAUUUUAUUUUUGUUGGUGACAUUUUCGACCCUUUAACAUCGAUCAAAACUCUUUACGUAAGCAUAUACAUCUUUGAAUAGUGUUGGCCAAAAGAAUCUGGCUUGCAAUACCUUGGCUACAAUAUGUGUACCUCCGAAGUGUCCCCCACUCGGAGCUGAGUGACAAUUGUAUAAAAUCUUAUGCACUUCAUCUUCUGUCACGCAUCUCCUAAUCAUUUGAUUUGCACACUUUUUAAACAAAUACGGUUCUUCCCAGAAAUAGUACUUUACAACGUGAAGAAACUUUUUCUUUUGAUGAUACGUCUUAUCAAUCGGCAUCAAACCACAAGCUAAAAAGUUAGCAAUAUCAGCAAACCAAGGGGUAUUAUGGACAUGAUUUACCUUCAGUAUGUGUUCAUCUAGAAACGUCUCUCGAAUUGAUAUAAGAGGAGAGUUCCCUUCUUGCGGCUUCAAUCUGGACAAGUGGUCUGCUACUUGGUUUUCCACCCCCUUUCGAUCUUGAAUUUCUAGAUCGAACUCUUGAAGUAGAAGUACCCAUCGGAUCAGUCUCAGCUUAGCGUCUUUCUUGGCAAGUAAAUACUUAAUUACCGAGUGGUCCGUAUAAACAGUCACUUUGGUGCCUACAAGAUAAGAUCGAAACUUGUCAAAAGCAAACACAAUAGCAAGCAACUCUUUUUCCGUUUCUGUGUAAUUCAGUUGAGCUCCUAUCAGAGUCUGACUCACAUAGUUGUAAUGCUCGGGUUUGUACAAGUGUACACAGUCGUUAUCAAGUAAUAAGGAAGUAUCGAGUUAUCGUCUCCACAGGGAUUGUAUUUGUGCUAAGUCACUUAAUUUGUAAAAUUAUAUUAACAAUUUGGUAAAUAAAAACACAAUAUAGUUGAGAAGUGGUGAUUAAAAUAUAUUAAACUAAAUGCAAUGAUCCCUAAUGCAAAUUAUCUUAAGUAUGCAAACUAUAUGACUGAAAUAGAUUUUAGUAAAAUUAAACACAAUUUGCAACAAUUAUAACAUAAAUAAACUAGGAUAAUUACUUUAAUUAAACUCAAUUUAUUAUCAACAUGCUUAGUAACAUUUGAAAAAGUAUUCCAUGGCAACUCGAUCUUUCAUGAGUUUGGAAACCACAUUUGGUCCUUUCGGAAUCCUUUACUUAGUAAAUAUGCAUUUUACUGAUCCUUAUUUACUAAGGGUUUCUUAGCAUUCAUGUGAGGUAACAGGGAUGUGUUAGGUUUGAAACAAUUUAAUUACACAAAUCUAAAAACUAUGCAGAUAACAGAGCUUGGUUAGAGUUGUUAUGCAACCUACAAUUUAAUCGGGUUAGGAUCUAAAUUGAGCAUGCAUAUUUCAAUUAUGCGUCCAUUAGCCACCGUUUGGUUAGGAUCGCUCAGCUAAUUCAGGUGCAUUUCAAUCACGUAUGAACAAAAUACAAACUUGAUUUUAAUUGAAAAGGCGAUCGAUUGAGGCAUAAACAUUAUAAGCAUGAAUCAAAUAAAUAUUAUUUAAUCAAAAUAAUCAUCCUAGAUUAAAUAAAAUUAAGCUAUAAUUAUUGUAAAUUAAAGAAAAGAAAGAUUAAACCCAAUUUAGAAUGGCUGUCACCAAAGACUCUGACUGACGAGGCUCCUUCGCUUCUUUGCUUUGCUCUUUUGUUGAUGGCUCUCCAAGGUGGCCGACCAAGGGUUCUUUAAGUGGCUUAAUUUCUAAAAUCCUUAUGUAAGGAUUAUGAAGGGGAAAGAUAGCUAAAAGAGUUGAGAGAAUGAUGAAUGAGUGAGAGAUGAUGGGAUGAGGGAUGAUUGAAAAAGUGGAAAUGAGCUCUUAUUUAUAGUUAAGGCAAGGGAGCUAGUUUGCUAAAAAUAGGAGUGUCCAUCCUUUGAAACUUCCUCCAAGAGUGGCUGGCCAUGAAUUGAGGAAAGGUGGCUGAUUUUUCCUUUAUUUUUUGUCAAUUUGAGUGCCACAACAACUCAAGACUAAGACUCGGUCAUCAGCAAAUCUUCGGGAAAAUCUCCGAGUUCUUUAACUCUUCAAGGACUUUGUAUAAUUAAACCAAAAAAUUGUUUAUGACAUCCAUGUGUAGUGAAAAAUUGGGUUGACUUGGUCGCCAAUUUGGACGAUUUUGCAAUUAGAAGAAAACUCUCAGACCUAUCCAAAAAUAGUAAAUAGUUUAGAGGGCCGAAUAAUAUAAUUUAACCACUUUAAUUAAUCAAUUUACUUAAUUAAUUAAAACCCAAUUUAUUAAUAAAUUAUUAAUUAUAACUUUAUAUUUUAUUAUUUAAUUUAAUCAUGCAUGACCCACCUUAUAGCUUAAAAAUAUAAUAUGCUCAAAUUAAUAUAAAAUAAGCCAUUUUAUGCAUGAAAACUAUAUAAUAAAGUAUAAAAUAACAUUUUAAUAAUUUCUAUGUCCUAAUUUCAUAUUUUCGCAUAUUUCAUUAAUUUAUUAAAGAAUUACUUGGUUUUAACAACAAAUUGAAGUAAAAGAGGUGAUGAAUUAUAUAGGAAAAAUCCUAUAUAUUUUUCAGUUUACAAUAGUAGAUGGGAUGAAAAAUUUUGUUCCUUCGCUGACACAUGAAAGCUCCGAUCGCGAAGUCACUUGCGUCACACAUCAAUUCAAAUGGAAAAUCCCAGUCUGGUGUGAGUAUUGUGGGUGCUGAGACUAACUAAUUCUUCAAAUCGUUGAAAGCUCUUAAGCUCUCAUCAAAUUUAAAUGCCGUGUCCUUCUCCAAUAAUUUGCAUAAGGGUUUAGCAACUUUACAGAAGUCCUUGAUGAAUCUUCGAUAGAAAUCGGCGUGACCUAAAAUGCUCCUAACACCCUUUACAGAUAUUGGAGGUCGGAGUUUCUCAAUAACAUCUACCUUUAUUUUAUCUACCUCGAUUCCGUGUCUUGUUAUACGAUGCCCUAGAACAAUACCUUCUCGUACCAUGAAAUGACCCUUUUCCCAGUUAAGUACAAGGUUUGUUUCUUCGCAUCGCCUUAGUACCUUGGCUAGAUUGGCUAGGCAAUCAUCAUAUGUAUCUCUGAAUGCUGAAAAAUCAUCCAUAAAAACUUCCAAAUAUUUCUCAACCAUGUGAGUUAAAAUAAACAUCAUACAUCUUUGAAAUGUAGCAGGUGCAUUACAUAAACCAAAUGGUAUGCGCCUAAAUGCAAAUGUACUGUACGGGUAGGUGAAUGUUGGCUUGUGCUGAUCUUCCGGUGCUACUGUAAUCUAAUCAUACCCCGAGUAUCCAUUGAGAAAAUAGUAAUAGUCUCGCCUUGCGAGUCUAUCCAGCAUCUGGUCCAAAAAUGGCAAAGGAAAGUGAUCUUUCCUAGUUGCCUUGUUCAGCUUCCGGUAAUCGAUGCAAAUUCUCCAUCUCGUAAUCGUUCUAGUCAGUAUCAACUCGUUAUUCUGAUUUUCAAUGACAGUGAUACCUCUUUUCUUUGGCACGUACUGGACCGGACUUACCCAUGAACUAUCUGAGAUGAGGUAAAUUAUACCUGCAUCUAACCACUUGAUGAUUUCUUUCUUGAUUACGUCCUUCAUAAUGGGAUUCAGUCUUCAUUGUCCAUCAAUCGUCCCUUUUUUGCCAUCUUCUAAGAUAAUCUUAUGCAUGCAUACAAAUGGACUAAUUCCGCGAAUAUCGGCUAUGGUCCAUCCGAUAGCCUUCUUGAAUUGUGUCAACACCAGGAUGAGUUUCUCUUCUUGCUCAGUAGUUAAUUCUGUUAAAACAAUCACAUGCAGAGUAAAAGAGUUACCUAAAUAAACAUAUUUCAAAUGUGAGGGAAGUACCUUCAGUUCUAAUUUAGGUGGCUCCUCGAUUGACGCUUUUGGUUGGGCAUAAUCCCUUUUCUCUAACUCCAAAGAUUUAAAGCGGGAUUGUGGAUUAAAUCCCCUUUGAUUAGAUUCUAACAAAGCUAAGUAUUCAUCCUCCUCUUCAUCAUUUGGAGGAUCUGAUGUCAAAAUUUGUUCCAAUGGGUCCUGUACAUAAUUGAGUUCCUUCUCCAUGAUUAAAUCCUCUAAAUUAGACACUGUAGAAUAAUCAUCAAUUGUGUCAGGAAAUUGCAUGGGCUUAAAAACGUUAAAUGUUACCUAAUGAUACUGAACACACAUAGUAAGCUCACCCUUCUGCCCAUCAAUAAGGGUCCUUCCGAUUGCUAAGAAUGGGAUUCCUAAUAUGAUUGACACCUCUUUGUUUGCUUCAAUGUCUAGAAGAACAAAGUCAGCAGGAAAGAUAAAUUUGUCUACACGUACCAAUAUGUCAUCGAUUUUUCCUUCUGGAUGUGCUAAGGAUCGAUCUACUAAUUGAAGUGUAAUCGUAGUAGGUCUAAAUUCACCUAUCCCCAACUUCGUAAAUACUAACAUGGGCAUUAAGUUGGUACUCGCAACCAAGUCACAUAGUGCAUUACCACAAUAUGCUACUCCAAUAUUGCAAGGUAUGGUAAAACAUCCAGGAUCUUUCAAUUUUGGGGGUAGUUUAUCUUGAAGAUAUGCACUUCAUUCGUUCGUUAGGGCUAUCGUCUCAAAUUCUCCAAGCCUUUAUUUUUUAGACAGGAUAUCCUUCAUGAAUUUGACAUAGUUCGGCAUUUGUUCAAGUGCUUCAACUAAUGGGAUGUUGAUAUGAAGUUGCUUUAGUACGUCUAGGAACUUCUUGAAUUGAAUUUCCUGCUUCUGCUUCUAAAGUCUUUGAGGGUAGGGUGGUGGAGGUUUCUUUACUGGAAUUGGUUGAUUUUUUUCUGUGGCAAUUCUACAUCUAACGGAGUUAUUAGUUGAUCAGAAUUAGCUGGUUUAGAAGUUACCUUGUUGGAUUUUGUAGAUUCAAUUUUCGGUGAAAUUGGAAUUUCAACACUCGGUUGAACUUCCUCUGAGUCUUGAGCGUCAGCUGGCUUCUUGUCAACUUCAAUGGAAUUGGGCUAUAAAGUCUUUCCACUCCUCAAUGUUAACGCUUUAUAAUGCUCCUUCCUUGGAUUCCUUGGAUUCUCCAUAUCACUAGGUAAAGCACCUUGUGUUCGGUUUCUGAGUUCAGUUGCAAGCUGACCCACUUGAUUCUCCAAAUUCUUUAGAGAGGCAUCAUUUUUCGCCAUGUAUGCCUUCAAUAGAUUCUCUAGGUUAUUGGAUGGUUCAGCUUGGGUUGGUUUCUAAGCUUGUUGGGAAAAACUAGGUUGUUGGGUCGAACUAGGUUGGAAAUGAUUGUUACUGGUUCCUGCCCCUUGGUUACUCCAGGAAAAAUUCGGGUGGUUUCGCCGUGAUGGGUUAUAAAAAUUGGGUUGCAGCCCUUGACUUCCUCGAUUUUGGUUUUGGUUACCCGUGUAAUACACAAAUUUUAGGUUCGAUGGACAUUCUUUGAACAAAUGUCCUUCCCCACAAUAAACACAGGCUACAUUUUCAAAUUGAUUUAGUGGUUGUGCUGCAAAACUAUUACACCCAUUAGUAGUAAGAUUUUUUUUAUCAUUGAGGAUAUUGAUGAUACUUGUUCAUGUAUUCCAGCGACUUGUCUUACUGACUCUACUCGAUUGGUUGACCAUUGAUAAUUGUUGUUGGCAAUCCUCUCAAUGAUUUCAUAAGCCUCAUUAUAAGACUUAGAAAGGAGAGCACCAUUAGUAGAAGCGUCCACUACUAUCCUCGGGUGAGCAUUGAGACUAUUAUAAAAUGUCUCAAGUUGUAUGCAAUGUGGGAUUCCGUGAUGAGGGCACUUCAGUAAUAAUUCUUUAUACCUUUCCCAUGCCUCAUACAAUGACUCAUCAUCCAUUUGUUGGAAAGCAGUGAUCUCGUUCCUCAACUUAGCAUUCUUGCUAGGCGGGAAAUACUUCAUAAGGAAUUUUUCUGCUUACUCUUGCCAUGUAGAAAUUGAGUUUGGUGGUAAUGAGUUCAACCAAGCUUGAGCUCUAUCCCUUAGUGAAUAUGGGAACAGCUUCAAUCGUAAUGCAUCUUCGAGUAUUCUGGCUAACUUGAAAGAAUCACACACCUCCAUAAAUAGCCUUAAGUGUAGGUGAGGAUCUUCGGUAGGCAUUCCACUGAAUUGACCCACUGUCUGAAGCAUCUGGAACAUGAUUGGCUUCAACUCGAACUGUUGUGCCUCAAUUUCAGGUCUCCUAAUACUCAGAUUAAGAUCAUGAAAUACUAGCACGGCUUACUGUCUCAAAGCUCUAUCCCUAUCAUCAGCAAUAAGGAUAGGAUUUUGAGCAAGGUUUGCUCUGUUUCCUUGAUUUGGAUUUUCGAAGUUCAUCUCUUUAAUCUUUCUCUGACUUGCUUGUCUUCUCCGCUGUCAAAAACUUCAUUCAAUCUAAGGGUCUAUAGGGAGUAAAUCGAUGAUUCGAUCAAUACUCAUAAACACCUGAAAUAAUCACAGAAAAAUUAAAUAAGUUAAAAUUUGAACAGAAAAAUAAACCAAAAUGCAAAACUAACAACUUGACAAAUAAUGACUUUUUUUAAAACACAGUCCCCGGCAAUGGCGCCAAAAACUUGGAACGACGAAAAUGUGCAAGUGUACACACUCGCAAUAAGUAAUAAAGUGACAAGUAACUGUCGAGUUAUCGUACCCAUAAGGACUGUGAAAAGAAUUAUUUAUGAAUGCUAUUUAAAACACUUUGAUGAAGAAAAAUAUUUUGUUGAAGAGGGUGAUAAAAACUAAGAUUUUAAACUAAGUAAACUAAAAUAAAUAAAUCUCAAAUGCAUGAUUUCAAAAUACGAUUUUAAUCAAGAUGACAUAAUUGUGUUAGAUUAAUUACAUUUCUUAACUUAGAAUUAUUAAACUCAUGUUUAUAUUGUUACGAAUAAGUUCACGGCAACUCGGUAAUUUGCUAACUUAUGAACAUACUCACCUGCCAAAAUCCAUUUAUCUCUUGACUAUAUCCCUAUGUCAAUUCAACCGAUUAAACAAAUCUUAAUAGGCAAAUAUGUUAUUGCACAUACAUACUUAUUAAAUCGAAAUAAUCUCUUGUACAUAUCCCUAUGUCAAUUCAAACAAUUAACUUGAUUUAAUAAGCACAUAAAAGACUAUGUGAGGUAACAAAGUAUCCUUACCUUGAAACAAUUUAAUCAAAAUAAUCUUGCAAGUUAUGCAAGGCAAAUGUAUCAUCAGAUACCGUUGCUAAUCUAACCCUCAGCUACCUUAGAUGAUUAAACAUGCACUGAUUAAAUACUGUGUCCAUUAAUUACAAUUUCAAUCCGUUUAAAUAAUUAAUUCGUUAGUUACCUAACAAUUGUAAUGCAAGAAUAACUUAGUCAUGAUUUUACUCAAUCAAGCAUCUUACCGAGGCUUAUAACAAUAUAAAGACAAUUUUAAUAAUUUUAACAAACGAAAUGCAAUCAAACUAACACGAAUUAAAUUUAAGCUAAAUUGAUUAAAUUAACCAUUCCAACAACAUAAAUAUUCAUAGAUAUGUUUAGCAUAACAAAAAAAAAUUAAAGAGACAAGGAACAAGAAUCAAAUCUGGUGUUUUCCCAUGGCUUGACUAGUUGCUCCGUUCUUCCUUCUCUGUUUUCCUUAUCGACCAAGGAUGCUAUGAACACUUAAUUGAUGCUCCAAAUAGCUUAUGAAUGCCCAUUUCCCAAGAGGAUAAAUUGGCAAAAGAGCAAGGGAAUUUUGGAAUGGAAAGAAGAGAGAAAGUGGAGAGAAGAGAGGAAAGAUGUGAAUGCUUGAUGUGUGUUUCUAAAAUGACUAGUCUAAGGGGGUUUUUAUAGCUGAGGAGGGCUGCUAAAAAUAGCUAAAAUUAUCAGCCAAAGAGCCCUCCCUUGGCUGGCCACACAUGUGGCAAGGUUGAUAGUUUCAACUUUGCUAAUUUAGGCUUGGGGGAAAUCUAUAAAGCCACCAAUUGUUGAGGGGUUUGAAUGAAACUUGAACAAGUCUUCAAGGGCCUCUUUGCAAGAUUAAAUAAUAAGCUAAUAAGCUUAUUUGGGUCAGCUCUUGGGACGGUUUUUGGGCUGUCCAUUUCUUGAUCGGUUCGGUUCACUCGGUUCAGGUCAACUGGACCACUUUUUCAUAAUUAAUUAAUAAUAAUUUAUUAACCCAAAUUAAAUUGGAUAUAAAUUAAAAUUAAUUAUAUUAUGAAUUGAUACAUAUAAUUUUGAACCGUCUUAGGCUGAAAUUUAGUUUUCCUCGAUGCUUCAAAUUGCUCCUCGGUUUUGUGCUACUAGCAGUGUCUGCCGAGCCAUUUUUCCCCCUUUGUGCAAAUCUGUCGAAAAUAACCAAAAUUCAUCAAAAUUAAUUAUAAAAUUAACUAAAAUUCAACAUGUUCAUAUUUUCAAUGCACUUUAAUUAUUUUGUAAAAAUUAAUUAUUUUUUCGACAAGAAUUUUAUCGAAAUUGUUUGAUUUUAAGUUAAAAAGGAUAUGUAAAAAUGUAUAAAUUUCCAUGUUUCCAUUAACACAUUAGUAUCAUUUAUUACAAUUCAUCCCAUUCCUCACAUUUUCUACUAUUUCAACCACAAUUCAAAAUAUAAUCGCAUAUCAUCAAUUUAGUCCACUUGAUGUCCAAACAAUAUCUAUAUGCCUUUUAAGAAUAUAAAAUUACCAUGAAUAUAUCAUACACUCGUAUACUAAAUUUUACAUUCAUCCAAUACUGCAUAUCUAUCUAUAUUUAUCACAAUUCUCAUAUUUUUCAAUAUAGUCCUUUCUUCACCUUUUUAUAUCAAAUUGUAUACAAUUUAAAAUGCAUUCAAUUAUUAUAAGUUUACAAUCCAACCAUAAACAUUACAUGAAUAUACUUAAUUAUACCAUAUGAGCUUGCCAAGUACAAAAACAAUAGAUGAAGUGUUAGAGACUAAUUUACAAAUUUCCCCUUUUCCUCGAUUAUCUACUAAUUGGUUCCAUUUUUGAUCUAUAUGUUUAUUUAUUUCAAACUAUCACCUCUAAUUAACUUAUAAAUACUUAUUUAAGGCAUUUUACAACUUAAUUUCAUUUUACAUGAUUUUCCUAAAGUUUUGCAUUUAAUUCAAUUUAGUCCUUAAAUUGAUAUAAUUAUAUCUUUCAAUUUUAAGCUUCUUUUUUCAAUCCAAUUUCAAUUUCAUCCUUAUACAAUCCUCUAAAUUUAAUAAUCAUAUAAAUUUCAUGUCAAUUUUAAAAUAUUUUCAUUUUAGUCCCUAAACUCAAAAUUAAUAAAAAUCACUUUACAAAUUAGUCCCUAAUCAUUUUCAAGCUUUCAAAUCUACCAUUUAACACAAAAAAUUCAAAUAAAAACAAUGACAAAUUUUUUUAAACUUUAGCUGUUUCAGAAUUGAAAGUACAAUUUAGCUAAAUCGAGUUAUAACAAUCUCAAACAUGUAAAAUUUACAAAAAAAUGGACUUUGUAUACCUUAACAUGCAUGGCCAAAAGCUUCACUUGAAGUUCACUUUCUUUUGUUUCAAUCGGUGGAGAAAGACACCAAAAGCAAAAAUGAUGGUGACUUUUUUUCUUUUUAUGUUUUGUAAUUGACUAAUAAUAUAAUUAUAAAUAAUAAUAUGGUUUACAGUUUUUAUGAUUUAAAGUUGGAUUAAUUCUCAUUUAAAUCCCUAUAUAUUCAUUAAUUAAACAUUUUAUAAGCUAAAAUUCAAUAGUGAUCAACUUUUACAUUUUUUACAAUUUAGCCCUUUUACAUUAAUUAAUCUCUUAAUUGGCAAAAUUACUAGUCCAAAAUUCAAUUCACCUAUAAAAUAACUCAAUAAAUAUUUAAUAAAAUAUUUACAGGCUUAGUUUUCAAAAAUGCGAUUCUGUUACUUCAUUUUCCAAAACCACUAACUUUAGGGUCAAAUCACUUGUACUUUAACUAACUGACCAAUUAGCAAAAUUUAUUAGAUCAAUUUUCAAUAUAACUUUAUAAUUGACUCAUAAAUAUUAAAAAUAAUAUUUACAGAUACACUUGUCAGAAUUGGGGUCCCAAACCCGCUAUUUUCAACACCAUUGAAAAAUAGGCUGUUACAAUUCAUCAUAACGGUUCUUAUUUGCAAUCUAUGCAAAGUUAUGUUGAGUUAACGAAGGGACUGGUCAAACAUAUAUAACUAGGACUUAAAUAAUUUGUAAUUAAGUUCCAACUUUUCAUCUAUUAACCACAAAUUAUUUAGUCAUGGAGUCAAUCAACUAAAAGUACCAUGACUAAUCUCCUCAUUAUAUACCAUUACUAAAGCAACUAACAUUUCACGUUUUUAUCCAAUGACCUCGUCAAUAGUGUGUUACCCUCAUAGGAUAUCCUUGAUCACUUUAGAUUAGAAUCUAUUCAUCUAAUUUGAUCCUAUUUUAUCUCAUGGUGACCAUUGCAUCUUCCAUAAUGAAAAAAAUCACUACUUACAAAUAGUAAUGAUAAUCAUUUGUCCCAUAUGAAUGACCAUUAUUAUGUUCCUUUUUUAUAAUGCAUGCAACACCAGUGAAAGGAUAUCAUUUACUCUUUAAUUGAGUUAUGAAUUCUACUAUUGUAAGUGAAGCUAUGUUAUACAUAAGUCAUAUACUUAAUAUACCAGCUUUUGACUUCAAUACCAAUGGAACAUAGGCUUUUAAUAUGUCAAACCAUGUGAUUCAAGUACACAUGGUCAACCACUUACUCAAGAUUGGGGAAAGUUACACUGGAAAUGUCACAAAUGAAUAAAGUCAUAAAUGCAUCCAAGGUAAAUUCAACUUGAAUCUUGUCUGAUAUAUUAUAAGUCAGACGAUCACACCUAUGUUUCUAUUUUUUGGGAGUCAACUACCCUAUUACCCAAGAUAAGGUAUCUCCUUAGUUGGACUUAAUAGAUAACAUAAUAGUUCCAUGAAUCAAUAGCUCAUUUUGUUUCUUUUGACUAUGACUAGUUAGACUACCACUAAUAUUAGUUAUCUUCCCACAUCAUAAUCCUUUCCCUAUUAUUCAACUUAAUAUUAGUUAAAUCUAGGUAAUAAAUGAGCUAAUGUUUGUUUAUUCAGUUUACUUUUCAUGCAAAAACCAUUGAAAACAAGCAUACAGAGACAUAAUAAUUUAACUAUGAAAUUUUCUUUAACUAAUAUGUUUGAAAAAUUACAAGCAAAAUGGUGAAACAAAAAAAAAUCCUAUCAAUUUUGGUAUGCCAAAAUUUGGUCUCUCAAUCUAUGCUAAAAUUUAUAAGCAAAAUCCAAAUUUUCUAUAGAGAUUUAUAUCAAAAUUUCUAAGCAAAUGCUCUAAAAAGUUUGACAUUUCAUUCGAAAUUUUAGCAUUUAAUUGAGAGAUCAAAUUUUAAUAAUGAUUUAACUUAGAAAUUUUGGUAUUUCUUAAUUCUAAGAAAACAUAAUUUUAAACAAAACUUAAGAAGUUUUUUUUAUAAUUUACCAAAAAAUGUAUUUAUUUCUUCUUUUUUUUAUCGAAAUAAUCGACUACAAGUUGUUAGGAGAUUGUUUCUAAGAAACCCAAUAGAAUAGAAAACAGAAAGAAAGAGCAGAGAAAGAGGAGAAAAUUUUCACUAAUUUAUCAAUAUCCAAAAACAUGCCUUCCUUUUUUCCUCGAUUUGAUUAUAAUAAAAAAGAAGGAUUGCCACAUGGAAAGAAAGCAAAAGUAGUUACAACUGAAAGAAAACACAUCGUUUAACAAAGACAAAUCAAAAUGAUUUGUUUCAUUAAAACCCUUUUUUCCAUAAAACGCUGCGCAAAACAUUUUCCCAAAACAUAGCAAAAUAACAGAAAUUUAAAACUUAUUAAAACACCCUUAACAAAUACUCCCCUCAUCGAAAAUCCUUGACCUCAAUGAUCAAAAGAGGAAUAGAUUUGCUUGAAGUUAGACAAGACUUCCCAUGUUGCAUUCUCUAGAAAGGAAUUAGCCCACUCAACCAAAACCUCAGUCACUACAUGGUGACCCUUCUUGGAAAUCCGACGAUCUAAAAUUUGAGAUAACUCCCUCAACAGAAUUCCUUUAGGACUAGUAGGUGGUAAAGUGGCAGCACUAGGUUGACAACCCACAUGACGUUUGAGUUACAAAACAUGAAAAGUAGGGUGGAUCUUCGAUCCCUCAGGCAGCUGCAAGGUAUAUGCAACGUGUCCCACCUUAGCCUUGAUAAAAAACGGUCCAAAAGAAUCUAGGGGAGAGCUUCUGAUUUUUUAUUUUCCUUAAGGAAUGUUGCCUAUAGGGUUGAAGCUUUAAAUAUACCCAAUCACACUCAAGAAAACUUCUUUCACUUUUUUCUUAUCUGGGUAGUGCUUCAUACGAUCUUGGGCACGCUGGAGAUGGUACAUGAGUAAUUAUCGAGUAGUUUCUCUUCGUUGUAAGCUAUGAUCCAUAUUGUCAAAUUUAGAAGAGCCAAUCAAGUAAUGGAGCUGUUGAGGAGGUGGCCGACAAUACAUGGCUUCAUAUGGAGUGGUCUAAAUGACAGAAUGAGAAGUUGAGUUGUACCACCAUUCUGCCAAUAAUAGCCAAAGAACCUAAUCUCCAAGUGACUGCCACGGGACAUACCAAAGUCCAAAGUAGAAAUCCUACACAAAAUAUGUUAAAAAAGUGGUAUCCACAAGUAUACGGGUCAGGUUGUAAUAUAGUUACAAUGAAGUAGAACACUAGAGGCAAGCACUAAAUUAAUUCUAACCUAAACAAAAAUAGAGUUAACUAGUGCUUUAAAUAAAUUAUAUUAUGACUGAACAUAAAGAAAGAGUUUUGUUAUAACAAAAGCAAUAAAAUAAGAAGUACUUAAUCAGAUCUGAGCAGGGGUGAUUAGCUCGCUUAGGUAAUCAUAACUAACUGUUGAUUCGGGUUUCCUGUUCAAUCAACUAGUUAUUACCCUAGCAAGAUCUCUCGAUCUUCCACUAGAAUAAUGACUUAGCAAGAACUACUUAUCUCUCCACCUCAUAGUUCAAACUGGUUCAGGGAUAAGGUGUUCAUAGAUAGGCCAUACCAAUUUUGGGUUAAUUCCCACCUAAAAGACUUCCUAAACUUGUCUAGCCUAGGGUUUAGAUUCUUCCUUUUCUAAACAGUUGAUCCGCUAAGAAAACAUUGUACAACAAUCAAUUAGUCAUACCUCCACUCACUAAUCCCCCACAAGAGAAUUAGUUCCUCAUGGAUCUCAAAAACAUAAUAAACUAGAUAUAAAAGAUGAAAAUUAAUGGUAAAUCAAUAUAAGAAGGUUUAAGAGAAGCCUGAAUUGUAUUUAAUUGAAUCACAAAAUCAAAAAAGAGUUGAUUGAGUUCCACAAAUCAAGUGUGUCGAAACCAUUUUUUUGAAAAUGGGUCGACUUGGAUUUUGAAAAAUGAAAAAAUGGGAGUCGCCACCAAUCCUUUUUUUUUGAGGUGUGAUUGGGUCACCUUGAUAUUAAAACAUUUUAAUUUAUUAAAACGAUGAUUUUGGCCUACGAAAUUCGAGGAAACGGGUUCGAAAGUAGGUUACGAACGAGGAAGGAUUAGCACCCUCGUAACUCCCAAAAUUGGUACCAAAUUGGUUGAUUAACAUCUUAAUAUCAAAAAUUUGAAAAGAUUUUUAAAAUACGAUCCUCUUUGUUUAAAGAAAAACUUAAGUUAAAAUGGAUGCUGAGACCCACCUAUUUCGAAGAAGUAAAAGGUCAUACCCAAUGAGUUAGGAUACGACAUUUUGAAUCCUUGAAAAAAGUUUUUAUUUAAUUUUUAUGCUUUGAUUUUAAAAAGAAAAUAAUAGGGCCUUUGAUGAGAAAAAUCGAAACCCAGUAAGUUAAGGCACGAUUUCUUUCGAACCUUAAAACGUGGAGUAUUUGCUUAUUCCAAAAAAAAAAAUUAAUGCAUAGGAUAAAAUGUAAUACGAUUAUAGUAAAACGAAAAAUGAAUUAUAGUGCCAAUAUGCAUAAUAGAAUAAAAAUGAGGGCAAUAAUAUAAAUAACAAUAAUAAAGGCAAAAAUAAAAUACAAUAAAAUAAAAGCUAAAACAAACAAUCUAUAUAAAAUAAUAGGUAAAAAUGAAUAAAUAAAUAAAUAAAUAAAUAAACAAAUAAAAGAAAAGAAAAUAAUAACAAAAAUAAAAGCUAAUAGUAAAUAAAUAAAUAAAUAAAUAAAUAAAUACUAUGUACAAUAGCUGAAAGGUAAUAAAAUAAUAAUGAUAACAAUAAUACAAUAAUAAUAAAUUAUAAUAAAAAUACAUUAAUAAACAAAUAAUAAUAGUAAAUAUAAUCAAGAGUAAUAAUAAUCAUAAUAAUAAUGAUAAUAGUAGUGAAAAUGACAAAAUAAAUAAUCUACUAUUUGAAAGCAUAUAUAAAAGGAUAUAAAAUAAAUUUAAUGAAUAAAAUAAUCAUAAUGAAAAUAGUAAUAAUAAAAUAAAAAAAUAAAAAAUAAAUAGAGUCUAUUUAAAAAAGUAAAUAAAAAUAGGCAUAAACAUUCAACAUUAAAUACAUCAAUUUAAUAAUAUAAUAAUAAUAGUGGUAGCAAUAAAAAUAAUAAUAAUGAUAAUUAAAAUUAAUUAAUUUAAUAGCAAAAAUAACAAAAUGGACUAACUUGAAUUUAAAACAGAAAUUUAGGGGCAAAUCUAAAAUAAAUAAAAAUAAAAGGACCACAUUGAACGCUCAAAUAACAGAGCGGGACCAAAAGGGAAAUUAAUCCUUGCCAUCCAAAACGACGUCGUUCAAUUAUGGACCUAAUUGUAAUCGAAAUAAAUUAUGGGGUACAAAUUAAAGAUAAGAAAGACUCGAUUACAAAAGAAUAAAAAAGUGGAAGGGCUAAAAGCGCAAUUAGCCCCUCCAUUAAAAACGUGCGGAUCCUAGGAUCAGGUCGAGUCAGCGCACGGGUCAUUGGCAAAACGGCGCCGUUUUGAGGCCACCGAAACAGGCCCCAAUCAACGUCGUUCGAAUGACUUAUAAAAUAGAAUUUUUUUUAAAACCUUCACUUUUGUUGUUUUGUUUAAAAAAACAAAAGGGGGAGGGUUGUUUUCUCUGCUAGGCAUCCUUCUCCGACCGCAGGUCCACUCAUCGGACCGCCGUCGUUCGCCGCCAAUGACCGCCGUGCGCGGCAGUCGAACCCCUCCCAGGUUAGUUUUUUACUCUAUUUUAAUACAUAUAUAAAAAAAUAAAAACCAAAAAUCUUUAUAUAUUUAUAAGAAAUUUCGAAGAGAAAAACAGAAAGAAAAAUAAGAAAGAAACCUUUGCUGAUUUGCUCUCUGAUUUUUUAUUAAUUUCCUCUUUUUUUAUUCGUCAAUCCGUUUACGGGUGCAAAAAUCAGCUUUAUAUAGCCAAAUGAAAAUACAAAAAAAUAUUUAUUUAUUUUUACUUUUAUAUUUUUUGCUAUUUUUUUCUGCUAUUCUUUUUUCUAGAAUGUCGCCCUUUGCUAUUAUUCGCAUUUGUUGUUGCUGUUUGUUUCUGUUUGUUGCAGGUUCGGCCAGCUGGAGGCGCGUGGGUGAGGGCAGUGGCUGGUGGCUGGUGGCUGCUAUUGUGGCGUGCGGCGGCUGAGUUUGUUCCUACCCAGGCUAGGGUUUUUUUUAAUAUGGGUUUGGGUUUCUGUAAUUUGGCCAUUUGGGCUGUAUUGUUUUGGGCCAAUGUAAAUGGACUGUUAUUGGACUGCUAUUUUAUUUUUAUUGAUUUAUUAUUUAGUUGUAAUUUCUGGUUUUGGGCCCCGGGCAAAAUGGGCCGUUUACAGCUGCCCCUCCUUGCUCAUUAUCGUGUAACCCCUCUUUGCCUCUCUUGGUGCUUCUCUUCUGCAAGUAGCCUAAUUCCAACCCACUGCAUCUUCUUGCUUCGAUCCACUCUACUGCAACUUUAGAUAUGACUCGUACCUUUAAUCUACUCUACCGCGACCACUGCAACUUCAAAGGUAUAGGAUUUUUCAUUUUAAUCCUCUCCACUACAACUUCAGGGAGAUAGGAUUGGUGGCUUCAAUUUGCUUCACUGCAACUUUAGGAAGAUAAGAUUCGUGAUAAAUUGUAUCUUUAAUUUGUUCCGCUGAAACGUUAGGGAAAUAAGAUUCGCUGCCUUCAGCUUUAAUCUGUUUCACUGCAACGCUAGAGAAAUAAGAUUCGUUAUCUUCAGUCUGCUCCAGUGUAACUUCAAGGAGAUAAGGCUGGUAGCUUCAAUCUGCUCCACUGCAACUUCAGGAAGAUAAGAUCCGCCAUAAUUUGUAGCUUUAAUCUGUUCCACUGCAACGCUAGGGAAAUAAGAUUCGUUGUCUUCAGCUUUAAUCUGUUCCAUUGCAAUGCCAGAAAAAUAAGAUUCGCUGUCUUCAGUCUGCUCCACUGUAACAUCAGGGAGAUAAGGCUAGUGGCUUCAAUCUGCUCCAUUGCAACUUCAGGAAGAUAAGAUUCGCCAUAAUUCGUAGCGUUGAUCUGUUCCACUGCAAUGCCAGGGAGAAAAGAUUCGUUGCCUUCAGCUUUAAUCUAUUACACUGCAACGCUAGGGAAAUCAGAUUCACUGCCUUCAGCUUUAAUCUGUUCCACUGCAACCCCAGGGAAAAAAGAUUCGCUGCCUUCAGCUUUAAUCUGGUCCACUGCAACGCUAGGGAAAUAAGAUUCACUGCCUUCAGCUUUAAUUUGUUCCACUGCAACGUUAGGGAAAUAAGAUUCACUGCCUUCAACCUUAAUCUACUGCAACGCCAGGGAAAAAAGAUUCACUACCCUCAGCUUUAAUCUAUUCCACUACAACGCCUAGGAAAAAGAUUCACUGCCUUCAGCUUUAAUCUGUUCCACUGCAAUGCUAAGGAAAUAAGAUUUGCUGCCUUCAGCUUUAAUCUACUUCAACACCAGGGAAAUAAGAUUCGUUGCUUUCAGCUUUAAUCUGUUCCACUGUAACGCCAAGCAAAUAAGAUUCGCUGCCUUCAUCUUUAAUCUAUUGUAACGCCAGGGAAAUAAGAUUCAUUGCUUUCAGCCUUAAUCUACUGCAACGCCAGGGAAAAGAGAUUUGCUGCCCUCAACUUUAAUCUAUUCCACUGCAUCGCCUGGGAAAAAGAUCCGCUACCUUCAGCUUUAAUCUGUUCCACUGCAAUGCCAAUGAAAUAAAAUUCGCUGCCUUCAGCUUUAAUCUACUGCAACGCCAGGGAAAUAAGAUUUACUGCUUUUAGCUUUAAUCUAUUCCAUUGCAACGCCAACAAAAUAAGAUUCACUGCCUUUAGCUUUAAUCUACUGCAACGCUAGGGAAAUAAGAUUCACUACCUUUUGUUUAAUCUAUUCCAUUACAGCGCCAAGGAAAUAAGAUUCGCUGCCUUGAGCUUUAAUCUACUAGAAUGCCAGGGAAAAAAGAUUCGCUACCUUCAACCUUAAUCUGUUCCACUGCAUUGCCAAGGAAAAAAGAUUUGCUGCCUUCAGCUUUAAUCUAUUCCACUACAAUGCCAAGGGAAAAAGAUUUGCUGGCUUUAGCUUCAAUCUACUUCAAUGCCAGGGAAAUAAGAUUCGCUGCCUUCAACUUUAGUUUAUUCCAUUGCAAUGCUAAGGAAAUAAGAUUCGCUGCCUUCAACUUUAAUCUGUUCCACUGCAAUACCAGAGAAAUAAGAUUCGCUGCCCUCAGCUUUAAUCUGUUCCACUACAAUGCCCAGGAAAAAAGAUUUGCCAUAAUGACUUUAAUCCUUCCCACUGUAACUUCAGCGGUAUAGGAUUUGUGGUUUCACUGAUCUGUUCUCUGGGGAACAUGACCUGUAAAAUCCAUUUCAUAGGUCUAUUCAUGCCUAGUGAUUAGGAUGUUAUGAUUGAAAUGAAAUCAAAAUAUCCUAACUAGAUGUGUAUGAAUGAAUGCAGAAUGUCAUGAAAAUGAUCCCUUAAUGUUUGAGUUAUUAUUGCUCGUUAUUCAUUAAGGCUCUAUCAUCGACACGUCAGAAUGCCAUCUUGUUCAGCGGGUAUUUCCACAGAAACACUCAUAUUUUACAUAAUCAGAUUACCCCCACUAUAAUCUUCAAGGUUCAAUCCACUAUAAUCUUCAAGGUUUAAUCCACUAUAAUCUUUAAGGUUCAAGCCACUGUACUUUUGGGACAUAAAAUUUGAACCAUUUUACUCUCACUGUAAUUUAGGAGUAUAAGAUCUGGCCUUCUCAAUCCUCUCCUACUGGAAUUCAAGGAUAUAGGAUUUGAAUCUCUUUGGUCUCCUACACCAUUCUCAGGGUGUCAUAACAAAUGUUUAUGCACAAUUGUAGAAUUUUAUUCUCCAAGAAAAACCUCUUCCUAUUACUCUGUGAUCAUUACUUGCUUGUUCAUUGAAGCUUUAUCACCAACACGAUAUCUUGUCAUUUUUUUAAAUUAAUACUUUUGACAACAAAAUCUAAAGAGAUAGUCUUAAUUUAGACUUUUCCUUCUCAGAUAUUUCAACCUUUAAACUUGGUGAAUUCUAAACAAUAGUCCUGUUUCAGGUUCCUGUAUUAUUUAGAAACUUCUAGAGUAAUAUGCAGAACUUCCUUUGUGAAAGUAUUGUUAGUCCAUUAAUAAUGCAACAUGCUUGCAAAAGAUCAUAACACUGGAUAAGAGUAAAAUUGAUUUGGAGCAUAGCUCAAAAUGAAUAAAUUAUCAAGGAUGAUAUAAAAAGAGAAUUGAUUGGGAACACGUAUCUUGAAAAGAAUAAAGUAUUCCAAGAAUAGCAAAUCCAAUAUAAGUAACAUGAAGACUAGAUGCCCCAGAUAUCGCAGCUUGAACUUCUCUGUACAAACUUCUAAGAACCGUUUUGUCUUUGACAUGUGUUUAGGAGAUCUAUAGUACUUUGUCGAUGCCCCAGAUGUCGCAUACCCCUUUCUUGUUAAUUCAGGUAUAGCAAGAUCACCGCAUGCCCCAUUUUGAUCAUUAUUUGAGCCGCCCUUUUUGGGUUUUCAAAUCAAAUCCCCUUUGGUCUCAAGGCGCCCUUUGCGGGUUUUCACCUUGGCCUCUCCUUUUUUUUGAAUUCAAAGUGCCAUUUGCGGGUUUUCACUUUGGUCUUUUUUUUAGGACUCAAGACGCCCUUUGGGGGUUUUUACCUUGGUCUCUUUUUUAAGACUCAAAGCUCCCUUUGCAAGUUUUCACCUUGGUCCUUUCUUCUUCUUUAGGUGAAGUAUUUCUUGAUUGAAUCUGAGUUUACAGGAUUUGGCAGGUUUUUACCAUCCAUCUCACUCAAAAUCAAUGCCCCUCCAGAAAAGGCUCUUUACAACAUAAGGCUUUUCCCAAUUUGGCAUCCACCUCUUUCUAAAAUCCUUUUGUAGGGGAAGGAUCUUUUUCAACACCAACUCUCCCUCAUCGAAUUCUCUGGGAUGAACCUUUUUGUUGUAAGCUCGUAUUAUUCGUUUUUUGUACAUCUAACUUUGACGGAUAGCCCUCAGCCUCUUUCUUUCAAUCAAGAUCAACCGGAUUCAUUCUACUUCAUCUAAUUUUAGUUCUGACAAAACUCGGAGAGAAGGAAUCUUGAUUUUAAUGGAAAAACCGUGAUAAGCCAAAGAGAAAGGCGUUGCCUCAGUAGAAGUUUUUGUUUCUUUUUGUUUUUUGUUUUUGUUUUGUGUUUUUUGUGUUUUUUGUUUUUUGUCUUUUUGUCUUUUUGUUUUUUAUUUUUUUGUCCUCUAUUGCCCUUCAUUUUGGGGUGAUAUGGCAACGAGUUAUGGUGUCUGAUCUUGAAUUGAUUACAGACCUCUGCUAUUAUGCUGUUGUUCAAAUUCAACGCAUUAUCAGAUAUGAUUCUUUCUGGCAUUCCAUACCAACAUAUGAUCUCCUUUUUCAAGAAUUUGUCGACUACCGACUUUGUGAUGUUAGCAUAUGAAGCAGCUUCCACCCACUUAGUAAAGCAAUCAAUGACCACAAAGAUGAAGUGAUGCCCAUUAGAAGCCUUCGGCGAUAUUGGUCCAGUGACAUCCAUGCCUCACAUGGAGAAAGGCUAUGGAGAAGUCAUAAUGUGAAGAGGUGUGUGGUGGAGGUAGUUCUCAUAUCACCUUGACUUCAUCUGGAUCGACCUUGAUUCCUUUUUCACUGACUAUGAAGCCUAACAGCUUUCCUGACCUAGCUCCGAAAGUGUAUUUUGCUGGAUUGAGCUUGAGUUGGAACUUCCUUAAUCUUAAGAACAAUUUUCUCAGGACUUGUACAUGUUUCUUUUUUGUUUAGGAUUUUGCAAUCAUAUCACUGACAUAAACCUCAAUUUCCUUGUGCAUCAUGUCAUGGAACAAGGUUACCAUGGCUCUUUGAUACAUUGCUCCCGUAUUCUUUAAUCCAAAUAACAUCACUUUAUAGCAAAACGUUCCCCACAGGGUCACAAAUGUGAUCUUUCCCAUGUCUUCAGGAUGCAUCUUUAUCUAAUUGUAUCCAUAGAAGCCGUCCAUGAAGGAAAAUAGUGAGUAGCCUGUUGUAUUAUCCACCAAAGUGUCAAUGUGAGGCAAUGGGAAAUUGUCUUUUGGGCUGGCCUUGUUAAGUCCCUGUAAUCCACACACAUUCAUACUUUCCCAUCUUUUUUAGGGACAGGGAUGAUGUUGGCUACCCAUUCUGAAUAUUUGACCACUUGUAAGAACCCAACAUCAAACUAAUUUUUGACUUCUUCCUUUAUUUUUAGCACAAUAUCAGGCCUCAUCGUCCGGAGCUUCUGCUGAACUGGCUUGCAAUCCUCUUUCAUAGGAAGACGGUGUACUACAAUGUCUAUGCUCAACCUGAGCAUAUCUUGGUAUGACCAUCCAAAGAUAUCUUUGAAUUCUUGGAGUAAUUCAACGAGGUCUUACUUCGUCUUUGGGGUAAUGUUAGUUUCAAUCUUCACCUCUUUUCCCUCUUCCAAGCUCACAAUUUUCAUUGAUUCCUUGUGAGAUAGGAUUUGUUUCUCCUCUUAUUCUACAAUCCCCAACAAGUCGGGAGAUAAGCCACAAUCUACAUCAUCUUCAAAGUCAUGAGAUCCUUUUAAACACAUGUCUUGUUCAAAAGGAAAUUCUGAGUUUGUAGCAGUGUCACUCAUGUCGUUGAUAUCCAGGAACCUAUUGUAGGUACCAAAGAAUAUACAAAGAAUGUACAAAUUUAAGAAUAAUUGUCUGUACAGUAUGAUUAUGAAUGAAAUGAAAGAAUGAUUUGGAAGAAAAUCUCCAAAAGAAUGAAAGAAUAAUUACUCCUAUGGAAAGAAUGAAAGAAUAUUUGCUCAAAAUGAAUGCAAAGAUGUAUUUCAUUGAAAUAAAGAUGUUCAGACAUGAGCCUAUUUCAUAGAAGGAUUCUUAUCACUUUUAAGCAACAAGUGUGUUCUGAAUAUUACUCUACGUAAGCUCUAAAAACUAUAGGGAUUUCUUCUGCACUCCAAUUGUUUAGCACGCUCCUAGGUUCAUAAGGGCAGAUAUCUAACAAGGUCCCUCAUUCAGUUGCUUCUUCGUAUAUGACAUUGAUGUGAACAUUUUCAAACAUUUAUUCAUACAUCGCAUUCACCCCAUUAUCAAUAUGAUUGGGUAGCAGAUUUUCUGUACUGGAUGAAUCAUCGAAUUUGACAAUGCCCAUAUUGAUAAACCUUUCGAUCGACUUUUUAAAGGCAGUGCAAUUUUCUAUAGAAUGCCCAGUAAUUCCCGCAUGACAGUCACAUUGUGCAUUCGCAUCAUACCAUUUAGGAUACGGAGGUUGUAAGGGUUUUAAGUAGAAAGGGGAACAACUGUGCAUCAAAUAAAUUCUGAUAGAGCUCCCUAUACGACAUUAGGAUUUGUGUAAAUUGGAGUUUCUCAGUGUUUUGCCUUGUGCCAAAUUCUUGUCUUGAUGAACCUUGUUCACCAGCAACCACCUUUAUCGAUUUAGAGUAACCUUUAUUAUAUGUACUUGUGUUGUUCACCUCAUUUUCCUUUUUCUUUGAAGGUGACCUUUUGUUAUUUUCUCCAGCAUCGAUCUUUCCACUCCUUAUGGAAUUCUCAAUCAUCUCGCCAUUCAUAAUUAUAUCUGAAAAAAAUUUUGUGGCGCUCCCUAACAUGUGUGUGAUGAAUGGGGUUUUUAGUGUGUUGAUAAAGAGCAUCGUCGUUUCUUUCUCUAGGAGUGGUGGCUGAACUUGGACGGCAACUUCCUUCCACCUCUGUGCAUAUUGCCUAAAACUUUCAUUCGGUUUCUUCUCCAUGUUUUGCAGAGUAAUUCUAUUAGGAAUCAUAUCAGUUACAUGACUGCACUACUUCAUGAAUGCUUGUGCUAGGUCCCUCUAUGAACCAAUCUUGAUACGACUCAAUUGGUUGUACCAUUUGUAUGCUGCCCCCACCAGGCUAUCUUAAAAGCAGUGUAUUAGCAACUGAUCAUUGUUAACGUAUCCAGUCAUCCGCCUACAAAACAUGGUGAUGUGAGCCUCUAGGCAACUAGUCCCAUUGUAUUUUUCAAAAUCUGGCAUUUUGAACUUGUAAGGAAGUACUAAGUCUGGAACUAAUCUUAGAUCUUUAGCGUCGAUUCCAUGACAACUAUCAGCACUUUCCAUUACUUUGCAUUUUUCCUCCAGCCAUUUACACCCAUCUUCUAGCUGUUUUGGCAAUUCUGCCUUUGCUUUUUCCUUUCCUGCCACUUCAUCAAAAUCGGGUAUAACAGGAUUAGUUGGGCUAUCUCCUGGCUUUGAACCUGAUCCAGCUUGAAAGUUCAUUGGCAUCGAAGCACCAGCCUGAAAUUGUUGAGUCUUAAUUGUGACAAAUGGUCUCCUUGGGUACAUUUUAGCUUGGGUCUAUACAUUUGGUAGAGUAAAACCUGAAGGAUACAACGGCUACUCAAUAUCGUCAUCAAAAUUGUCCAUAGGGCCCUUUCCCUUAUCUACUCCUCCAAUUGGUAAUUGGGUCAACUGAGCCAUCAUAUUUCUUUGAGAUUUCAACAUCUUUUUCGUCAUGUCUUGCUGAAUUUUAGCUAACUGCUCUUGCAUCUGUGCCUGCAGUUGGUCUUGCAUCUCCUUUUGGAGUUGUUCAAGUUUUUCCAAUAUUUGGUCCAUGUCUUUUGUUUUUGCUCGGGUACCGUAACGGUGUUUCGCUGGUAGGUUAUUAUUGGUUUCUAGAUUAACUAAAAUAAUUUUAAUUAGUUAGGCUCUUUUGGUGGACUUUAAUGUAUAUGUGGUAAUGUAAUGCAAAUGCAUGAAAUGAAUGCAAAAAGAGACGUUGAUUCUAGUUUAGUUCUAUUAGAAGAACUUUACUAGAAAACAAAUCCCUUUACAUAAAGUGGAUAUACAUACAGCUUUGCCCUCAUACUCUAGGCGAAGACAUCGAUCCCUUUCUUCAUUCGGAAGAUAAAUCUUGCUAAUUUUCCAAUGGAUGCCUCUACUAGCUUUUUUUUGCUUGAUUCGGCUCUCGACUCAUUGCUCACUCAUCCUUGUGAUGCCUGUUAGCUUAUUUAAAAAGAUCAGAAUGUUGACCACUCUCGAAUAAUUUUUGUCAACUUGAAUCCUCGGGCAAUGAAACAAAGUUAUGUAGUUCUUCAUUAAACUAUCACCCUUCUCUUGUUGUGUUUUCUUGGAACAUAUUCGAGCAGCCAUAUUAUUUUCCACUUUAUCAAGAAAUCCAUUUUCCAUGAUAAACUCUCUUUUUAGUAACUGAACGUGAAUCAACACCUCUUUUCUAUGAUAAAAAUGCAAUGCAAUCAUAACCAAAACAAAACGAAACAGGUUAGUACAAAGCAAAAACAAGCAAGAAUAAAUAGAACACCUAUUCGGGUGACCACUAAUGGUUUGGUAUAGUUCUAUCUAAGGUAGGCUCUUAUGGUUCACUAUAUGCGGUUUGGUUCUAAAGUAAAGGUACCUGAACCAGUAGAUUCCUCGAUCCUCACCCAUUAUAGGCUCAUACGGACUGAGUUCAGUUCAGGGGAAUACAUUUCCCUAUGGUUGCACGGAGAUGAAAAUCUCACGAAGACAUAGGUACGGGUGUAUCCCGAAAGCGAUCCACUAUCCUGCAAGGAGGAGAAGACCUCACGAAGGAAUAGUUUCUCACUCCCACUUAAAAUGGUAUAACUGAACGGUUAUGCAAUGCAAUAUACGGAGAUUAAAAGACUUGAACCAAUAAAGCAAGCAUAUCAAAAUGAUGCAGAACAUAGAAAUGCAAUGAAAGGAUCGUAAAUUUAAAUCGAAUUUUCAACUUUCGACAAAAAGACAAAAAAUAAUCAAUUUGUGGCUUGACUCUCAAAACCAGUCCCUAGUGGAGUCGCCAAGCUGUCGAAACCAUUUUUUUGAAAACAGGUCAACUUGGAUUUUGAAAAAUGAAAAAAUGGGAGUCACCACCAAUCCUCUUUUUUGAGGUGUGAUCGGGUCACCUUGAGAUUAAAACAUUUUGAUUUAUUAAAACGAUGAUUUUGGCCUACGAAAUUUGAGGAAAUGGGUUCGGGAGUCGGUUACACACGAGGAAGAAUUAGCACCCUCGUAAUGCCCAAAAUUGGUACCGAAUUGAUUGAUUAACGUAUUAAUGUCAAAAAUUUGAAAAGAUUUUUAAAAUACAAUCCUCUUUGUUUAAAGAAAAACUUAAAUAAAUUAAAAUGGAUGUUGAGACCCACCUAUUUCGAAGAAGUAAAAGGUCAUACCCAAUGAGUUAGGAUACGACAUUUUGAAUCCUCAAAAAAAGUUUUUAUUUAAUUUUUAUGCUUUGAUUUUAAAAAGAAAAUAAUAGGGCCUUUAGAUUUGAUGAGAAAAAUCGAAACCCAGUAAGUUAGGGCACGAUUUCUUUCGAACCUUAAAACGUGGAGUAUUUGCUUAUUUCAAAACAAAAAAUAAUGCAUAGGAUAAAAUGUAAUACGAUCGUAGUAAAACGGAAAAUGAAUUAUAGUGCCAAUAUGCAUAAUAGAAUAAAAAUGAGGGCAAUAAUAUAAAUAACAAUAAUAAAGGAAAAAAUAAAAUACAAUAAAAUAAAAGCUAAAACAAACAAUCUAUAUAAAAUAAUAGGUAAAAAUAAAUAAAUAAAUAAACAAACAAAGAAAAGAAAAGAAAAAUAAUAACAAAAAGAAAAUCUAAUAAUAAAUAAAUAAAUACUAUGUACAAUAGCUUAACGGUAAUAAAAUAAUAAUUAUAACAAUAAUACAAUAAUAAUAAGAAAUUAUAAUAAAAAUACAUUAAUAAACGAAUAAUAAUAGUAAAAAUAAACAAGAGUCAUAAUAAUAAUAAUAGUAGUAGUAGUAGUAGUAGUCAAAGUGACAAAAUAAAUAAUCUACUAUUUGAAAGCAUAUAUAAAAGGAUAUAAAAUAAUAAUUAAUGAAUAAAACAAUCAUAAUGAAAAUAGUAAUAAUAAAAUAAAAAAUAAGUAGAGUCUAUUUAAAAAAGUAAAUAAAAAUAGGAAGAAACAUUUAACAUUAAAUACAUCAAUUUAAUAAUUUAAUAAUAUAAUAAUAAUAGUGGUAGUAAUAAUAAUAAUAAUGAUAAUUAAAAUUAAUUAAUUUAAUAGAAAAAAUAACAAAACGGACUAACUUGAAUUUAAAAUAGAAAUUUAGGGGCAAAUUGAAAAGGACCACAUUGAACGCCCAAAUAACAGAGAGGGACCAAAAGAGAAAUUAAUCCUUGCCAUCCAAAACGACGUUGUUCGAUUAUGGACCUAAUUGAAAUCGAAAUAAAUUAUGAGGUACAAAUCAAAGAUAAGAAAGGCUUGAUUGCAAUACCAUUAAAAAUGCGCGGAUCCUAGGGUCGGGUCGGGUCGAGUCGGCGAGCUGGUCAUUGCAAAAACGACACCGCUUUGAGGCCAUCGAAACAGGCCCGAAACGACGUCGUUCCGAGGACUUAUAAAAGAGAAAAAAAUUUAAAACCUUCAUUUCUGUUGUUUUGUUUAAAAAAAACAAAAAAAGGGAGGGUUCUUUUCUCUGCUAGGCAUCCUUCUCCAGCCGCAGGUACACUCAUCGGACCGCCGUCGUCUGCCGCCAACGACCGCCGUGCGUGGCGGUCGAACCCCUCCCAGGUUAGUUUUUUUACUCUAUUUUAAUACAUAUAUAAAAAAUAAAAACCAAAAAUCUUUAUAUAUGUAUAAGCAGUUUCGAAGAGAAACACAGAAAGAAAAAUAAGAAAAAAAGAAACCUUUGCUGAUUUGCUCUCUAAUUCUUUUAUUAAUUUCCUCUACUUUUUUUUGAUUCGUCAAUCCGUUUACAGAUGCAAAAAUCGUCUUUAUAUAGUCGAAUGAAAAUACAAAAAAUUAUUUAUUUAUUUUUUCUUUUAUAUUUUUUUCUAGAAUGUCGCCCUUUGUUGUUAUUCGCAUUUGUUGCUACUAUUUAUUUCUGUUUGUUGUAGGUUCGGCCAGCUGGAGGCGCGUGGUAGCGUGCGUGGGUGAAGGCAGUGGCUGGUGGCUGCUGUUGGGGCAUACGGCGGCUGAGUUUGUUCUUGCCUAGGCUAGGGAUUUUUUUGAAUAUGGGUUGGAGUUUCUGUAAUUGGGCCAUUUGGGCUGUAUUGUUUUGGGCCAAUGUAAAUGGACUGUUAUUUUAUUUUUUAUUGGUUUAUUAUUUAGUUGUAAUUUCUGGUUUUGGGCCCCGAGUAAAAUGGGUUGUUUACAAAGUGUAACACCCCUAGCCCGUAUUCGUCAUCAGAAUAAGGUUACGGAGCAUUAUUGGAGUUUACAUUUUAGAAAUUUUCAACAAUAUAAAUCAUUUGCUUCACAAAAUUUAUCAUAGCGAAUUCCAUCAAUAUCAUGCAUAUUGUUCCUUAUACGAGCCCUCGAGGCCCUAAAAACACAUUAGAAACAAAUCGAUACUAAAUUGGAAACAUAUAGAAAUUUCAGGGAAAAGAUGAAAAUUUUCAAAAUGCAAGGGUCACACGGUCACGUGGCCACGCCGUGUGGACAUUCGAUGUAGGGACACAUGGUCGUGUCCCAGUCCGUGUAACUUACUGAUUUAGGUCACACGGCCAAGCCACACGCCUGUGUGCUAGGCCGUGUACCCUUCGAAAUAGCCUUACACGCCCGUGUACCAAGCCUUGUGCUAGACCGUGUAACAGUCUGACUUGCAACCUUUUGAAAGCUAUUGGGGACACAUGGCUGUAUCGCUUGGCCGUGUGCCACACAUGGUUGAGACACACGCCCGUAUCUCUACCUGUGUGGAUGAAAAAUAGGCCACCUUCAAGCAAUUUUUCUCACCCAAACAUGCAUCCACCUACCACUAAUUUUUCACAUAUAAUCAAGCAUACAAAGUGCAACAAACCAUGCUAUAACAAGCUAUCCAAUCAGGGUACAUAAGUAUACAACCAAUGUGCCUAAAAGGCACCUCAAUUAUGACCAUUAAACAUGUAUAUCCAUAUACAUAAAUUGGCCAAAAGUUUAACUAACUUAUAACUAAACUUAUGUCAUAACUUAACACUUUGUUCACAUAUCAAAUUCACAUUCCAAUAUACCAAAAUUACUGUAACGAACUCCCUUAUAGGAGUAAUUGAGUCAUUGAUUGCCUGAUCGUGAAAUUAAGUAGUUCUCGUUUUGAAUUAACAAAAUGGCUAAGUUAUAAAAAGAUAGUUGUUUGGUAGCGGAUAAAAAAGAUAAAAAUGAUGGAAGAUGGAUAUAAUGAUCUUAAAACACGAACGAACCCGUAAUAGUGAUUAGGACCCAAUUUGUAUAAGUCUUAAGGUGGAGUAUAGAUAGCUGGAUAGGACUGAGGUCCGCUAUCUAGGGAGAUAGGAACUUACGGUAUAGGUGAACGCCACACUCGAACGGAGAAAGGAUGACGCGCCGUAUGCAAUCCACAAAAAAUGCCUAUACGGUUGUUCAAUUCUAUCUUUUUUUUUCUUAUUAUUCUUUAGUUAUUUUUAACUAUUCUUCUCACCUCAUUAUGUGAGUUAAAAGAACCUUUUAUUAUGUUUUAUCAUCAGGGUAAUGAUCCAUCAACCUGCUAGUUCUUUUUAUGAGUCACAAACACACUAGCAAUGCUAGAUAAGUCAAAUCAAAUCACCAAAAACAAUGAGAGUGAAAAACUCAUAAAGUCUGAAAUAUUUCAUAAAUUUAUCAAAAGGUUUUCAAACAAUGUUUCUUACAAACAAUUUAUAGGCAUUAUUAUGACUAUUCAAAUUCAACAUUCAUACCAGCUAUUAACAAAAUAUUAAAAUUCGGUUAUAACUUUUAAUGGGCAGCCAAAGAGUCAUGUCUUUCACUUGAUUCAUGCAUAGCUGAAAAGUCACGCCUCUUCACUUGAUGAAGGCAUAAUAGUCCAUUAAAUGUGUUGCUUAAUGUCCCUUCACUUUUCCUUUCACCAAAUGCCUUAAUGCUUGUGUAUUCAUCUCUUAAUUGGUACCAUAACUAGCUUUGAGUGCAUGAAAUCGAUCAGACUUGAAGAGUCACUCUUGGUCCAUUUGAAAAGUCACCAUAAUGAGCUUUGAAUGCUUCAAUAUCCCCCAAAAAUGUUCCAAAUAUGCACCAGCAAUUAAGUGGCCAAAUGCACACUCUUUUAUUCCAAAAUUGGACAACCAAUUGAAUGUGACAGCAUUUGAUUCUUCUUGGCAAACGAACAGCCCUAUUGUAGCUAUGUGACCAGCCUUUUGGACUUUCCUACAAUAAUCACACAAUCAAAUUAUUUAAGAAAAAUUAAACACAUUAUAAAUUAAGCAUUAAAAAGUAAUAUCAAAAUUAAAUAACAUACUUAUAUAAACAAACUCAAACAUAUUUAACAAUUAAGAUGCUUAAAUGCUUGGUUAAUUAAGAUGUAAACUAAAUGAACAAUGAAUUACUUAAUGCAUGACUUCAUUAAAAGAUGCAAACUUUAAUUAACAUGGGAGAUACAUAAUGCUUGACUUUAUUAAAUGCAAAACACAAAAUGCAUGACAUAAUUAAAAUAUGUAGAUCGAUAAUGCAAGACAUUAACUAAAGAUGCAUUUAGUAAACAAGAAAUAAUUAAAGACUCAUAUUAUAAUAACUGAAGUAACUAAAAUAAAUAAAUCAAAGUCCUUAAUCCAGCAACCAAAUUAACAAACUGGAAUUAAAACUUCAUUUUGCACUUGGGCCCUUCGAGUUUGGGCCAAUUCCGAUAUCGUCGAAUUGUUUCAAAACAUGAUGCGGUCGGUAUCGCAUCAUACCCUUCCUCUUGAAGACGAUUUGUCCUCAAAUCGGGCCAAUUGCUCGAAAAAAAAUUUUCAUCGUCACAAACCUUGAAACUACACAAGACUCAAAAAGGAAACAAAUUAAUUGCUUUCCCUCCCUCUUUAGGAGGAACCCAUUUCAAAGUGUCACCUUCACGAAAAUGAAAGAGGUUAGUGACAACAUGGAUGAUGAACUCAAAGGAACUUUCUGAAAUGUUAUGCACAGAUUGAACAUAUGUUCCUAUGCUGGCGUCAAAAACAUAAGUUGGCCUUACCAUUCAAGAUGAAUCAAGAAUUUCAUGUACAGCCACAUAGAAGAAACAUGAAUCAAUUCAAAUUUGUAAUUAGAAUGUGCAAAUUUCAUUUUCUUAUUUAAAGUCCAAACAACAAUUAAGCACACGUUGUGCUCACACUUAUCUUUACAAAAUUUGUUAGGCUUGAUCUCUCUCAAUGUCGAACCAGAAUGGUAAACUCCCGGUUUGAACACACGAAAUUGUUCGCUCGUCCCAAAAUGUGACACGAAUUCUUUAAUCACCAACAGUUCACAAAAGUGAAACAAAUUAGUGACAUUAUAAGUUAUAGGCACAAAACAACUUGUCGAUAUCCAACUCAAGAAUGGAACACAUGAACCAAUGCCAAAAUAAAGAUUAUUACCUUUUCAGAAUGAAUCACAAACUUUACCGAUGGUAACAAACCAGAAUUGCAAGACCUUCACAAAUUAUAAUCUUGGAAAGGAAAAUUUCUUCGUUCAAAUCCUUUAAACAAAAACAUAGAACAAUAAUCUCCGGGAUCAAAAAUAAAGUUUUCUCUUAUCUUCUCAAUCUGACAUGUAGAUUUCAUGACUAGUAACAAAGAAGGAAUUUGAAGUAAUCGAAAAUUAUAAACAUGCAAGAGAAACUUAAAUGCUGUCGACCACAAUGUAGAGUAAUGAUUUCCGUAAAAAAAUAAUUGAUUUUGUCUUUGUACACCAGCAAAGUUCACAUAAUUUGUUUUCGAAACUAAUGAUAAAACAUUAAGCAAAUAGAAAGGGCCAACAUAUCUAUACAAAUUAAAAUAAUGGUGCUCGCUUUCUCUCACCAACAACUUAGAAAAAUAUACUCGAGGUUUAAACCCAUGAUUUGGGUCACUUAUGUUCGAAAACAAUGUAAAGACAUAGUCCAUCAACAAUGCAAUCAUGCUUAACAAAUGGAAUUUAGUCACAUGUAUGUACAAAUAAUCAAAACUUUCAAAAUACCUUCGAACAGGCAGCAACAUCCAUAAAAUUUCCUUACAUUGAUUGAAAGAAUUCACGUAGCAAUCAAAACCAAACAGAUUAGGUGUUUUACAUGAAUACCUUUGAUCACAUGCAACAAUCUUUUGCUAACUUAUAAUUGGAGCAAUGUCAUCAACGUCCGUAACAUCUUGCAAUUUGAUGUGAUUUGAAUCAACAUGAAUCAAAUGAUGACAGAAACAUUUCAUGAUACUAUUCAAAAUAGGUUCAGCAAUGAAACUCAUGUCAUUGCGCGUUUUAACACAAAGCAAAAGAUGAAAGAAGCUAUGCAAGUCACCCUUCAAAACAGAUUCAUCAAUUCCAAUCAAUGUAUAACAACUAAACAAGUUCUUACAAAGAAUUUUUUUAAGAUCAACAAUAUGAACAGGCUUAGCAACAAGAGUUAAAAAGUUCCACUUCGAUUGGUUUUCAAUAGAUUCCUUACAUUUCUCACCUUUGGAAAUAUCAAAAACAUUCGAACUUUCCAUCUUACCCUCUUCAAUCAAUUGAAAUCGUCGUUCGUUGGGUAGGUAAUGGAGCUGGAACUUGUCUUUAGGUGGAAGUUUACAAACCUGAAACAAAGAGAAAUCACAAGGCAAGUUCGAAUGGGGGUUAGCAAAAAUAUUCCUUUAUUGUGUUUGAGGACUCUCUUCUUCUUCCCACGUUUCUUUUUCAAGCUCUCUCUUUUUCACUUUUUUCUUUUCAAGCUCUCUUUUUUUUCACUCGUUUCAUUCACAUUUUCUUUUGUUUCUCUCCCACUUUCCUCAUUUUCAUUUUCUUUUCUUUCAAUUUCUUUUUCAUUUUUCUCCUCUCGUUUUUCUUUUACCUCACUUAUUUUUACAACAGAAUUUUUCAGUUUGAGUUGAUCCUCGUAGACUUGCGUCAAAGUGAGCGGUACUAAAGUUACUUUCCUCCCUUGCUACUUAAAAGAAUACCUAUUGGUAUGGCCAUCAUGAAUGACCUUUCGUUCUAAUUGCCAUGGCCUUCCUAGCAACAAAUGGCAGGCAUGAAUAGAUACCACUUCACACACGACUUCGUCUUGAUACUUGUCGAUGGAUAGGCAACGUGCACUUGUUGAGUGACCAUAAAUUUUCCUUCGUCGUUAUGCCAUUGCAAUGUAUAGGGGUGCGGAUGCUUGGUAGUGGGUAAGCCAAGCUUCUCCACCAUUCUAGCACUAGCCACGUUUGAACUACUUUCACCAUCAACAAUGAUGCAACACACUUUAUCGUGGACACAGCAGUGAGUGUGAAAUAGAUUCUCACAUUGUGGUUCACUCUCGAAGCUUUGAAGGGUUAAACUCAUUUUGAUGUCAAAAGCUUCAUCAAUGACAGCAUGGGGCAAGUAAAACUUAGAAAAUUCUUGUGUAACACCCCAUACCCGGCCUAGAAGUUAGUCCCGAAUCUGGUGUGCCACAUUGAAGUGUCUUUCGAAAACCAUGUUUUCAUUGAAAACAUUCUUAAUUAAAAACUUGAGUAAAAUCCCAGUUAUGUUAGUUUAUUCCCAAAAUUUCUUUUAAGUUGCGGAAGUUAAGCUUAAAAGUAACCGGUUUACGAAAACGUGAUCUUUCAAGAUUAUGUUGUGGAAGCGUAGUGUUUUGAAAACAAUUAUUAACUUGGAAAACCACGAUCUACUUUUAAGACAGAUAGAAAACGUAAUAAACCGACGAUCCCAAUUCAAAAUCCAGAAAUUAACGGAGGCCUUAUUACAUCCCAAAUCAGAAUAUAAGUACUUAUAAGUAGGUAGCUUAAAAGAAAAUCGGGAUCAAUAGCAGUUGUGUUGCCAUCUCUGAGUCCCUUGCAGCACCGAUCCUCCUAAUACUGGGGAUUACCUGCACAGUUAAUAAACAGGGCGAGUUUAUGAAAACUCAGUGUGUAAUCCCCUUAUUAAAGUAACAGUCAAUAUACAAAAACAGAAAAAGAAACAGAAACAGUCAGGGCCAGGGCCCUUUUACAGUAAUGGUAUAGUCUAAUUCAGAGCAUACGUGGACCAAAACCCACUACAAUAUCAUUUGGGUCAUAGCCCAUAACAGAAUCAAUUGGGCCUAGCCCAUUCUCAAUAUCAGUAAUAGUUGGGCCUAGCCUAAAUCAGUAACAGAACAGAACAAGGUGGGCUUUAGCCCAAUACAGAAACAAGGUGGGCCUUAGCCCAAUACAGAAAUAGUAUGCAGUAUGGUGCAAGUAUGCAAACCCACUCCAAUCCAGGUAGCACACCACCCGUACCAACCCAACACACCAUUUGGGGACAAAGUCGACCCACCCAUCCCACACACCAUUAUUGCAACAUAGCUGCCAAUAAUAAUAAUAACGCAGUAGAGCUGCCAGUACAGUAUAUGUGGCAAAGCCACCAGUAACAGUAUAUGUGGCAGAGCCACCCGUAACAGUACUUCUUCCAUAACAGAAUCCCAACCCCAUGCAAUAUGUCGUGUAUGCCACGCUCAAUCAUCACACGUGUAUGAAAAAUGGCCAUGCACAGUAACAAUCAUUUACACACAUAUUAGAAACAUAACAUUCAUAUGACCAGAGUCAAGUCAGUUAAAUUCAAAGACCAAGCCAGUCAUCUACCUACAAGGGCAAAACGGUUAUUUUACCCUAUAAGGGUAUUUCGGUAAUCUUACCAUACAGGGGUAUUUCAAUAAUUUCAAAAACCAGGGGUAUUUCGACAAUUUCACAAAUUGGGGGUGUUUCGACAAUUUUACAAACUGGGGGUAUUUUAGUAAUUUUACACAUCAAGGGUGUUUUAGUAAUUUUGCAAACCGAGGGUAUUUAGGUAAUUUCACAAAUAGAGGGUCUCAGUGACCCAACAAAAGGCCCACCAUCUCCUCAAGCGACUUAAGUAACCUAAACAAUCACAACGGUAUAAAUGGGCCUAAGGCCCAUUAUUCGGCCUAAGUGGGCCCACACGCUCGUGUGGCCCAAUUAACCCAGAAAUAGCCACAGCUAUGCGAAUGUCAUAAUCCAAACAAUACUUACCAAAUCACCCACAUUUUAUUCGUGUGGGCCCUCAAGCCCACUGGGCCCACACGACCCAUUUCGACCCAACUAGGCCCAGAACAGCCUAAGACCACAUGAGCGCUCGUGAUGGCCUCUACAGACUAAUGCCCAUGUUCAUGGGCUCGGUUCACCAUAUGUACGAUCGCAUGCUUGUGUGGCAUCAUACGCCAUAUUUCUAGCUUUUCGACAUUUUGCUGAUCUACAGUCAUAGCAGUGUAAACGACACAUAUUUUCGGCUUUUCAGCCGAUUAUCAAACAUAGCAUACAGUUACACACCUGUUUGCGAAACUAGCUAAGAUCCACGCUCUCCGAAUCCUAUAAUCAACCAAAAUAUCAUAUCAGAUUUACAACCAAUAAGGUUAAUAACUGUCCAAGCCCAAAACGACAAUCCAUACUUACCUUGACUGAUCGCUAGUCGGUUUAUUUCCCUUCGAUCAUAGGCUAGAGUUGAUCACACUCCUCUUUUAUGAUUAACUGCAUUACAAAUACAACCUAUCAACUACGAUGGUCUAAAACCAUGGUUUAGCAUACAUUAGUCUAGAGGAAUUACACGCAACCCUUUCCCUCAAAAAGGCAAAAGUAACAUUUGGCCAACCACUUGAGAAAUUACAAGCCUUCAACUUUACCUUUAAUCGUGGGAUGGGCGAAUGGUUUGCACUCCUCGUGGAAUUCUUUGAACCGAAGGCACUACCAAGCAUCAAGGGGGAAGAAAAUCGGCUAACAGAGAACAUAAAAGAAAAAAGCAUAUGUUUAAGAAAGAAGUUUGAACAUAUCAAAGGAAUAGAAAAAGAACAAGAAGAAAUCUAGUAACUCAUCGUUUCCUAGAGCCACACCCAAACUGGAACUAUCAAAGAAGAAGAUAGAAAUCGGUAACAGAAUCAAGACACUGGAGGGGAGGAAAGAUCAAAACAACCGAUCAAGAAAAUCAUUAACUAAAAGCUGACAGACAAAAUGGAGAGAUGAGAGAAAUAGAAGUUCGACAAGAAGGGAAGAAGAAGAUCAACAGAUCAAAACCGCAAAAGAAGAGGGGGAAAAGAGAAUGAUAUAUUCGGAAGUAAAGGACAAUUCUCCAAAUGAUCAAUUACUCCAACCCAAAAUAGUGCACUCAAACCCCAAUCCCGAAAUUCUGAGUAGUCCCCACUCAAAUUCAGCACAAUACACCCAUUAGACACCAAAUUCAUUCUUUUUCUCCCCCAAAUCCCCAACCAACAACCCCCUUAUCCAAAUCCCCCAAAACCCUCCUAAAAACACUCUAUAAAUCCCUCAAAGACCAAUUCAAACUCCCCAACAACUUCAUCCAAGACCAAGUCAACCACCUCCCUAGGAGAGUUUUUAUCCAACUCUACCUCUCUCUCACCUCAUGGAAAUAAAAUAAAAUCCCUUUGCAUCCCAUGCAAUUCGAACUCAAGAUCCCCUUACCACCAUAAUGACGCCACUACCACUGGAUCAUCAACCCUUCUUGUGUCAUGAUUUCCCCAACAAUAUUCUUAAAGCCCACUUACUUACAUCUAGGGUUUUAUCCACUUAAAACCAAAAUUUUCGCUAAAGCUCAGGUUUGAACCUAGGACUUUUGUAACUCCUCACAGGGCCCUUAACCACUUAAGCAGACAUUAAAUUGUGUCAUUUCCUAGCACACAUAAACUUUUAUGCACAGUUUCCUUAUUGUUCCCUUGCUCAAGGUCGAAUACUUUUAAGCCCAAAUUCCGGGCUACAUCUUGGAACAUGGUUUCAGCAAAGUAUUAAAAAAAUAAAUAAAAUAGAAAAAUGAACCUCACUACAAACCUCACAAAUCCUCUCGCAAAGAAAAUUAAGAUGUGCUCCCCACUCGUGUUUGCGCUCAGAUAUUGGCUUUAACCUCUUAAUGUACUUUCACUCGUUCCUUUUACCUCUCGAAUUCACCUCUCGAAGUUCUUAGCAAUUUCGUUAGACUUAUUAACACACUUGUGGGUUGGCUUCAAAAGGCUAAGAAACAAAGUUUGUUGUUAAGGUAAUUAGGUAGGCUGAAAGAAAAAUUUUAAAGAGUGUGGCUACAAAAAAAAACGGUUUCUUCAGAAAGAAACACGAAAGAUCGGGAAUUAAAAUUUUCCAAAUAGCGUUUCUUUGAUUCGAAAUACUCAAAACCAAACUCCCACUUUUGUAAUUUUUCAACUUAUAUGCACAAAUUUUUUUUACGAGAAUUUUUUUCAAAUUUUUUUCCUUUUGUUAAUUUUGGAAGCACAAAAUGAUAAAAAAACGUACCUAAUUUGAAAAGCUCUGAUACCAUAUUAUAAGAAUUCGCUUACGGGAGUAAUUGAGUCAUUGAUUGCCCGAUCGUCAAAUUAAGUAGUUUUCGUUUCAGAACAAAAUGGCUAAGUUAUAAAAAGAUAGUUGUUUGGCAGCCGAUAAACAAAGUUGAAAAUAAUGAAAGAUGGAUAUAAUGAUCUUAAAACAUGAACGAACCCGUAAUAGUGAUUAGGACCCAAUUUGUAUAAGUCUUAAGGUGGAGAAUGGAUAGCUAGAUAGGACCGAGACCUGCUAUCUAGGGAGAUAGGAAUCUACGGUAUAGGUGAACGCCACACUCGAAAGUGAUAAGAUCAAGGACGGAGAUAGGAUUACGCCACUAGCAAUGCUAGAUAAGUCAAAUCAAAUAACCAAAAAUAAUGAGAGUGAAAACUCACAAAGUCUGAAAUAUUUCAUAAAUUUAUCAAAAGGUUUUCAAAUAAUGUUUCUUACAAACUAUUUAUAGGCAUUAUUAUGACUAUUCAAAUUCAACAUUCAUACCAGCUAUUAACAAAAUAUUAAAAUUCGGUUAUAACUCUUAAUGGGCAGCCAAAGAGUCGUGUCUUUCACUUGAUUCAUGCAUAGCUGAAAAGUCAUGCCUCUUCACUUGAUGAAGGCUUAAUGGUUCAUUAAAUGUGCUACUUAAUGUCCCUUCAUUUUCUUAUUAACCAAAUGCCUUAAUGCUUGUGUAUUCAUCUAUUAAUUGGCACCAUAACUAGCUUUGAGUGCAUGAAACCAAUCAGACUUGAAAAGUCACUGUUGGUCCAUUUGAAAAGUCACCAUAAUGAGCUUUUAGUGCUUUAAUAUCCCCCAAAAACGUUCCAAAUAUACACCAGCAAUUAAGUGACCAAAUGCACACUCUUUUAAACCAAAACUGGACAACCAAUUGAAUGUGACAGCAUUUGAUUCUUCUUGGCAAACGAACAACCCUAUUGUAUCUAUGUGACCAGCCUUUUGGACUUUCCUACAACAAUCAUACAAUCAAUUUAUUUAAGAAAAAUUAAACACAUUAUAACUUCAGCAUUAAAAAAAAUAACAGCCAAAUUAAAUAACAUACUUAUAUAAACAAACUCAAACAUAUUUAAUAACUAAGUUGCUUAAAUGCUUAGUGUUAAUUAAGAUGUAAACUAAAUGAACAAUGAAUUACUUAAUGCAUGACUUUAUUAAAUGCAGAACACAAAAUCUAUGACACAAUUAAAAGAUGUAAAUCAAUAAUGCAAGACAUUAAUUAAAGAUGCAUUUAAUAAACAAGACAUAAUUAAAUGCUCAUAUUAUAAUAACUGAAGUACCUAAAAUAAAUAAAUCAAAGUCCUUAUUCUAGCAACCAAAUCAACAAAUUGGAAUUAAAAGCUCAUUUUGCACUUGGGCCCCUCGAGUUUGGGCCAAUUUUGAUAUCGUCAAACUGUUUCAAAACAUGAUACGAUCGGGAUCGCAUCAAUUACCAUUUAACAAUUAGCAUCAAUAAUCAUAUUUGACAACUACAUUUUUCAUACCAAUAUGAACAUGUUCAACUCCCAUCAUAUGACUACACACAUAUAUCAACAUAUCAACCAUCCAAAGUACCAAAUCUACAAGCCAAAACAUAAUGGCUAAAACAUCAACCAAAAUGACAUAUAUAUAUAUAUAUAUACCAAACUCAUCAAUUAAACAUUAGACAUAGUCCACCUAAACAUGCCAUUAUAACCUUAACCAAGACAUCAAAAUCUACCGAUAUAAUCGUUGGAUAGUGUGAUGGAUCUCCAACUAGCUUCCAACUCGAUCAAGCUUUCAAUAAUUUGAAAAGUAAAGGGAAAACAAUCGCGUAAGUAAUGAAUGCUUAGUAAGCUCGUAUAAACUUUAGUCAUAUCAAUCCAUUUCAAAUAUGAAAUUUUUAAAUAUCAAGAAUAAUCCUAUACCGAUACCGCAAGAUUCAUGAAACCAUAUUCAACAACUCACAAAGUGAAUGAAUCCAGAGCAUCACAUAUACAUAUCAUCCCUAGCAUAGUAGGAUUUUAUAAAACUUUAAACCCUUUCAAAAUUUUCUUAUUUUCAUUUGCAUUUCAUUACUUUCCAUUGCAUUUAUUAUCUUUAGCUUAAAUAACAACAUCAAUUCAACUCAUCAUUCCCUUUUUCAUCAUUUUACACUUCAAGUAUGAACUUACUAUUUUAUUAUCUUUCCACACUCGUUUCAUAUGCAUAUCACACGAGACAUAAACAUGUCAUUGAACCAUAGCCACAAGCUAGUGCAUUUAAACGAAAUUCUUUUUGGAACUAACCACAUGAUAAACCAUUUCAAUAGAAAUUACAUAAUUUAAACCUUACCACCCUUUCAUGAUCACAAGCAUAUUUCCAUUUAGGCGCUUACCAUUUCAAUACAUAACUUAUAAGUUUAAUGUGACAUAAUCCAACCACAACUUGGCCAAAUCCUAAGCAUGUACACCAAACAUGUUAGCGAAACAAACAUAUAACAUAAGCAUUAUAAACAUGGAUGAGCACAACAUUUAUUCAUGUAUCAUAUACAUAUAUCAUCCAUUUCCACUUUCAAUAUACCAUGUAAUACCAUUUCAAAUAAAUUCACAUGUAUCUAUAUCUUAGUUUAUAUCGAACUCUUACCACUUCAUAUCCAAAUAAUGCCCGUUAAACCAUUUAGAAUACCGUUGGAUACCGAAGAUAGGUAUCACAUAGUGCGCUAGCUCAUAUAAUUGUAAUUCAUCAAAUCCUAUACAUGUAUGCUCACACGAACUGUGAAUCGGUAUGCUCACACGAGCUUUAAUUCGGUAUGCUCACAUGAGCUGUGGGUCGGAACGUAGCUACACGACGCUACUCACACAAGCUAUGGAGUAUUCGCAACAAAUGCUAGACCUCAGCUAUCGGUAGGACGUUCAAGACCAACACCCAAAUCAUGUAACCCUAAUGACAUUUCAUUUGUUUCCUACGAAUUCCUAAGGUUUAAAUGGGGCUCAAUAAUCAUUGUACAUCGUUGGAUUUACGUCAUUUCAUAACACGGUAAAUUGCAUACUAACAUAUAUAUUAAUUUAAUCACAUAUUAACAUUCAAUUUAAUCAAAAUUAUACAAAAUAUGGUUCAUACGAGCUUACCUGGCUAAAUUGUAAAAAUACCAAGGUUUAAGGGCAUUUUGGUAAUUUUUAAUUUUCCUCAAUUUUUAACCCGAUCUUUAUCUAAAUUACUAAUUUAAUUAAAUAUAUUAAUUUAGACAAUAAAAAAAUUCAUUUCAUGAAAAUUGGUCAUUUUUUAAAUUUUUACAAAAUUACCCCUAAAGUUUUACUUUUAUUCAAUUUAGUCCCUGAGACCAAAACAUGUAAAUUAACCAUUUUUACCCAAAGUUGAGAUUAUUCAAAUGUUCAUGGUAUCCAUAAAAACCCAUUUAUGGAAAAAUUUCACAUUAAAUCCUUGUACUUUUAUUAAUUUAAUAAUUUAGUCCCUAAUCGGUAAAUUCAUCAAAAAUCACUGAACAAAAAACUUUUAAUUGUCAAUCAACAUUCCAAAUUCAUUAUUUAACUACAAAUAUAACAAUAUUCAUCAAUGGAAACAUUCAAAAUCUUUAACAGUUUCAAAAUCGAAGGUACGAGCUAGCUGGAUCUAGUUGCAACGAUCUCAAAAACAUAAAAAAUAUUGAAAACGGGGCUAAAAUGGACUUACAUUCAUCGUCCAAAGCUAAGUCGAAGCUUGAAGCUUCUCCAUUUCUUGCUUUCCAUGGCCAUUCGGUGUUAAAGAAGAUGAUGGCUUAUGUUUUAAUUUUAUUAUCCUUUUAUUAUUCAUUAUUUUAUUUUUUAUCAUAUAAUAAUAACAUAAAAAACAUUAUAAUUAAAAAAUUUAAGCAUCCAACUGUCCCAUUAUCUUUAGGAUGGAUAAUUUACUCAAUAAGGCCAUCCAAUUAUAAUUCUUUAAUCAAUUAACACCUUUAAACUAAUAGUGAUUCACUUUUCAACUUUUACGAUCUAGUCCUUUUUGCUUAAUUAACUAUCGAAACGUUAAUUUUUUUCUACGAAACUUUAAUACCACCUUAAUGACACUCCAUAAAUAUUUAUAAAACUAUUUAAUACUCAGUUUAUAGAAAGGAGGUCUCGAUACCUCAUUUUUUAAAAUCACUUGACCUUAGGGUCUUACCACUUGAACUUAAUAAAUCGCUAAUAUAACAAAAAUCACUAUAUCAAAAACCUUUUUAAAACCAUGUUUGCCUCUUAAAUCUUAAACAAUAAUAUUUACAAACUUACUCAUCAAAUUUGGUGGCCCCGAAGUCACUAUUUCCGACACCACUAAAAAACGGGUUGUUACAUCAAGUCUCCCGACAAUUACAAAACUAAAGAUAAGCUAAAGUCUAAGAAAAGGAAAAAACUUAAAAAUUGAAAUCAUGAAGAAAAUUAUAUAAUAUGAAAGUUGUCCAUGAGAAGUGUUAAAUUAGCCUAUUUAUAGACCUAAGGUUGUUGUUGUCCUCAACCCUAGUUCAACUGACGCUCUCAUGUAUAAUAUUAGAUUGUGAAAACCAAAACGCCCCUCGCUCAUUAGUAUUGCUCGCACAGGAUCGGCUUUGUGAUACCCUAGUGCCUGUGUAGCAACAUCGAAGGCAGUAUGCUCGUACUCAGGGUAGCUUCCAGGGGUGCGUCGCGACAUUGAAGGUAGUCUUGAAAUUCUUGCUCUCUGCUCCUUAUGUUACUACAUUAGGCUCCCCAUGUUGCAACAUAGUGACUAGUAUUGAGUUGGUACACCUUUCAAUUGUCUCCUACACACUCACAAAGUAUAUUAGCUCACCCUUAGGCCUCAUUCAGCUCCUAAGGUCAAUAAAAGACUUAAAUUACACUUUUUAUUGAAUGUAAACAAAACUAAGAAAACUUAAUUACAACAUAAUAAAAAUGUUUGUAUUCAAGCUCUUCAAGUGCGAAAACUAGUUUAAUCUGCUAGACCAAAUUACAACAGAUUAAAUUCCCCUACACUUAAUUCAUUGCUUGUCCUCAAAAAAAGUAAAAAAAAUAGUAAUUAAAAGACGACCCUUGAACAAAUAUUGUACAAAUGUUAUUUUUGGAGCACAUGACUAGGCAGUUCAUAUUUAGACAUGAUUUUGGCAUAAUAUGUAGCUAACUUACAAAUUUUGAAAUCAAACACCUAAGUUCACUAUAUUACAAAGCAUACAAACAUUAAGGGUUUUAACUGUAGGGAGUCAUUAAUAAGUUAUACAGGUAAUUUGAUUAUCCUAGCAUAAAACAAACAAUCGUAAAUGCAAUUAUUUAGUAUGAUGUUAAUUAUUAAAUAAGUCUACUUAGAAUCACAUAGGGCUUUUUGACUUGUAACUUUCUGAUGCUUAGGAUAGGUAUGGAAUUAUAGAAUAGUAAGUGUCAAAUAGUUUCAAGCACAAAAAUAGUUUGGCAAAUUGUAUUAUUCCCUAUUCUCCCCCUUUAGCGACCCUUACCUGCUCACCGCCUUAUUUCUCCUUCUCUCACCUUUCUUAUUUCUCCACAUAGGAAAUCAUAACGUAAGACAUCAACUAUGACUAGCUCACAAGUUUUUGUGUACUACUAAACAAGUCUUUCUAUUUUCGGUGACUUUGUCACUUUUAUUUAUUUUUCAAAACAUUUCUCAUUCACGAUUGCUUUUUACUCUCAAGAGCUUUUUCUACUCUUUUUAUUAUUAUUUUCUUUUUGAAAUUUUCUUUUGCUACACAUAUUGGCUAACCUAUAAUUACUCUAUCAUAAUGAUCUUUCCUAUUUCACUUUGUUUUUACAAAAUUCUACCAUAACGUAUCUACUUAACCUUCAAUAUAUAUGGUCAGACAUCUAUAUUCGUGCAGUUCAAGACCAAAGAAAAAGGGUAAAGACAUAUUAAUGUUUUUGGCUCGGGUUUUGAGUGAAGGUUCAUCAAGAAGCGUUUUUUGGCUCAAAUAUAGGUACUAAUGAAGAAUAAAUAGGGUUAGCAUUUUGGCUCGAGGUGUAUACCAAACAAUGUCUCAGGUCAUCCCUAGUUAUCUCAAUAUUCACAAAUUUAAUCGCGCAAACAAUCACAAUCUCAACAAUUUAUCAUACAUACUAGCAUGGUUGUUUCCCUAUAUUUCCUAUAUCAUAUGGUACAUUCAUUUGAUAAAUACCUAUUUACAGUGUACUAUAUAGAACUUAGUAGACUAAUAAUAAAAAAAUUAAAUUCACCUAUCAUCACGCCAAAUUAUAGUAGAUACAAUCAACCUAUGCAUAUGCUCCUAACCAGUCACUUGUAUUUCUACAAGAUUAAGUACAAAAUUGACAAUAAAAAUCAAAGAAAAGUUAAAAUAAAUCUUCUGUGUUACCCCCCAACACUUUAAAUAACACAUUGUCCUCAAUGUGUAGCCCCUGACAAGAUAAGGAAAGAAAUUACUCGAUUGAUUGUGGUUGUUCCAUAAGCUAUUGGUGGGUAUCUUCUUUUAUCGUUGGACAUUUGAAUUUGUUGUGCGGGGAUUUAGCUAAAAGUUCAUAAAUAUGUAUAUCUGCAAAAUUCAAAUAUAACUUAUUACAUUAUACUAAAAAAAACUUAAUAUUCCUAAUGUAAGCUAUACUUAAAAACUAUCCUACUACAUGUAUAUAACAUCUUAUUGUAUUAUUCAUCUUCCUCUUGGUGUCCUCUUUUUCUUCUUUCCUCCUUUUGCUUUCUUUAUAUUAUUAUAAACUGCCUAUAUACAUCUUCGAGGAUUCAUCUCUGUAUCUAGUUGCUUCAUAGGCACUCCUACUCUUUUACACAGCUUCGUUAUCAGAUGCAGGAAGAAUGUUCCCUUUUCCUAAUUUCGUACGCAUUCAAUCAUGUUCUGAUAUAUCCAUGCACCAAUACAUACUUGCUUAUUUUUCAAUAAUCCAUAUAGUAGAAUGGCAUGUAUUGGGCUAAUGUCAAAAAUGUCAGCUAUAGGGCAAAUUCUUGAACAUACAACUUUAUCCAUAAUUUUUCUUUUAGCGUCAUUAAUGCUUGGUUAAAUGUCUUAGGUAUAGUUGUUCCAGUUUUAUACGUCCAUACCUCUUUUCCUUCUGUCAAGAAUCUCAAAAUCCCAUUCAAGCCUACAUUUCUAAACUCUUUAAGAUCCGCUUUGUACAAAUAAUCAUGGUAAUAAUAUGAAGCAUCAUAAAGCUGACAAAUACUUAUUUUGACAUUAACCCUUCUAACUUUGACAAAAAAAUGCGACUCAUAGAAUGGUAUUAUUGCUUCCUCUCUUUUAAUGCAAGAUAAAAUUCCUGCACAAUGGGAAUUAUUGUGGGGUCUUCUUAUGGUAAACAAAAAUUAGUCCAUUCCCUUUCUGUUGCGAUCUCCUAUAUCCCUUUGCAAUUUCCCAUCAAUGGAUCAAAUCCUUGUUCUGGAAUGAAAGAGUAAGGCUACAGUUGUUGUAGAUAUCUAUCUACGUUAUUUUCCUAUAAUUCAACAGACGGAUUCAUGAUAUUAUACCAAAACUUAUAACUUUUCCAAACCUGAAUAGGCUAUCGUAGUGUCCUUUGAAACUAUCAAGAUUUUGAACAAUGAUAGAAAAAUCUUACUUUUUCCACAAUAUUUUUAAGUAAUGAGAAGAGUAAUGUGACCUAUUUAUUCUUGAGGAAAAUAAUAAUAAAAUUAAGAAUUAUAGCUGUGUUAGACAAGUUAGUCCUGAUCACAAAGGGUGUUAAGAGUUCUAAAUCUAAUGAAAUUCAGUUGUAGAGACGUAAGAAGUUAGAAUAUAUACGGUUGGAAGAUUACACAGGUGUGUUGUGACAACCUCUAUGGGUGUUGUGACGUCGAGGAAAGUUUACCUAUUUUGAAUUUUGUCUGAUGUCGCGACAUGCACUCUUGAUGUCGCUACACUGAUGCCAGUUUCUGUUGUGCUCUUUUUUUGUUUUACGGUCUUUUGUUACAUCACUUUUUUCAUUGGUUCCCCAUUCAUGUUCUUUCAUAUCCUCUUUUUCGCUGAGGCUCCAUAAAUUUUUGCAUUGUAGGGCUUGUGUGUCUAUUACUUCCUUUGUUGUCCCUCUAAAAUAAUGUUUUAUUCUUUGCCCAUUUACAAGAAAAAAUUAUCCUCCCUUUUCGAUGAGUUCUAUUGCCCCGUUAGGUGUCACCUUGUUUAUAGAAUACGAGCUAGUCCAUUUCGAUUUCAGUUUGCACAAAAAUGAUUUCAAUCUCUAAUUGAAGAAUAGGACUUUUUAUCUAGGUAAGAAUUCUCAUUUUUGGAUCCUUGCAUCAUGCUGAAGUCUGCUCCUUUCCUUGUACAUCUUAGUGCUUCCGUAGGCCAUAAAACAAGCUUAUUCCAAUUUGUUUAAUUGGAAUAAUCUUUCUCUCUUAGCUAACUUUGGAUCUAAGUUCAGUUCCUUGAUUGCCUAAUAUACUUUGUUUUCCCAUUCAAUCGGUAAAUGACAAUUUUUCCCAUAAACUAAUUUGUAGAGAGACAUGCCUAAUGGAGUUUUAUAUGUUGUUCUUUAAGCCCAUCAUGAAUUGUCCAAUCUUGCUACCCAAUCUUUCCUGCUUGGAUUCACCAUUUUCUCUAAAAUUUGUUUAAUUUCUUGGUUAGAACUUCUGCUUGACUAUUAACUUAGGGAUGGUAUGCUACUGCCAUUCGAUGCUUCACACUGUACUUAGCUAAUAUUGUAAAAAUGGGAUCAUUCAUCACUUACCAACACACGGGGUAUUCCAAAUCUAGUGAAUAGGUUUUUUUUCUCAAAAAUCUAACUAUUGAUUUGGUAUCGUUGGUAGGUAAGGCCACAACCUCAACCCAUUUUGAGGCAUAAUCAACAACUAUUAGGAUGUAUUGGUUCUCGAAAUAACUUGGGAAGGGCCCCAUGAAGUCAAUCCCUCAAACAUCAAAUACCUCUACCUCAAGUAUCCCUAUUUGUGGCAUUUCAUCUCUUUUCGAUAUGCUCUCAAUUCUUUGACAUCUGUCACAUCCUUGUACAAAUUUGUAUGCAUCUGUGUUCAUGGUUGACCAAUAAAAUUCCCCUCGCAUGGUGAUGUAUGAUAUCCUUGCAGAAUAUCAUUUAUCUUUCCCUCUGCUACACAUCUUCAUACUAACUGAUCAGCACAUUGCCGAAAUACAUAUGCAUCUUCCCAAAUAUAAUUUUUCGAUUGAUGCAUUGUCCUCUUCUUUUGUUUCCAUGAUACUUGUGGUGGAAAGACACCUUUAGCAAUGUAAUUGACAUAAUCUGCAUACCAUUGUGUGUUGUUAUUCCUGGACCUUGUUUGAUGGAUGUCUACCGUAAAUAACUAUUCGUCUAUAAAAGUUUCCUUAAUUUCUUUAAAAGUCCCCUUUUCUAAGUCAUUUUCUAUUCUGGAUAGAUGACCUGCAAUUUGUUCCUUUUCUAUCCAUUGUACAUAAGUCAAAUUCUUGAAGCAGCAAUACCUAUCUUAUCAGUAUAACUUUUUUUUUCUUUUUUUCUUAAUAUAUUUCAAUGUCGAAUGAUCAGUAUAAACAUAUACUUUGUUUGUCAUCAAAUAAAGACGAAAUUUUUCAUAAGCGAACACUAUAGCAAACAUUUCUUUCUUUGCAUUACGUUGAGUUGAGUGUCUUACUUGCAUAGUGAAUAGCUCCAAAUAUGUUAUUUCUCUUUUGUCACAGAAAUGCUCCCAUAACAUAAUCGCUAGUGUCACACAUAACAAUAAAAGGGUUUGAACAAUUAGGAGUAAUAAUUAUAGAUGCAGAGAUGAGUUUUUCUUUUAUUACCUCGAAGGAUUUUUUACAUUUUUGAUCGAAUAUAAAAGGUGUCUCUUUUUGGAGAAGUUGAUUUAAUGGCUUAGAUAUGUGCGUACAUUCUUUUAUGAAUCGUUUGUAGAAUCCAGAAUGACCCAAAAAAUUUCACACUCAUGGAGCGGUUGUAAGGUUAGGAAGAUUGUUUAUAACUUCAAUUUUAGCUUUAUCUACUUCCAAACCUUUCCUUGAUAUUUGAUGUCCUAGCACUAACCCCUAUUUCAUUAUAAAAUGACAUUUUUCCCAAUUAAGUACUAGAUUAGUUUUUUUGCAUCUCUGUAAGACUUUCUCAAGAUUACCUAGACACUCUUGAAAAGAGUCUCCGUAUAUUGAGAAAUCAUUCAUGAAUACAUCCAAGCCUUCUUCCAAUAUAUUAGCAAAAAUGGCAGUCAUACAUCUCAUAAAGGUUGCUGGAGCAUUACAUGGUCCAAAUAGCAUUCGUUUAAAGGCGUACAUGCAAAAAGGACAUGUAAAGGUAGUUUUUUCUUGGUCAUUCAAAUGUAUUAGAAUUUGAUGAUAUCUAGAAUACCCAUCAAUUAAACAGUAGUAGUCUUCUCCAACCAAUAUAUCAAUCAUUUGAUUAAUAAAAGGUAGUGAGAAAUGAUCCUUUUUUGUAACGUCAUUUGAUUUUUAGUAUUCGAUGCAUAACCUCCAAACAGUGACUGUUCUUGUUGGAAUUAACUCAUUCUUAUUGUUCUCAACUACCAUUAGUCCUACUUUCUUUGGAAUGCAUUGCGUAGGGCUAACCCAUUCACUAUAAGAACUUGCAUAAACAAUACCUGCGUCCAACCAUUUAAGCAGUUCUUUCUUUACCACCUCUUUCAUAGUUGGAUUGAGCCUAAGAUGUGCAUCUACCAUAGGUUUUUUUCCUUCUUCUGAUAUGUUCUUGUGUUGACAUAACGCAGGAUUAAUCCCUUUAAUAUCAGUGAUCGUUCAUCCUAUGGCCUUUUUGUGUGUUUUUAGAAUAAUCAACAAAACCUCUUCCUACUCUGAACUUAGCCUGACAACUAUAAUCACAGGUAACAUAUUAUGAUCCCCCAAAUACCCAUACUUUAAAUUCUCUAUGUAACACCCCAAACCCGUCCUAAACAUUAGGGCCGAAUCUGGUGAUGUCACAUUGUAACACCUGUUACCCGUAUCAACGCUGGAAUAGGGUACGAGGCAUUACCAGAAUAAAUACACUUAUAGACAUAUUAAUCCGAGUUAUAAAAUUUUAUCCAAAUUAAACUUUCCAAUUGUUAUUCUGGGUCGUUAAUUAGGGUUUACUUGGCUAAAUAUACUCACAAUCUUUCACUUCUUCAUCGUAUGAAUUUAUAAAUAUUCACUUGUUGAAUUCGUCUUGAGUACCUGAAUUGAUCCGUAUCAUUACAUAUUCUCAUAUUGUCAAAUUUUCCUUUUUAACUAUUAUAGUAUAACAAUAGUUCACUAUCUAGUACGCUAAUUGUCACAUACAUACAUUAACCAUUCAUCUCCCAUACAGCUAAGAAAAUUAGCCACAAAGAUAGUACAAAUUUUCUCUAUUCGAUAUAAACCAAAACCUGUUAUUUCUUUUCCAACAAACCUUACUAGAUAUACACUUUAUACUAACCUAAGUGUUCAACCAUUCACCCAUGACAUAAAUGUAUUUUAUCCAUUAUUGCCGAAUAUAGAUAUGCUUCACAAAUCAUAAUUCACCUCACAUAGUAACCGAAUUAAUUUUUAUCAUUUGUCAAAUAGAUUACAAAAUAAGUUAUAUAACAAAAUAUAGAUACAUUUUAAACCACACAAUUAAACAAAUUUUCAUGGCAUUACAUGAUCUUCACUUAUCAAAGACAAAUGUUCUUGACAUUUCCAUCACCUAAACUGAAUUAAUCAAUGCAACUCAAUAAUAUAAUCAUCCAUACAUCAUUAUUAUCACACAUAUAUAUAUCAUGACUAAAUUUCUUAAACAUUUGAUCAUUUGCUUUUCAAUACCGCAAUAGCUCCUUCAGUACAAAUACGUAUUUACCAUUCAAUUUAACAUUUACCGAUUAUAAUCGGGCAUAUGACCAUUUAUACACAAUUCAUUCAUACAUUUUAUUCUCCUCCUCCUCUCCAUCCCACAUCCUUUAUGUAUAUAACAUGCUUAAAUAGCAUUAUACAUAAUUUCACUAUCCACUUAUAUUUAAAUUUAAAGUUGUCUAGUUGAGUUAUAGUCACUAAAUUAUUUUUAUCUAGAGCUACAGAGCUCCAAAUUAAGUUUUGUUAAUUUUUCCCGAAACUAGACUCACAUAUCUCCUUACCAUAAAAUUUUCAGAAUUUUUUGUUUAGCCAAUUAGUAUAGUUUAUCCUUUAAACUUCCCCUAUUUCACUGUUAGAUAGCUCUGAUCCCUCUUCACUAAAAUUUACUUAACUCUUUGUACAGAAUUCAAAAUAUGUUCUUGUUUGUUUCUCUUGAAAAUAGACUCAUUGAGAAGUUCAAACAUGUAUAAUACAAGCCAUAAUUAUUGUGAUUUUUCAAAGUUGCACAACUGCUGUUGUUCAAAACUAUUUUAUUUCUAAAUUUACUCUUUUAUAGUUUUGAUAUUUCAUACCAUCUUACACAUGGGUCGAUUAAGUAUCAAACCCAAUAUUCCUCACAUAAUCUUGUCCAUUUCAUAUGUACAUUCACUUUUCCAAUUUCCCUAUUGAACACUCGGAAUAUUAUCCGUUACUUGGUGGAUUCAGCACUUAGCAACCACCUUAAAUUCAGUGAUACGGGGAAUCAGCACAUAGCAACCCCUUUCACAAUCAAAGAUACGGUGGAAUCAGCACUUACCAACCACCUUUACAUUCAGUGAUACGGGGAAUCAGCACAUAGCAACCCCUUUCACAAUCAAAUAUACGGUGGAAUCAGCACUUAGCAACCACCUUUAGAAUCAAUAAUUCGAGGAAUCAGCACUUAGCAACCCCUCAGAGAAUCUACACUUAGUGACCCAUUUUCAUCCAAUGUAUUCCGGUCUAUUCCGAGUGUUCAACCGGAAACCUUGUUUUUUUAAAAUUUUACCACCUUUCUCAAACUUAACCACAUUUUUUUUAUAAUCUACAUCAAAUAUUUAAUCUAUAUUCACUCAAAUCUCAACAAUAUAUUGAAUAACAUUAAAAUAAUGCAUUAAUUCACAUACAAACUUACUUUGGUGCAACAAUAUAGAAAUUUAGUAAUUUAGUCUUUAAUCUUUUCUUUUCUUUGAUCAAGGUCGAUUCCACUUCUUUCUUGAACUAUAAUAACACAUUUAACUUAUUUAACAUGCACAUUCAUCAAAACAGUCCUUAACUCAAACUUUGGCAAAAUUACAAUUUUGCCCCUAAACUUUUGCCCCAAAGCUCGAAAAUUAAACUUCAUCUCUUGUUCUUAUGUUUUAUGACAUACUAAACAUUUUUCCCUUCUAUGGCAACAUCAAAUUCCCACUCUAACACUUAUGAACAUUAGGUAUUUUUCUGAUUAUGUCAUUUUACUAGUUUUCUCUUAAAAUCGCUUAGCAAAAGUUGUUUAACAUAAUUUCUAGCUUUAUAUUCUACCAUAAAACAUCAAAAUAAACACAUUUCACCUAUGGGUAUUUUCCCAAAUAUAAACCCUAGGUUAAAUUAUUGUUAGAAAUAGCUAAAACAAGUUACCGAGACUCUAAAAACGUAAAGAACAUUAAAAACGAGGCUUAGAAUCACUUACCAUAGAGCUUGGAAGCUUGAAAACCCUUACUAUGACUUCUCCCCUUGCUAAAUUCGGCCUUAGCUUGAAGAUGGACAAAAUUUUGGCUAUUUUGGCCUUUUUAAUUCUUUUAAUUACUAAAUAACCAAAAUGCCCCCAACUUAAAAAAAAAUCCUUUUUCACUUAUCUCUUGUCCAUUUUUGUCCAACAAGUUAACCAAUGGUAUAAUUACCAUUUAAGAACCUCCAAUUUAAAAUUUCAUAGCAAUUUAACACCUCUAGCUGCUAGAACUCAACUUUUGUACUUUUUAUAAUUUAGUCCUUUUGGCUAAAUUGAGUGCCUAAACGUCGAAAUUUUUGAACGAAAUUUUUACGAAAUCAUUCCAUGAAAUUGUAGACCAUAAAAAUAUAAUAAAAAAUAAAUUUUUCCUCAUCAAAUUUUUGGUCCCGAAACCACUGUUCCGACUAGAUCUAAAAUCGGGCUGUUACACUCUAGUAAUGACUUUAACUCCAACUCAGGAGGUUUAACAAUGGAAGGUACCAUAUUUUUUUAAUUUAGGAUAAUUAGUCUUGUUUCCCCUUACUUUGCCUCCACCAAUCAAGUUGGAAAGCUAUCUGGUCAUUCUCUUGUUCGGUAUCGUACCCUUUCUCUUAUUUCGAUUCAUAUUCAUCCUACUCAAUCGACUUCACUAUCAUUGACUCCAAUCUAUUUAACUUUUUCUCUUCUGGUUUAGACUUUUCUAGCCCUCUAGUUUCUAGUUCUCGAUGUGUCCCAUAGGUAAAUUCAUUUUCGUUGAAUUUUUCCAAUAUUUUCAUGACCUCUUUUCUUGUUUUCUCCCAAAUACUUCCCCCAGUCAUGAUGUCAAAUUGCGCCUAUUCUGACUAUCCAAUCCAUCAUAGAAAUGUUGAAUUUGAAUCACAAAAAGUAUGCCUCCACCCUGAACUAAUUUGAUGAUUAUUUUAAACCUCUCCCAUGCUUGCCUUAAUGUUUUAGUGAUGUGUUUUAUGAAUUGAAAUAAUUUCUUAUAAAUAUUGAGUACCUUAGUUAUAUGCAAGACCCAAUAAAGAAAUAACUACACAAAUUCGUCCAUGUAGAAAUAGUAUCAGGUGGAAGUGCAUCUAACCACACUUUUGCUUUUCCAUCUAACGCACAUGGAAUUAGCAAUAAUUUAAUAGUGUCUAGUGGAACUCCAACGUAAGCGACAGUGCUGCAGAUGUGUUAAAACCACCGUAGGAAGGUUAUAGGGUCCUCUAUUUUAUGAUCAUUAAAUCUUACAUUAUUAGAAAUCCAUGUUAGUCAGGAAGGAUUUAACUCAAAAUAUGGAUUAUGAAUAAUGGGACAAGUGAUGCUAGAUCGCAACCAAUCCACAUCAAAAAAAAUCUUCCUAAUGCUUGCAUCAUAUUACUAAUGGUUACUUGUAAUAGUCUGUUUUUCAAUGGUGUCAGAGAUAGAGGCUUUGGGGCCACCAAAUUUGACAAGUAAGUUCGUAAAUAUUACGAGUCAAAUAUGGUUUUAAAAAUACUUUUGAUAUGAUAAUUUAUGCUAUUCAAAUGAUUAAUUAAGUUUAAAUGGUAAGACCCUAAUGUCAAGUGGUUUUAGAAAAUGAGGUAUCGGGACCUCGUUUCUAUAAACCGAGCCGUAAAUAUUUUUAUAAAUAUUUACGGAGUGUCAUUAAGGUGGCAUUAAAGUUUCAUUGAAUAUUUUUAACGUUUUGAUAGUUAAUUAAGCAAAAAGGACUAAAUCCUAAAAAGUGUAAAAUGUGAUCACUAUUUAAUCAGAGUGAUUAAAUGGCUUAUUGAAUAAAGGAAAAGGGACCUAGAUGGUAAUUAGACCAUUUUUAUAAAUAAUGGACAAAGGUGGACAAUAAAUAGGUAAAUUUUGAUAUUAUAACAAAGGUUAAUUUAGUAAUUUAUUUAUUAAAAGAAAAUUAAAACAAAUAAAAAAAUGGCAUCAUCUUCUUUAACUUUGGUUCCACUGAACUUGUUGAAGAAGGAAGCCAUAGCUAGAGCUUAAUAUUCGGCCAUGCUUUGGAUUAUGCAUGUAAGUCUGUUUUAGCCUCGUUUUUAAUAAUUUUUAUGUUUUGUGAUCGUUGCAACUAGGUCAAGCUAGCCAGUACCAUCGAUUUUGAAAUUGUUGAAGAUUUUGAAUGUUUCCAUUGAUGAACCUUACGAUUUUAGAUUUUUAAUGAUGAAUAUGAAAUGUUGGUUGGGAUUUAAAAGUAUUUUGUUAAGUAAUUUUGAUGAAUUUUUCGAUUAGGGACUAAAUUGUUGAAAUCGUAAAAGUACAUGGAUUUGAUGUGAAAUUGUUGCAAAUAUGGGCUAUAUUGGAAGCUAAAAAUAUUUGGCUGUUAUGAAAUUUCAAUAAAAAUGGUUAAUUUGCAUGUUUUAGGCUCAUGGACUAAAUUGAAUAAAAGUAAAAUAUUAGGGGUAAUUUUGUAAAAAUGUCAAAAUGACUAAAUUGCAUAAAUACAUUGUUUUAUUGUAUAAAUUAAUAGAUUGAAUAAAUUAUUAAUUCAGAUCAAGAUCGAGUGGAAAAUCAAGGAGAAUGGGAAAUUACCAAAAUACCCCUAUACUUUGUCAUUUCUGCAAUUUUGCCAGCUAAAUUCGUAACUUGUUUAGUUCAAUUAAUUACUGUUUCGAUAAAUUAUUAUCGAUUUGUAUAUAUAUAUGUGAAUCAAAUUUUUCAGCUUGAAGGAAACGAAUGAGACACUAUGGCAAUUUUUCAGAUGCAAGACCGUGGUUGGACAAUGGCAAUGUUUACGUAAGACCAAAGCGAGGAUAUGGCAGAUUUUCAGACGUAAGACCAUGGUUGGACCAUAGCAGUGUAUAUAUAUAUGUAAGACCAUAGUUGGGCUAUGGUAUUCUAAUGGUAAGACCAUAACUUGGUUAUGGUACUAUGAGUGUAAGACCAUGGCAAGGCCAUGGCAGUGCACAUGUAAGACCAUAGUUGGACUAUGGCACAAUAUGAAACGUGUACCGGGUUUUAAAGGUCUUUACAGUGUUCAUCAAAUAUGAAAAGGGAUAGUUUUGACCAUCGAUUAAAGAAAAUGGAUGGUUUCGACUUUUAUUUAGCACACUUGUGUGAGUUCCGGUACUGGUUUCGAUUGACUUCACUACGAUAAUUAUGGAAAGGUAUAAUGCAUCAAUGAUCAAAGUAUGAAUAUUAAUGACUUGAAAGGUAAGAUUUAAGUGAUUCUAUGUUUAUAUACUAUAUUUGUAACACCCCAAACCCGGCCUAGACGUUAUGGUCGAAUCUGGCGUGUCACAUUGAAGUGUCUCUCGAAAACUGAACUCGUUGGUAAAAAUUUGUUUCUAAGUUUAUAAAAAAACCCCAUUUAUUUUAAAUUAAAAAAUCAACUAGUCAAAACGUUUAUCUUGUUAUCUGAUAUUGUUUUAAUAAGUUGGUCUAAAAUCGCAAAAGCUUUUAAACUCUAUUGUUAAAACUCGUGUCUUUGAAAACAGUAAUUAUUUUAAAAUUUUAUCUUCUCCUAAACUAGCAAUUUAAAAUAAGCAAGCGAAGCCCAAUUCAAAAUUAUAACCAACAUAAAGGCCUUAUUAGACAAAAACAAAACCCAACAUAUAAAUUAAGUUAAAAUAAAAGCACAUGUAAACAACAGCAGUUGUGUGGCCACCUCCGAGUCCCUCGUAGCACCGAAUCAUCUACGACUGAGGAUUACCUACACAGUUAAAAGGAGAGGGUGAGUUUACGAAACUUAGUGUGUAAGCUCCAUUCAGUCAAACAAUAUACGACAUGCAGUAUCAGUCUAGGCCUAAGCCCUAAACAGUAACAGUAUAAUGUGGGCCUUAGCCUAAUACAGUAACAGUGUGGACUUUAGCCCAAUCAAUAUCAGUACAGUGCAAUAAUGUAAAUCAUCCCAAUCCAACCAACACACCACUCUGUACCACCAACACACUAUGUGGGGACAAAAUCGACCUACCCAGCCAACAUACCAAUACCGCAGCAAAGCUGCCAGUAGUAGCAUCACAGCAGAGCUGCCAGUAUCAGUAUCGCAGCAAAGCUGCCAGAACAGUAUACUUCCUCCAUAACAGUAUCCCAACCCCAUGCAAUAUGUCUUGUCAAAAAUCAUACUUUUAUGCAAAAUAUCAUAUUUGAUCAUAGUCAUACAUAUCAUAGAGCAAAUCGGUCAUACAUACAUAAGGUCGUAACAGUCAUUUCGACUCUUAGGGGUAUAAUAGUCAUUUUACCCUACGGGGUAUUUCAGUCAUUUUACCCUUUGGGAGUAUUUCGAUCAUUUUACCUUUCGGGGGUAUUUUAGUCAUUUUACCCUUUAGGGGUAUUUCGGUUAUUUUGCCCUGAAGGGGUAUUUAGUCAUUUUACCAUUCGGGGGUAUUUCGAUCAUUUUACCCUUUGGGGGUAUUUCGAUCAUUUUACUCUUCAAGGGUAUUUCGAUCAUUUUACCCUUUGGGCGUAUUUUAGUCAUUUUACCUUUAGGGGGUAUUUCGAUCAUUUUACCCUUCAAGGGUAUUUCGAUCAUUUUACCUUUUGAGGGUAUUUCGGUUAUUUUACCUUUUGGGGGUAUUUUGGUCAUUUUAUCCUUUGGUGGUAUUUCGGUCAUUUUACCCUUCGGGGCUAUUUCGGUCAUUUUAUCCUUUAGGAGUAUUUCAGUCAUUUGCCCACGAAUCGCAACUUGGGCUUACCACUCGAGCGAUCGCAUGCCCUUGUGGUCUCAAACGCCGUGUUUACGGCUUUUCGGCCUUUUGCCGAUCUACGGUUGCAGUGGGGUGAUUACCCACAUGUUUACGAGAAGAGCGCAAAUCUACACGUACACCCACCUAGAAUCAAACAUGACCCAAAGUUAGUCCAUUAAUUGCUAGGGUAAAACGCCCUCUUAUUACACUUAAUCCAAAACACCCUCCUUAACUUGAUUGAACGUUGAGCCCAAAGGUUGCGACUAUUUCAAAUCAUUUACAAACCACCACUCCUCGAAGGAAACCCUAAAACCGCAACGAGUAACACCAUAUGAGGAAGAAAUCAACCAUAGGGAAUUAAAGUGUAAAGAAAAAGAGUAUUCGAUUUUGAGAAAAAGAAAAGAAGAGAAUAGGUUUACUCAAGUGAGGAGUAUAACCACUUACCGAUAGUCAGAAACCUGCAGCACAGGAAUGGCAAGAAGUAGCAGAGAAAGAUCAAUGUAGAGAACGAUACAACGAAUGGGUGAUAUUCGGCUAGGAGGUAAAAAGGAGAGAAGCCCAACAGAGAUAAACCGAAGAAAACAAACAGGUUAUUCGGCCAAGAGGGCAUAGAUUGAAGGAGAAGAGAAGAAGAAAAGAAAAAAGGAAUAGAGAAUCAAAGCCGAUAAAAUGAAAGACAGAAAAGGGGGAGUUCGGUAAAAGAAGGAACCAAAAUAUUGUUCGGCCGAAACCAAAAAGGUAAAAGAAGAAGGCAGAAAAGUAAUCAAAAGGAGAUACUCGAGAAUUUCGGCACCACAAAGCAAACCAAGGAAAACAUUACCCAAAAACGAAAUGCGAAAAAACAUCCAAAAUGAGCCAUAUUCCCUCUAGCCGAAUUACCUGAGUACCAAAGUCUCCAUUCGGCACACCUCUCCUCUCCCCUCACAUCCCUUGAUUUUCUCCUAAAAUCACUCCAACAACUCCAUUCAAAUUCCAUUCAAACUCCCAUUAGCUGUGUUCCAGUCCAACUCCACUACCUACACAACUGAAGCAUCAAAAUAAACACUCCAUUGAACGACCCACGACUUGAACCUCAGACCUCACAAUCACACAACACGCCACCUUGCCACUAGACCACAAGCUUUUUUUGUGUCAUAAAAGAAACACUAAUAUUUAUAAGGCCUAAAUACCAAUGUCCAAAUUCAUUUAAGAGCAAAACUAAAAAUUCUGCAAAAGCCAAGACUUGUACCCAGGCUCCUCAAACACUCCCGUACACACCCAAAUCAUUUAGCCAUUAAAGCAAACAAGCAAUUUGUGUCAAAUCAUGGAAAAAAUAAAGACUUCAAAUUUUGGGGCGUUACAACUCUACCCCCUUAACAAAAUUUUGGCCUCGAAAUUUACCUGAUCAGAAAAGAUGAGGCUAUUGUUGUCGCAUCGCCUCUUCGGGUUUCCACGUGGCUUCUUCUGAAUUGUGAUUACGCCAAAGAACUUUGACUAGAGGAAUAGACUUCUUCCUCAGUACUUUAAACUCACGAUCUAGUAUUUGCACUGUCUCCUCCUCAAAAGACAGAUCUGACCCAACCUCAAUCUCCUCGACUGGUACAAUGUGGGUGGGAUCAGAAAGAUAACGCCUCAGCAUGAAGACGUGGAACACAUCAUGAAUCUGGUUUAAUUCUGAAGGCAACGCAAGUUGAUAUGCAACCGCUCCCACACGCUUUAGUAUACGGUAAGGCCCAAUGAACCUAGGGCUAAGUUUACCCUUCCGCCCAAACCUCAAUAUCUUUUUCCAUGAGGAGACCUUGAGAAAUAAGAAGUCCCCCACAGAAUACUCAAUCUCUCAGCGUUUAAGAUCCACGUACGACUUCUGUCUAUCAGAUGCUUUCUUCAACCGGUCUCGAAUCAGUUUUACAUUUUCUUCGGUAUUAAAAACUAACUCAGGCCCUAAAACUCACCGUUCCCCUAGCUCAGUCCAACUGGUAGGAGUAUGAUACCUUCGACCAUAUAACGCCUCAUACGGUGCCAUUUGAAUACUGGACUGAUAGCUAUUAUUAUACGUGAACUUUGCUAACGGAAAAUAGUCUUCCCAACUACCACAGAAAUCCAUUACACAACACCUCAACAUAUCCUCCAGUCUUGAAUCACUCUUUUUGAUUGACCAUCCGUCUGAGGAUGAAACGCAGUACUAAAGUCCAGUCUUAAACCCAAAGCCUCGUGAACUUCUUCUAAAAUCGUGACGUGAAGCAAGGAUCUCUGUCUAAUAUAAUGGAAACCAGUACCUCAUGUAGUCUUACAAUCUCAGCCACAUAUAGUUUAGCCAACUUCUGCAAAGAGUAAUCAGUACGGACUGGUAUGAAAUGGGUAGAUUUAGUCAAUUGAUCUACAUUAACCCAUACCGAAUCCUUCUUGGUAGGCGUUAAGGGUAGCCCACUCACAAAAUCCAUGGUUAUUCUCCCCCACUUCCAAAGUGGUAUUUUAACUGGCUGUAGUAACCCUGAAGGUAAUUGAUGUUCAGCCUUCACUUACUGACAAGUUAGACACUUACCCACAAAAUUAGUAACUUCACGCUUAAGACCAAACUACCAAAAUAACUCACGAAGGUGACGGUACAUUUUAUUCCCGCAGGGAUGCAUAGCAUAAGGACUACUAUGCGCCUCUCGCAGUAUAGCCUGCCUCAAAUCAUUAUCCCUCGGCACACAGGCUCUCCCACGGAAGCACAGUACUCCUCACUAUUCAACCCAAAAUCUAAAGUUUUCCCACUCCUCACUUGUCAGAAAUGAGGAACCAGUGAUUCAUCCAACAACUGUUUACCCUUAAUUUGUUCAGUCCACGUUGGUCUAACUUGCAGCUCAGCUAACAAGUUACCAUCAUCAAACAAGCUGAGACGAGCAAACAUCGCUCUUAAAUCAGACAUAGUCCUACAACUUAGUGCGUCAGCUACCACAUUAACCUUUCCAAGAUGGUAUUCAAUCAAGCAAUCAUAAUCCUUAAGCAGCUCUAUCCAUCUUUGCUGCCUAAGAUUCAACUCCUUCUGAGUGAGGAGGUACUUGAGGCUCUUGUGAUCUGUAUAGAUAAUACACCUCUCAUUGUAUAAACAGUGCCUCCAAAUUUUUAGUGCGAAAACCACUGCGGCUAACUCUAAGUCAUGAGUAGGGUAAUUCGCCUCGUGAGGCUUAAGCUGCCGAGAUGCAUAAGCAACCACCUUACCCUCUUGCAUCAGCACACAACCCAAACCAACGUGUGAUGCAUCACUGUAGACAGUGAAUUCCUUCCCAGACUCUGGCUGUAUCAAGAUAGGGGCCCCAGUCAAAACUUUCUUCAUUUUCCCAAAACUUUCUUGCUGCUUAUCAGUCCAGUUAAACGGUACCCCUUUACGCAGCAACUUAGUUAGAGGUGCAGUAAUUAAGGAAAACCCCUCAACAAAACGUCUGUAAUACCCUGCCAAACCCAGAAAACUUUGAAUCUCAGAUACGGUCUUAGGUGGUUUCCAAUCUAGUACAACUUCAGUUUUUUGAGGAUCAACCCUAAUCCCCUCAGCAGACACCACGUGACCUAGAAAUGUCACUUCUCGCAGCCAGAACUCACACUUGCAGUACUUAGCGUAUAGUUGUUUCUCCCUUAGAAUCUGCAGAACAAUUCGAAGAUGUGCAUCAUGAUCAUCCUCGAUUCUCGAAUACACUAAGAUAUCAUCUAUAAAUACCACUACGAACCGAUCCAGGUAGCGAUGGAAUACUUGGUUCAUCAAGUCCAUGAAGGCUGUUGGUACAUUCGUCAGCCCAAACGGCAUGACUAGGAACUCAUAAUGACCAUAAAUAGUCCUAAAAGCAAUCUUAUACACAUCAACCUCCUUAACUCUCAGCUGAUGAUACCUAGAACGAAGAUCUAUUUUAGAGAAUAUCGAAGCUCCUUGCAACUGAUCAAAUAAAUCAUCUAUCCUCGGCAAAGGAUACUUAUUCUUGAUAGUCAAUUUAUUCAAUUGUCAAUAGUCAAUGCACAUGAGCAUGGUCCCAUCCUUUUUCUUUACUAACAACACUGGUGCUCCCCACGGAGACACGCUAGGUCAAAUGAAUCCUCGAUCCAACAGUUCUUGGAUUUGAGCUUUUAAUUCCACCAGCUCCUUCGGUGCCAUCCUAUAAGGGGAGAUGGACACUGGAGUCAUUCCAGGCAGGAGCUCAAUUCCAAAUUCAACUUCGUGGCUCGGAGGCAACACAAGGAGCUCAUUAGAAAAAACAUCGGAAAAAUCCUUAACCAUUCUAAUAUCUUCAACAGAAAGACCCUUAGAAUCAGAUAAACCAACAUAGGCUAGAAACGUAUUACAACCCUUGCGAACCAGUUUUUCGGCCCUUAAUGUAGAGAUGGCAUUAGACAGAAAGUCAUUUUGCUCCUCAAUCACAGCCACCUCCUCAUCCUCUAUAGUCUUUAAUACCAUUCGUUUAGCAGCAUAAUCGAAACUUGCAUGGUGUUUUACCAACCAAUCCAUCCCCAAGAUUAGAUCGAAUUCACCGAACGGUAGCUCCAUAAAAUCCGCUAGAAAUAUCACUCCUUGAACCUCUAGGGGCACUUCUCUGAACAACUUGUCUACCCUUACUGAUUAUCCCAAUGGACUUAACACAGUUAUCUUAUUAACAGUACUCUCACGCAUGAUACCCAAGGUGCCAGACAUAGUGGAUGCAAUGUAUAAAUGUGUAGACCCUAAAUCAAUUAAAGCAAUGUAAGGUACAUUGUGAAUCAGAAACAUACCAGUUAUAACAUCUAGAGCGUCACCAUCCUUUCAGCGACGAGCAGCGUAGACCAAUGCUAGCGGUCUCACCUCAAUGUUACCAACACCUCUGUCUGGCAUUCCACGACCUCGUCCCACACCAUUUUCACCUCUAAACUGCCCAAGGCCUCUCUAUGGCUGCUGAACACCUCUAACUGGCUGAACAAAACCCUGACCUGUAGCUUGCACCUAAACAGGCCUCUGAGGACAAUUCUUAACUUUAUGCUCCAUAGACCCACAUCUGAAACAAGCCUCAAUCUUCUUCUAGCAUUCACCCAGGUGAUUUCUUCCACAAUCAACACAAGGCUGUGGUCUUGCAAUAGAAACCCUAGCUCGGACUGGCCUAUCAAACCUAACCUUCUUUUUAGACCUUCUAGAAGUACUUGAGAGCUCUAAAUCCCUCUUAUAUCUGCCCCUAUCCUUUCCACAGUUCUGGCGCUCAAAGAACUUCACAUCCUCGGCAAUUUUCGCCUUCUCAACUAAGGUAGCAAAAUCUCGAUCCCUCUACGGAGCUAUCAAAACUCACAACUCAUCCCGGAGGCUGUCCUCAAAUCACACACAGCAUUCAUAUUCAGUCGCCAUUAUCCCACAAGCAUAAUGAAUCAGACGCAGAAACUCUGCCUCAUAUUCCGCCACAGUUUUAUUCCCCUGAAUCAAACUCAAAAAUCCUCUUCUUCGGGCGUCCACAUAACUUGAGCCCACAUACUUUCCUUGAAAUGCCGCCUUAAAGAAAUCCCACGUUAACCGGUCGGCCUGAGUACCUUCUCUCUCAGUAAGCCACCACUGAGAGGCUUCAUCUCGCAGUAAAGACACUGCUUCUUUAAGUUUUUGCUCAAAAUUGCAGUCGAGAUCCUCCAUUAUUCUCUCUGUGGCUUCCAACCAGUAUUCAGCCACAUUAGGGGCUACUCCAGAAAUACCCCUGAAAUUUUUUGCUCCAUUCGACCGGAGUCGUUUUGAAAUUGAACCAUAGCCCACAGCACUAGUACUGGUACCCUUUCCAGAAUGCGAAGCAUAGCUUGGGAUAGUGCAUCAUCCCUAGCCGCUCGAUCGAAUGAUCCCGUCUUAGUCACUGAUGAAGCUGGUGCUUCCCUAGCCCCAACAUUAGCCAUGUGGCCUGACGCCGAAGACCCAGCCCUAGCACUUCCUCAGCCUCUACCACAACCUCGUGUACCCCUUCCGCAAGUACCUCUAGUGCUCAUAUCGAAUAACGUAUAAUCUGUUUAUGAAGUUUUAUGUAUUAGUUAGUAAUUCCAGUAUUUAUUAACAGAAGUCUUAUGGGAAGCAAUAAUCAGAGUUUGUUUUCGUAAUUCAAGAGUUCCCUACAGUUUCCAGUUUUCUUACAGUCUCAGUUUUCUCUAAUUUAAGAGUUUCAGUACAGUCCUACUAUUUAUAGUAAUCUCUCAAUGUUUUUUAGUUCAGGCAGUCUAUAGUAUAAAGAAACUUACAGAUUUGGCACUGGAGACUCGGUGUGUCACACUUGUAAGCCUUCCAAAAUACUUCAAAACAGUUUUCCAAAUACUUUCAAAACCCAUUCCAGAGUCGAGGUUUGCAACCUUGCUUUGAUACCACUAAAUGUAACACACUAAACCUGGCCUAGACGUUAUAGUCGAAUCUGGCUUGUCACAUUCAAGUGUCAUCCAAAAAUAAAACUCGUUGGUAAAAUUUAUUUCUAAGUUUAUAAAAAAUCAUUUAUUUUAAAUUAACAAAUCGAUUAGUCAAAACGUUUAUCUUGUUAUCUGAUAUAAGUUGGUCUAAAAUCGCGAAAGCUUUUUAAACUCUAUUGUUAAAACUCGUGUAUUUGAAAACAGUAAUUAUUUUAAAAAUUCGUCUUCUUCUAAACUAGCAGCUUAAAAUAAGUAAGAAAAGCCCAAUUCAAAAUUAUAACCAACUUAAAGGCCUUAUUAGAUAAAAACAAAGGCCAACAUAUAAAUUAAGUUAAAAUAAAAGCACAUGUAAACAACAGUAGUUGUGUGGCCACCUCCGAGUCCCUCGCAGCACCGAAUCAUCUAUGGCUGAGAAUUACCUGCACAGUUAAAAGGAGAGGGUGAGUUUACGAAACUCAGUGUGUAAUCUCCAUUCAGUCAAAGAAUAUACGACAUGUAGUAUUAGCCUGGGACAGAGCCCUAAACAGUAAUAGUAUAGUGUGGGCCUUAGCCCAAUACAGUAACAGUGUGGGCCUUACCCCAAUACAAUAUCAGUACAGUUUAAUAAUGCAAAUCAUCUCAAUCUUGCCAACACACCAAUAUCGAAGUAAAGCUGCUAGUAGUAGCAUCGCAGCAGAGCUGCCAGUAUCAGUAUCGCAGCAGAGCUGCCAGAAACAAUAUACUUCCUCUAUAACAGUAUCCCAACUCCAUACAAUAUAUCUGUCAUAAAUCAUACGUGUAUGCAAAAUAUCAUAUUUGAUCAUAGUCAUACAUAUCAUAGAGCAAACCGAUCAUACAUACAUAAGGUCAUAACAGUCAUUCCGACUCUUAAAGGUAUAACAGUCAUUUUAUCCUAUGGGGGUAUUUCGGUCAUUAUACCCUUGGGGGUAUUUUGAUCAUUUUACCUUUUAGGGGUAAUUUAGUCAUUUUACCUUUCAGGGGUAUUUCAGUCAUUUUACCCUUCGAGGGUAUUUCGAUCAUUUUACCUUUAGGGGGUAUUUCAGUCAUUUUACCCUUCGAGGGUAUUUCGAUCAUUUUACCCUUUGGGGGUAUUUAAGUUAUUUUACCUUUCAUGGGUAUUUUGAUCAUUUUACCCUUUGGGGGUAUUUCGGUCAUUUUACCCUACGGGGGUAUUUCAAUCAUUUGGCCACGAAUUGUAAGUUAGGCUUACCACUAGAGCGAUCACAUGCCCGUGUGGUCUCAAACAUCGUGUUUACGACUUUUUGACCAUUCACCAAUCAACGGUUGCAGUGGGGUGAUUACACAACUGUUUAUGAGAAGAUUGCAAAUCUCCACGUACGCCCACCUAGAAUCAAACAUGACCCAAAGUUAGUCCAUUAAUUGCGAGGGUAAAACGCCCUCUUAUUACACUUAAUCCAAAACACUUUCCUUACCUUGAUUGAACGUUGAGCACAAAGGUUGCGACUAUUUCAAAUCACUUACAAACCACCACUCCUCGAAGGAAACCCGAAGACUGCAACGAGUAACACCAUAUGAGGAAGAAAUCAACCAUAGGCAAUUAAAGGAUAAAGAAAAAGAGUAUUCGAUUUUGAGAAAAAGAAAAGAAGAGAACAGGUUUACUCAAGUGAGGAGUAUAACCACUUAUCGAUAGUCAGAAACCUGCAGCAUAAGAACGGCAAGAAGCAGCAGAGAAAGAUCAACGUAGAGAACGAUACUACGAAUGGGUGAUAUUCGACUAGGAGGUAAAAGGGAAAGAAGCCUGACAGAGAUAAACCGAUGAAAAAAGAGAGGUUAUUCGGCAAAGAGGGCACAGAUUGAAGGAGAAGAGAAGAAGAAAAGAAAAAAGGAAUAGAGAAUCAAAGCCAAUAAAAUGAAAGAAAAAAGGGCGAGUUCGGCAAAAGUAGGAACCAAAAUAUUGUUCGGCCGAAACCAAAAAGGUAAAAGAAGAAGGCAGAAAAGUAAUCAAAAGGAGAUACUCGAGAAUUUAGCAAUAAUUCGGUACCACAAAGCAAAACAAGGGAAACAUUACCCAAAAAUGAAAUGCGAAAAAACACCCAAAAUGAGCCAUAUCCCCUCUGGCUGAAUUCCCUGAGUACCAAAGUCCCCAUUCGGCACACCUCUCCUCUCCCCUCACAUCCAUUGUUUUUCUCCUAAAAUCACUCCCCUUAUCCCUCAUUGAAUCACUCCACCAAAUUCUCCUCAACUCCCUCCAACAACUCCAUUCAAAUUCCAUUCAAACUCCCCUUAGCUAUGUUUCAGUCCAGCUCCACUACCUACACAUCUCAAGCAGCAAAAUAAACACUCCAUUGCACAACCUACGGCUUGAACCUCAGACCUCACAAUCACACAACAUGCCACCUUGCCACCAGACCACAAGCUCUUUUUGUGUCAUAAAACAAACACUAAUAUUUAUAAGGCCUAAAUACCAAUGUCCAAAUUCAUUUAAGAGCAAAACUAAAAAUUCUGCAAAAGCCAAUACUUGAACCCAGGCUUCUCAAACACUCCCAUACACACCCAAAUCACUUACCCAUUAAAGCAAACAAGCAGUUUGUGUCAAAUCAUGUAAAAAUUAAAGACUAAAAUUUUUGGGGCAUUACAAUAUUUUACCAUGUGAUGAUAUUGCUAAGUUAUGUUUCAAUCACUAGCCUGUGACAAUGGUAAGUGUUCAAUAUGAACCAAGACAUGUGUGUAUGAAACUUAUUGAAAUGAUGAUACAUGGGAAAACAUGAUAUGUUAUGAAGGAUAAUAGAUCCAAUUGGAUCAUGCUAAAGUAUAAUGGUUGUCUAUGUUAAGUUCACAUAAAUUAUAUUCAAUUAUGGUAUCAUGUGUUAUUGUUGGAGCUUGGGCUUGUGCCAAGUUUAUGAUUGAAUUAUAUCAUGUUUAAUCUUAAUGAAAUGCAUUGAAACGGUAAGUGCUCAAAUGGGUAACGUGCUUAUGUCCAUGAAAAGGGGGAAUAAAUCAAAGUAUGUAAUUUCUUUUGCAAUGGCUGAUUAUGGAGUUGAUUCUGAACGAACUAUGUUUAAAUGCACUAGUUUGUAGUCAUGGUUAAUAUUAUCCGUAUAUCUUGUGUGUUAUAUAUAUGAAACGAGUGAUGAAAGGUAAUGAAAUGGUAAAUUCAUAGUCGAAAUUAAAUUUGAUGAAAAUGGAGUAAUGAGUUUCAAUGAUGUACUAUAUGUUUGAAGUUUACGUAUGCUAUGAAUGAAUAUAACUAUAUCAUAGAUAAAUACACUAAGUCAGGAAUUGAGAAUGUGGUUUAGGCUUAUGAUAGGCAUUGGGAAUGAAAUGAAAAGAAAGUAGAUUGAAAAGUGUAUAAUCUUAUAGAAAAUUUGAUGAUUAUCUAUUAAGUCCCUUAAAAUCCUAUCAUAUUAUGAAUGAUAAAUGUAUGUGACAUUAAUGAACUUACUCAUUUAUGGGUUGAUGAUCAUAUCGUUUUAUGAAUCUUAUGGCAUUUACAUAGAUUUAUGUUUAUUUUAGAAAGUCUAUUAUUGAAAUGAAAUAUUAUGUUUAAAGUUUAUACCAACUUACUAAGCAUACAUUGCUUACGUAGUUAUUUUCCUUUACUUGACAGAUUAUCGGAAGCUUGAUCAGGUUGGAAGCUAGCUAGAGAUCCAUCACACUAUCCAUCGAAUUUAUCUGUAGAGUUUGAUGUUUUAGUCGUGGUUAUAAUGCAUGUAUAGAUGGAAUAUGUCUAAUAUUUAAUUAAUGAGUUCAGCAUGUAUAUGUCAUUUUGGUUGAUGAUAUUGGCAUGAAAUGUUGCCUUGGAUUUUACGUACUUAAGGUACUAUUGAUGUUUUCUUAGUUGUGGUUAAUAUGAUCAAAUUGAUGCAUGGUCUUAUGACCAAAGUGUUAUGUGUUGGCAUGUAUAUAUCUUUGGUUUUAUGAGUGAUGACAUUUUGACAUUUUGGUUCUUAAAUGGUUAAUGUUGAAAUGGCCAAGUAGAUGUAUGUUUUUAAUGAUCAAUUUGGUAUAUUUUGUUGAGGUCUGACAUAUGGUCAAUUGUGCUAUGUCUUGGCAUGAUAAUUUAUGUUUGUGUAUAUUGAUUCAUGCCAAAACAUGUAAGUGUUUAGGUUGAUUUGAAUAUUUAUGUUUGAGGUGCCUUUUGGGCAUACUAGUUGUAUGCAAAAAUGUCAUAUUGAUCUAGUUUUAUUAUGCAUGUGUUAGGUACAUUUUUGAAUGCUUGAAAUAGGUGCAAAUGGCUUGUAUGUAUUAACAUGUUUUGGGUACGAGAAAUGCCUUGAAAAUGGCCUAUUUCUUGUCCACACGGCCUGAGACACGAGAGUGUGUCUUAGCCAUGUGAGUCACACGGCCAUGCGAUACAACCAUGUGUCCCCUGUAGGUUUUUAAAGGUUGCAUUUCAAGAGUUACAUGGCCUAGCACACGGGCGUGUGGCUUGGUCAUGUGAACCAAGUUAGAGAGUUACAUGGGCACAAACACGGGCUAGGACACGGGCGUGUGUCCUUACUUCAAAUGCCCACACGAUAUUGUUACCCCUAUAGUGUAAAUUUUUCCAUAUUUUUCUAUGAAGUUUUAGAUGUUUUUGAUUUAGUCCCGAAUUGUUUCUAAAGUGUUUCUAAGGCCUCGAGGGCUCGAAUUAGGGAUGUUAUGCAUGUGUUUGAUUUGGACUUUGCAAUGAUUAUGAAACAUUGGAAAUCAAUGAUUUAAGUUUUGUUUUUAUGGUAAUUCUUCGUAACCCUAUUCUGGCGAUGGAUAUGGGUUAGGGGUGUUACAUUACUUAUUAGCAGGCAAAUGUUAUUCCCUCAUAUUGUGUUCUAUACCACCAGAAGAACUUUAGUCGUUAGUUUUCUUGAGUACAUAAGUAUCUUCUAUAAGUAUGUUCCUAUAUCUUGAAACCAAAAGAAAAAAAAUAUGUUAGUAAAGCUGAUGUUUAAAAUUUGUAUCUCUAAUGUAUCAAUUUCCUAAUUAUUCUAUUAAAAUGCAAAAAUUAAAAUUGCAACACCUCAAACCCAGCCUAGGAGUUAUGGCCGAAUCUGGCGGUGUCACAUUGAGGUGUUUAGCGUAAAACUUGUUUUGUUCAAAUCUUUAAAAUCAAUUAAUCAUUUUGUUAUUAAACGGUGAUUCCAAAACGGGUUGUUCAUUUCCAAGCGUGCAUCAUUAGAAACUAAUCACUUUUAAAAUGUUAUAAAUUUUCCAAAAUCUCAUUUAUUGCGAAAACGUGGUGUCUUUGAAAACUCGUCUUAUUUUACAACUAUCUGUUUAUAUCAAACUAAAUAAAUAAAACCCCCAAUUCAAAUUUCAUAACUUUAAAGAGUCCUUUUUACAUAAAAAUACCCAAAUUCAGUUACUUAUAAAUCAAAAGCUAAAAACAAAAUCUGAUGGUUACCUGCACAAUUAAGAGGAGAGGAUGAGUUUACGAAAACUCAGUGUGUAAUCCCUUAUCAAACAGUCGGCAUAUAGAACAGAAUCAGUCUAGGCCAGAGCCCUUUAACAGUAACAGUACAGUGUUGGCCUUAUCCCAAAACAGAAACAGUGUGAGCCUAAGCCCGAUACAGAAACAGUGUGGUGCAAGUAUGCAAACCCAUCCUAAUCCAGCCAACAUACCACCCGUACCAACCCAACACACCAUGUGGGGACAGAGUCGACCCACCCAACCCUCACACCAAUAUCACAACAUAGCUACCAAUAGUAAUAAUGCAGCAGAGCUACCAGUAGUUAGAAUGGCUAAGAGCCGUAAACAGGAUAGCUAUAAGCUAUAAACAGAAUGGCUACAAGCCAUAAGACAGUAAUGUGAUUGGCUCAAAGCCAUCAGUAGCAGUGAUAUGACCGGCACACAGCCAUCAGCAACGGUAACAUGAUCAGCUCAAAGCUAGCAGCAGCAGUGAUAUGACCGGCACACAGCCAUUAGUAACAGUGAAAUGAUCAGUACAAAGCCAUCAGUAACGGUACUAUGAUUCGCACAAAGCCAUCAGUAACAGUACUAUGAUCGACACAAAGCCAUUAGUAACAGUACUAUGAUCGGUACAAAGCCAUCAGUAAUGGUACUAUGAUCGGUUCAAAGCCAUCAACAGCACCGCAGUAAAGUUGCCAGCAACAGUAUUGCACCAAAGUUGCCAGUAAUAGUAUAUGUGGCCAAGCCACCAGUAGCAGUGAUUAUGGCAAAACCACUAGUAUAGUACUUCCUCCAUAACAGUAUCCUAACCCCAUAUAGUAUGUCGUGUAUGCAGAAUGCUAUGCUUAGAAUCAAUCAUUCAAAUCACAGGCAAAUUAUUCAUACCAAACACAGACAAACCAGUAAUUUAACCACAGACAAAAUAAUCAUUUGACCUCGAGGGGGAAAAAUUGUCAUUUACCCACAAGGGCAUUACGGUCAUUUUACCCUACAGAGGUAAUACGAUCAUUUUACCAUACAGGGAUAUUACGGUCAUUUUACCCUAUAGGGGCAUUACGGUCAUUUUACCCUACAAGGGUAUUACGAUCAUUUUACCCUACAAUGGUAUUACGGUCAUUUUACCCUAUAGGGUCAUUACGGUCAUUUUACCCUACAAGGGUAUUACAGUCAUUUUACCCUACAGAGGUAUUACGGUCAUUUUAUCCUAUAGGGGUAUUUCGAUAUUCUACCCUAUGAGGGUAUUUCGGUCAUUUUACCUUAUAGGGGAAUUUUACUCAUUUUACCCAUCGAGGGUAUUUUGGGCCAGAUAUCGACCUCUUGAAAAGUCCACAAUCACCUCAGCGACUCAGGUAACCUAAUUGGUCACAAUAGUGUAAAUGGGCCCAAGGCCUAUUACUCGGCCCAAGUGGGCCCACACGCUCAUGUGGCAUGUUGUACGAGUCACAAAGCCCAACUCAAGCUCAAGAACAUGAUGGGCUCAAAUUACCACAAAGGCCCAAUAAUGAGGUCAAAGGCCAAGCAAAUGCGUAUGAAACUAAAUGGAACCAUUCAAGGCUUCAUUAGCAAGGCCCUAGAUGCAUAUACAAAGGAAAAAGAAAAUCAAGAUUCACUUUCUUGUUUUCAAGAAAAUCAAGAAACCGAAUCUUGGUCCAAUUUUGCUGUUUUGAGCGAUUUCAAGAAUCAAGAAAAUCAAGAUUUCAAAUCUUGGAAAUCUUGGUCCAAGAAACUAAAUCUUGCAGCUAAGGCGCAUUGGAUCUCAGUAACUAGCAUCAACGAACCAAUUUCGGGAGAGAACGGAUUACAAGCUCAAGUUCUUGAAGAUACGACCCAAUAAGAUGUUCCAAGCCCAACCAAGAAGUUUAAAUUAGACUUAGUUGAAAAUCAGGCCAAAUUGUCAAAGUGACCUAAUUUGUGAAAUUUUAAUUCUUUAAAUACUUAGUUUUAAUUUUUAGACUUUAUGAAUAAAUUUCUAUGUAAGAAUUCAGUCCAAGAGGCCCAUUUAAAGGCCUUGGACGAAAUUCCCUUGAAAGGCAACAAUUAGGGUUUUUUUUAGUUUUCCUAGUAGGGAUAGGAAAGUAGUUAGGAGGCCUAUAUAUAUGGCUUGGCCGACCACCCUUUUACAGGAUAUAUUGAAUUCAGAUUUUUUUUGUGGAGUGAAAACUCUCUUUGAGUUUCUCCAAGAAUUCUCUCUUGAGUUUUCUUUAGAAGUAGUUUUAAAAAUCUUUUUGAUUGUGGGAGCCAUCUUCAACCUUCUUCUUGCUGUGUUUUUACAUUGGAGGGAAGAUUAGAGCCGUUUGAAGGGAGUUGUGAAAUCUUUCUUGAUUUCAAGGCUUCUUAGGACUUUAUCCAUCCUUUUUGCUAUUUUUUCUUUUUUAAUUAUUUUUGUUUGUGUCGAAUUGUUGAUUAACUUGGUUUAAUUAUUCUUGUUGCGUUUGCAGCCAUUCCAAGCUUCAAGGAUCUGUUUUGUAACAUUCUUUGGCAUCAAGAAACGUUCUUUAUUCAUCCUUUCUUGCCGCCCAAGUAUCAUUCUAUUUCAAUUUGGUUUUCUUAGCCUUUUAAGUUUAAUUUUCUAUUUUCUGUUUAUGUUUUAGAUCUAAGUGUCGAUAGUUUUCGUAGGAUUUUCCCCUGACUUGGCAACUCGAUCUUGGUCCAUGCGCAACCUCCUAUCAUUUGGUAUCAGAUUUUGGGCGUUUUGGGUGUUCUUGGUUGAUUUCUAAACUGAUUUCCUUUAAAAAACAGCAUAUAGCAGUUUUUACCAAGAAAAAUUUUUGAAAAAAAUUCAUUUAAGUGGAAAAUAUUGUCCGAUUGGUCUGAAAUUUUAUAUGCAUAUUUGUGGCAUUGUGAUAGAAUAUUAAAAAACAUCUCCCGCAAAAAAAAUCAGUAGAAAAAGUCAAAAAAAUAGAAAAAUACGAAAUCAAAUAAAAAUUUAAAAAAAUAUUCAGCGAGUUGAGUUUAGUGCCGAAACUUUCCAGAUCAAAUAUACAAUAUUAAGGACAUUCCAGUUUAAAUUUUGUGAUUUUUGGAGAUCGAGAACACCUCGAACGAAGUUGUGAAGUUACUCCGCAGUUUUUUCGAGUUUUCGGGUGUCAGCAAUUUUUAUUGAUUCUUAGCUGUAGGUUUUCAUUUGUUUUUCUUUUAUUCUUCCUUUACAGUAUCUAACACCUUCUUGUUUCUUGUGUUAGUAGGAUUUAAAAGUGUGCACAAUUCUUCCUCGGUGCGACACAAAUAAAUUGGUGCCUCGUCACUUUUUGGACUCCUAGUGCAAUUAAGAUUCUUUGGUAGUUACGGUUCAUACACUUUCUAAUUGAUUGAUAUAGACUCUACUAAAGUACUCACAAGACUGAAUUCUACCUCUUUGUGAAUUUGAUUUUCCUUUUUGAGUGAUUAACGGUGAGGUUUGUUAAUUUUUGAGUGUUGAGUCUUUGUUUUGCAGGUAUUCCAAAAAAAAUAAAAAAUAAAAAUAAGAUGUCUAGAAUUGGUCAAGUCGUUGAUUUUUUAGAUUCGAGGACGAAUCUUUUUGAGGAAAGGGGAAUGAUACGAGUCCCAAAGGCCCAACUCAAGCUCAAGAACGUGAUGGGCUCAAAUUACCACAAGGCCCAAUAAUGAGGUCAAAGGCCAGGCAAAUGUGUAUGAAACUAAAUGGAACCGUUCAAGACUUCAUUAGCAAGGCCCUAGAUGCGUAUACAAAGGAAAAAGAAAAUCAAGAUUCACUUUCUUGUUUUCAAGAAAAUCAAGAAACCGAAUCAUGGUCCAAUUUUGUUGUUUUGAGCGAUUUCAAGAAUCAAGAAAAUCAAGAUUUCAAAUCUUGGAAAUCUUGGUCCAAGAAAUGAAUCUUACAGCUAAGGCGCAUUGCAUCUCAAUUAUGAGUAUCAACGAACCAAUUUCGGGAGAGAACGGAUUACAAGCCCAAGUUCUUGAAGAUACGACCCAAUAAGAUGUUCCAAGCCCAACCAAGAAGUUUAAAUUAGACUUAGUUGAAAAUUAGACCAAAUUGUCAAAGUGACCCAAUUUGUAAAAUUUUAAUUCUUUAAAUACUUAGUUUUAAUUUUUAGACUUUAUGAAUAAAUUUCUAUGUAAGAAUUCAGUCCAAGAGGCCCAUUUAAAGGCCUUGGAUGAAAUUCCCUUGAAAGGCAACAAUUAGGGUUUUUUUUAGUUUUCCUAGUAGGGAUAGGAAAGUAGUUAGGAGGCCUAUAUAUAUGGCUUGGCCGGCCACCCUUAUACAGGAUAUAUUGAAUUCAGAUUUUUUUUGGGGAGUGAAAACUCUCUUUGAGUUUCUCCAAGAAUUCUCUCUUGAGUUUACUUUAGAAGUAGUUUUAAAAAUCUUUUUGAUUGUGGGAGCCAUCUUCAACCUUCUUCUUGCCGUGUUUUUACAUUGGAGGGAAGAUUAGGGCCGUUUGAAGGGAGUUGUGAAAUCUUUCUUGAUUUCAAGGCUUCUUAGGACUUUAUCCAUCCUUUUUGCUGUUUGUUCUUUUUUAAUUAUUUUUGUUUGUGUCGAAUUGUUGAUUAACUUGGUUUAAUUGUUCUUGUUGCGUUUCCAGCCAUUCCAAGCUUCAAGGAUUUGUUUUGCAACAUUCUUUGGCAUCAAGAAACAUUCUUUAUUCAUCAUUUCUUGCCGCCCAAGUAUGAUUCUAUUUCAAUUUUGUUUUCUUGGUCUUUUAAGUUUAAUUUUCUGUUUUCUGUUUCCGUUUUAGAUCUAAGUGUCGAUAGUUUUUGUAGGAUUUUCCUGUGACUUGGCAACUCGAUCUCGGUCCGCACGUGACCCUCUAUCACCUGUUCAGCCCAAAUUUCACCACGGCUAUGAGAUCUACAUAGCCCAGUCUAGUAUUUGCCACAAAUAGUGGGUUUCAUCUGUGUGGGGCCCACAAGCCCAUUGAGCCCACAUGACCCAACGUGGGCCAUUACGGCCUAAGCCCAUGAAAAUGCUCAUGGAGGCCUCCACAGUUUAUUGCCAAUGAUUCGCAGGUUCAGCUUUCCACACGAGCGAUCACACGCUCGUGUGGUCUCAAACAUCGUAUUUCAACCUUUUGGCUUUUGCCAUUCUACAGUUACAGUGGGGAGUUUACACACCUAAUGCAAUUUGCAGAUUCCCUUCGAUCCGAACACUCUUAUUCUGCAAAUCAAUGAUCAUCGCACCCUUGGUUCCCAGGAAAUGUGCCAAUCAACCUCGACUACCUCCAGUUAGGAAUGGAAGCAAUACAGGUUGGAGAAAGUGACGAAUACCUUGAAAGCCUCGCUGAUCUCCCCCAUUUAGAACAAGGAACAAAUGAGAUUAUAUAUAGCUCUCUACAACAACAACCUCCCCAAAUCCCAAUAUUAUCCUCCAUAACAACCUCCAAGACCCAUUCAAACUCUCACCCAACAGAGUUCGAAACCACCUCAAACUCCUAUCACCUCAUGCUAGCAAAAUAAAUAUCCUUUUUGCUUGCAAUGAGAUUCGAACCCAAGCCCCCCUCAAUAGCUCAACACGCCACUUGUUCAUAACAACAACAAUAAAAAUUAAAGGAUAGGGAACUAGAAUCAAAUCCAGUGUUUCUCUAAAGCUUGACUAGUUUGCUCUGCUCCUCCUUCUCCGCUUGUUCUUAUUGAACCAAGGCUUCUAUGAGCACUUGAAUGCUACGUCGAAUAGUGGUUGAAGGGCUCUUUUCCAGGAGGGGAAAUCGACAAAGGAAUGGAAGGGAAAAAGAAGAACAAAGGAACGGUUUUGAAGAGAGAAAGUGAGAGAGAAGUGAAGAAUGAAAAGAUAAGAGGUGAGUUUGAAAUGAACAGCUAAGGGGGGUACUUAUAGGUUGAGUAGGCUACUAAAAAUAGAAAAAAUUAGUAGCCAUAGACUUCCCCGGUGGCCGACCACACAUGUGGCAAGUUUGAAGCUUUCAGACUUGCUAAAUUUAGCUAGGGCCAAAUCUACAAAGGCUUGAAUAGUAGAGGGGUUUGAAUGCAAUUUCAAGAAAGCUUCAAGGGUUGUUUUGCAAGCCAAAUAAUUAGGUAAAUAAGCUGAUUGGGUCAGCAUGUUGGACAGUUUUUGUAACAUUCUAUUUUUCAGUGGUGUCAGAAACAGUGGUUUCGGGGCCACCAAAUCUGACGAGUAUGUUCGUAAAUAAUAUUAUUUAAUAUUUACAAGUCAAAUAUGGUUUUAAAAAUAUUUUUGAUUUGAUAAUUUAUGUUAUAUAAGCGCUUUUUUAAGUUCAAGUGCUAAAACCCUGAGGUCAAGUGGUUCUAGAAAAUGAGGUAUCGGGACCUCGUUUAUACAAACUGAGCUGUAAAUAUUUUUAUAAAUAUUUACGGAAUGUCAUUAAGGUGGUAUUAAAGUUCCAUUGAAAAAUUUUAAUGUUUCGAUAGUUAAUUAAUUAAAAUGGACUAAAUUGUAAAAGUUGAAAAAGUCAAUCGCUAUUUAAUGUGAGUGAUUUAAUGGCUUAAUGAAUGAAAGUAUAUGGACUAAUAUGGUAAAUAUACCAUAUUACAUUUGAGUGGGCGGUUGGUUUUGUUUUAUUAUGAAUAUAUAUGUGUGUUUUAUUAAUUAAAAAUAAAACAAAUUAAAAGGUAAAUAAUUAAAGUAAAAGAUAUCAUCUUUUUUCUUUUUAUGUGUUGUUGAAUUUGAGGAAGGAGAAAGCCAUUGUUGGACCUUCAAGCUUCGGCCAAGCUUCAUAGGUUGCAUGUAAGUUCGUUUUAGCCUCGUUGUUAGUAAUUUUGAAUGUUUCCAUUGAUGAUUCUUGUAUUUUUUAUGUUAGAUGAUGAAUUUGGAAUGUUGAUUCAUAAUUAAAAGCAUUUUAUUAAGUGAUUUUUGAUGAAUUUACCGAUUAGGGACUAAAUUGUUAAAAUAAUAAAAGUAUAAGGAUUUGAUGUGAAAUUAUAACAAAUAUUGGCUGAUAUGGGUGCCAUGAAUUUUUGGCUAUUAUAAUUUGUCAUUAAAAAUGGUUAAUUUGCAUGUUUUAGGCUUAGGGACUAAAUUGAAUAAAAGUAAAAAUUUAAGGGUAAUUUUGUAAAAGUAUCAAAAAUGAUCAAAUUGCAUGAAAUAUAUUGUUUUACUAUCUAAUUUGAUAAAUUAACUGAAAUCAUUAAUUUAGAUCAAGAUCGGGUGGAAAAUUGAGGAAAAUGGAAAAUUACCAAAAUACCCUUAAACUUUGGUAUUUCUGUAAUUUAGCCAGGUAAGUUCGUAUGAACUGUAUUCUGUAUAAUUUUGAUAAAAUUGAUUGUUAAUUUGUGAUUAUGCUGUGAUUAAAUCAAUAUAUAUGUUAGUAUGCAAUUUACCGUGUUAUGAAACGACGUAAAUUCAACGACGUACGACGAUUAUCGAGCCCCGUUUGAACCUUAAGAAUUUGUAGGAUACAAAUGACAUAUCAUUAGAGUUUACAUGAUUUGGGUGCUAGUCCUGAACGUCCUACCGAUGGCUGAGGUCUGGCAUGUGUUACGGAUACUCCACAUCUUGUGUGAGUAGCAUCGUGUAUCGACGUUCCAACCCAGAGCUCGUGUGAGCAGGCCCAUUUUCAUAGCUCGUGUGAGCAUUCUGAUUCACAACUAUUGUGAGCAUACAUAUACAUAAAUUGAUAGAUUACAGUUAUAUGAGUUGGCACAUUAUUUGUGGCUAUCCCAAGUAUCCAACGGUAUUCUAAAUGGUUCAACGGGCAUUAUUCGGAUAAGAAACGGUAAGAGAACGAUAUGUUUUAUGACAUGCACAUAUAUGAACAUCCUUGAUAUGAUGAUACAUGAAAAUUAUAUAGGUUGAGAUGAGUUAUAAACUCAUGAGAUACAUGUAUUGGCUAAAUGGCUAUUUAUGUUAAUGUGCCUACGAUUUAUAUCUUGUAUGCUAACAUGUUUGGUGUAAAUGCUUAAGCUUUGGCCAAGUUGUGGUUGGAUUAUGCCAUGUUAAACUAUAAGUUAUGCAUUGAAAUCGUAAGUGCCUAAAUGGAAAUAUGCUUGUGAUCAUGAAAGAGUUGUAAGUUUUAAAUUAUGUAAUUUCUUUUGAAAUGGUUUAACAUGUGGUUAAUUCCAAAAGAGAUAUGUUUAAAUGCACAAGUUUGUGGCUAUGGUUAAGGACAUCUUUAUGUCUUGUAUGUUAUGCAUAUGAAACGAGUGUGGAAAGAGAAUGAAAUGGUAAGUUCAUACUUAAAGUGUAAAAUGAUGAGAAAGAGAAUGAUGAGUUGAAUUGAUGUUGUUAUUUAAGCUAAAGAAAGUAAAUGCUAUGGAAAGUAAUGAAAUCCAAAUGAAAAUAAGAAAAUUUGAAAGGGUUUAAAGUUUUAUAAAAUCCUACUAUGCUAGGGAUGAUAUGUAUAUGUGAUGCGGUGGAAUUAUUCACUUUGUGAGUUGUUGAAUAUGGUUUCAUGAAUCUUGCGGUAUCGGUAUAGGACUAUUCUUGAUAUGUAUAAAUUUCAUAUUUGAAAUGAAUUGAUAUGACUAAAGUUUAUACGAGCUUACUAGGCAUUCAUUGCUGACGCGAUUGUUUUUCCUUUACUUUUCAGAUUAUAGGAAGCUUGAUCGAGUUGGAAGCUAGUUGGAGAUCCAUCACAGUAUCCAACGAUUAUAUCGGUAGAUUUUGAUGUCUUGGUUAAGGUUAUAAUGGCAUGAAUAGUUGAACUUAUGGUUGAUGAUUAGUUGAAUGUUAGUUGAUGUAUUUAGCAUGUAUAUGUUAUUUUGGGUGAUGUAGCCUUGUUGAUAUGUGCUAAUUUGAUAAUGUGUUAAAGCAUGUUUGAAUGGCCAAAGUGAUAUAUGAUUAACUGGCCUCAACAUGGUCAAGAUGUGGUAUGCUUUGGAAAGGUUUUGAACUAGAUAUGGCAUGAAUCUAAUAUGGUGUGGAGAUUAUGUAGUAAUUAUGUCAUGUUUUGGCAUGGAAACAAGUUAAUUGAUAAUUGGAUAAAUAUGCAUAUUUAUAGGUGUUUUUGGUUGAUGUUUUAGCCAUUAUGUUUUGGCUUGUAAAUUUUGUAUUUUGAAUGAUUGAAAUGGUUGAUAUGUGGAUAUAUGUAUGUAGCCUUUUGAUGGAUGAAUUUAUAGUCUUUAUGAUGCUUAGACAAUGGAAGUUGAACAUGGUCAUUUUGGUAUUAAAAAUGUAGUUGGUAUUUAUGGCUUAUGAUACUAAAUGUUAAAUGGUAGGUUUUGGCUAAACUAAGUAUUUAGUUAUACAUGUUUAAUUGUUGUGAUUGAGGUGCCUUUGGGCAUAUUGGUUGUAUGAAUAUGUACCUGUUUGGGUAGCUUGUUGUUGUAUGGUUUGGUGUACUUUGGGAUGCUUGAUUACAUGUGGUAAAUUGGUUCUAGGUGUGUGCAUGAAUGGGUGAGAAAAAUGGCUUGGAAAUGACCUAUUUUUCGUCCACACAGUCAGAGACACAGGCAUGUGUCUCAGCCGUGUGUGACACACGGCCAAGCGACAUGGUCGUGUGUCCCCUGUAGGUUUUUUAAAGGUUGCAUUUUGAAAUUUACACGGCCUGACACAUGAGUGUGUGGCUUGGCCGUGUGACCCAAGUCAGAGAGUUACACAAGAUAGGACACGGUCGUGUAUCCUUACUUCGAAUGUCCACAUGACCAUGUGACCCCUGCAAUUUGCGAACUUUCAUAUUUUUCUGAAAAAUUCUAUAUGUUUCUGAUUUAGUCCCGACUUGUUUCUAAUGUGUUUUUAGGGCCUUGAGGGCUCGUAUAAGGCAUGAUAUGCAUUUUAUUGUUUGGUUUACUGUGAUUAAUGAUAUGAAUUAAAAUGAAAUUUUGAUAGUUUUGAAACAUAAAAUUUGGUAAUGCUCUGUAACCCUAUUCUAGUGACAAAUACAGGUUAAGGGUGUUACAGGUUUGGGCAGCCCAUUGCUCGAUUGGAUCGGUCUGCUUGGUUUAGCCUAAUUGAGCUUCUUUUCAUAAUUAAUUAAUAAUUAUUUAACCCAAAAUAAAUUAGAUUAAAAUUAAAAUUAAAUAUAUUAUGAAUUAAUAUUCAUAAUUUGGACCGUCUUAGGCUGAAAAAUUAAUUCGUCUCGAUGAUUCAAAAUCGCUUCUCGAUUUUGUGCUUCCAAUAGUGUCUACCAAGCCAAUUUUUCCCCUUUGUGCGAAUCUAUCGAAAAUAAAUCAAAAUAAAUCAAAUUUUAUUAUAAAAUUAAUUAAAAUUCAACAUGUUAAUAAUAUAAGUACAAUUUAAUUACUUUAUAAUUAUUAUAUGUUUUUUGACAAGAAUUACCACGAAAUUACGUGAAUUUGAGUUAAUAAGGGCAUGAAAAAGUGUGUAUAUUUUCGUGUUUCCACACCCCCAAACCUAAUCAUUGUUCGUCCCGAGUAAAACACAAAUUGAAAGGAAUUUCUCGAAAACACCUUUGAAAAAUUCCUUAAAAUUAACACUCUUCCCAAAAUUAUGAAUUUAGUAUACUUAUGCUCAAAAACAAGAAAUUUGAUAUUUAUGCUACUUAAGUGUACAUAUCAUUCAAAUUAAUAUCAAUUACUAUUAUGAUAGCAAAAAUAGACUAAAUGCUUACUCAAUAAUGACAUGUUAAAUCCCUACCAAUUUGAUUUUAUUCCCUUGUUUAAGAUUAAGCUACAAUAAUUAAGUUUAACUUAUGCCUCCAUAUGUUGAAUAUAGAAAUUUUUCUCCACUAAUGUAGGUAGCAUAGAAACUUGAAUCAAUAUGUCUUUUAAAUAGGUUGUAACGUGACUAGGCUAGGGGUAGGUGAAAGAUAGAUAAAUUUAGGCUAAAAACCCUAGACUUAGCUUCAGUUAGACCUUCAAAAUAUUUACCUUCAAUACACCAACUUAUUUUACUUUCACGUGCUCUUUUGUACAUCUAUUUUCUUUCAAAUACAUAUGCUCUUUCUCUUCUUUUUUUUCACGAGCAUUUUUAUUUAUGUACUAUAAUUUUUUGAGCACUUGAUACCUCUUUUCAACUCUCCCAAACUUAUUUUCAAAGAAUAUUUUGAAUAGUACUGAGUCUAGUGUUUGAGACAAUUUAAAGAUAAUUAAGAGAAAAGUGAUGGCUAAAUAUUGCAAGGUUCAAAUAAAAUUAGGCCAUGUAGCUUCAAAGUUGGGUUGCAAGGGAUAACAAUUCGUCAAGGUUGGCUUUAAAGGCUCAAGCGGUCCAAACAAAAGUUUCCUAAAUCAUUUUCAACAUUCCAUGCUUCCUAGGAUUUCGUCUCAAGAAAUUACUAAGUCAAUUCUAGAGACAUAAACUUUCAUGCAUUCCUAGCUUUUCUAAGGAACUAAAAAUUUUAUGGUAUGAUUUACAUACUUAUUAAAAGUACAUUUAUGUCAUAAUUCAGCUAGCAUAACAAUUAUUGAAAUAAUAGAACUUUAUUCAUACUGAAGUUUAGCAUACUUAGAAAAUUUUCAAAUUUUUGAACAAAAUAUAACUUAAUCAUAAUUAAAAGAAAAUUUUAUUCUGAAAGGAAAUGAUUUCAAUUUUUCGGUCCCCCUACUUAAGAUGAACAAUGUCCUCAUUGUUAACAGUGAAUAGAUACUAUACACUAGGUAAGAUUCUAGAAAAUAGAAGGUGAGUCAAUUUGACUACUUAAGUACCAAGCUCUUUCUAGAUCCAAUCCUAGACAUGUAUAUAUCUAUUGCCACACUUCUCAUUAUAAAAAAAAUUCAUUAUUAUGAUUUCAAUCUCUUCUUUUAUUAUGCGAAAAAUUAAAAAUUAUAAUAGAUCCUAAUCCUAAAAUAACCUAAGAAAGAAAAUAAUAUAAGGUAAAGAUCCCUCCUUUCUUAUUUAUUUACAGAGCCCCAUCAUCUUUGUUCUUGCAUGAAUCGCUUCAUUCCCUCUUUGAUAGUGGACUCCAUGGUUCAAAUUAAAAUCUAGAAACUCAGGCACAAAAAUAAACGGGUCAUUGAAUAUUUUCGUAAGAGUGCUUCUCAUUGAGUCAUCCCGUAUUUUUGAAUAUCUCCAGUAAGCUUGUUGCUGCCACUGCAUAUGUUGCAUUAUGUCCAUCAACUUUGACAACUCAUCUCAAAGAUCUGGGAGAGGCGAUUAAAUUCUGAACAUUGAGGUUGUCAUGUCAAGUUCGGUUACUAGUUCUAUUGGUUCUUCCUUAUCAGGGAUUUCAGCUGACUGCAUUGGUUCAAUCUCUUUAGGAUCUUCUUCUUCUUCUUCUUCGAGAUCCUCGUUCUCUUCAACUCCUCACUGGAGAACAAAGUCUCCAGCUAUUCGGUAGAAGUCUCAAUCUGUGAUUGUGUCUUGGCUAUAACCUGUCUUUUGUUUGUUUGCAAGAAUUUUAGCUUUCAAGCACAAAAUUAUUAUCAUAAAGGGAAAGUAAGUUGGGCGAGAAUGUCUAGCGGCACAAUUCUGCAUUUCUAUCAGAAUGAAUUUCCCACAUCAAUGGUCUUUCCAGUUAAAAUCAAGUAUAAUAAGACCAUUCACUCUAAAUUGUAGUUCCAUGCGAAAUAGGCAUAAGGUUGAAUCAAAUGAAAUAGAACCAUACAUUCGCUAGUGGUGUCAAAUAUUCUCUACGACAAGUGUGAAUUCCUUGCUUUGACACAGUCCACUUAGAACCUGGAACUGUAAGUUCCUUAAGAAUUUCUUGUAAAAUUUUAGCCUCAAUAUUUAUCAUCAAGGAAGAAUAUUCUUCGUCUUCAAAAUCAGGUAAUUCAAAGAAUUCAUUAAUAGCGUUUGAGUUUAUUAGUACCUUAAUUCCUCGCACAGAAACUUCCGUCAAUUCGUUUGAGGUCAAAUUUGUCAUAAAAUUCACGAACUAAUUCCUCAUUUGCACUAAGUCUUUUCUCACAAAACAACUCUCAAUUGAGAGCUUCAGCAAUUUGUCGAAUGCGCGACAUGAAAUCGAUAUAGUUGCAUUCUUUCAGUAUAAAGCCUUUUUCAAGGUGCAUUUGUUGAUUCUUGAAAACGUUUUCGUAUCUCGCUUUGGCUUCUUCACAGUGGAAUUUGUUUUAUAAUUCGUCAAUUUGGACAGAGGCACAAGUUCUUUUGCGAGGCAUGAUCAACCUGAAUAUAAGAUGGAAACAAAUAUUUUCUCAAAAAUUCAAUUAGUAUAAAAUAUUAACAAUUCAAUAAAUUGAAAUAUUAAAUAAAUUUGAAAUUUAGGAGAAAAAUUUGUCUUGCCACAUUUAUAUAAAAAUUAAGAACUCAAAGAAAAUAAAUAUAAAGAAAAAGAGGUCGGUUUAGGGAUGGUUGGAGGGUGUCUUGAUGGUGUGGUGCGUUAGGUAGGGGUGUGCGGCUAGCAAAGGUGUGCACAGGUUUGAAGUAACGCACAGCAGUAGUGCACCUCCUUAGCAUGAGUUGUUGCGUCAUCUGGGCAGCAACUAGCGGCAGCGUGGUGUGAUAAAGGCAGGUGCGUGGGAGUAGGCCUGGCGUGAGCGACAAUAGCAAUGUAGGGUGAUCAGUUGCUGGGUGCAAGUGUGCCGUGUGGAGCUGGGAGAUGUUGUGGCUAGAGGUUCGAGAGCUGCAGCACUAGGUGAUUAUUGGUGUGGUUUGUUUAAGGUGAUGUGAAAAAGUGUAGAAGGUGAUUGGAAUUUAUAGUGAAGAGGGUACGAGUUCCAUUAGAAUUCUUCGAACAAAUUAAUAAUUAAAAUAUUCUAAGUUCUAAUUCUACAAAAAGUUAAUAACACUUAAUAAUUAAUAUAAUGCAUAUUAAAUUAUUAUUUUCUAUUAAUUUAUUGAAAAAAAUUAUUAAUUAAAAUAUGAUCAAAUUUAAACAAAUUCUAAUUCUAUGCAAAGUUGAUAAUAAUUAAUAUAAAUAUAAUUAUAUACUGUUAUUACCAUCUUAUUUAUUAAAAUUAAAUUAAAAACAUUUAUUUUAGAUCCCUUUGAAGAUAUUUACAAAAAGAGACAUCUAAUUUUUUAAUAUUUUCAAAAAGAGUAACUGAAAUUUGAAAAUAAUUCAAUUAAGUACGUAAACUUAAAGAAAAUUCAAAAAUUGAGUUGCAAUUAAAACUUGGAUAAAAAUUGACCCUUUUAUUUGAAAAAGUAAAAUAUUAUUUUGUCAUUUAAUGAAUAAUUUCUCGGAAGAUUAUGUUAAAAUCAAUUCCUAGGAAAGAUUAGAGGGGUCACAAGCGGUCCCGCUUAAGUUCCAAUCUCCUAGAUAGAAUUUUUUUAAACAUGCUAAUCCCGAAAAUAUACCUUAAAUCAUUUAUUUAAAAUGAAAAAUGAGAAAAAUUAAAUAUUUGAUAAAAUGAAUGAGACUGUAUCCUGCUCAAUUUUAUCCCCCCAAUAAUGUUUUAAACGCUGAGCAUUGACUCGAAAAUUACCUCAUUUAUCUUGAAGUUCAACAACUCCAUAUGGAAAGACUUGAUGAAUCUUAAAUGGACCAGACCAAUGUGAUUUUAACUUACGUGGAAAGAACCUUAAUUUGGAAUUGAAUAAUAAGACUUGUUGACUUUCUUCAAAUUCUUGAACUCGAAUGUGCUUGUCAUGCCAUCUUUUAAGUCUUUCCUUAAAUAGUUUGGCAUUCUCGUAUGAGAACAUCCCGAACUCUUCUAACUCAUUGAGUUAAAGCAUCUAUUUCUCUUUAGCAAGCUUAAGAUCCAAGUUGUGUUGUUAGAAAGCCCAGUAAGAUUUGUGUUCUAACUCCAAGGGCAGAUGACAAGCUUUCCCAAAGACCAACCUAUAAGGUGACAUCCCUAAAGGUGUCUUGUAUGCUGUCCUGUAGGCUCAUAAAGCAUCAUCCAGACUUUUGGACCAGUCUCAUCGAUUCGGGCAAACUACCAUCUUGAGUAUGCCUUUUAUUUCUUUGUUCUCCAGUUUAGCUUGUCUAUUCGUUUGCAGAUGGUAAGCUGUGGCAACCUUGUGCUUCACUCCAUGUUUGUCGAGUAACCAUUUCAACCAUUUGUUCACAAAAUCGGACCCUUCAUCACUGAUGAUAGCUCUUGGGGUUCCAAACCUUGUGAAAACAUGCUUCUGCCUAAUGUACUACUACCAAUAUGUACUUGUGACCAAAAGAUGGACGGAAAGGACCAAGGAAGUCAAUACCCUAAGCACCAAAUAAUUCUACCUCAAUGAUGUUUGCUCAGGGCAUCUCAUUUCUGUCGGUGACGUUUCCAACCCUUGGCAUCGAUCACAACUUUUUACAUAAGCAUAUGCAUCUUUGAAUAGCGUUGGCCAAAAGAAUCCAGCUUGCAAUACGUAGGCUGCAAUACAUGUACCUCCAAAGUAUCCCCCACUUGAAGCUGUGUGAAAAUGAUAUAAAAUCUUAUGUACUUCAUCUUCUGCUAUGCAUCUCCUGAUCAUUUGAUCUGCACACCUUUGCAACAAAUAUAGCUCUUCCUAGAAAUAGUACUUCACAUCGUGAAGAAAGUUUUUCUUUUGGUGAUAGAUCUUAUCAACUAACAUCAAUCUACAAGCUAAAUAGUUAGAAAUAUCAGCAAAACAAGGGGUAUUAUGGACAUGAUUUACCUUCAGUAUGUGUUUACUUAGGAAUGUCUCUUGAAUGGCUAUAAGUGGAGAAUUCCCUUCUUGUGGCUCUAAUUUGGACAAGUGGUCUGCUACUUGGUUUUCUACCCCUUCUUGAUCUUGAAUUUCCAGAUCGAACUCUUGGAGUAGUAGUACCCACUAGAUCAAUCUCGACUUAGCUUCUUUCUUGGCAAGUAAAUACUUAAUUGUCAAAUGAUUCGUAUAGGCAGACACAUUGGUACCUCCAAGAUAAGAUCGACACUUGUCAAAAGAAAACACAAUGGCAAGUAACUCUUUCUCUAUUACUGUAUAAUUCAAUUGAGCUCCUGUCAGAGUCCGACUUACAUAGUAGAUGGGAUAAAAAAUUUUGUUCCUUUACUGGCCCAUGACAACUCCUAUCACGAAGUCACUUGCAUCACACAUCAAUUCAAAUGGCAAAUCCUAGUCCGGUGUGACGAUUAUGGGUGCCAAAACUAACCGACUCUUCAAAUCAUUGAAAGCUUUUAAGCACUCCUCAUCAAAUUUGAACAUCGUGUCCUUCUCCAAUAAUUUGCAUAAGGUUUUAGCAAUUUUGGAGAAGUCCUUGAUAAAUAUCUGAUAGAAACCGACGUGGCCCAAAAAGCUCCUAACACCCUUUAUAGAUGUUGGAGGUGGGAGUUUCUCAAUAACAUCUACCUUUGCUUUAUCUACCUCAAUCCUAUGUCUCGUUAUCCGGUGCACUAGAACAAUACCUUCUUGUACCAUAAAAUGACACUUUUCGUAGUUAAGUACGAGGUUUGUUUCUUUGCAUCGCCUUAGUACCUUGGCUAGAUUGGCUAAGUAAUCAUCAUAUGUAUCUCUGAAUAUUGAAAAAUCAUCUACAAACACUUCCAAAUACUUCUCAACCAUGUUAAUAAAUAGACAUCAUACAUCUUUAAAAUGUUGCAGGUGGAUUACAUAAACCAAAUGACAUGCGUCUAAAUGCAAAUGUACCGUAUGGGCAUGCGAAUGUUAUCUUUUGUUAAUCUUCUAGCACUACUGUAAUCUUAUUAUACCCAGAGUAUCCAUCAAGAAAAUAGUAAUAGCUCACCCCGCGAGUCUAUCCAGCAUCUAGUCCAAGAACGGUAAAGGACAGUGAUCUUUCCUAGUUGCCUUGUUCAACUUUUGGUAAUCGGUGCAAAUUCUCCAUCCCGUAACCAUUCUAGUUGGUAUGAACUUGCUAUUCUUGUUCUCAAUGACUGUGAUACCUCCUUUCUUUGGCAUGCACUAGACCGGACUUACCCAUGAACUGUCUAAGACGGGGUAAAUUAUACUCGUAUCUAACCACUUAAUGAUUUCUUUCUUUACCACAUCCUUCAUGUUGGGGUCCAGUCUUUAUUAUCCAUCAAUUGCCCAUUUCUCGCCAUCUUCCAGGAUGAUCUUAGACAUGCAUAUAAAUGGACUAAUGCCACGAAUAUUGGCUAUGGUCCAUCCAAUAGCCUUCUUGAAUUUUUUCAACAAUAGGAUGAGUUUCUCUUCUUUCUCUUCGGUCAAUUUUGCUGAAACAAUCACAGGCAAAGUAGAAGCAUUAUCUAAAUAAACAUAUUUUAAAUAUGAGGGAAGUGCCUUCAAUUCUAAUUUAGGAGGCUCCUCGAUUAACGCUUUUGGUUGGGCAUAAUCCCUCUUCAUUCAUUCCCUUCCAAUAAAGUAUGCUAUCCAUUCUAUGCCUAGUAGCGUUAGUGCUUGAAUGUCCACCAGUGGCCCUUCAUCGAAGUAAUUGAAUAAUUCCCUUCUCAACAAAAAAUUAGAACCAACUACGAAAUUCUCUUUCCUAUUCAAAAGUUGACCAUCCCAUGUAUAUUUUGGAUGAGAGGAAGACUACAGUUGCAAAGAUGCACAAAGUUUCUUAAGCUUCAAAAUUUGUCUCCGAGAUUGUUAUACCUUUCCCAACAAUUUAGAAACAAUGGAAGUACACCCCAUUUGCCAAUACUAACCUUCCUCAAUGAACUAUUGUCUAGACAACCCAUCAGCCACCACACUGGUGUUGCCCCUUCUAUAAAUCACCUAAAAAUCAUAGUCGACUAUCUUUGCCACCCACAUUUGCUAGAAGUGUAACACCCCUAACUCACUUAUGACAUCGGAUUGGAUUAUUGAGUAAUGCAAAAAACUUAACAACAUUUAACCUUACAUAAAUUCUAUAUAUUUCUAAGUAAAUAUGAAUAACAAAACACAUUCAAUUUCAGUCAAACAUGCUUUUACGGGUAUUAACUGAGCUUACUAGGCCCAAACCAUAAAUUGGAAACAUUUUGGGGUUCAUCUAAAACAACUAAAAAAAGUUAGGAAAAAGUUAAAAAUUUUGGAAACAGGGGUCACACGGCUGUGUGGCCAGACCAUGUGACAUAGGAUAACCCGUGUAGCUAAAACAUGGCCAUGUGUCUAUCCCAUAUACCUGUAUCCCCAUCCUCUGUAACUCAUUGACUAGGACCACACGGUCAUGCCCCAACCCAUGUGUCUGCCCGUGUAACUCACUACUUCGGGACACAUGGUUGUGCCAUAGGUCGUGUGCCUGACCAUGUCAAACCUGCACUUGAAACUUAAAAAACACAUAGUUGUACGAACAGACCGUGUGUGGUACACGACCGUGUGAUUGCAUGUGUCUCAGGCCGUGUGUACCAAAAUGUACCUUAAAAAUCAAGUUUACCAAUUAUAUUUUCUUGUGCCACAAGCAUACAAUUAACCAACAUAUAAAACUAUUCAAUACUUACUUAAACAUGACCAAGACAUAUCAAAAUCACACAUAUACAACCUAAUUCCACUAGCUAAGCAAUGUACCCUCAUUAGUACCACAUGUAAAUAUUCAAUCAACCCAAACAUCAUCACAUUCAAUAUCUCAACUAUUUCAAAUAUUAUAUAUGCAUAACAUAUCAUAUUUAAAGCAUAAACACCAAAAUAUCAAACAUACAAUUCAAACAUCAAAAUGACCAUUUCAACUCACUAGUUCUACUACAUUAUAUCAUAGUACCUUCUUAAUUACAUGCCACUUUUAACCAACAUCAAAACGAAGUAAAAAAUGACUACCAAGGUAUGGAUGAUAGUGUAUGAGCUUUGGAAUUGAUCCAACCGACGACACGAUUCUAAGAGACCUACAAAAUGAAAUCAACCUAGUAAUAUCAACAUAGCUUAGUAAGUUCGAGAAGUUAACCUAAUUUUUUUAGCUCAAUUCGAAAUUUAAUAAAACAUCAAUAACCUAAAGAACUUGAUUCAUUGGCAUAAAGCCUUCUAGGCACUAAGCCUGAGUACCACCGGUAAGAAGCCUACUAGGCGCUAAGCCUGAAUAACACACUGGCACAAAGCCUGCUAGGCACUAAGCGUGAAUAUCACACCGGCACUAAGCGUGUUAGGCAUUAAGCCUGAAUAACACAACGGCACGAAGCCUGCUAGGCACUAGGCCUGAAUAAUUUUAAGGUACAACUAAUCAUUAUUGUGAAUUACUUCUCCAAUUAACAAUUUAUAAUAACAUACUAAUUUAUAGUGAAACUAAUAGUGAUAAUUAAUUGUAAACAUAAAAUGUAUAAUACUAACUUACAGGAAUUCGAUAGAUGUGGAAAUGCGACUAAGUCUACUCAACGAGCUUUUCUUUUCCCUGACUAAUGAUCGACGGAGUUGAUUCUUGAUUUAGAUAAAAUCAUUAAUUCAAUUAAUGAACUCAACCAUAUCAAAAAACUCAAAUAAUUCACAUAGCUAACCUUCAAUGAAGGUAUACACAUUUAACCUAAACUUUUGCUAUUACUCCAUUUACCUAUCUAUCUUAGACUUCUCCAUUUAAACAAACUAAGUUAAAAGAAAAUAUGUUGAUUUUGUAACAAUCCCUAUGCAGUUAAAAAAUUAGUUUUUAGUCCUUGACUUUACUACAUUGUCACAAUUACAACCCUAGCUACAAGACCAUUCAAAAGUACCUUGCUAAAUAGUCUAGAUUUAUCAAUAAGAUUCGAAAUACAUUUAUUAACAUCAAAAGAUAAAAUUUCCAUCAAUAGCAAAUUUUUAAACAUUUGAUAAUUUUAAAAGUAAAUCCAUAAACUAACUAGAUGAAGCUCCCAAGACUCCAAAAAUACAAAAAUCAAAAGAAAUGAGCCUCCAAAUACCUACCACACGACCCCAAAUAUGCUUCACCGAAUGUUGUUUAAGUUUUUAUGAAGGUUUGCAGCAUGGAGAAGAUGAAACAAACAAUAAAAAUAUAAAAAAAAGGUAAAGUGCUUUGUUUUCUUUUCUUUUUUAUCUUAACUUUCUUAUUUUAUUAAUAAUAAUAUAAUUAUAACACAUAUAAUAAACAAUAUUAACCAUUUAACCGUCCACUAUAACCAUUUAAGGUUUAUUUACCUUUUAAAGCCCGCAAAUCAUGGUUUUAUAACCAUUUAACACAUAAAAGCUAAUAGUGAUUAACUUUUGCAGUUUUUUACGAUUUAGUCCGUUUCAAUUAUUUAACUAUCUAAACAUUAAAAUUUCUUAACCAAAAUUUAAUUCAACUUUAAUACAACCCUAUAAUCAUUAAAAUAUUAACUCACUUAUCGAAAUCAUGGUCUUGAUACCCUUUUUUUUGACACCACUGAGAAUUGGUUGUUACAACUCUCCCUUUCUUAAGAAAUUUUACAAGAAAAUAGGAUCGGAUAGUGCACUUUCAUAGCCUCAUCUGGUUCGCAAGUAGCUACCUUAACCCCGUUAUGAUGCCAAAGAACUUUAACUAAAGCUAUGCUUUUAUUUAUCAAUUCUUUAACUUCCUGAGCCAUAAUUCUAACUAGUUCCUCAUUAUACGACAUAUCUAAUUGAAUUUGCACAUCAAUAGGCGAAAUUACAUGUGAAGGGUCGGAUCGAUAUCGCCAUAACAUCAAUACAUGAAAUAUGUUUUGAAUUUUCUCUAAUUCAAAUGGUAAGGCCAAACGAUAAGUUGUCGGUCCGAUUCUCUCGAUGAUCUCGUACGGUCUGAUAAAUCGUGAACUAAGCUUCCCAUUUCAACCAAAACAAAGAACUUUCUUCUAGGGCGAUACUUUUAAAAAUACUUUGUCAUGGACCUGUAAUUCAAUGUCUUUUCUUUUCAAAUCAACGUAUGCUUUCUGUCGAUCGAUAGAGCUUUCAAACUAUUUCGAAUAACCUUGACCUUUUCUUUAGUUUCUCUAAUUAAAUCAGUACCGAAAAGUUUUUUCUCUCUCAAUUCAGUCCAAUAUAAAGGAGUUCUACAUUUUCGACCAUAAAGAGCUCCGUACGAUGCCAUCUUGAUGCUCGAAUGAUAACUAUUGUUAUACGUAAAUUCAACUAAAGGAAGAAAUUUUCCCAGCUACCUUUAGAUUCUAGAAUGCAACAGUGAAGCAUAUCUUCGAGUACCUGAAUUACUCGUUCAAACUGACCGUUAAUUUGUGGAUGAAAUACCAUGCUAAAAUGUAAUCUAGUGCCUAAGGCUACGUGAAAUUUAUUCCAAAAUCUAGAAGUAAAUCAUGGAUCUCGAUCAGAGAUAUAGAUAGUGGUACCCCGUGAAGUCUAACAAUCUCAGCAACGUACAGUUUUGCCAACUUUUCGAGUGAAAAAUCUAUCCGAAUAGGUAAAAAGUGUGUUAACUUAGUUAAGCGAUCAACAAUAACCUAGAUGGCAUCUUUCUUCUUCAAAGAUAAUGGAAGUCCUGAAACAAAAUCCAUAGUAACUCGUUCCUAUUUUCAUUCUCGAAUCAUAACAAGCUGAAGCAAUCUUGAAGGUACCUAAUACAAAUCAAACAUUUAGAUACAAAUUCAGAAAUUUCACAUUUCAUAUCUAGCCACCAAUACAUUUGCUUCAAAUCACUAUACAUUUUGUUACUGCCAGGAUGUAUCGAGUAACUACUAUUGUGGUCUUCUUGCAAAAUCAUAUGUUUAAUUUCAGAGUUUCUUAGUACAUAAAUUCUAUUUCAGAAACACAAGCUACCAUCAGAACCAAUAUGAUAUUCUGAAUCAAAUGUAUUUUACAUUUUUUCCCGCUUACUAAUCGGUUUGGAAUCAUUCUUCUGAGCUUCACAAAUCUAUAGCAGAAACAUCGAUUUAGCUUUUAAUUUAGCUAAAAUAGAAUCAUUUUCCAUCAACAUCAACUAAGAAUUCAAAGCUCGUAAAGCAAAUAAAGAUUUUCUACUCAAAGCAUCAGCAACAAAAUUAGCUUUACCCGGGUGAUAAUCGAUGACCAGAUUGUAGUCUUUUAGUAGUUCUGACCAUCUAUGCUGACGUAAGUUUAAUUCUUUUUGUGACAUCAAGUAUUUCAAACUUUUGUGAUCUGUGAAAAUGUGUCAUUUUCCCCAAAUAAAUAAUGUCACCAAAUAUUUAGAGCAAACAUAAUAGCGGCAAGCUCUAAAUCGUGUGUUGGGUGAUAUUUCUCAUGAGGCUUCAAUUAAUGGAAGCAUAAGCUACAACUUUACCUUCUUGUAUCAACACACAACCCAAACCAUUAAGUGAAGCAUCAUUAAAAAUUACAAAUUCCUUACCUGACACUGGUUGACAUCGCUUUCAACUGAUCAAAACUUUGUUGGCACCUUUUUGUCCAUUCAAACUUAACAUCUUUCUAUAGUAAACUCAUUAAAGGUAAACAAUCAUUAAAAACCCUUUCACAAACCUUUGAUAGUAUCUAGCCAGUCCCAGGAAACUUCUAAUCUGUGAUGUUUUUCGGGGGCUUCUAAUCCAAAAUGGCAAAUAUUUUACUUGGAUCCACUCUAAUGUCGUUAACCGAUACUACGAGACCCAAAAAUCCAACAUCUCGAAGCCAUAACUCACAUUUACUGAAUUUUGUAUACAACUAUUUCUCGCAUAGAGUUUGCAGUAUUAAUCUCAAAUGAUGAGCGUGUUCCACUUCAUCUUGAGACUAAAUCAGAAUAUCAUCAAUAAAGACUACCACCUUCUUCUCUGGCACUCUGGAGUCUAGAAUGUAAGCUAAAAAUGCAUCACAACCUUUCCGAACUAGUUUAUGCACCUUUACAGCUAAGAUCAUACUCGAAAUACCAUCAGCUUUAUCAGAUCUAGCAUAAAUUAUCUCACCAUCGGGACAUCUCAAAUCAACUCUUUUUUGUCGACAAUUAGUCAAAGCAUCAUGUAGAUUCAACCAGUCCAUUCUCAAAAUGACGUCAAACUCAUUAAAAGUUAAAAGCAUUAAAACGACAGGAAAGUUGUGACCUUGAAUUUCAAUGGACAUUGUUUGCAUACCAAGUCAACUAUAACACUGUGACCUAAAGGAUUCGUGACUUUGACAACACAAUCAGUGGAUUCGACAAGUAAAUUCUUUUCUGUCACUAACGUAGUGCAUAUAUACAAAUCUGUUGACCCCGGGUCAAUUAAUGCAUAUACACUAACAUUAAAGAGAGAAAAGGUACCAGUAAUGACAUCAGAAGUCGAGGCCUCCUGUAACAGGCCGUUUUUAGUGAAAUCAAAAUAGUGGUUUUGGGACUACAAAUUUGACGUGAAAAUAUUUAUUUUACUAUUAUUUUAGUGUCUAUGAAAUAUUAGUAAGGUCGUAUAAAAUUUUCAUUAAAAAUUUUGACAUUUCCUUGCUUAAUUAAGUAAAAAGGACUAAAUCAUAAAAGGUGCAAAAGUAUAAUUCUAUUAGCUAAAGUUAGCAAAUGGCUAUAGAAACUUAAUGUAAGAGUACUUAGGUGGUAAUUAGAUCAUUUUUGUGGUAGCGAACAUUUAUGAGAUUGGUUUUAUUGAAAUUAUACAGAGUUUUAAAGGACAAAAUGGUAAAUAAGUACUUAUAGUUAAAAUAACUUAAACAAAAUAUGUCCAUCUUCUUCAUUUUAACAUCCUCAACCGAAAUUAUCAAGGGAAGCCAUUGUUAGGGUUCGGUCAAGCUACAUUCAAUUGCAUGUAAGUGGUUUUUGUCUCAUUUUUAAUGAUUUUUAUGUUGUUGAAGACGUUGUAUCUUAAUCUAGCUAGCCCAGGGACUAAUUUGCAAAAAUUUUAAAGGAUUAGGUUUUUUCCAUAAAUUGUUUUGUAUGAUUUUUUAAGUUUUAUGGAAGAAUCAAUAUUUUUUGUUAAAUAAGCAACUUUUGUAAAGAGAUUUUUGAUGAAAUUAUCAAUUAAGGACUUAUCAGUAAAAGUAGUAAAGUGUCAUGGUAAAAUUAUGAACUGAUGACUUGUGUGGGUUGAUAUGAGUCCCUAACUAAAUCAGCUAGCAUGGUAUGUGGAUGAAAUUGCAUAAAUUUUCAUUUACGAGCUUAACGACUAAAUUGUAAAGAAGUUGAAAUAUUAGGGGCAAAUAUUUAAAAUUGCAAAUAUGUGAAUUUUGCAUUAAAUUGAAUAGUAUGUGUAUUAAAUAGAUUGAAUUUGCUUAUUUAGAUCAAGGUAAGCCUCGUACGGAUCUAGAUUGAGGAAAAGAUAAAAGUCUCAGAUUAGUGAUUCUAUUUCGACAUCCUUAAAAUCGAGGUAAGUUCAUAUGUUUAAAUAAUGUUUUAAUGUUAUUUGAUAUAUGUAUGCUAUUUUAUUAUUUAUCAAAUCAUGAAAUGAGGGAAAUCCAACAGCGUACGAUGUCAUUAUGGUUACCAUGUUUUGGGUGCUUAUCCUGAAUGUCCUACCCAUGGUUGAGUUCCAGCAUUUGUGUAGCUACAUUGUGGUCAACUUGUGUAAGCGACAUUGUGUAGCUACAUUCCGACCUUUAGCUUGUGUGAGUAGACCCAUUUAUGGCUCAAGUGAGCAAUGAUGUAAAGGAAAAGGAAAAGGAAUGGUUUCGACCAUAUGUAUAGAACACUUUGUGUGAGCUUCUCACAUAUCCGAUAUUAUUUUAAGUGGUUCAAUGAGCAUGAAAAGAGAAGGAACGGUAAGUGUUUCGAUCGUCUAUUUUAUGAACCUAUGAAAAGGUAUUAAAUGUCAAUGAUCAAUGCAUUUAUAUUCAUGAUUACGGAAAAUAUGAAUUCAAAGAUACUAUGUUCAUGAAAUUUAUCUUACCAUGUGAUGAUUUUAUUAAGUUAUGUGUUAAAGCACUAACUUGUGUUGUUGAUGAUGCAUAGGCUUGUGCCAAGCUUAUGUUGGAUUGAUUCAUGUUUAGUUUAUAAGGUUUUGCAUUGAAAUGGUAAGCUAUGUUCUUGAUUUACAAAAUUACUAAGCAUUAUUAGAUUACAUAGUUUUCUUUCCUAUGUUUUAUAGAUUAUAGGAAGCUCGACAGUUUGGAAUCUCGUUGGAGACCUAUCACACUAUCCAGUGAUUAUAUCAGAAGAUUUUGAUAUUUUGGUCAAGGUUAUAAUGGCAUGUAUAGGUGGACUUGUGUAUAAAUGAUCUAGUUGGUGUUUUGGUAUAUAUAUGUGUCAUUAUGGUUUAUGUACUUAUAGUAUUUGAUGCCCUGAUGAUUUGUGUUAAUAUGGUCACUUUGAUGCAUGGUUUUAUGACCAAAAUGGUAAGUUUGGCAUAUUUGCAAUAUGGUUAAUUAUGGUAUGCUUGAAUAUGAAAUUUAGUUCAAUGUGUUUGUAUGAAAUAUGACCAAUUAGACAUAUGUUUAGAUAUGGUUGAUGCUUUGUGAUUGAGGUGCCUUAAUGGCAUAUUUGUUGGAUGGAUGACGGCUAAUUGAAUUGGUCUUAUUAUGUAUGUUUUGGGUAGGUGUUCAUGCCUUGAUCAUAUGUGCAAUUUGUGUUUAGGUGCAUGGUUGAAAUGGGUGAUAGAAAUGGCUUAUUUUUUUUCCAAUUUCUUGUCCACACGGCCUAAGACAUGGGCAUGUGUCUCAGCCGUUUGUCCCCUAUAAGUUUCAAAGGUUACAAGUCAGGCAGUUACACUGCCUAGCACACGGCCUAGCACACGGGCGUGUGAGGCCAUUUCGAAAGUAACACGGCCUGGCACACGGGCGUGUGGCUUGGUUGUGUGACCCAAGCUAGAAAGUUACACAGGCAAGGACAUGACCGUGUGUCCCUAUUUCAAAUGUUACACGGCCUGAGACACGGGCGUGUGUCUCAGUCGUGUGAGUCAUAAGGCUUGGCCACAUGACCGUGUGACCUCUGCAGUUUGAUUUUUUCUAAUUUUUCCUUCAAUGUUUCAAAUGUUUCUGAUUUAGUCCUAAAUCGUUUCUAAAGUGAUUCUAAUGCCUCGAGGGAUCGAAUAAGGGAUGACAUGCAUGAAUAUGAAUUGAUUAGGCUAUGUUUAAUGAAAUGUUUGGAAAUGUAUGUUUUAUGUUACGAUUUUAUGGUAAUGCUCCGUAACCCUAUUUCGGCGAUGGAUACGGGUUAGGGGUGUUACAUUUAGUGGUACCAAAGCUACGGUUUAGUCAAUUCUCAGACUAAACGUAACGAGUACGAGUCUAGAAAUACAAGCCAUUAUAUAACCUGUGAUAUUGUGAUAACUCCUGACUCGAUUUCAAUUAUGCUUUCAUAUAGAUAAUAUCAUCCAAUCGAGCCAAUUCCGAUGAGGCUGAAAGUAACACGCAAGCCUCCGUUCAUGGAGCAGUGUGGAGUGGUAGUAGGCCCGUAUCUGAGGGCUAGGGAGGAGAGGCUAAGGAAUCCUUCUUCCAAAUGAUGAAUAAGUGGUUUACCGAGUUCGUACGAACGAACCCGAUGGCUCAACAACCUCUACCCCCUCCUGUUCCCCAACCAGGCCCCGUAGUUCCUCAGGGUUUGGAACCAAUAUGAGCUAGCAAACCUCCAAUUGAUAAAUUCGUAAAUAUGGGGCUGAAGAAUUUAGAGCUACUUCUAAAGAUGAUCCGAAAAGAGCCAUGUUUUGGUUGGAAAAUACGAUCAAGGUUUUUUAUGAGUUAUCUUGUACACUAGCAAAGUGCAUGAAAUAUGUUGCUUCCUUACUAAAGGACUCAACUUAUCAGUGGUGGAAUAUCUUGAUUUCAGUUGUGCCGAGAGAGCGAGUAGACUAGGAAUUCUUCCAAACCAAGUUCCGAAAGAAAUAUUUGAGCGAAAGGUUCCUUGACAAGAAAUGCAAAGAGUUUCCCGAGCUUAAAUAGGGUCGGAUGACAGUAUCUGAGUACAAGCGAGAAUUUUUUUCAAUUGAGAAAGUAUGCCCGAUAAUGUAUACCGACCGAGAUUGCCAUGUGUAAACAGUUUGAAGAUGGGCUGAAUGAAGACAUAAAGUUGUUAGUAGGGAUUCUAGAAUUGAAAGAAUUUGUGGUACUAGUUGAUCAAGCACACAAAGUUGAAGAAUUGAGUAAAGGUAAAAGAAAAAUUGAUUAUGAGGCUCAUGAUUCGGGUAAGAGAUCAGCAGGAACAUCUUACCAAUCGCCAUCAAAGAAGCCAAAGGAAUAUCAUAACCGCUCGUCAGCUUCAGUGGGUCAUUCUAAUAGAGAUCGAGGAAAAUAACAUGCGAGUUUAAAACCUCAAGCUAUAUCUAUAGUGAUCGUAGGCAGUGUUAAGAGUAACAAGCCUGAUUGUCAACAAUGUGGACGUCAACACUUUAGUGAGUGCAAGAUGAAAGAUGGGCAUGUUUUAAAUGUGGUUCGUAUGAACAUUUUAUUCGAGAUUGCCUGGAGAGGUCCAAAAAAGAAAAGGCUCAGACUGUUAGACCGAGCAACACUGCUGUGAGAGGUAGACCACCUCGGAACCCUAGAAAUGCGAGAAAUAGUCGUAGUAGGACAAAAGACUCUAUUGUGAUAUCUGAGGCACGAGCACCAGCUAGAGCUCACGCGGUCCAUGCACGAGAGGAAGUGUCAGUGCUAGAUGUUAUCACUGGUACAUUUUCUAUCUUUGCUACAGAUAUUACUGCUUUGGUUGAUUGGAACACAUUCAUAUGUACACACAAAUCUAGUGUCAUGUAAGAAAUUGCCUGUUGAGUCCACUAAAUUUGUGGUUAAAGUAACGAACCCCCUCUGUCAGUAUGUGUUAGUGGAUAAAGCCUGUAAAAACUAUCCUCUGAUGAUUUGGGGUUGCAACUUCCGACUGAUUUGAUUCUACUACCCUUUGAUGAGUUUGACGUGAUUUUGGGUUUGAAUUGGUUGACUUUGCAUGAUGUCGUUGUGAACUGUAGAUGAAAUUUUAUUGUGUUAAAGUGCUAGAACGGUGAAAAGCUUCAAAUUGAAUCAGAUAGAAUGGAUAAUAUGUCAAAUGUUGUUUCAGCUAUAUCAGCACAGAAAUAUGUUAGAAAACACUAUGACGCGUAUCUUGCUUACAUAUUUCAUUCUAGAGUUUCUGAGUUAAAGCUAGAAUCAGUUCUAGUGGUAUGUGAAUAUUAAGAUGUGUUUCCAUAAGAGUUACUCAGGUUACCGCCAAUUCAAGAGGUUGAGUUUUCUAUUGAAUUAAUGUCGGGAACAUCUCUGAUAUCGAUAGCUCCUUACAGAAUUGCACCUAUAGAGUUGAAAGAGUUGAAAGAGUUGAAAGCACAGCUGCAAGAAUUGGCAGAUAGGGGUUUUGCUUGACCUAGCUUUUCUCCUUGAGGCGCACCUAUUCUAUUUGUUAAGAAAAAGGACGGAUCCAUGCGAUUAUGUAUUGACUAUUGAUAGCUCAACAAAGUUACAAUCAAGAAUAAGUAUCCAUUGCCGCGUAUUGACAAUCUAUUUGAUCAGUUGAAAGGUGCGACAGUGUUUUCAAAGAUUGAUCUUCAUUCUGGUUAUUAUCAGUUGCAAGUUAAAGACUCAGAUGUGCCGAAAACUACGUUUAUAACUAGGUACGGACAUUAUGAAUUUCUUGUGAUACUAUUUGGUUUGACUAAUGCACCUACGGUAUUUAUGAAUUUGAUGAAUAGAAUUAUCAGACCGUAUUUAGACAGAUUCGUGAUGGUAUUCAUUGAUGAUAUUUUAAUCUAUUUAUGAGAUAAUACUGAACAUGCCGAGAAUUUGAGAAUAGUUUGCAAACCUUGUGCAAAAGCCAAUUAUUCGCUAAGUUUAGCAAGUGUGAGUUCUGGCUUCGAAAGUUGAGAUUCUAGACAUGUUGUAUCAGCCGAGGGCAUUAGAGUUGAUCCGAGAAAAAUUUCAAUUGUGGUAGAUUGGAAGCCUCUGAGAAAUGUAUCUGAGUUUAAAGUUUCUAGGUUUAGCCGAAUAUUACAGAAGAUUUGUCAAGGGAUUCUCGAUGAUUGCUACACAGUUAACGAGACUGUUGCAAAAAGAUGUGAAGUUUAAGUGGUCUGAGAAGUGUCAGCAAAGCUUCAAUCAAUUGAAAGCAUUGUUAACUGAGGCACCUGUGUUAAUUCAGCUAGAGUCGAGUAAAUAAUUUGUGAUUUAUAGCAAUACAUCAUUAAACGGUUUAGGUUGUGUUUUGAUGCAAGAGCGCAAGGUGAUAGCGUAUGCCUCUAGACAGUUAAAACCGCACAAAAAUAAUUAUCCGACAUAUGAUUUAGAGCUUGUAGCGAUUGUAUUUGCUUUAAAGAUUUGGUGACGCCAUUUGUAAGGAGAAAAAUGUCAUAUCUUCACAGAUCAUUAAAGUCUGAACUACUUGAUUUCACAGAAAGAUUUGAAUAUGAGACAGCGCAGAUGGCUCGAGUUAUUGAAAGACUACGAAUUGAUCAUUGAUUAUCAUCUAGGAAAGGCUAACAUUGUUGUUGAUGCUUUAAGUAGAAAAUCUUUGUUUGCUUUACGAGCUUUGAACACGUGGUUGACAUUGAUUGAUGAUGGUUCUAUUUUAGCUGAGUUAAAAGCUAGACCGAUGUUUUUGCAACAGAAUUGCGAAGCUCGGAAAUGGGAUGAUAUGUUGAUAGCUAAACAAAAAUAGAUUGAGACGACUCCUAAUUCAGACUUUCAGAUUGGGUCUGAUGAUAGUUUGUAUUUUAAAGGAAAAAUUUGUGUUCCGAGAAAUUCUGAUCUCGUUCAGAAAAUUUUACAAGAAGCUCAUAAUAGUAACUUGUUUGUUCAUCCUAGUACUAAUAAAAUGUAUGGUGAUUUCAAACAAACGUACUGGUCCCCAAGUAUGAAAUGAGAGAUCUCAGAGUUUGUAUCCAGAUGUUUAGUUUGUCAGCAAGUUAAAGCCGAACAUCAGGUACCUUUUAGAUUGUUACAACUAGUGAUGAUUCCAGAGUGGAAAUGGGAACGUGUUACGAUAGAUUUUGUAUUGGGACUAUCUCCAAUAAAGAAAGAUGUUUUUUAGGUCAUUGUUAAUCGUUUGACGAAAUCCGCGCAUUUCAUUCCAGUGCGUACAAAUUAUUCACGCGAGAGAUUAGCAGAGUUAUAUGUUGCUGAGAUUGUCAGAUUGCAUGGGGUGCCAUUUUCUAUUAUUUCUAAUAGGGAUCCGCGAUUUACAUCACAACUCUGAAGCAAGUUACAUGAUGCUUUAGGUACUCAUUUCCAUUUUAGUAUCACGUUUCAUCCCCAAACCGAUGGUUAGUCUGAGUGAGUGAUUUAGAUACUCGAAGAUAUGCUUCAAUGUUUUGUUUUAGAGUUUAAAGGUAACUGGGAAAGAUUUCCACAGUUGGUUGAAUUUGCGUACAAUAACAGUUAUUAGUUGAGCAUAAAAAUGGCACCGUACGAAGCUUUAUAUGGUCGAAAAUGUCGAACUCUAUUUUAUUGGACUGAGCUCAGCGAGAAAAAGCUUCACGGGGUUGAUUUAAUACGAGAAACUGAGGAAAAGGUUAAAGUGAUUCAACACAGUUUAAAAAUAGAUUCAGAUCGAUAGAAAUCCUAUGUGGGUUUGAAAAGAAAAGAUAUAGAAUUUCAAGUCGACGACAAAGUAUUCUUGAAAGUAUCGCCUUGGAAGAAAGUUCUUUGGUUCGAUCGUAAAGGAAAGUUAAGUUCACUAUUUAUUGGGUCGUAUGAGAUAAUUGGGAGAAUCGGGCUGGUAGCUUACACAUUAGCUUUACCAUCAAAAUUGGAAAAGGUCCACAAUCUUUUUCACGUGUUGAUGUUACGACGGUAUCGAUCAAAUCCAUCACGUGUUUUUUCACCUAUUAAAGUUGAGAUUUAGCCUGAUAUGAAGUACUGUGAGAAACCGAUUAGAUUUCUAGCUCAAGAGAUUAAAGAUUGAGAAAUAAAAGCAUAGCUUUAGUGAAAGUCCUUUGGCAAUGACAUGGUAUAGAAGAGGCUACCUAGAAACCGGAAGAAGCUAUGAAAGUGCAAUACCCGAACCUCUUCUUUGUUAAGAUUUUCGAGGAUGAAAAUUUCUUUAGAGGGCGAGUUUUAAUAGAGCGUUUUUAGUGAAAUCAAUAUAGUGGUUUUGGGACCAAAACUCUGAUGUGAAAAUAUUUAUUUUAUUAUUAUUUAGUGUCUACGAAAUAUUAGCAAGGUCGUAUAAAAUUUUCGUUAAGAAAUUUUGACGUUUGCUUGCUUAAUUAAGUAAAAAGGAGUAAAUCGUACAAGAUGCAAAAGUAUAUUCUUUUAGCUAAAGGUAUCAAAUGGCUAUAGAAAUUUAAUGUAAGAGUACUUAGCUGGUAAUUAGACCAUUUUUGUGGUAGUGGACAUUUAUGAGAUUGGUUUUAUUGAAAUUAUGCAUAGCUUUAAAGGACAAAAUGGUAAAUAAGUAAUUACAGUUAAAUUAACUUAAACAAAAUAUGUCCAUCUUCUUCAUUUUAACAUCCUCAACCGAAAUUAUCGAGGGAAGCCAUUUCCAGGGUUCGGUCAAGCUACAUUCAAUUGCAUGUAAGUGGUUUUUGUCCCGGUUUUAAUUAUUUCUAUGUUUUUGAAGUCGUUGUAGUUUAAUCUAGCUAACCCAGGGACUAAUUUCCAAAAAUGUUAAAGGAUUAGGGUUUUUCCAUGAAUGUUUUUGUAAAUUUUUGAAGUUGGAUGGAAGAAAAUGAAUCUUUGUUGUUAAAUAAACAACUUUUGUAAAGAGAUUUUUUCAUGAAAUUAUCAAUUAGGGACUUAUCAGUAAAAGUAGUAAAAUGUCAUGGUAAAAUUGUGAAUUGAUGAUUUGUGUGGGUUGAUAUGAGUUCCUAACUAAAUCAGAUAGCAUGGUAUAUGGAUGAAAUUGCAUAAAUUUCCAUUUACGAGCUUAAAGACUAAAUUGUAAAGAAGUUGAAAUAUUAAGGGUAAAAAUGUGAAUUUUCUAUUAAAUUGAAUAGUAUGUGAAUGAAAUAGAUUGAAUUUGCUUAUUUGGAUCACGGUAAGCCUCGUACGGAUAUGUAGAUCAAGGAAAAGAUAAAAGUCUCAGGUUAGUGAUUCUAUUUCAACAUUCUUAAAAUCGAGGUAAGUUUGUAUGUUUAAAUAACGUUUUAAUGUUAUUUAAUAUAUGCAGGCUAUAAUGUUAUUUAUCAUAUCAUGAAACAAUGGAAAUCCAACGAUGUACGAUGACUAUCGAGCCUUGAUUGAACCUUAGGAAUAUCUUGAAUAUCCUACCGAUGGCUGAGUUUUGGCAUUUGUUGUUGAUAUUCGUUAGCUUGUGUGAGCAACAUCAUGUAGCUACAUUCUGACCGUCAGCUUGUGUGAGCAGACCCAUUUAUGGCACGAGUGAGUAAUGGUGUAAAGGAAAAAGAAAAGGAAUGGUGUCGACCAUAUGUAUAGCACACUUUGUGUGAGCUUCCUGCGUAUCAGAUAUUAUUCUAAGUGGUUCAACGGGCAUGAAAAAGAAAGGAACGGUAACUGUUCUGAUCCACUAUAUUAUGAACCUAUGGAAAGGUAUGAAAUUUCAAUGACCAAUGUAUGUAUAUUCAUGAUUAUGGAAAGUAUGAUUUCAAAGAUACUAUAUUCAUGAAAUUUAUCUUACCAUGUGAUGAUUUUAUUAAGUUAUGUGUUAAAGCACUAACUUGUUUUGUUGAUAAUGCUUAGGCUUGUGCCAAGCUUAUGUUUUCAUUUUUAGUUUAUAAGGUUUUGCAUUGAAAUGGUAAACUAUGUUCACGAUUUAUGAAUUUACUACGCAUUAUAUGCUUAGGUAGUUUUCUUUCCUAUGUUUUAUAGAUUAUCGAAAGCUCGAUUCGUUUGGAAGCUUGUCGGAGACCUAUCACACUAUCCAACAAUUAUAUCAGUAGAUUUUGAUGUUUUGGUCAAGGUUAUAAUGGCAUGUAUUGGUGGACUUGUGUAUAAAUGAUCUAGUUGUUGUUUUGGUAUGAAUAAGUGUCAUUAUGGUUGAUGUACUUAUGGUAUUUGAUUCCUUGAUUGUUGGUGUUAAUAUGGUCAAGGUGAUGCAUGGUUUUCUGACCAAAGUGGUAACUUUGGCAUGUUUGCAAUAUGGUUAAUUAUGAUAUGCUUAAAUAUGGAAUUUAGUUAAAUGUGUUUGUAUGAAAUAUGACCAAUUAGACAUAUGUUUAGAUAUGUUUGAUGCUUUGUGAUUGUGGCAUAUUUUUUGGAUCGAUGAUGGCUAAUUGAAUUGGUCUUAUUAUGUAUUUUUUGGGUAGGUUUUUAUGCAUUGAUCAUAUGUGCAAUUUGUGUUUAGGUGCAUGGUUGAAAUGAGUGAUGGAAAUGGCUUGUUUUGGGCCAAUUUGUUGUCCACACGGCUUAAGACACAGGCGUGUGUCUCAGCCAUGUGUGACACAUGGUCGUGUGUCCCCUGUAGGUUUCAAAGGUUACAAGUGAGGUAGUUACACAGCCUGACAUUCGGGCAUGUAAGGCUAUUUCGAGAGUUACACAGCCUAGCACAUGAGUAUGUGGCUUGGCUGUGUGACCGAAGUCAGAGAGUUACACAGGCUGGGACACGGCCGUGUGUCCCUAUUUCGAAUGUUACACAACCUAAGACACAGGCGAGUGUCUUAGCCGUGUGAGUCACAUGGCCUGGCCACACAGCCGUGUGACCCCUGCAAUUUGAAUUUUUCUAACCUUUUUCUUCAAUGUUUCAAAUGUUUCUGAUUUAGUCCCGAAUCAUUUCUAAAUAGAUUAUAAGGCCUCGAGGGCUUGAAUAAGGGACAACAUGGACGAAUAUGAAUUGAUUAUGCUAUGUUUAAUAUGUUAGGAAAUGUAUGUAUUUAUAUUACGAUUUUACGGUAAUAUUCUGUAAUCCUAUUCCGGCAACGGAUAUGGGUUAAGGGUAUUACACCUCCUCUCGUGCACGGAUAGCAUAGGUUCUAGCAGGAGCUCUAACUUCAGGUCUAUUCAAGAUAUCUUUAGCUCCACUCCGAUUAACUCCAACUGAAAUGUUAUUCCCAAGAUGUCGACCUCGGGUAGGAGUAGUCAUAGACUUUGCAUUACUAGGCUCAAUUCUAUCCGAACAAUCCCUUUUAAAGUGAUCAGGGGAUCCACAUAUAAAGCAUGUCCCGUCGUUAACCCUACAUACUUUAAAAUGAUAUUAAUUGCAUUGUUUGCACUCUGUCCUGUUGGAAUUUCGCACGUUGCCUGUACUAGCCACUGAAGGAGUUGGAGUAUUCUUGCCACUCUGUUUGAAAUGAUCCCUACCCGAGAACUUUGAUGGUGCUAAGAAUUUAUCCUUAGAUUCCCUCAGCUUUUUUUGUGGAGAACCAAAUAAAGUUUUAGGUCCAAUGCGUUUGCUGAAGUCGUGUGUUUUCGCCUUAUUUUAUCUUUUGCUAGCACAAAUUUCUUUCAUCUUUUGAGCUCGAUCAAAUAGAAUCACAAACUCACUGAUCUUUAUGGCUCCAACUAAAAUAUUUAUUUCAUCAUUCAGUCCAUCUUCAAAACGUACACACAUGUCCUCUUUCGUAGGUACAACCUCACGAGCAUAUUUCCUAAGUUGCACAAAUUGUCUCUCGUACUCGGCCACAGUUCUAUUUCCUUGUUUUAGUUCAAGAAAUUCUUUCUUCUUUCACUCCAGAUAUCGCUUACUAAUAUACUUCUUACGAAACUCAGAUUUAAAGAAAUCCCAGUUGACUCUUUCUUUCGGUACCACUAACGUUAACGUGGACCACCACUGAAAUGCCUCUUCUUUUAGCAACGACUCCGCGCAACGCAAACAAUACUCUGAAGAACACAACAUUUCAUCAAACACCCUCUGAGUAUGUUCUAACCAAUACUCGGCCUUGGUUGAGUCAUCACCCACAUUACCACAAAAUUCCAUGGCACCACAUUUUCUAACUUUAUCAAUAGUAAUUUUCGAAACAAUUUGCUGAGUUGAACUUUGAGAAUGAAGGGGAUAAGUUUGCUGAGCUGUUGAAUUGAUCUUUAAAUAUGUCUCAUACAUAUCAUGCAUCAUACAGAGAAAAGCAUUCGGUGCAUAUCUCUAGGCCCUUGUAAUCCAAGCUCAUUCUUAGUACUACCUUUAUCUAUAGCUGGAAUGAAACUUUCUACCUCGUUGGAAUCUGCUCGAUUGGAUCAAGAUGAUAUCUUUUAUCUAUAUGAAGAAAUUUCAAAAUAAUCAAGAGUCAUCACACUAUCUCCAGUUAAUAAGUGGAAUGUAUUUCUAGACUCAAUACAUGCUACGUUUAGUUUGAGGACCGGCUAAAUCGUAGCUCUGAUAUCACUAAAUAUAACACCCCUAACUCAUUUACGACACCGGAUUAGAUUACCGAGUAAUGAAAAAACUUAACAACAUUUAAAAUUACAUAAAUUCUAUAUAUUUCUAAGUAAAUACUAAUAACAAAAACACAUUCAAUUUAAGUUAAACAUGCUUUUGCAAGUCUUAAACGGAGCUUACUAGGCCCAAACCAUAAAUUGGAAACAUUCUAGGGUUAAUCUGAAACAACCCAAAAAAGAUAGGAAUAAUUUGAAAAUUUUGGAAACAUGGGUCACACAGUCGUGUGACCAGGUCGUGUGCCACAGGCCGGCCCAUGUGGCCAAAACAUGGACGUCUGUCUAUCCAACACGCCCUUGUGGUAAAUUGACACACCUGUGUCCCCAUCCCGUGUAACUCACUGACUAGGACCAUACGGUCAUGUCCCAACCCGUGUGUCCGCCCAUGUAACUCACUACUUUGGGACACACAUUUGUGUCGUAAGCCAUGUGCCCGACCGUGUGAAACUUGCACUUGAAACUUAAAAGACACGUUGCCAUGCGAACAAACUGUGUGUGGCCUACGGCCAUGUGACAGCUUGUGUCUCAGGCCAUGUGUACCAAAAUGUACCUUAAAAAUUAAGUUUACCAAUUAUAUUAUCCUGUGCCACAAGCAUACCACUAGCAAACCUAUAAACCUAUUCAAUACUUAAACAAGACCAAGACGUAUCAAAAUCACACAUAUACAACCUAAUUCCACCAACUAAGCAAUGUACCCUCAUUGAUACCACAAGUAAAUAUUCAAUCAACCCAAACAUCAUCACAUUCAAUAUCUCAACUAUUUCAAAUAUUAUAUAUGCAUAAUAUAUCAUAUAUACAAGCAUAAACACCAAAAUACCAAACAUACCAUACAAACAUCAAAAUGACCAUUUCAACUCACUUGUUCUACUACAUUAUAUCAUAGUACCACAAUACUUUUCUUAGUUACAUGGCACUUUUAACCAACAUCAAAACAAAAUACAAAAUGACUACCAAGGUAUAGAUGAUAGUGUGUGAGCUCUUGAACCGAUCCAAGAUUCCAAGAUACCUACAAAAUGAAAUCAACCUAGUAAGCUCAACAUAGUUUGGUAUGUUUGGGAAGUUAACCUAAUUGUUUUUCAGCUCAAUUCAAAAUUUAAUAAAACAUCAAUAACCUAAACAACUUGAUUCACUAGCACAACUCCUGCUAAGAACUAAGCCUGAGUACCACCAACACGAAGCCUGCUAGGCGCUAAGCCUAAAUAACACACCGGCACGAAGCCUACUAGGCACUAAGCUUGAAUAACACACCAGCACGAAGCCUGCUAAGCACUAAGCUUGAAUAACACACCGGCACAAAGCCUACUAGGCACUAAGCUUGAAUAACACAUCAGCACGAAGCCUGCUAGGCACUAAGCCUAAAUAAUACACAAGUACGAAGCCUGCUAGGCACUAAGCCUGAAUAACACACCAGCACGAAGCCUACUAGGCACUAAGCCUGAAUUACUUCUCCAAACAACAAUUUAUAAUACCAUACUAAUUUAUAGUGCAACUAAUAGAGAUAAUUAGUUGUAAACAUAAACUGUAUAGUACUAACUUCCAAGAAUUCGAUAGAUGUGGAAAUGCGACUAAGUCUACUAAAUCACCUUCUCUUUUCCCCGACUAACGAUUGAUGGAGUUGAUUCUUAAUCUAAAUAAAAUCAUUAAUUCAAUUAAUAAACUCAACCAUCUCAAAAAUCUCAAAUAAUUCACAUAGCUAACCUUCAAUGAAAGUACACACAUUUAACCUAAACUUUUGCUUUUACUCCAUUUACCCAUCUAUCUUAGGCUUCUCCAUUUAAGCAAACCAAGCUAAAGGAAAUUAUGAUGAUUUUGUAACAAUCCCUAUAUAGUUAAAAUAUUAGUUUUUAGUACUUGGUUUUACUACAUUGUCACAAUUAAAUCCCUAGCUACAAGACCAUUCGAAGAUACCUUGCUAAAUAGUCUAGAUUUAUCAAUAAGAUUAAAAAAAACAUCUAUUAACAUCAAAACAUAAAAUUUUCAUCAAUAGAAAAUUUUUAAAACUUGAUAAUUCUACAAAUAAAUCCAUAAACUAACUAGAUGAAGCUCCCAAGACUCCAAAAAUAUGAAAAUCAAAAGAAUCAGCCUCCAAAUACCUACCAUGCAACCCAAAUAUGCUUGGUCGAAUGUUCUUUAAGUUUUCAUGAAGGUUUGCGGCAUGGAGAAGAUGAAACAAACAAUAAAAAUAUCAAAAAUAAGGUAAAGUGCUUUGUUUUCUUUUCUUUUUUACCUUAACUUUCUUAUUUUACUAAUAAUAAUAAAAUUAUACCAUAUAUAAUACACAAUAUUAACCAUUUAACCAUCCACUAUAACCAUUUAAGGUUUAUUUACCUUUUAAAGCCCUCAAAUCAUGGUUUUAUAACCAUUUAACACAUAAAAGCUAAUUGUGAUUAACUUUUGCAAUUUUUUAUGAUUUAGUUCGUUUUAAUUAUUUAACUAUCUAAACAUUACAAUUUCUUAACCAAAAUUUAAUAUAACCAUAUAGUCAUUAAAAUAUUGGCUCACUCGUUGAAAUUGUGGUCCAGAGACCCUUGUUUUCGACACCACUAAGAACGGGUUGUUACAGGAAGGGUGUAAUAGCCUGCUGGUCUGAAAGAAAUUUCAAACUCCGGUAAUAAAUUCUAACGCAAAAGUGGCGCCCCAUGACUGCCUCCAGAUGUACUAACGUCCUGAAUGCGACUACUGUAAUAAAAUAUAUAAAUACGAGGCGAUAUUCGCAAGUGUAUGGGUCGAGUUGUAAUAUAGUUUUUACAACGGAGUAGGUGAGUACUCCGAGGAUCAUACCUAAGGGAGACAAGUGCUAAAUCAAUUUCAACCUAAACACUAAAAGAUAUAAUUAGUAAUUUAAAUUAGUUAUAUUAGGAAAACAUAAAAUAAAGGAUUUUUAGGGUUUUAUAAUAAAAAUAAAAUAACAUAAAAGAUAAAAAUUUGAGAGACUAAAGAGUAGAGUGAAACAAAUCUUGAUUAUGGGUGAUUAGCUUGCUUCGGUAAUGCCCAUCAACUUUUCCUUUGGGUUCCCUGUCAAUCAACUAGUCAUUACCUUGGCAGGAUCUUUCGAUCUUCCACUAACAUAAUGAGUCAGCAAGGACUACUCUUCUUCCAACCUCAUAGUCCAGACUGGUUUGGGGUAAAGGUGUUCACAAAUUGGCCAUACCAAUUACCACCUUAAUAACUACCCGAGGUUGUCAAGCCUAAGGUUUGUUUCAUGUUCUUCCUUUCCCAAAUAGUUGAUAUGCUGAGUAACCCUACAAAACAUUUAAUAGAUUAUACCUCCACUCGCUAAUCCCCCAUAGAGGGAUUAGUUCCUCAUAGCUUCUAUAGAUAAUAUCAUACCAAUAUAAAGAGCAAACAUGUUAAAAAAAUUACCAGUAUAGAGUUUACAAAAGAGACUGGUUGUAUUAAGAAUUGAUUAUGAAUCCAUAAAGUUUCAUGAUCUCCCCAAAUCAAAUAUCUUGAAAACAAAGAACAAUUGAAAAUAAAUUAUAAUAACCUAAGAAAAAAGAAAGCUAAGCUAAAAUUAAAAGACUAGUUCUAAAUUGAAUGAAUGGUGUCCAUAACAUGUACCAAAGGUCCUAUUUAUAGAUUCUUAGUGGUCAUCAUCCUUAACCCUAGGUUAACUAACGUUCUCGAUCCUUAAUUUUGAUUGUGCAGACCAAAACACCCUCAUUUCGUGUGUAUCUCUCGUCUGAAGUUGAUGUCAGACACACCAGGACCUAUGUCGUGACAUAGCAGUUAGUGUAUUCCUCCCAGGAUAUCUUCCGGGGUAUGUCGUGACACCACUAGUCUAUAUUGCAACAUCGGAGGUAAUUUUGUGAUUUCUCCAUUUUGGUCCCUUUGCUACUACAUCGAGCAUUCCGUGUUGUGACAUAGCGACUAGUAUUUAUCUAUUAUACUUUCUAGUGGUCUCCUACACACUUAUACAACUCAUCAGCUCACCUUUAGAUCUCAUUCAGCCCAUAGGGUCAAUAAAAGAUUCAAUUUGCACAUUUUAUUAACUAGAUGGAAACUUUAAGAAAACAUAAUUAAAACUUAACAAAACACUUGUCUUCAAGCUCCUAAACUACGAAAAUUAGUUUAAUCUACAACACCAAGUUACGGUAGAUCAAACUCCCCCACACUUAAGUCAUUGCUUGUCCUCAAGCAACAUAGACAUAAGCAAGAAAUAAAAGUGGCGACAAUAUGAUACAAGUAUUGACUUCAGGGCACAUGACUUAGACAUUUCACAUUCACUAACAACUUUAACAUGAUGAAUAACUGAUUUACCACUUUUGACCACAAACAUCUAAGUUUAGUAUGUUACAAAGUAUACAAGUAUUAAGGGUAUCACCUAUAGGAAUCCAUCAACAAAUCAUACAAGUAAUUUGAUUAUCCUAGCAGAAUACAAAUAGUCAUUUAUAUGCUUGUUUAAUGCAAUGUCCAUUCAUACAUAAGGAUACUUUGGUCACAUAGGACUUUUCGGCUUGUAACAUUCUGAGGCUUAGAACAGGUAUGGAAUUCAAAAACAGUAAGCAUCAAUAAGGGUUACAAACAUGAAAAUAGUUUGGCACAUCAUAUCGAUCCCUAUUCUUUCCCCUUAGUGACCCUUACCUGCUCACCACCUUAUUUCUCCUUCUCUCACUUUCCUUGUCUCUCCAUAUAUAAGAAAUCAUAGCAUGAUAUAGUAACUACAACUAGCCUACGAGUUUCUAUGCACUAAUGAACGAGUUUCUCUUUCUUUUGUGACUUUGUCACUUUAUUUUUUUAGUUCAUCUCACUCAAGAAUGCUUUUUAUUUUUUGAGAACUUUUUCUAUUUGUAUAACUUUUACUUUUUUGAAUUUUUAUUUUGUUUUACACUUUCAGGCUAACCUAUAGUUCCCAUAUGACACCAAUCUUUCCUAUUCCACUCUUAUUUUUACAAACACCAUCGUGAUGUAUCUACUUAACCCUCAAUAUGUUUGGCCAAACAUCUAUAGUCAUGCAGUGUAGGACCAAAGAAAAGGGUAAAUAGAAAUUAACAUUUUUAAGCUCAAGGUUUGUAAUGAAGUUCAUCAAGAAAUGUCAAUAGGCUCAAAAAUCAGUACUAAAGGUGAAAUAAAAAUAGGUCAGUUUUUUGGCUCUAGAUGUGUUCCAAACAAUGCCUUUAGGUCAUCCUUGAAUAUCUCAAUAUGCAGAAAUUUAAUCAACCAAACAAACUCAAAUUCAACCAUUUAUCAUUCAUACUAGCAUGCUCGUUUCCUUGUAUUUUCUAUAUCCUUUGGUACAAUUGAUUGCUCAAUCCCUAUUUACAGUGUAACAUCUAGAAAUUAGUAGUCUAAUAAUAAAAAAUUAAAAUCACCUAUCAUUAUGCCAAAUUUAUUUGCAAACACAAGCAACCUAUGUACAUGCUCUUAACCCAUCACUUGUAUUUCUACAAGCUCAAGCACACCAAAGAUACAAAAAAUGAAAGAAAAGUAUAGAAAUUGAAAACGAAUAAACAAACUUUCUAUGUUACCCCCCUCACUUUAGUUGACACAUUGUCCUCAAUGUGUAGCUCAUAUAAAGAUAAGGAAAAAAGUUACUCGAUUGAUCGUUUUCACUCCAACUGCUAAUGGUGGGUGCUUUCUCUUUUGGUCAUGUAUGCUCGAAUUGUUUGUGUCUCCUUCGUGUUGGUUUCCUACAUAGAAAUUUUAAACAAAAUGCAUGAUAACUAAAAAUCUACUAUUAAUCUUACUCCUAUAAAGUCAAAAUCAAAAAUUAAUACAAGUCUUUGAAAAUAAAACUAAAAAUGUUCAAGCCUCCUCCUCCUCAUCCCAAUGUGGUGCCUGCCUCAUUUCCAUUGGAGCUUUUCCCUUUCUUUUGACAUAUGUUUGGUGAGAGCUCCCACCCAUUAAAGGCACAUGGCCAGUUGGGCUUCGGAUGAUAAGCCCCUUUGGUGUAGAAAAUUACAGCUGGAAAGUCUCUUCAUAUACGUCCUCCGUUCCAAGGUACUCUUGAGACACACCUUCCUUUUCGAAAUUAACCCCCUUAUCCUGAUGAGUCGGUGUCGAGCUAAACAUGUCUAGGGGAUAAUUCAGAGCACGUAACCUAUUCAUUUUUUCAAAUUCUUGGAUUAAUGGGCUUGUUUCCUGCAUCCACUGAACCAUCCUAUCAAACUUUUCCUCUACACUUCCGUUGGUUCCUCUUCGAACCACUGUCUUCUCCUUUCGCUUAAGUGAGACUAGGACAUCAAUCUUUUCCUCCCUCCUCUGAUUCCAAUCCAUGAUUUGUUUUAUUUGAAGCUCAACAUAUUGGGUGUACAGUAAAUCUCCAAUUAUGCUUUUUUUGGGUUUCAUGAACUGUUCAUUCUAUCCCAUUGGAACUCCUACCCGUUGACACAAUGCAGUCACCAAGUGAGGAAAGAAGAUUCCAGCUUUUUGGCUAAAUCUAUUUGCCCACACAAACCUGCUUGCACUGUAAAAUGCCAUAUAACAAAAUAGCUCAAAAAGUAUUCACGUUAGAAACAUUUAGAGCAGGCACAAUUCUAGUGUUGACAAGCUGCAUCCACAUUUUCGCAAUGGGGAACAUUAUCGCUUGAUUGAAAUUGUGGGCAACUCUGUAUCGGGCCUAUAGUUCCAUGUACCUCUUCCUUGAGCCAAGUACUUGAUAACAUCUUCUAUGUCUAUAUUCUCAAGUUUAUCUAAAUAGAUGAUAUUAAGGAAGUCUUUGUCUUAGAAAGGUGCAUCGUAGAACUCACAUAUCUCCCUAGGAGUGACCGACACCUCUUAACCCCUAACUGUCAUAGUGUCCCAAUUUAUUAUUUUUCAUAUUUCUUGGUGUCUAAAAGAAGAAUAAAAUUCUAGCACUACUAAGUCCACAACAGUUUCCUUGGGAGCGAUACAGAAUCGCUCCCAACUAUGAUAUCUAACCAAAGUCCAAAUUUUAUUGCACAAAAUCAUUGAAAUUUCGAACCCUUGUUCCUGAUUAAAGGCCUACCCUAUAACUGAAGAAAAUAUUUUUCCGUUUCUAGAGUCUCAAAAUUUUCAGGAUUCGAAACUACCGAAGUAUUUUGUACCAUAGUUUUCUUGCUUUUUCUAGGAGGCAUUCUCUAAAAAUAAAGUUUCUAGAAAAAAUAUGAACACUAAUUAAUGGAACAGUAAAAGAGAGUUGAGAAUACAUUAACCUUAAUCUUUUGAAUCUGUAUGUGCCUCUACUUUGAUUGAUUGAUGAUGUUCUCCUCCAAUGUGGCCUUUAGGAAUGAGGGUGAAGGAUUGAAAACCUAAGUUUUUAGAGGAAAAAUGGGUUUGGAAAUUAGAGGUUUUAGAGGGUUUAAAGAGAGGGUUGGAUGUUAAAAUUAGAUUAGGUUGUGUUAAUAUCGUCUUUUUAUGCUUAAAAUGGGAGUUUUUGAAGUAAACAACUGAGUAUUUCUAAGGUUAAAAAGUUAGGCUGCGCAAUUCGGUCUGGUUGACCCUGAAAACAUCCCUAUCUGAUUACUCAUGUCGCGACACACCCUGCUAUUUUGAAAAAUUGGGAGACUGUUAGCUAUGUCACGACAUAAGUUAAUGGUGUCACAACAUCGAGAUUAUUUUUUAAAUUCCUCGCCUCUACCCUCGAUGUUGCGACACGGGGUGGUUGUGUCGCGAUGUGCCAUAAGUUUCCUAUAUUUCUGGUCUUCAGAGUGCUUCAAGUGCUUGUUAACCCUGUCUUCAAUCUGCCUAUAAUAUUUUAAUCAAAUUAGUUAGUAAAAUAUACAAUUUUGUACAGUUAGUUAGAGCUUUUACAUAAAGAAUGUUAGUUUUUGAUGCCAGACUCGUCCGUCAACUCUGUUAGUGUACACUAGGGUGAUCCUUGUAAAUUGUCUCUAUUUGUAUUGGUCCAACACUCAUCAUGUCAUUAUAUUCACCUUUGAUUGUCUCUCUCUCUCUAAACUUUCAUUUUCAGCCUGCCUUAACAGCUGACAACUCUUUCCACAUAUCAUAACUAUUAAUUAUUUGUAGUAUCACGUAACCAGGCAACCAUUUUAAUUUUCGCUUAACAUUCUUGCUUUGUAAAAAGGUUAAGAAUUGCGGCUCAUACUCGUCGCUCAUUGUGUUCUACCCAUCUCACCGAUCAGGAAUAGUUUUUCAAGAGUACUUAAGGUAAUGAUUGGCAUAGAAUUUUGAACUACCUCACUUGAAUUCUGAGUUUAUGGUAUUUUGAAUUCCCCCAUUUGUUUACAAAUAAAUUUCUUGCAGGGUUCCUGUAAUAACUACUCAUUCUGAGAUGCACGUAGCUUAAGGCCUAUGCUCAUCAGUUGUCUCACUUGGUUGACUCCUCCUAAGUGAUCAUAGGUCUUGUUUAUAUAUAUUUUUCCAAUUUUGUUCAGCGUCCAAAAAAUUCCUAGAUCGUCUAAUCUUUGGGGCGCCAGAUUUAGGGAUAAGGUCAUGCAAAUUAUAGUCAAUUCAGGUUCAUCAGAUGGGACUACCAGUAUCUUUUUAUUUUGCUAUGGUAAUUUCUGAAUCGACAGUCACUCUUCCACUAGAUCAGCCAUUACCAUUGUUUCUAUUGGUUUGUCUGUGUUAUACUGCUCUUGUGUUUCGGAAUUAUUGGUAGAACCCAAGGUUUUUGGGACAAUGAGUUCCAUGCUAGCUCUAUAUAUUUUCUUUCAACAGUUGUGUUUAAUUUGUCUGAAUAUUCUUCUGUCUGCUGAGAUAUAUAGUAGUUUGGGAGUUCUCCUUUUUCACAAGCGUCUACAGUGAUAUUCUCUUCUUCACUCAACUUUGGACGUAACACCUCUUGGUACCUUUCUGAUGGUAUAUUAAUACGGUCGUUAUUGUCUUUGGAAAGUACUGGGGUUUCUCCUCGGAGUUAACUUAAUUCAAGCACUAGUAAUCGUUGGUUCUCCUAUAUCUCCUAGUCUUCAUAAACUCCUUCUUCGUAAAUAUUAGCAUCGUAAUCUAAUUCCUCGUCUGACCACAUAUAAUCCAUUAUCCUUUUAACCGACUUUCUUUAAUUAUGGUAGCUGUAAUUUUGCUUCUAAAUAUGCACUAGGGUCUUCCUUAAAAAAAUUAAGUAAUAGUAAAGUUAGUUAAAUAAAAUAAAAUUCGUAUCUAUAACCUAAAAAUUUCCUAAUUAGUCUUUCUGAAUACAAAAAUUAAAAUUAAUCUAGAAACGUUGCCUCCUCGGCAACGAUGCCAACAACUUGACUACCUCCAGAUGUACAAACAUCCAGAGUGUGACUGCUGCUAUAAAAUAUAUAAAUACGAGGCGGUAUCCAUAAGUAUAUGAGUUGAGUUGUAAUAUAGUUUUUACAACGAAAUAGUUGAGUACUCUGAAGAUUGUACCCAAAGGAGGCAAGUGCUAAAUCAAUUUCAACCUAAACACUAAAAUAUAUAAUUAGUACUUUAAAUUAGUUAUAGUACAAAAACAUAAAAAAUAAAAAUAACAUAACAUAAAAAGAUAAAAAUUCAAGAAACUAAAGACUAGAGUAAAGAAAAUCUUGAUUAUGGUUUAUUAGCUCGUAUCAGUAAUCCCCAUCAACUGUCUCUUCGAGUUCCUCAUCAAUCAACUAGUCAUUACUCUAGCAGGACCUUCCAAUCUUCCACUAACAUAAUGAGUCAGCAAUGACUACUUAUCUUUUGACCUCAUAGUCUAAACUGGUUUGGGGUGAAGGUGUUCGCGGAUGGGCCAUACCAUUUUUGGGUUAAUUCCCACCUUAAUAACUUCCCGGGGUUGUCAGACCAAGGGUUUGUUUCACAUUCUUCCUUUCCUAAAUAGCUGAUCCGUUAAGUAGCACUACAAAAUAGUUAAUAGAUCAUACCUCUACUAGCUAAUCCCUCAUAGAGGGACUAGUUUCUCGUAGCAUCCAUAAACAAUAUCAAAUCAAUAUAAAGAGCAAACAUGCUAAAUAAAUUGCCAGUAUAGAGUUUACUAAAGAGUUUGAUAGUAUUAAUAAAUGAUUGUGAAUCCAAAAAGUUUGAUGAUCUCCCCAAAUCAGAUCUCUUGAAAACAAAGAACAACUAAAAAAAAUUCUAAAAACCUAAAAAAGAAGGAAAGCUAAACUAAAAUUAAAAGAAUAGUUCUAAAUUGAAUGAAUGGUGUCAUAACAUGUGCCAAAGGAGCGUAUUUAUAGAUUCUCGGUGACCUUCAUCUUAACCCUAGGUUAGCUGUCAUUCUCGAGCUUUAAUUUUGAUUGUACAGACCAAAACAUCCCCAUUUGUGUUUAUCUCCUGUCCAGAGUCACUGUCAGGUACACCAAGACCUAUGUCAAGACAUAGCAGUCAGUAUACUCCUCCUGAGAUAUCUUUCAGGGUAUGUUGCUACACCACUAGUAUGUAUCGCGACACCGAAGGAAAUUUCAUGAUUUCUCCAUUUUGCUCCUUAUGUUACGACAUUGAGCAUCCCAUGUUUCGAAAUAGUGAACAGUAUUUAUCUAUUACACCUUCUAAUGGUCUCUUGCACACUUAUACAGUUCAUCAGCUCACCCUUAGGCCUUAUUCGGCCCCUAGGACCAAUAAAACACUCAAUUUGCACAUUUUAUUAACUAAAUGGAAACUUUAAGAAAACAUAAUUAAAACAUAAUAAAACACUUGUCUUCAAGCUCCUAAAGUGAAAAAAUUAGUUUAACCUGCUACACUGAAUUACGGCAAAUCACCCUACCAAGUAUGGAUGCCAUUUUUUAACAGAUAGCAAAGCAACUAGCAUUUCCUUUUCAUAUAUCAAAAAAGAUUGAUAUUUGAUGCCCAAAGCCUUACUAAAAUAGGCAAUUGGUUGUCUAUUCUGUUGCAAAAUGGCCCCAACACCAGUACUACUAUCUAUGUCAAUACAAAAUGCCUCAUUGAAAUCUGGUAAGGUAAGGAUAGGUGUUGAACUCAGGGCAACUUUUCAUGCCAAGAAAACCUAAUCAACUUGAGGUGACCAACUUUAGUUCCCUUUUCUCAAUAGUUUAGUCUGAGGUUUAGCUAUUGAACCAUACCCUUUGAUAAAUCAUCUAUACUAACCAAACAGACCCAAAACCCCCCUUGAUUCCUUUAAAAAUUGAAGAAUCUUCUAGGCCAUGAUAUUGUCAAUCUUGGUUCUAUCCAUACUGACUCUUCCAUGUGAAAUACAUGUCCCAAAUAAUCAAUUUGUUCAGCACCAAAAUGGCAUUUGCUUUUCUUUUUUUUUUUUGCAUAUAAUUAACGAGCUCUCAAAAUAGAAAACACCUCCCUCAAAUAGUCAAGUUGAUCCUACCAAGACAACGAGUAAACAAGUAUGUCAUAAAAAAACUAACACAAACUUCCUCAACAAAUGGCUUAAAAAUGGAAUUCGUAAGAGCUUGAAACGUGGAUGGAGCAUUAGUAAGCCCAAAGGGCAUCACAAGGAACUCGUAGUGCCCUUCAUGUGUCUUAAAAGUAGUAUUGUGAAUGUUAGGUUCCCACAUCCUGACCUUAUGGUAACCUGACCGUAGAUCCAACUUAGAAAAUACCACUGCUUUCCCCAAUUCAUCUAGCAACUCUUCAAUAAUUGGAAUUUGAAAUCUAUCAUUGAUUAUCAAAUGGUUCAAGUGUUUAUAGUCCACACAUAACCUCCUUGUACCAUCUUUCUUUUUUACCAUAUAGGAGAAGCAAAAGAACUAUUGUUGUCCUGAAUUACCCCAGUUUGCAACAUCUCUUGUACCAUUCUUUCCAUUUCAAUCUUUUGUAUGGCAGGAUAUCAAUAUGGCCUCAAUUUUACCACAAUAGUCUCAUAUUUUAGAGGGAUUUUAUGAUCUUGUAAUCUAGGUAGAGGUAACCCUUUAGGUUCCUUAAAAAUGUCAUAAAAUUCCUCUAAUAAUUGUUGUAAUUGCCCUAGAGUUGAUGAUGUCAUGGCUCUCAAAGUAGCCUAUGUUGGAGUAGGCACCAUAAUAAUAUAAGGACACAGAAGGCUUCCUGCCAAGGAAAAACAUUCUCUAAAACCCCUCUACCAACUGAACAUUACCAAGUUGAAUACCCUUCAAGACACAAAUCUGUCCUACAUACAUAAACUUGAUGGUUAAUGAACUAAAUUGGCAACUAAUGGUUCCCAAGGACAAUAACCAUUGCACUCCCAAGACUAAGUCAUAUUCCUUCAGGGGAAAAACAUAAAAUUCAGUGUAAAAGUGAGUAGAUUCCACCUCUCAUUAGACAACUCGACAAAUGCCCCCCAGGUACUAAGAUAGCUCUAUUGGCUAUAGUAACCUUCAACUUGUUCAUAGGACUCACUGGUAAGCCUAACUCUUUGACUAACUUGACACUUAUAAAAUUAUAAGUACUACCAAAAUCGAUUAGAAGAAUGACCCUGGUUUGGCCAAUGUUGGCUGCCACUCACAUGGUGUGAAUGUCUUGAGAUCCUUGGAUAGCAUGCAAAGAUAAGACUAUACCAGAAAUUGUAAUACGCCUAACCCCUCUUCAUCGUCAAAUUAUGGUCACGAGCAUUACUAGCAUUUCAAACUAUUAAUCAAUCAUAAUUACACAUAUACAUACUAGCCAUUAACAAUAUAAUGUACAGGGGCUGGUCACAAACAAUCAAAUUAUAUCAUUUUAGAAUAUUAUACAAUCGAAUAAUGAUUCAUGCUAUGCAAUGUUAAACUUGGUCUUCCAUUGUCUACACUCUUAUCACAAUUUAUACAUUGCUAACUUAGUAUUCCACUGUCUACGCUCUUAUCACCAUUUAUCCUUUCUUGAAUGUCAGAAUUCAGAUACAUACAAGGGUAUUCCAAUUAUUAGCAUCAGAACAUUGGUUCAUACUCCAUCUACGAUUAUCUUUUUAAAUUAUCUUUGAUGAUGUUAGUGGAAUGCACUUAAUUUAGGUUUACUAACCCACCCCAAUCCAAAGUAAAAGUUACUUUUAUAGCCCCUAUUACGAGUCUACGGGACCCUAAAAGUAGUUUAAAAUUAGGCAGGGAAUAAUUUGAAACAAUUCUAGAAGUUUAGGAAAUAAUUACAAAAAAUUUGAUUAUAGGGAUCACACACACGUGUGGCCAGGCAGUGUGCCUCACACACCUAUGUGGCCAGGCCGUGUGCUUUACACGGUUGAGACACACGCCUAUGUCUUAGGCCGUGUAACUAUGUUCAUGUGUUUCAAUUCAAUAGUAUAAUUUUUGUUCAUUCCUUAUUCACAUCUACUAAGAUUUUCACAUGUUCAAAUAGAUAAGUAUAUAUCAAUGGCAUUUCAUUUAACAUUUGAAUACAUCAUCUCAUGCAAUGGCAUGAUUCAUAUCUUUGAUCAAUACUUGAAUUUAUUCAAGUUUCACAUCUCAAUUCAUCAAUUCAUAUCUCAUUUCUCAUAUCAUAAUCAUUUCUCAUAUUUGCCAUUUCAAUAUUUUCUCAUCUCAUAUUCAUUUAUCAUAUUUUUCAUUUCAAUAUUAAUCACAUAAAUUAUUAUUUUACUUUCCUCUAUUAACACGACACAGACUCGGACGGAUACACGGAUCCAACCAAUACACCAGUUUGGCACCCAGUGCCUCAUCAGAUAAAUCCAAAGUAAUAAUUGCACGUAGCGCUAUAUAAAUUGACACCUAGUGUCUCAUCGGUUAAACCGAAGCAAAUUGGCACCAGUGCCUCAUCGACUUAAGGUCGAAGUAAUCCCUAAACUCUUCUUAUCAUGUGGCAUGCCAUCUAUAUCUAACUCAGCCCGAUAUAGUUAAUAGGGAUUCAUUUCACUUUUCAAUACAACCAAUGUCUCAAUUUCAUGAAUAUAUAUCAUCACAUAUAAGCAUAUAUUCAAUUCGAUAAUAAUCAGGUUUUUCUCAAUACACAUAUAUUCAUAAUCAGUAUAUUUCAUAAUAUACAAAAUCAUUCAUUUCAUUUCAAUUAUGGAUUUAAUUCAAUUCCCAAGUACCCAAGUACCCAAGUACUCAUCUCAAUUGCUCACCAUAUGCAAACAAUUAUAUAUGCAAUAAUCUACUAUUUAAUUCAGAUUAUAGAAACAAAAAUAGUAAUUUCUAAGCUAUUUGACAUCGAUUUUGUCCUUCCCCUUUUUACUCAAGGAUUCUGGUACGACGUUAGCUACGAAAUAAAACAAUUAAAUCACAUUAAUAUUACACAUUUCAAGUUCACAUUAAAUUUCAAUUUUCACACUAUAUUUUGCUUAUUUUUCAAUUUAGUCCCUAAAUCGAGACUAGUUUUAGCCUUCACAUUUAAAUUCAUAUUUUUAUACUAAUUUCACUUUAGACCACAUUUAGCUUCCUCUUUUCCAAUUCGACCCCUUAAUUUUAAAUUUUUACAAUUUAGUUCUUUUUAUUCAAAACCUAUCUAUUUAAUCCCUAAUACUUAAACUAUUUAACAAUGUAAACAUCUAAAAUCUUGAACAAUACUAAAAAUUACAAUAUGGGUCGGGUAGCCCUAAGUAUCGAGAUUCCGAAAAUAUAAAAAUUACAAGAAAAGAGGACUAAAUUGACUAACCAAUUGAAAUUUGAAAGUUUGGAGCCCUUGGUGUCGUCAGCCACUUUGUUUCUUUCUUUUUUUUUAUUUUUUUCUUUAAUUUGCAUACAAUUGUUUCAUCUUUCUUUCCACUUUCUUUCAUUUCUUUAUUAUGUUUUCAUUUUAUUAUCUUUAUUAUUAUCAUUAUUAUUAAAGUUACUUUAAUAUAUAACAUAUACACAUGCAAAUUCAUUAAACCAUAACCGCCCACCAUUUUAAUAAAUGGUAAAUUUGCUAAUUUAGUCCCUUCUAUUUCUUUCAAUCUAUAAUUCAACUUUUAACCCUUACAUGAUUUAGUCCUUGUACCUUAAUAACUCCUAAUUUCACGAAAUUUACUAAUCCAAAAAUCAAUUAUUUAUUAAGUUAGCCUCGUAAAUAUUUAAUAAAAAUAUUUAUGGGUUUGGUUUACGAAAAUAGAGUCCCAAAAAUAGGUUUUUCGACACCCCUGACUAUUAAGUCGUUACAGAAACACUCCUCCCCCAACUUCAAAUCUUCCAACUGCUUACUACAUUCUUGAAACUUAUCAUUAUCGCCCUCUAUACCCGGUUCCAAUAUUAGUUGAUAUAACUUGGACUUCAUGCACUUGUGACCAACCCGGUAUUUGGCCCCGCACCAAUAGCGAAGUCAUUUCUUUAUUAUGUCUUCAAUCUCAGCAGAAGAUAAGGACUUAGGUAUUCCACGAGGCUAUCCUCUAAUAUUGGGUGAACCCGCUAGUGUAGCCCCCCAUUCGAUGGUUAAGGGUAUUUAGGCCCUUUCUAACUAGUGAAAUUCAAAACAGAUUGGGGUGUAGGCUUGAAAUGAGCACCCCAUCCCACCACCAACCUUCGUUUGGAUGAGCCAUUGAGGAUGGCUUCCACCUAUCUAGCAGUCAAAAACCUUUCCAUCAAGGUGGUAGGUUUUAAAAGCUCUAGGCAUUGCCCCACAUCAGCCUUCAAAUUAGUGAUGAAUAUACUAACAACGUAUUGUUUAGGUAACUGCAACUAAUUUAACAAACUAAUGAAAGAAUUAUAGUAUUGAUCGACUGAACCUACAUGUUUAAGGGAGAGUUAUUCUUUCAUAGGAUCCUAGAAAGUUUGAGAUCCAAACUUGUCCUUGGGACUCUGCGUAUAUGACUCCAAUUCAACAUGUGGAACCCCCUUGCCUUUGAGCAUAAAAAUGAUGUCAAUCGAGAGCCCUUCCCUCUAAAUACAACAUGACCAUCCUUACUCUAGCAUUCACAAGAAUCUUCUCAGCCAAAAAGUACUAUUCUAGUUUUGCCUACCAACCUCUAAAAUUUGUACCGUCAAAAUGAGGGUAAUCCAAUUUAGGGGGUUUAGUAUUGACCUUGACAACACCAGACUUUUGGAUUGGAAACAAGGAAUCCUUAGGAGGGAAUCUUGGUGGAGGCUCGCUCAACACUCCUAUCCCCUUGUUAGACAGUAAAAGUUUUCCCAAAUAUUGCUCAAAUAUACCAUGAACUUGACCUUGAAGCUCAGCCUUCAACUCACCCCGAAAAUCCUCCUUUAGUUCUUUGAACCUAUCCCUAAUACGACUAUCCAAUUUGUCUCCAAUACGACUAUCCAGUUGAGAGGGUUCGGAUUGAAGCUUAAUGACUUCUUGUUGCAGAUAAGUAACCUCCUUUUGCAGACAAGUGGAAAUUCCAUCUCCGACCAUGAGAAUUGACUUGCUCUGAUACUUUUAUUAGGAGAUUGUUUCUAGGAAAACCAAGAGAACAGAAAACAUAAAGAAAGAGCAGAGAAAAAAAUAAAAUUUUCAUUAAUUUAUUCAAUAGCCAAAAACAUCCCUUCCUUCUUUCCCCGAUUCGAUUAUAACGAAGAAGAAGGAUUGCAACAUGGAAAGAAAACAAAGGCAAUUACAAUUGAAACAAAACACAUCGUUUAACAAAGACGAAUCAAAACUAUUCAUUUCAUUAAAACCCCUUUUCCCCAAAACACUAUGUACAAAGACGAAUCAAAACUAUUCAUUUCAUUAAAACCCCUUUUCCCCAAAAACACUAUGUAGAACAUUAAACACAAAACAUAACAGAAUAAUAUAAUUUAAAAACUUAUUAAAGUACCCAACUCUAUUAUCAAAAUAUCUAACAGUUAAUUUUUAUCUUAUUAAAUUAAAUGGCCAUUUCAACGAAGCGGUCUAAGAAAGAGGCGACCCAAGAAAACCGGUUAAGAGAGGUUGCAUAUUAAAAAUUAAUUAUCGUUCGCAGUAAUACGGUUCCCUUAUUUUCUUCUACAUAUCUCUCUUAUCUAUUUUCACAUACCGCUCCAACCCGAUUCGGCUCCGAAAUGGACUCUGAGUCUGUAAGUUCCGCGAAUCCCUCACGCUUGCCUCUGAGCGUUUAGAAACUUUUCGGGAAAAUAACAUAAGAGAAAACAAAAAAAAACUGAAUCCAUCCAUUUCUAGGGCUUUAAUUGAAUGUAUUCAUCUAUAUAUUUAAAAUUUAAAUAUUAAUUGGACGUUAUUUUUUUCUUUUUCUUUUUGUUUUUCAUAUCUAGUUUUGAAGGAUUCGCGAUUGUAAAUGCUGCUUAGGGUUCUUGAAGAAUUGCUGCUUUGAAAUAUAUAUAUUUCGAUUUGGAACGGGUUUUCCUGGGUUGGUUUUUUAAUGUUGGAACCUUUUCUUUUUGGAGGAGGUAGCUUGAUUGGGGGGGUUGAUUUUAGGGUUUUUAGCCAUUGAUUUGCAAAACGGGAAAGAUAGGUUUGGGUUAGAGGAUAAUGUGUAUACUGUGUGUGAUUCAGAAGUGGUCUCGCCGGGUUGCUACGAUGCUGCCUUGGUUAGUUAUACCUCUCAUUGGUUUAUGGGCUCUUUCUCAGCUAUUGCCACCUGAUUUUCGAUUUGAGAUCACGUCCCCAAGGCUGGCUUGCGUUUUUGUGCUUUUGGCAACUCUGUUUUGGUAUGAGAUUUUAAUUCCCCGGCUAUCUGCUUGGAGGGUUAGAAGGAAUGCACGCCUCAGGGAGAGGAAGAGGUUUCAGGCUAUAGAACUGCAGAAGCUUCGUAAAACUGCGACACGAAGGUGCCGGAACUGCCUGACUCCAUAUAGGGAUCAGAAACCUGGUGGUGGUCGGUUUAUGUGCUCUUAUUGUGGCCAUAUUUCAAAGAGACCUGUUUUGGACUUGCCAGGUCCACCUGGUCUGGGUAUUUCAAAUUCUGGGAUCAUUAAGGAUCUUGUUGGAAAAAGUGGUAAAAUCUUGAAUGGAAAAGGAUGGUCGGAGAAUGGGUGGAUGUGUGGGCAGGAUUGGUUAGAGAAUGGCAACUGGGUCUCUGGGUCCGUUGGAGGGAAGCCUAGCUAUUGGUGGAAGAAUGGCACUGGUGACUUUGGAGGAGAUGAAGAUUGUUUGGCGAAGAAAUCUUAUUCAGGAAUUGUUAUUUUUGCAUGCAGACUGUUAACGUCCUUCUGGAGCAUUAGGUGGCUUUUGAGAAGGAUUUUUGGGGUUAGUUCAUCGAAUUAUGAUGCUUCAUCUGAUGCAGACCACAGGGGCAUGUUGACUAAGAGGGGUGAGAGUGGGACAAGCUUUCAUGAGAGCAGAGGAGAAAAAACACGCAGAAAAGCUGAAGAAAAGAGACAGGCUAGGUUAGAAAAAGAGCUUUUGGAGCAAGAAGAGAGAAAGCAAAGAGAGGAGGUUGCAAGAUUGGUGGAAGAAAGGAGGAGACUGAGGGAUGAAAAAUUGGAGGCUGAAAGAGAUCGCAGCAAAUUAUCACCAUCUGCAAAGGAGAAAGAGAUAAAAAGGGAAGCUGAAAAUAAGUCUAAAGAGAGAAGGAAAGAGAAAGAUAAAGCAUUUAGUAAGAGCCACACUGAUGCGGAAGAGCUUGAAAAGAGAGCUGUUAAGGAAGCUGAACUGAAGCAUGACUUUGAUAAGAAGUGUGAGAUUGAUUUCCGGGAACAUCUGAGGUCUGGGUCUGAUAAUCUAAAGGGCAAUGCUCUAGAAACAGGACAUGUAAUUAAAAGUACUCCUGCAAUUAAUUUUAGCCGGGCAAAUGGUGGAACUAGAUACCUUGACCGUAUGAGGGGUACAUUUUUGUCAUCCUCUAAAGCUUUUACAGGAAGUAGUUUCUUUGGAAAGAAUACUAAUAUUCCUGCUAUUGCAAAAGAAAACAAAACUAAUAAUCCUGUAGACCAUGCCCAUACUUCAGCCGA
rnacentral:lncRNA from 1 species